GUUGGAUGGAUUAUGCUUAAAAAACAAAAGGUUGCUUGGAUCAUUGAAGGUUCUUAAUUUAAGUUUCUGUAAACAACUUUGUAGUCUUGGUGACUUUGACCAAUUCCCAGCUUUGGAGAGGUUAAUAGUCAGAAAUUGCACUGGUUUGCUUGAGGUUAGUGAAUCAAUUGAGCAGUGUGUUGAACUUGCCCUCAUCGAUCUAAGCUACUGCAAGCAGCUUAAAAACCUUCCAAGAAUCAUAGGCAUGCUAAAGAAGGUUAAAACAAUGUUGCUAAAUGGUUGUAAUCUCGGUGAAUCUCAAACUGAUAAUACAAAUUUAAAUAUGGAUUCACUGGACAUGUGCAAUGCUAACAAAAACAUUAGCAUACGCACAAGAACCUCUUCCUCCGCCUUUGUGGGUGCAAUACCAAGCCGUUUGAAGUUGUUUUCAGUUUCUUUACCGAGGUCUUUAGUAAGGUUGUCCCUUGUAAAUAAUAAUUUGUCCACUGAAUCCUUUCCUAUGGAUUUCAGUAGUCUGUCCAUGUUAAAGGAAUUAUAUUUAGAUAGCAAUCCUAUCCAUUCCAUGCCCAAUUGUGUGAGAACCCUUCCUAAGCUUGAAAAACUUGGUAUACGAGACUGUAAUAAAUUGAAGUCAGUCGAACAUCCUCCACACACACUAAAAACAAUGAUGCUCUAUUCUUAUCCCGAUUCUUUAGAAAAAGUUGUAUUUGAUCCCAAAAUGUCUCCCCUCCAGUUAUUUCAUAGUUUAAAACAUUACACACCUGGGUCGUAUGAAAUUGAAGGCAUGGUGAAAAUCCAACCAAUGGUGGGUGUUGAGGAAAAGGUAUUACGUAGCUUGGGCUGGAUUAAUUUACUCCAUAACAAAAGGAAUGGGGGAAAUAAUCCUAGGGAAUCUCGAAUGCAGGUUUUGUCUGGUUAACUGUCUUUCUUUAUUUGACUACAUAAAAUACUAUAAUAUAAUCAUUUAAUUAAGAUGUUUGUAUUUGGCAGAUGUUAUAUGAAUUUGGAAUAUUCAGCACAAUAUAUGAGACAGAGGAGAUGCCGAGUUGGUUUAUGCAUAGAAGCCCAGGGCCAUCGAUAUCAUUUACGAUCCCAUCAUCAUCUCCAAACAACCUCCUUACAGGACUCAACUUCUGCUUUCUGCAGACAAGGAGAGUUUUGUAUGAGAGGCCUUCAAUUCUACUUCAUCAUUUCCCUGGUUCACCGAUGAUCACAGUUAGUAAUAUAACAAAGAACAGUAUGUGGAUAUACGAACAUUACAGGAUGCCAUUUGGUGUAGGGCGAGUGUGUAGGGUGGUGUUAAGUCAUUGGAUGUUUGGGAUGAAUGAGAUGGAGGUUGGUGACCAUGUUACUAUUACUGUUACGCUGCCAUAUGAUGAACAUGUAAAGGAGUGUGGGGUGAGUCUUGUGUAUGAGGAUGAUGGAGAGAAGAAGGAUGAAGAAGAAGAUGUGUUGGGUUAUUACAAGUCAUGGAAUCAUAUAAUUGGUGGAGAUCUCUCUCCUUUUCAAACAACAACAGGACAAUACAUCCUAAACGACAGGUGGUUUUUUACACAUGCCAUUGUAUUGUCUCCCUAUCAUCGUAAAUUCGUUCCAGACGGCCCCGACAUUCAAGGUAGAUGUGAUUUUUGUUAAAUAUAUUUUUAUUGUCAUGUCUUAUGUAUAAUGACCUACCUCACCCAUCACCCACUUUCUUUAAUUACAUGGAUAAUGACCCAUUUAUUUUAAUACAUAUGUCAUAACUUAAAUCUUUUAAACAACUGGAUCAUAUAUACUAUUGAUUUUAUUGACCCAUAAGAUAAGAUGUUGUUUUAUAAAAAUAUUAAAGAUAAAAGUUGUACUUUAAAUUUAUAAAUUGCAUUGAUUCGUGUAGUCUACAACAGGAGGUCCAAGAAGCCCAUCAAAUUAGUUGGGAUCAAGUCCAGUCCUUAUCACCCUUGUUUAGCUGCAGUUAAGAGUUUUAUUUUUCUUUUGUAUGUUAAUAGCAUUCUGUUAUGAGUGAAGCACCAUCUUUAGGACAGGGGGCAGCCUUUUUGGUUUGGUAUGGUGUGCUGGCAUCCAUUUUACCCUACCCUGAGGACUAUUUAAACUUUUCAUUUUCUAGAAAAUUGUAGUAGAAAAAGUUAUUGGAGAGACCCUUCCUCUUGAAAGAAUGGGAAAAAACCCUAAUAAAUCAUUUAUUAUCAGUUAAUUGUUUCUGGUUGUGAAUUUCCUGCUUAUUCUCUUUACUCUGUGUGGGGCUUAUCAGCACACUCAAUUGAUCAAGACUUUUGAUAAGUUGGAUCACAUAAAUAUACCUGGGCCCAAUACGACUACUUUGUCCGAAUGGAUUAUUUGUGAAUAAUGCUUAACACAUAACUUUUUAUCUGUUUUCAGAAUACAAGGAAGAUUAUUGGUUCAGAGCUUUAUCCUGAAGGAAGCCUGAUAUAAGUGGUCGCACACAUGAGGUAUACUUUUUGACACCCAAACCUUUUCUCUCUUCGCGUGAACAAAAGGCAUACACAACCGAAUAUUAGGAAUCAAAGUUCUCAAUUGGUUUAGGGUGUAACAAAAUAAGAGAAGUAAUUAUAACCUUUCAUUGAAUGCAUUAAAGUGGAAAUAUUAAAAUUUGGAAUCAUUGAAUACUACAAAUAUCUGUUCAUACCAUGUCUAAACACUAUGGGUCAAAAUCUAGGAUUGAAUUCUCACCACUCCCUGCCACGGUUUUGGGGAAUGGCAUCACCUGUCAUGACUCGUUUUUGUAUCUAGAGUCUCCUAGAAGGAGAGCGUGAAUUUGUAUAUAGAUCUAUACUGGAUUGACUAUCCUACACCUUGCUAUUCACUACAGUUGGACUUGCAAGUCUACGGGUGCCAAAUGUCAUUUCUUCCGAUGUCUUUCAUCGUCGUGUUAUUAGUUGAUAGUAUGGUGCAAUCAUAUCACAUUAUACCUUAAAUAACAAUUGGUUUAAGGUAGAUAGUACAACAGUAGUUACUAUAAUACAACACUACAGUACUAUUAUUAUUUCCCCAUUACAUUCAAAUUGUGAUCUUCUUACACAAGCGGUAAUGUAGAAAUUAUAUUUUUGGUUAAUGAUAGUCACACUUGGGAAAAUACACACUUUUACAAGAAACAAACAUACAGAACAUUUGAUGCCUUGGUAGAAGGCUAAGUUUAAUAGAAAAUAUAGGAUUUUCUAGGAGAUACAAACAUUUACUACAAACAAUUACAAACUUAUACAUCAAACACUUACAAACAUUUUCAUACAAACAAUGACACUAAAAUGCUUAUGAACUCACCAGCUUUAAAACUGAUAAACUCUUUUAAAAUUUGGAAUCAUUGAAUUCUCACCACUCCCUGUCACAGUGUAAUAUGCAACUAAGACCAAUUUAUAGAUUAAUAAUCUUCAGUAGAUGUUGUUCUUGGGUAGAUUCUAUGUUAAUAACAAACUAUUACACUUUGGAAAACAAUAUGAAAUUGAUCAAGCAUAUUGCUUGAUUUUAGGGAAUCUUAAUGAUAGAUUCAUUCUUAGGAUAGAAGCAAGCAACAUGUUGAGAAUGCUUAAAUUGCUUCAAGAGUUUGGAAGAGAUGUGUCUCUAGGAAUCAUUAAUAUUGUUGAAUCAAGAGAAUGUAACAGAAACUUUUACAAUUUUCUUACUUUUCCUUCUUAUGUAGGGUGAGGGGGAAUCUUCAAGGUCUCAUCCUUCAUUCACAUGAAAAGGGUUGAGAAAGCUAGAGAGGCUACAUGGCUGGCAUGAAUAGAAAAUAGAUGUAUUCGGCAACUGGGGGAAUCUUCAAGGUCAAUCAUAUGCAAGUCAAUGAGCUAUAUAUGUUACUUUUCCAGAAGAAUUAAGAUAAUAUAUACCAGCCUCUACUGCAAAAUUAAACACAUUUUGAAUUGUAUGUUAUUUCCCCAUGAUUCUUUUAAGCAUAGUUAUCAAAAUUAAACACUUCUUGAAUUGUGUGCUAUUUCCUUAUCAUAAUUGGAAUUGAAAAUUUUGUCUCAACUCUCAAUCAUUGCAUUAUCAACAAUGUCCAUCGUGUCUACGGACUCAAAAUCUCAAAUCCUUGAUAGGAUUCUAUACUUUGUUUGGGUACUAUGUAAAAUUAGCAUGCUACACCUUAAUAUACUAAGACUCUGAUUCAGAGUUGUGUGAGGUAACUAAGUAGGGAGUCCUUUGGCUCCGCAGUCGGGCUGGGACCCGGUAUUUCAGAUAAUUGGUGAACGAACUGAGACCAGGAGGUCUCGUUAGAUUUUGGAGAGCAGCCAUGUGGUAGCAUACUGCUUCAAGCAGUUCAGUGUUUCAGGCAGUUACGUGUUUUAGGCAGUUCAGUAUUUCAUGCGGUUCCGUGUUUCAGGCAGUUCAGUGUUCAGGCAGUAAGUGUUUUAGGCAAUUCAGUGUUUCAUAAAUUUCAAUGCUUCGGACAGUCAGUGUCUCAAGCGGUAAUGGUAACUGAGGAUCUCAUGUAUGGUAAGUGUAAUAGAUUGCUGAGUAAUGCUAAGUUACCCACCGCGGGGUUCAUCUAUAAUGAUUCAGUAUGAGUGGUCUAUUAAGGAUUCAGAUCAUCUAGAGACAGCAAAUUUCAGACAGAGUACAUGUAAUCUUGUUGCGAGGUAUUUGUUCACCUUAGGAAUUUAGGGCUUUACGAAGAUUGUCACGACUACCCUAGGAAGCCUAGGGUGUGCUCAGGAUAGUGACCAUGUUACUUGAGUGGUUCGGCGCAUAAGAGAUGGUAAGGAAUGAUUUCGAGGACAAAAUCUAAUUUAAGUGGGGGAGAGUUGUAACACCCUGUUUAUUUAUUAGAUAAAAAAUUAAUUAAUGAAUGAAUACUAGCCCUAAAAUAAAUAAUUAUAUUUCAAAAGUUGAUCUUGAGGAGCUAAUUGUCACCCUUUAAGAGAUUGGGGGUUAAAAGUGUAAGUUCCAGAUUAGUUUUUUAAGUAUUUAAGAAGGCAGGGGCUAAAUGGUAAGUAUUAUACUCGAUUUGUAAAGAAUUUUAAGGCUGAGGGUUAAAAAGGUAUAUUGGGGAUUUAUGUUGAAAGAAAAGGAGGGUGGAGGGGCUUAUCUUGCCAUUAUGGAAAACUUAUGUAUGGAGGCGGGUAUUUAAGGGUUCAAACCCUAAACCUAGUGCAAGAAACUACAUCUGCCAUCUCCUUUUUCAUUCUGGUAGCCGCUGCUACCAUUGGAGCCUCCUCAGCCACCAUUUGCGUCACCAAGCCCGACAACCCAGUCCCGCCUACUGUAUAUGAGGAUGAUGGAGAGAAGAAGGAAGAAGAAGAAGAUGCAUUGGGUUAUUACAAGUCAUGGAAUCACAUAAUUGGUGGAGAUCUCUCUCCUUUUCAGACAACUACAGGACAAUACAUCCUAAACAAUAUGCAGUUUUUUACACAUGCCAUUGAUUUGUCUCCCUACCAUCGUAAAUUCGUUCCAGACGGCCCCGACAUUCAAGGUAGAUGUGAUUUUUGUUAAAUAUAUUUUUAUUCUCGUGUUUUAUGUAUAAUGACCUACCUUACCCAUCACCCACUUUCUUUAAAUACAUGGAUAAUGACCCAUUUAUUUUAAUAGACGGAUCAUAACUUCAAUCUUUUAAACAAAUGGAUCAUAUAUAUUAUUGAUUUUAUUGACCCAUAAGAUCAGAUUUUGUUGUUAUAAAAAAAUAUAAAAGCUAAAAGUUGUAAUUUUAAUUUAUAAAAUGAAUAGACCCAAACAUUGAUUCAGAAACGGGGACAGUUCUGGUCCCAGGGGUACUUUGGGAAAACUUUCCUAAUUUAAAGUUUUGAGUUAGUUUAGGAUUCCAAUUAGGGUAUGGUUGUGUGACCUUUUUAAUUAAGUUUUUUUUCAGUCUUUUCAGUAAUAAAAUUUGGAGAACAAGUAAUUUUCCCAGAUUUCUUCCUCCCCUGUUUCGCUCAUGCUCUAUUUCUUUUCUGCACACAGCUGAAGUUUCCAUUCUGUCAUAAUCAAGUGAAUUGAUAUGGUGUGGUGGCAUCCAUUUUACCCCACCCUGAGGAGUAUUUAAACUUUUCAUUUUCUAGAAGGUUGUCAGCUAAGAAAAUUCUAGUAGCAAAAACUAUUUGAGAGGCCCUUCCUCUUGAAAGAAUGGGAAAACCCUAAUAAAUCAUUAAUUAUCAGUUACUUGUUUCCAGUUGUGAAUUUCCUGCUUAUUCUCUUUACUCUGUGUGGGGCUUAUUAGCACACUCAAUUGAUCACAUAAACAUUCAUGGACCUAAUAUGACUACUUUGUCCAAAUGGAUUAUUUGUGAAUAAUGACUAACACAUAACUUGUUAUCUGUUUUCAGUAGAAAAGGAAAGGUUUUGGUUGAGAGCUUUAUCCCUAAGGAAGCCUGACAUAAGUGGUCGUGCACAUAAGGUAUACUUUUUGACACCCAAACGUUUUCUCUCUUCGCGUGAACAAAAGGAAUACACAACCGAAUAUUAGGAAUCAAAGUUCUCAAUUUGUUUAGGGUGUAACAAAAUAGGAGGAGUUAUAACCUUUCACUGAAUGCAUUAAAGUGGAAAUAUUAAAAUUUGGAAUCAUAGAAUACUACAAAUAUCUGUUCAUACCAUGUCUAAACACUAUGGGUCAAAAUCUAGGAUUGAAUUCUCACCAUUCCCUGUACUUGUCUCAGUGUAAUAUGCAAGUAGGACCAAUUCAUAGAUUAAUCAUAUUCAGUAGACGUUCUUGGGUAAAUUCUAUGUUAAUAACAAACUAUUGCAUUUUGGAAAACAAGAUGAAAUUGUUUAAGCAUAUUGCUUGAUUUUAAGGAAUCUUAUUGAUAGAUUCAUUCUUAGGAUAGGAAUCAUUAUUCUGUUGAAUCAAGAAAAUGUAACAUAAACUUUAACAAUUUUCUUACUUUCCUUUUUAUGUAGGGUGAGGGGGAAUCUUCAAGGUCUCAUCCUUCAGAUGAAAAGGAUUGAGAAAGAGAGGCUACAUGGCUGGCAUGAAUAGAAAAUAGAUGGGUAGCCUGAUGCUAUUGCAAAUUCAUUAUAUCCUACUUUUCUAGAAGAAUUAAGAUAAUAUAUUCCAGCCUCUACUGCAAAAUUAAACACAUUUGUAUUUGUAUGUUAUUUCCCCAUGAUUCUUUUAAGCAUAGUUAUCAAAAUUAAACACUUCUCGAUUUGUGUGCUAUUUCCUGAUCAUUAUUUGAACUGAAAUCUUAGUCUCAGUUAUUGCCUUAUCAACAAUGUCCAUAUGAAAGAUGAGAAUUCUCGUAUCAUUUGUUUUCUUGUUUUGUUUAUUUAUUUAUUUAUUUAUUUUUUAUUUUAGAAGCAACACUUUUAGGUCGCCCCUUUUUCUACACAUCACGAUACAGAAUAGUAUCACAUAUUAAUUUAUAUAUCUUAUCUUUACUGUCCUCUAUAUCUUUUAUUGUUACUAUUUGUGGUUGCCAAAAGAAUAUCAUAUUCUCAUUUAUUUUCAUUUUCCAGCUCAUCUUGAUAUCAUAUCAAGUUAUCAGUAGUGUUUUUGCAACAAAGUUAGACUCCACAAUCUGGUCAUUUGAGGCUGAAAAUAAAUCAUCAACAUCAACUUAUCUGUGGUCUUUAUGCACCACUCUCAUUUCGUGUCUUUUUCCCAUGUCCUCAUUGUCCUUAACAACUUGAACAUCACAUAACCCCGUGCCUGAUUCCACCUCAUUUGAGCUUAAAAAAAACCUGUUCAUCUCCUUACCAACAUCUUGAUUACCAUUGAAGUCAUUUUAUUGGCCAUAAUUAUCAUUCACACUUGCAUUAGUAACCUUGCUUUCAGUAUCCAGAUUGGAGAUGAUUGGAGAUACAAGGAGUAGAGGCUUUAAUUAACUCUUUUGCUUUCAGUAUCUGAAUACAACAAAAUGGCACCAAAAACAAAAACUAAGAAGCAACACCCAAAUGAUGAGAGAAGAUGCAACAUGGCCAAAAAGCAAUUAGCCAAAACUAUAUCAUUGGAGACAAUAAACCACUUCAACUUGGCCAAAAAGCAACAUGAAGCAAUUGGAAGCAAUGAAAGAAUACACUAUUUGAAAACUCUAAAUUGGAGCGAGUCACCAAUUUAAACUAAUAAUAUCCACAUCAAGAGUAUAUGCAUAGCUCCUCCACAUGUUGACUUUUUUUUUUUUCUUAACUACAAAUCUAGCCACUUUUUUUCAUAAUUUAAUAAAAGCUUUGUUUUCUAUUUAUCAUUAUUUGUAUACACAUAGCAAGAAAAGCUUAUAACUCCAGUGGGUGCAAUCUUUGGGAUAAAGUAUUUACAUAUAAAAACAUUUUACACAUUAAUUUGAACCAAUCAUUAUAAAGUUAGAAAAAUCAUAUUACUAUAUAAAUUAAUAAAUGUUUGAAAAUCAUUAAUUAAUGAUUAUAACUACAAAGUAUUAAUAUUAUUUUAAUUUACUAACUGCGGUUACUACGAGUUAGUUUAUAAAGAAGCAAACCACUUAAAGAUACCUUUUUCACUAUUCAAAUACUAGAAAUCACUUGAUCCUCUUCUUAACAAACCAUUAUUAUAACCACAAAAAAGAAGAAAUAUGAACAACAAGGUCUAAGAUGAGAGAGAGUCAAUACUCAUAAUUUUCUCAGGCCAACCCCACUUCUUAAAAUUUGGACAAUUUUAUGCAUACAACUAGUCUAGGAAUGACAUUUAUUAUUAACAAAUUGAAAUGAAAUGAAAAUGAAAUUUAAAGAGUAAAAUGGAAUAAGAUGUGUGGUUUUCAAUUGGUACGAAGAGAGUAUUUGUAAUGAUAUAAAGGAGAAAAAAAAGGAAAAAAAAUGAAAAUGUAACUGUUAGAACGCGUUCCACAAACCUUUAACCUUCUUCUAACGGUAACCAAUGCGCUCAAAUCCAUCUCCUCGGCGGUACUGCCCGCCACCCGCCGGAGCCCACUUCCGAUACCCUCCACUCUAAUAAAUAUCAUUAUUAUCUUCCAAUUUUAAGUAUCAUGAUAAGUACUGUGUUGACUUUGGGUUGACAUAAGGAAUAACAAUUAUUUUCUCUAAAAUUCUCCUUGCGAAUCAUUAUUUUGUUGAAAUGUACCUUUUCUUUAUGAGCAUAAUUACUUUAUUGAAUUUAGCUUGCCUUGAUAAAUAUCUUUUAUUUUCGUGAAGUUUACAUUGUCUUAAUAAAUAUCAUUACCACUUUAAUAAUUAUCAUUUCUAAUUCCACAAUAAAUAUCAUUAAAUAGUUUUCUUUAAUAAUUAUUAGACAAAAUUACAAAAAUGGUCCCUGUGGUUUGCCAAAAGUCACGAAGUCAGUAUCUGUUAAUUUUUUUUUGAUGUAAAUGGUCCUUGUGGUUUGCAAAACUUGCAAAGAUGACCCUUUUUACUAACACCAUUAGUAUUCAGCCGUUAGGGACUAAAUCUGUAAGGGUAUUUUCGUCUUUUCAAGUAUAAAGGGACUGAAUUCGUGACAUUUAAUAAACCAUAGGGACCAUUUUUGUAAUUUGUCUUAAAAUAAUAUAAAUGAUAGAAAAUGAAGUGUACUAUAUUCGAACUUUGGACCUCCUACCUUUCUCCCUUAAUCAACCAAAGCUUUAACCAACUAGGCUAGAGCCGCACUUGAUUUAUAUUUUCGAAAACUAACUAAUAUUAUCUACAAAUCGUAAAUAAAUUAAUAAUAAAAUAUUAAAAAAAACAUAUUUUUACAAAAAAAAAAAAUUAAUAAAACAAAAUAUAUUUUUAGCGUAUUGUAAAAAAAAAAUACAAACAAUUAUUUGUUUUUUUACGUAUUUAAAAAAAUAAGUUUCCGUAUACUUUUAAAUACAUAAAAAAAUAACGUAAUAACAUAUUCUACAAAAACAUAAUCCUAAAAAACAUAAAAAAAAGUUUUUUGUAUAUAUUUAUUUUAUGUGAAGAUUCAGUUCCUAACGGCUGAAUACUAACGGUGAUAGUAAAAAGGGCCAUCUUUGUAAGUUUUGCAAACCACAAGGACCAUUUACAUCAAAAAAAUUAACAGGGAUUGAUUUUGUGACUUUUGGCAAACCAUAGGGACCAUUUUUGUAAUUAUGUCUAAUUAUUAUUAUUUAUAGAAAAGAAUUGAAAAAAAAAGCGACACCAUCAAGGCAUCGAAGGAAAACCCAACACCCUCGUUGACUCUCCUCUCUGGUCGUCUCCCUUCCUCGUUGACUUGCUGUUUCCCUGCCGACUUAACGCGGUUCGCUCUGUACUUUUCACUCUUCAUCGAUCUUUCUCAGCCGCGUCACUGUUGGUUCAUCCUUUAUCGCUGCUGUUUCAGUUCUCCUUGUCAUCCUGUAUGCUUCUUAAUUACAAGUUGUUAGACAAUUUCAUCUUAUGAAUCAUAAAUCACAUCAUAAUCAUUUCGUUAUUUCACUAACAGGUGAUUGAAUAUUGUCUAUUUCCAUUAUUUUUGUUUUAUUUUAUAUAUCAAUUAGGAUACUCCACACUCCUUCUAGCCCAAAGUCCAGUACGAUGAACAAAAUUUCCUGCACGUUGAGAAUUCUUUGAUCCUUUAAAAUUUCUUCCUCAAUUCCUCUAUAUUUUCUAAUUCGCAACACGAUUUUUAGAUUUGAUUCUUUUUGAAUGAUGUUUAUGAACAAGCUUCAAUAUUUGAUUGUCAUAAUGAGUGUUUUGCUUGUGUAUAGACUAAAGAGUGCAUUUAGCUUUGAAAUUUCUUCUAUUAUUGAGUUUGAAAUUGAACCCUUAGAAAGGGCAAAGUGGAAGGCGUGUUUUGCUGGCUUCAGAAACAUAUCAUUUGGAACAAGCCCAUAAAUAUUGUUAGUUGAAACACUUAAAAUAAGAUGUAUGCUGAUACUAGAUCCAGUUAUAUAUGAAUUUUAAAUUUGUGUAGAUUGUUGUGCUAAUUUUGGAGAUCCAUAAUUAAACAACCUUGUCAAGCAAGUGCUGUUUUUUUUUGUUUAAAACUUUACAUCUUUCAAUUGUUUGUUGAUAUCUAGUAAAAGCUUGAAAUUUCCUAUAUGCUUUGCAAUUUCCUUCAUGGGAGGUAAUAGUGGAUCUUGUAGUUAUUUCAAGAAUGGUAUUUUGGUGUAGAUUUGUUUGACGAUUACUCUACUGAAAUUCAUAUGGAUUUUACUUAGAUAAAUAAGGAUCUUUAUGUGGGCUAAUCAAAUUAAAACAGAGGCGUUGUAGUUUCAAUGCAUAAAUUGGUUUGUUAUUUUCUUGAAUCUAAACUUAGCCAGAAAAACAGGUUAAUUAAUUGGUAACAGCUUUUAAAAUAAAUUUCAUGGCAAUGUAAUGGUUAUUCUAUAUCCAUACUUUGUUUUUGUGGGAAAGAAUAUUCUAUAUAAAUACUUAGUUAGCUAUAUAUGUUUUGGCUAAAGGAUCCAAAAACCUGUCACAUAAUUAUUAUUGCCAUGAGAUUGCUGUUGUAGUGAUUUAACAGCGUCUCUUUGUAUUUCAAACACAGCAGCAACCGAUUAAUGCUUAUUCUUUUGUGUUCCUUUUCCAGUGUUUAUUUGAUGAGAUUGAAGUUGCAUAUUUUAAAUAUUAAUAAUUUGGAUUUUAUGUACAGGCUUUAUUUGAACCACAAGUUAAGAGCUUCUAGCUUAUUGAGAUACACAAAGGCUUAUCAACCCAUAACUCAUAAUGGUUAUUCUCUCUGAACUCCUCUCAGAAGGAUCUUCAUCUUCUUCAUCAAAUAGUGGUCAUAGUCCAACUGAUGGUCAAAGUUCAUCAACUGAUGGUUACAUGUACGAUGUAUUUUUAAGUUUUAGAGGUGUUGACACUCGUCAUAGUUUCACUGAUCACCUUCAUAAAGCCCUCAUUGAUGCCAAUAUCACUACGUUCUUGGAUGAUGAAGAGAUUGAAACAGGGGAAGAUCUGAAACCAGAACUAGAGACUGCAAUUAAGGCAUCUCGGGGUUCUAUCAUUGUGAUGUCUAAGAAUUACGCUUCUUCAACAUGGUGUCUGGAUGAAUUGGUGUUGAUCCUUGAGCAGCAUAUGACAUCUGAUCAUAUUAUUAUCCCCAUAUUUUAUCAUGUUGAGCCCACUCAUAUCGGGAAGCAACAAAGUAGCUUUGGAGAUGCAAUGGCUAAGCAUAAACAGACAAUGGAGGCAGAGACAAAUGCAAAUAAAAGAAGUGAAUGGGCUCAAAAGAUGGACCGAUGGAAUAAAGCCCUUAUAGAAGUAGCUAAUUUAAAAGGAAAAGACGUCAAUGGAAGGUAACUGUUUUCUUACCUAUAUUUCCAAAAUUCUUCAAUUUUGUUUGAUUAACACAUGAAUGUUAGUAUCAUCUUCUCCCAAUGCAUUUCAAUAAGUUUCUUUAACAUCACUAAAAAGACAUAUNUAUAUAUAUAUAUAUAUAUAAUGUAUUAGGAUAUAAAUUCCACACAUUUUUUUAUGCAUUUUGUGUUUCAUUAUAAGUUACUUCAUUUAGACAAACUGUUCCAAUUAUUUUGUAUGCUUUCUAUUAAGAAAACAAGAUUUGAAGGGUUUGCUAUGCAUCUACUAUUACUUAUACCAUACCACCUUAUAAUCAUAGUGUCUUUUAUGAUAAAUAACUUAUCUUACCUUUAAGCAGUAAAACAUUACUUAUAACUGGCACUUUUUUCAAAACACGCCACAAUGAUAGUUAUGAUGGUCUUGUGUAAAUGCAGUGAAGUUAGGUUGUCCAUUAGUGAAAUCUGGUAUUACAUUGGAACUUGUAUGGUUAGAACAUAGAAGUGUAAACACAAUAUCAUUUUAAUGUGAAGGACUUGAUUAAAAUUAAUAGCUAUGAUAUAAUUUUGAUUUUGGUUCUUUGGACAAAUUAAAUCUCCAAAUCCAGUUUGUUAGUUCUGUGGUUCAUAUAAAAUCUGAUUUCAGGCUAGAGACGGAAUUUAUUGAAGAAAUUGUGAAGGACAUCCAACGUAGGUUACAUGUACGCUUAAGGAGUGUCCGGCAACAACUUAUUGGGAUGGACUAUGAUAUUAAGUUCAUCACUUCAUGGUUGAAAGAUGGAUCCUCACAUACGGCAGACAUACUCACUAUUUAUGGUAUAGGAGGGAUUGGGAAGACAACUUUAGCCAAACAUGUCUAUGGGCUAUAUGCUCACAAAUUCCACAAAAGCAGCUGUAUUGAAGAUGUUAGUAGGGUAUGUGAUGGAAAGUUUAAUGGGUUGCUUGAUUUACAAGAAAAACUAAGCAGUGACAUUUCAAAAACAAGUUCCGUUAAAGUUCAUGAUGCUUCGGUAUACACCUCAAAGAUAGAGAAUGCAGUAGCACGUAAAAGGGUGUUUCUUGUUCUUGAUGAUAUUAGCACGCUUGAUCAGUUGGAUGCGUUACUUGGAAGCAAAGGUUUUCAUCCCGGAAGCAAAAUAAUUAUAACCACAAAGGAAAGACAUUUGAUAGAGAGGUGUGCACUAUUCAAAACAGACAUUAAACCAAAGCAUACAAAGCUCUUGCUUCAAGGCUUACAUGAGACCGAAUCAUGGAAACUUUUGUGUCUCCAUGCAUUCAAAUGCAACUAUCCCAAGACAGGUUAUGAAGGGGUGUUAUAUAAGCUUGUGAAGUAUUGUCAAGGACAUCCAUUGGCUCUUGUAGUAUUGGGAAAAUCUCUAUAUGAUCGAGAUGUAACUUAUUGGGAAGGGUGCAUAGAAGGGCUAAAGAAAGAAACAGAUUCUCAUGUGAAUAAUGUCUUGAGAAUGAGCUUUAACUCUUUGCCAUCCAAAAAUGAUAAGGACUUGUUUAAGUAUAUUGCUUGUUUUUUUGUUGGAAUAGAUAGAGAUGUUGCUGAAACAAUAUUAAAGGCAUGCAAUAUAAACAUAAGAUCUGGAAUCCCGAAUCUCCUCGACCGAUUCCUUCUUUCGAUUGGAUGGAAAAACAAAUUGAAGAUGCAUCAGUUGGUUCAAGAGAUGGGAAGGUUCGAAGUACGUCAAGAAUCACAUGACAAGCCAUGGAAGAGAAGUCUAUUAUGGUGUCAUGAGGAGUCAUUCAGAGUAUUAAAACAAAAAAAGGUAAGAGGUCAUAUGUGGUUUUAAAAGUAUGCAUGUUAAAAAUAUUGUGUAUGGUCUCAACUUUUUAUUUACAUUAUGUUUCUUCUUAGGGUAAGGGAAAUCUUGUUGGCCUUGCCCUUGACAUGCGCAUGCUUGAGAAAGAGAUGUUGGGUGCAUCAUAUAAGUUAAAAACAAAUGCAUUAAGUAAGAUGGAUAAUUUGAUGCUACUACAACUCAAUUAUGUUCACAUGAAUGGGUCUUAUGAGAACUUUCCACCGGAACUAAGAGGUUUGUGUAUGCAUGGGUUUCAUUUAAAGUAUAUACCUUCAGAACUACCUAUGGAGAAUCUUGUUGCUCUUGACAUGUCAUAUAGCAAUAUUGAAUCAUUUAUCGGUUGUUAUAGUAAUCCACAACGACUUGAGAAGAGGCAAAAGGUAACUUAUCUUCAUUUAUUAUUUUUCCAUGUUUAGUUGAAUUUCACUCCCAUUCUAACUUCUUUCCAUUUUUAUAGUUGGAUGGAUUAUGCUUAAAAAACAAAAGGUUGCUUGGAUCAUUGAAGGUUCUUAAUUUAAGUUCCUGUAAACAACUUUGUAGUCUUGGUGACUUUAACCAAUUCCCAGCUCUCGAGAGGUUAAUAGUUAGAAAUUGCACUCGUUUGCUUGAGGUUAGUGAAUCAAUUGAGCAGUGUGUUGAACUUGCCCUCAUCGAUCUAAGCUACUGCAAGCAGCUUAAAAACCUUCCAAGAAUCAUAGGCAUGCUAAAGAAAGUUAAAACAAUGUUGCUAGAUGGUUGUAAUCUGGGUGAAUCUCAAACUGAGGAUACAAAUUUAGAUAUGGAUUCACUGGACAUGUGCAAUGCUAACAAAAACAUUAGCAUAAGCACAAGAACCUCUUUCUCCACCUUUGUGGGUGCUAUACCAAGCCGUUUGAAGUUUUUUUCAAGUUCUUUGCCAAGAUCUCUAGUAAGGUUGUCCCUUGUAAAUAAUAAUUUGUCCACUGAAUCCUUUCCUAUGGAUUUUAGUAGUCUGUCCUUGUUAAAGGAAUUAUAUUUAGAUGGAAAUCCUAUCCAUUCCAUGCCCAAUUGUGUGAGAACCCUUCAUAGGGUUGAGAUACUUAGUAUGCUAAACUGUAAUAAAUUGAAGUUGGUCGAACAUCCUCCACACACACUAAAAAUCUUGCUCUAUUCUGAUCGCGAGUCUUUAGAAAAAGUUGUAUUUGAUCCCAAAAUGUCUCCCCUCAUGUUAUUUUAUUUUCCAAGAAGUUACACCCCUAGGUCGUAUGAAAUUGAAGGCAUGGUGAAAAUCCAGACAAUGGUGGGUGUUGAGGAAAAGGUAUUACGUAGCUUGGGCUGGAUUAAUUUACUCCAUAACAAAAGGAAUGUGGGAAAUAAUCCUACGGAAUCUGGAAUGCAGGUUUUGUCAAGUUAACUGUCUUUCUUUAUUUGACUACAUAAAAUACUAUAAUAUAAUCAUUUAAUUUAGAUGUUUGUAUUUGGCAGAUGUUAUAUGAAUUUGGAAUAUUCAGCACAACAUAUGACGCAGAGGAGAUGCCGAGUUGGUUUAUUCAUAGAAGCGCAGGGCCAUCGAUUUCAUUUACAAUCCCAUCAUCAUCUCCAAAUAAUCUCCUUAAAGGAAUCAACUUCUGCUUUCUGCAGACAAUGAGAGUUUUGUAUGAGUUGCCUGUAAGUCUACAUGAUCAUUUCCGCAUUACACCGAUGAUCACAGUUAGUAAUAUAACAAAGAACCGCAUGUGGAUAUACGAACCUCUCUGGGACAGAUACUUUGUAGAUAAAAAGUGUAGGGUGGUGUUAAGUCAUUGGAUGUUAGGGAUGAAUGAGAUGGAGCCUGGUGACCACAUUACUGUUACUGUUACAGAGCCAUCUUAUGAACUUACAAAGGAGUGUGGUGUGAGUCUUGUGUAUGAGGAUGAUGGAGAGAAGAAGGAUGAAGAAGAUGUGUUGGGUUAUUACAAGUCAUGGAAUCACAUAAUUGGUGGAGAUCUCUCUCCUUUUCAGACAACUACAGGACAAUUCAUCCUAAGAAACCAGCAGUUUGUUACAUGUGGCUUAUGUAUAAUGACCCAUUUAUUUUAACAGAUAACUUAAAUCUUUUAAACAACUGGAUCAUAUAUACUAUUGAUUUUAUUGACCCAUAAGAUAAGAUGUUGUUUUAUAAAAAUAUUAAAGAUAANUAUAUAUAUAUAUAUAUAUUAUUGAUUUUAUUGACCCAUAAGAUAAGAUUUUGUUUUUAUAGUAAAAAAUAAAAGUUGUACUUUUAAUUUAUAAAAUGAAUAGAUGCAAGCAUUGAUUCAGAAACGGGGACAGUUUUGGUCCCAGGGGUAUUUUGGGAAAACUUUCCUAAUUUAAAGUUUUGAGUUAGUUUAGGAUUCCAAUUAGUUUAGUAUAAAUAGGGUAUGGUUGUGUGACAUUUUUAAUUAAGUUUUUUUUCAGUAAUAAAAUAUGGAGAACAAGUAAUUUUCCCAGAUUUCUUCCUCCCCUGUUUCGCUCAUGCUCUGUUUCUUUUCUGCACACAGUUGAAGUUUCCAUUCUGUCAUAAUCAAGUGAAUUGAUUCUUGUGUUAAGUUCAUUUUCAAGAGAAUUAAGCGAAUUAAUUCCUUCAUCACUUUCCAUAAAUAGAUGGAUAAUGACCCAUUUAUUUUAAUACAUAUGUCAUAACUUAAAUCUUUUAAACAGGAUCAUAUAUACGAUUGAUUUUAUUGACCCAUAAGAUAAGAUUUUUGGUUUGGUAUGGUGUGGUGGCAUCCAUUAUACCCUACCCUGAGGAGUAUUUAAACUUUUCAUUUUCUAGAUGAUUGUCAGCUAAGAAAAUUCUAGUAGCAAAAAGUAUUUGAGAGGCCCUUCCUCUUGAAAGAAUGGGAAAACCCUAUUAUUUAUAUAAUUCAUUAUCAGUUAGUUGUUUCUGGUUGUGAAUUUCCUGCUUAUUCUCUUUACUCCGUGUGGGGCUUAUCAGCACACUCAAUUGAUUAAGUCUUUCGAUAUGUUGGAUCACAUAAAUAUAUAUGGACCCAAUACGUAUGACUACUUUGUCCAAGUAGGUUGUUUGUGAACAAUGAUUAACAUAUCACUUUUAAUCUAUUUUCAGUAUGAAAGGAAAAGUUUUGGUUCAGAGCUUUAUCCCUAAGGAAGCUUGACAUAAGUCGUCGCGCACAUGAGGUAUACUUUUUGACACCCAAACCUUUUCUCUCAUCGCGUAAACAAAAGGAAUACACAACCGAAUAUUAGGAAUCAAAGCUCUCAAUUCGUUUAGGGUGUAACAAAAUAAGGGAGUUAUAACCUUUCAUUGAAUGCAUUGAAGUGGAAAUAUUAAAAUUUGGAAUCAUUGAAUACUACAAAUAUCUGUUCAUACCAUGUCUAAACACUAAGGGUCAAAAUCUAGGAUUGAAUUCUCACCACUCUCUGUCACAGUGUAAUAUGCAAUUGAGACCAAUUCAUAGAUUAAUAAUUUUCAGUAGAUGUUGUUCUUGGGUAAAUUCUAUGUUAAUAACAAACUAUUACACUUUGGAAGACAAUAUGAAAUUGUGUAAGCAUAUUGCUUGAUUUUAAGGAAUCUUAUUGAUAGAUUCAUUCUUAGGAUAGAACCAAGCAACAUGUUGAGAAUGCUUAAAUUGCUUCAAGAAUUUGGAAGAGAUGUGUCACCAGGACUCAUUAAUUCUGUUGAAUCAAGAAAAUGUAACAUAAUAUAUACGCUUCCAAGUAACUAUCUGUUUUCAUAACAUUUUGUGUUGUAUCCUGUAUAAUAUAUAACUUUUAAAAUUUUCUUACUUUUCGUUUCUAUGUAGGGUGAGGGGGGAUCUUCAAGGUCUCAUCCUUCACAUGAAAAGGAUUGAGAAAGUGAGGCUACAUGACUGGCAUGAGUUGAAAAUAGAUGCAAUGGGAAAAUGGGUAGCCUGAUGCUAUUGCAAACUCAAUCGUCUAUGACCUACUUUUCCAGAAGUAUUAAGAUAAUAUAUACCAGCCUCUACUACAAAAUUGAACACAUUUGGAAUUGUAUGUUAUUUCCCCAUGAUUCUUUUAAGCAUAGGUAUCAAAAUUAAACACUUCUUGAAUUGUGUGCUAUUUCUUGAUCAUAAUUUGAGCUGAAAUCUUGACCAUUGCCUUAUCAACAAUGUCUAUCGUGUCUAUGGACUCAAAAGCUCAAAUCCUUGAUAGGAUUCUAUAAUUUAUUUGGAUACUAUGUAAAAUUCGCUUGCUUCACCUUAAUAUUUUAAGACUCCGAUUCUGAAAGAUGAGAAUUCUUGUAUCAUUUGUUUUUUUAAUUUUAGAAGCAACAAUUUUAAUUAGGUCGCCCCUUUUUCUCCACAUCACGAGACAGGAUAGUAAUAGUAUCACAUAUUAAUUUAUAUAUCUUAUCUUUACCGUCCUCUAUAUCUUUAUUGUUACUCUUCUUGUUGUCAAAAGAAUAUCAUAUUCUCAUUUAUUUUCAUUUUCCAUCUCAUCUUGAUAUUCUAUCAAGUUAUGAGUAGUGUUUUUGCAACAAAGUUAGACUCCAAAAUAUGGUCAUUUGAGGCUGAAAAUAGAUCAUCUACAUCAAGUCAUCACUUAUCAGUGGUCUUUUUGACCACUCUCCUUUAGUGUUUUUUUCAUGUCCCCAGUGUCCUUAUUAACAACUUGAAUAUCACAUAACCCCUAGCCUGAUUUCACCUCUAUAUGAGCUAAAACAAACCGGUUCAUCUCCUUACCAACAUCUUGAUUACCAUUGAAGCCAUUAGAGUUGGUCAUAAUUACCAUUCACACUUGCAUUAGUAACCUUGUUUUCGGUAUCCACAUUGGAGAUACAAGGAGUAGAGGCUUUAAUUACCUCAUUUGCAACAGCUAUAGUAUGCAACUCCAUCAUAAAAAUAAAUAAAUAAAUAAAUCAUGUUCCCAGUAAUGUAUUGAAACAAAUGAACUCAUAUUCGUUUCUUCAUGAUACUCAACACUUCUAUCGCUUCUGUUGACUAAGUAAGGUUCUUUUUAUUAGUCUUCAUGCACACUUUGCCUCCUAACCUCUAUUUUUUCGAUCUCUAACCACACAACCUGUCAUCUACCACUGAAUAAUGCAUCCCGAAACCUUUCUGAUUAACAACUGCCACAGCUCCUUCUCGUUCAUAGAGUUGGGGAAAUUAGAAAAAUGAAAAGUAUAACAAAAUAUGAUCCAUUGAUUUACACGAUCUACUAAACUUCCUUCCUUCUCUUAAUUGAUCGAUCUUUGUAGAAGAAAUUUGCCAUCCUCCCUCCUGGUUGCACUGUUUCUUACCUGAUUGAAAUCUUUUCAUAAAGAUUCCCCUGUUAUUGGAUUGAAGAAAGCUCACUCAUACUCCUAAUAACACCUAUCAAAUUCCCCUGAAGCAAUCUGGUAAGCCUCCUGAUGAAACAUGAAACUUCUGUAUAUAUAACUUCCUCUUUCCAACAGAAUUAGCCAUAGAAACACAGUAGUCCUACGUAUUGGGUACAGAAACGAUUGAAAUAAUAUUAAAACUGGAAUUNNNNNNNNNNNNNNNNNNNUAAUAGGAGACACUGAAAAUGGUGUGCUAUAAUAAACAAAUCAAUGAAACACGUUGCUAUUUCUUGCAUUUAAACCUUAAGAGUCAGUCAAAGAUGGUAUUCAUGAGCAUUCAAACCUUGAAAAUGAAUCAAAGCACGCAUAUAGGCACACAAGUCCCUGGUCUAUUGCAUAGAAUCUGUGAAAAGAAUUUAGCAUGCUCUUCAAAGUUAUUGAAACAAAGAAACAAACAAGACUAAAUUACAAAAAUCGUCUCUAUGUUAUAUUACUUUUUAUGCGUAUGGUCAAGUCGAUGGAUUUAAUGGACGGGCAACCAGGGACUAAAAGUGUGACCAAAUGUUGGUUUAGGGAUGGAAAAGGUAAAUGAUGAAACUAUCAGACCAUAUCGAUCGCAUUUUCAACUUAUUUUGUUAUUAGGACAUAAUACUUUGAAGAAUCUAUCCAAUUAUAAUAGUGAAACUUGCAUUGUAUCGGGAUGAUAUUGCUACAAUUAAUAGGUUUUCAAAGUAUAUUGCGGUAAUACGCAUGAAUGAAAUUAGGAUGCUAUUAGAAAACAGAUCAAAAUUUUGUUUCUUAGAUUUAGCCCUAAUUAGUAAAAUGAAAAACUUGAAUUGUUUGAGAUAUAAACAAGAUACAAAUUACACAUACUCGACAUUUUAAAAUGAACAGGUUACAACACAUUAAAUAACAAUGUGAUAUGCAUUUAUACCACUUAUCAAUUGGUGAGUCCUCAAAGACACAUUCUUUCUGAACAUCAAUGCUAUAACUAACUGUUACAUUUUUCAAAGUAAAAUGCCCUAAGAAAGAAACGGAAGUACCUUGCUAUCAUCAUAAAACCAAAGUCAUUUGAAGUUGCUAAAAGGUUUGGUAUGUAUAAAUAGUCCCGUGCUUCAUUAGAAGAAUUGGAACUUACCAGUGGAUUUACAAGAAGGAAUUGAGAUUAUAGAAAACAUUACAUAAAUAGUCCCAUGCAUCAUUGGAAGUCAUAUAUAGGUUAAAUCAUUAACUUUUUUCCUUGAUGAAAAUGGUCUUUGUGGUUUCAAUUCCUUACAUGGUUUGUUUCUAAUCCAUAUAAAAUGAUAUCUAUAUAUACCAUUUUAAUAGAUUUAUCUUUUUUUUUUUACUUAAUUUUAUUUUUUAAUAUGUUAACAUUGAGGGACCCACCAUACCAAACAGUUCACACACCUAUGUUCACCAGAAAGAUUACCAAAGUUAUAUUCAAGCUUAGAAAAUUACAAGAAAUUAAGGUUGUAUACAACAGUAAGAAUAAAAAAAAAAACUCCAACAAGAAAGAAACUAUCUCUUUUCUGAUCAUUUUGAGGUCUCUAAAAAUCUGAAAGCUGCAUAACUUUCAGAUUAUUGGGUUCAUCGGUAACAGAAUAUCUAAAAUUUGUUGUAGAAUAAUUUGUAUCACAAUAAAAGUGGUGCAUCAAGUUGCAGGUAUAAUUAUCUUAUUCCACUUACUAAAAGCAUGGAAAUGGAAUAUUUGGUUUAUAAAAAGAGUCCCAGAAGAAUAUACUAUAUAGCUCAGAUAAAAAUCUCCCCAAUCACCUGGAUAGACAAUACCAUAUGAACCAAUGUAAAAAACAGCAUAAGCAUUUCAUCAAAUACCUUGACUACGUGAUGUAAGAUGACCACAUUCGCCAAAAAAACACAAUGAAAGAAGGAAAAUUUUAGGAACAUAAUCAAGUAUAACAUUCUAAAGAUUGAGAACUGAAUUAAAAAAACAUCAUCAUAAUAAUAAUAAUGAAAUAAACCAAAACAAAGACAAUGUAACUUGAAAGAUUUAUAUAAAGCUCUGUUAUAUCUACUGACGGAAUAAGAAAUUGAGGAGGAGGAUGAUGGAAGUACAAGAUCUAACCAUGACAAAUGAACAAUGAGCGUUGGUUUGGAGAUGUUUCUGUCUAAUUUCCAAUACGGGUGAUUUUAAGAAGGCCUUCGAACACCUCACAUUAUUUCUUAUUCAAAUUUUGAUCCGGAAUGUCUAAUAAAGAUACCAUGGAAAGAUGAUCCGUUAGAAACAAUAAAUGUGGCUCUCGGAGCAGCGCGGUGGAGCAACUGAGCGCAAUAUGAAGCAUUGCCCUCGACCACUACCAGAAGUCAGGAAUUGAGUUUGAUUGUGCUUCUAGCCCUUGAACAUCGCUAUCUGAAAUUGGGAAUUGGGGACGAAUUUCAGGGAGAAAUUAGAAUUGAAGCAACGUCAGAAUGUGGGAUCGUGGAAAAAUAUACUUCACCUGUGUGAGAGCGAGGCGAGAGUGUUGCCGAUUCAACAAUGUUGUAACAUGAUAUUCAUUAUUUAGUAGGUUUGGUUCACGAUUAUUUUGGAUGGAAUUUGAAUUUGUUAAACAAAUUGAAAUUCAUUAAUUAGAUUUAGAAUUUGAAGGAAUUAAUCCAUGUUAUGUCUUUGGUUGGUAAAAAGUGAGAUGAAAUUUUAAUUUAUAAACAAAGGGUAAAAUGGAAUCUUUUUUCUCAUUGAACACCUUUAACAAAUAACAUAAAUCAUCCUUAACCAUUGAGGCCUAAAUUACCAAAUAGCCCUUAAAUUUAUAAAUGGAUACUCACAUAAAUGACUAUUAAGUAGGGGUGAGCAAAAACCGAACCAUCAAAACCAAAAGAAACCGCAAUUGACCAACCGAAACCAAUGCAAAAAACCUUUGGUGCGGAUUUAAUUUCUACAAAAACCGAAGUUAUCGGUGUGGUGCGGUUUUUAUCAAAAAACCGGUCCACCAAAACUGAACCGCACCAAAGACAUAUAAAUAAUAAAUUAUUAAUUUCUAUUAUAUACAUAAUUAUAUAUCACAUGUUAUUUGAAAAAGUAAUAAAUACUAAUGUAACUUUGACGAUAGGUUUAAUAAUUUAAUCAUAUUCGAGAGCAUUUAAAAGAAGUCUCAUUGUUCCCUUCUUCCUUUCCUGAUCUUGUGUUAGACGAAAUCAAUGUUUGUUUAAUUGUGUUUGUGGAACCAUAGAAAUGUGUUUAGGCGGAGGCCACUGUAAGUUUUUUUAACACGUUAAUGGUAUGACAUAAAUAGGUUUUACUAGAUUGUAUGACAUAAAUUGUUUUUUUUCCUACAAAACUUAAUUAAUAUGUUUAUUUAUCAAUGCUUUUGUAGUUUUGUAUAUAUAAAAAAGAACUUGUUUUACAAAAGGCUAUGACAUAAAAUCAUAAAUGAUUGUUUAAAAAAUACGUUGUUUAAAAAACAAAAAAAAAGUUGUCCAUAUGUUGGCUAUUUAGUUAAAAAUUGGCUAAAUUAGUUUCAAAAUAUGGCACCAGGCAAGAAUUAAGAAUUAUUGGACUUGCAUAGUUACAAAAAAACCUGACCCAUAACAGCAAAAACCGCACCAAUACGUAUACCAGAUUUAAAACUGAAACCGCACCAUUUAAACCGAAACCGCAUGAUAAAACCGCAAAACCGAACCAAUGAAAAACCGCACACGUUGGUUUUAGUUCUACAAAACCUCACCUUGCAUUUAGCGGUUCAGUAUUGCCCUAAAACCCCACCAAACCACACCAUACUCACCCUAGUAUUAGGAGCAAAGUUAUUAUCCUAAAAGAUUUGUACGACCAUUUUCUUGGCAGCACAUGACACAUGAAGUAUAUGAUAACUACAAAAGGGUCAAUGGCCUAGCGGUAUGGAGUGACCGUCUCAUAUGAGAGGUCAGGAGUUCAAGUCUCAGUGGAGACAUAGGUGGUUAUUUAGUAGUAGAUUAGUUAGUUUGCCGUUUCAAAUAAAAAAAGUAUAUGGUAACUUGAUGUGAAAAACGAAUUCUUUUAUGAGGAGGUUGAGUGAUAUACUUUAGAACAACCCCAAAGUUUUAUUUCACAUCUGUUUUUAGGAUAUGUUGAUAAGUUUGCAAGAUUUAUCUUUAUUUCAUACGAGAAGUUAUCUUUUAUUAUUAUUUAAGAUUAGUAUGUAACACCGGUCAAAAUUAGGUCAAAGAUAAUUCCCAUAAAUAUAAUUAACACACAUUAUAAUCAAUUUACUUUAAUAUUUAAUGAUAUUUUCAUUCAACACUACAAGUCUAAACGAUUCCAAAAAUAUAUAGAACGUCUAAAUCUGACUUCGCAUGAAGAAGUUAUGAUAAAUUCUAUCACUAUAGUAUUUGUAACAAGUGGAAUUUAAAAUAGACUUAGAAUUAGCUAUUGGAAUCUAGAAGAAAGUUGUAGUACUCGGAAAUACUAACGCGUGGAUAAAAGAACAUCAAAAAUGAAGUUCGUAUACAAAAGUUAUGACCUUCCGAAGAUGCAGUUGUCUAAGUGCAUGACACGUGGUAGAAACCCUAGCCGCCAUGGUUCACGACGUGAACAUUAAUUCCACGACGUGAAACGUGUCAGGGGCACUAAUCGGGGCUAGAAAACACGUGUUAAAGCUACGGGGUGACUCAUGGAUGUUCACGACGUGACCCUAGGCAUGUCACGACGUGAAUGUGCCAAAAUCAGCCUAUAAAUAGCGAUCAAGACCCUUUCAUUCCUUACACCUUCUACUUUUCUCUCCCUCAUUUUUCGUAGGUUGUUUCCCUUCUCGAGCCUGACAACGACGAGCCUUUGACCGUUUAGAUUCUAUAGAUCACGCUACUAGGGUGAGUUUCACGACCCCACUUUUUAAUAUUUUCGGGGAAAAACACAUGCUAAAUAUUGUAUAUAAGUUAAUAUUAUAUCUAUAUGAUAGUAUAUUCGUAUCAACAAAACUAGUUAUAUUAACUUGGAUAUAGUUGUUUUAAAUAUGAUAUUUUGAAAAUAUACAACUAUUAUCAACUUGUUAGCAUGUUACUGUACUNAUAUAUAUAUAUAUAUGUUAUGUGUGAUAUAGUUUCGGAGUUAUACUCGAAAGUUCUAUAUACAAAUUACUAAGUAUGUUUCUAUUGUUGGUUUUAUGUCAAGAUAAAACCUAGUUUUACCUCAAGUUAUAGCUGUUAUACUACCUAAAUAUUAUGAAAUUAGGAGUAAUGCUUAAAAGCAUUGUCUAGUAAGUUAGGGUUUUAGACACGAAUAUGCUGUUGUUGUUAGAGCUAUAGGAGUCGUUGAAGUCUACAUGAGCUAUUGUAUUCAUCAACUAAGAUUGGAAAUCUUAGGGAAAAUCCUCUGACCUGUAAACGUUAAUCCCGAGCGAGCGAGGAAGUCAUGUAUGAAUAAGAUACAGGUUGACAACCCCACUUGUGUUUGUUAGCUACAACCAAAUUUAAACGAGUGACGAACUGUCCUUUUAUUUGUUAAUUGUUCCCACGUUUAUGAAGCGUGUGGAACUUAUCUUAAGAUGCGAAACUUGUAGCAUCAAGCAGAGGUUUGAAACUAGGCAUACAGCCGCGGUUACGGACUUAUGGUAGCAUUAUGCAAUUGAGACCAAUUCAUAGAUUAAUAAUCUUCAAUAGAUGUUGUUUUUGGGUAAAUUCUAUGUUAAUAACAAAUUAUUGCAUUUUGGAAAACAAUAUGAAAUUGUUUAAGCAUAUUGCUUGAUUUUACGAAAUCUUAUUGAUCGAUUCAUUCUUUGGAUAGAACCAAGCAACAUGUUGAGAAUGCUUACAUUGCUUCAAGAAUUUGGGAGAGAUGUGUCACUAGGAAUCAUUAAUACUGUUGAAUCAAGAAAAUGUAACAUAAACUUUUACAAUUUUCUUAAUUUUCCUUGAUCUGUAGGGUGAGGCGGAAUCUUGAAGGUCUCAUCCUUCACAUGCAAAGGAUUGAGAAAGAGAGGCUACAUGGCUGGCAUGAAUAGAAAAUAGAUGCAUUCGGAAAAUGGUUAGCCUAAUGCUAUUGCAAACUUAUUAUAUCCUACUUUUCCAGAAGAAUUAAGAUAAUAUAUACCAGCUGCCUCUACUGCAAAAUUAAACACAUUUGGAAUCAUAUGCUAUUUCCCCAUGAUUCUUUUAAGCAUAGUUAUCAAAAUUAAAUACUUCUCGAAUUAUGUGCUAUUUUCCUGAUCAUAAUUUGAACUAAAAUCUUGGUCUCAGUUAUUACCUUAUCAACAAUGCAAUCGUGUCUAUGGACUCAAAAUCUUAAAUCCUUGAUAGGAUUUUAUAAUUUAUUUGGGUACUAUGUAAAAUUCGCGUGCUACACCUUAAUAAUAUUUUUAGACUCUGAUUCUGAAAGAUGAGAAUUCUCAUAUCAUUUGUUUUAUUAUUAUUAUUUUAGGAGCAACACUUUUAGGUCGCCUCUUUUUCUUCACAUCACAAGAUAGUAAAGUAAUAGUAUCAUAUAUUAAUUUAUAUAUCUUAUCUUUACUGUCCUCUAUAUUUUUAUUAUUACUAGUUGUUGUUGCCAAAAGAAUAUCAUAUUCUCAUUUAUUUUCAUUUUCCAGUUCAUCUUGAUAUCCUAUCAAGUCAUCAGUGGUGUUUUUGCAACAAAGUUAGACUCCAAAAUCUGGUCAUUUGAGGCUGAAAAUAAAUCAUCUACAUCAAGUUAUCAGUAUUCUUUUUGCACUGCUCUGAAAAAGCAAAGUAUGAAACUGUUGGACCAAAUUUAUAAAAAGAUAAAACACAGGGAUGAUUUUUGUAAUUUAGUCAACAAAUAAUUACUUGCAGAAGUAAAGGCAAAGUACCACUUCAUGAAGCCCUUUCUACACCAAAACACCUGCUUCAAAAACUAGCAAUGUACUUUCAUUAUUGUUGUUAUAGAAUUCUACUUCCAUUUCUUUCUAUUACAUCAAUGUAUUUUAUAUAUUUUUUUUCUUAUGAAAGCAUUAUACAUUGAAAUAUCUACCCAAUAAAAGCAUUGCAUUUUCAACUUAUUUUAUUAUUAGGGCACAAUACUUCAAAAACUAGCAAUGUACUUAACAACCAAUUUGGAUUGUCAUAUUGCAAUUCUCAAGCACACAUACAAACAAUCACGACUGUGUUGCUUGGAUAAUCCUUAGUCUACAUCUUAAGUCUUAAGAUAGAAAUGGCUUACAUCCUUUAAACCCUAAAAGCCAGUUUAUCACAAAUUAUCAAGCCAAAAUCAUUCAAUUGUGGUAAAAGUUAAUACAUGUUUCUGGUUAUUGAACUCAUUUGCUUCACACAUAUAAACUCUUGAUUGAUGGAAAUGCGUAUAUAAGUAAGGACUUUAAUUUACUCAAUAGCAAUCACGAUUCUCAACCAUCAUAUAGGAAAAUUGUUUUUUUUUUCAAACGCAGCUUUGGAUUUCGAAGAACAAAUAACAAUAAUGCUAGUAGUUGACUGAAUUUUACCGAGAGAAGUAUAUUUGUUAAUAGGUCACGCAUUUCGCAAUUCGUCAUUUAGAUGUUGAGCCUCGACUGACCUGGUUUUGUAGAAUAGCAAAUGACUUGAGAUUACGCAACUUCGGAUCCACUUCCUUAUAUUUCACAUCCGACUCGUCUCCCUUGGUUUCGUUGGGUGAAAGAAUUGUUACGAGAAGAAAUGGAAUUAGCCAAUUGAAUAGAAAGAAUUGAAAUUCAGGAGAAAAUUAGGUAAAUGGUCCCUUGCAUUACAAAAAGUCAUAAAUUAGUUAUUAAAUUAUUGUCAUUAACAUUUUUUGUGAUAAAAAUACACAAGUGAUCCUUGUGGUUGGUAGAAAAUACAAUUGGAAGUCUCUUUGAGGAAUUUUUAACAUCUUUUGGGCCUCCAUAAUGCUUCCCACUCAUUCUCAUUGACGCAGAACGAAAGCAAAAAUAAAGAAAAACUCAAAGUGUUUUAUUACUGGAAUUCCAAUUCUUCCCUUAAACAUAGAGGCUCAAACCCCUGAUUAGGUUUUGCAAUUAAAUAGUGGCAACACCAUGGCGAUAUAUGCCACAUUGUGACGCCAACUUAAUGCCACGAUAACUCUUGCCUUGGAUAUGUUGUGGGACUCCCUCACCACGUUGUGGCCAUAAGAGAUCCAACUUUCAAUUUAUCAAAAUUACAAAAAGGAGCAUUUCCGAAGAAGUUAUGAGUUGAUGAAAGCGUAGAGUUUGUCACACCCCCAAACCAGAACGGCGUAAACGUUCGGGGGCGGAGGACGUCAUGUUCAAUAUCAUAACAGUUCAUAGAAAGGAAAGUACACACCACCAUAUAUAAUAAGUUUGCAAGAUGUUUACAUAGUUGUAUUCAUUACAUGUUCAAAAUAAAGGUACAUAAACAUCAUUCAAAAUGAAGUAAUUAACGCCAGCGCGUUAAUCCCAAAAGUUGAUUCCCAACCUGCUUAGCGAUUUCCUGAGAAUACAAGUUAUUUCAAAGAAAAAGUGUCAACAAUUAAGUUGGUGAGUCCAUAAGUAGUUUAGAAAAAUUGGAUGCCAUUCCAAAAUGGGUGUAUGUUUUCCAGUAAACGUAGCGUUUCAAAAUGUAAAGAGUUAUGAUUUGUGGUGUUGGAAAUGAAUGCAUUAGCUCCAGAAAAUCCCAUAUUUUCCUUAAUAGUCGAAAUACGAUUUGUUGUGUUUUCCAAGAAAAACCCUUAUUUUCUUAUAAAAGUAUGAGAUGUAUAUAGUUGUUCAUGUUAUAAGUUGUAAAUGAUUGCACCGGGAAAAUCCCUUAUUUUCCUAUUAGUUGUUUGGUUUGUAUGCAGGAAAAACCCUUAUUUUCCUCACACAUAAUGCCAGUCUCUAAGACCGAAAAUUGCAAGAAACCGACGUUUCUCGUAAGUGUGUCAUAGUUUUAUAUAUAAUAAAACUACGCGAAGACCGAACCGGUUGGAUGAAGAAUAGUUUUAAUAACUACUCGCUCAUCAAAACUGAAUAUCAUAGUAAUUGUAUAUCCGAUGAGUUUCUAUAACCAUACUAAACAUAAUAUGCCUGUAACGACGUUCUUCAGGCGUCGCAGUGCUAUGACAACUGUCACCCCAAAAGACGGACUGUAGCUAACAGUCAGGGUGCGGGAUCAUGACUUCCCGUAUAGAUCUAUACACAUUUGACACGUUCUCGUCACGGGAGAUUCUGGUUAUAGACAGGACUUACUGCAGUACUUUCUAAUAAAGAAAAGUAACGUUUGAAGAUGUACGCGUCUCAUGGAUUCUCAAUUAAGUCUAUAUUAAAGUGAUAGUUUUGUAUGCAAAGUUUAUCUUUUUUUCAAAAUGUUUGAUAAAGCAAAAUCAUAAGUUUUUAGAAUGUAUAAAACGAUUUAACAAUGAAAGAUCAUUAUAUGCUUCGUAUAAGUCUAAUGCACACAAAGUAUGACAAGAGUUUUCCAUAAUAGUAAUGAGUUCCAAGUGGUUUAUUUGAUAAUAUAAGUGAAGUGAAACUUUAUAAAAUACACGAUAAUAACCGUAUGUUUACUUGUAUUCCCCCCCUAAAAGAGUGUAAAAGUAUUUAAAAAUGUAUUUAAAGUGUGUUAGAAAGGGGUAUGAACUCACUUGACAACUUGAAGAUGGCGAGAUGGAAAAACGGCAGAGUUUCGUCUCGGGAAAUGGAUUUUCCUCGGAAAUCUCGGGAUUCCUCGGGAGAAAAUCGACCUUCGGAUCUUGCACGAAGCGACCAGGGCUUCGGGGUAGUACGAGCACGGAAAACGAGGAAAAACGCAAGAGAAAUGAGAGAGAAUGAGCCCUUUCUUUGGAAACCUUCGUAUGCUAUUUAUAGAGAGGCUGGUCUGCCUCAGUACGCGGGGCGUACGCUAGUACGCGGGGCGUACGCUAGUACGCAGCGCGUACGCGUACGUCACGCAUGACCGAGGCCUCGACUGCCUCGGCUNUGGGUCGGAUGGGACGCCGGGUCGGAUGGGACGUCGGGUCGGACGGGUCGGACGGGUCGGCUUCCUCGGAUAUGGCGACGUGGACGAUCCGAGGCCAAUCCUCUCGGUUACGCGGGGCGUACAGGAGUACGCAGCGCGUACUUCGGAGAAGGACGCUGACUCCUCUUCGGAUAAUAUCCGAAUUUUGAAUAAAAAUUAUAUAUAAAUUAAUUAUCAAACUUCAAAAAUUCAUAUCUCCCUCAUACGAACUCCGUUUUUGGCGUUCUUUAUAUCCCCGCGAAGGUGAGACUACGAUCUACAACUUUCAUUUAGAUUCCGUUGGCAAAUUCCGAAAUUAUUUUUAUUAUUUAUUUAUUAAAGUGACGUGUUUAAGGAAUUUCUUUAAAAAUUCAUAACUUAUUCAUAUGAUGUCCGAUUUGAGCGUUCUUUUUAUGCAUGUUUGUAGUUUAACGAUAUCUAUCACUUUCAUUUAGACACCUAAGGUCAGAAAAUGUUUUAUUGAAACUUUGCGUUUUUACGUAACUUUGUAUUGCUGGUUUUUGUCGGAAAACUUAUAAUGAGCAUAACUUCUUCGUUAUAACUCGGAUUUUUGUGUUAUUUAUAUGUUUGGAAACCUUAAGAUGAUAACUACCACAUAGUGUACUCCAAAUAGAGUUUUUGAAUACUUCAUAUUCUAUUUCCUUUCUCAAGGAGGUUACAUGACUCGAUCUUUACUGACAUGAAAUAACGGGUUGUUACAGAGUUUCUCAUUGCCUUUUCAUCGAUAUAAGGAUUGUCGCACAUCGUACAAGUUGAGUACACCCCGCGUACUCAUCAGGAAUGGAUUCCGGUGUUUGGGCUUCGGUUUGGGCCAUCUUUUGUGUUUAGUUGCUUUAGGCCAUAUUGCGUGUGACAUCCCAAAAAUCUCGGCCAGAAAAGACCGAUUUUCAUUUAUGCUUUUAAAAUAAUUUCAGAGUAAAUCCUUUUGAUUUGAAAGAGUUGCGGAAUUUGUUCCCAAAAACAAAACGUGAUAAAAUAAUAUUUACCAAAGCAUUUCAUAAAAGAAAUGUAUUUUCAUUAUAUAAUCAAAACUCGGGAUGUCAUGUUCCGAUACAGACCAUAAAGCAUAAACGAUGACAUUACAAGUCAUUCAACAAAUAUAUACAUAUACAGACUUUUAAACAAAACAACUUGAUGGUUCAUCCAUCUUAUGCCCUUGCACCACUUCCUGUAAUACAAAUAAAACUGAGUGGGUCAGGCGUGGGAGCCUGGUGAGCAUAUAGGGUUUUCAACCCACAAUAAAUAAUUAUAUUUAAUUCCACCAAUCAACAAUAACCCAAUUACCCAUUCCCAUUAUUCUCACUUUACGUCCCUAAAACAACUAACACAAGGGACCCUAGUCUUAGAAUAUUUGAUCGGGGCAACAACACAUGCAUUCGGGGGUUUCCCGACAAUAUAUGUCAAACAAGGCAACCGUGAGGGGGAUGGAGUACAGCGAAUGAACACCCAAGUUCAUUAAGACCUACAGGUGGCGAACCUGCUAGCGUUCCACAGGACUUUCUAGAAAAGUCUGUGGUCGUCAUCUAAACUCCGUUAGAUGACUGAAUCAAAACAACAACGAGGCCUCUCAUCUGUUUAUUACACACCAACUAUCUACCCAUGUUCUACCCAACAUAUUAGUAGAUAAAAACAUACAUUUUUAUACAUAGUUUAAAAACCUGUAUAGCAUGCUUUAAUCAAUACAUAUUCCAAAACAACAGAUGAGACACAUACACAUAACACGUAUUUCAUUGAGAAUAAAUCAUAUCUAUGAGAUAGAAGAAAGUGAAUAUACAUUCUCGCAUAUAACAAGAAAAUGUACACAUAACACGUAUUUUAUAUUAAAUACUUAAUAAUUAUGCGUUAGAAGAAAGUAACCACACACUCACCUGAUCAGAAGAUGAUCGGACAGCACUACGGCUUGCAGAAGUAGUAAUCCUCAACAGAUCUGGAGGAUCUCAACAGAUCUGGAGGAUCUCGAGAAUCGCACUUCUUGGGAUCCCGGGAGCAUGAAACUUCCUUUUUAAUUUGGAUAUGAGGUUCGGGGUGUCGGGAUGGCUUCGGGGGUUUAUGCGCAGAGUUUCGGCACAAAGAGGAGAAGAAAUGAGCAAAAAUACCCGGAACCCUCGCAUCCUAUUUAUAGGAGGUUGAGGCCUCGUCGUACGCUGGGCGUACAGCCUUACGCGGGGCGUAAGCCGCCGAAUUCGUCACUGCAUGCAUCAUCCGAAGAACUCGAGUGCGAGGUGCAUCAUGCUUCGCGGUACACUGAUCAUUGAUUCCUUCGGAUAUACAUCCGAAUUAAAGAUUAAAUUUAAAUACUAAUUAUUUAAUAAACUUCGGAAAUUCAUAUCUUCUUCAUACGAACUCUGUUUUCGACGUUCUUUAUAUCCACGCUUAGGUGAGACUACAUUCUACAACUUUCGUUUAGACUUCGUCUGCUAAUUUUGAAUUUAUUUAUAUUAUUUAUUUUUAGUAGGCCCGGACAGGAAAACUUCGUUAUAAAUUCAUAAUUUCUUCGUUUGACGUCCGUUCUCGCCUAACUUUUUAUCGUUUUACUACAAUUAAUGAGAUCUCCGAUUCUCAUUUAGAUUGUUUCGGCUAAAAACCGCUCGGUCUCAAAUUGAGUAUUCGGGCUGCAUACCGCUAAGUCAAAACUUCGAAAAAUUAUAACUUCCUCAUACGAAGUCAGAUUUUGGCGUUCUUUUUAUGCACGCUCUCGGUUUAACGAACUCUACGACUUUCGUUUAGAUUACUAAGGCUAAAUAUCGCUCUAACGUAAAUUUCACUUUUUACGUCAUUCAGCGUUUGUCGGUUCUGUCGCGAAACUUCGACAGGUUAUAACUUCUUCGUUAUAACUCGGAUUUCGACAUUCCUUAUAUCUCCGGAAUCCUUGUUUCGAGCACUACAACCUUAUGUAAAGAUAUUGAGUUUAUUUUACACUUAAAUUUUGACGCUUAUUUUAUUCUUAAUUAAUCAAAUCACAUAAUUAAGCAAUUAAGCACAAAACACAUAAUACUCAAAUAAUUCAUCAUUAAUACUUCAAAAAGAGUUACAAGGGUUAACCUAGACUAUUAAAUCAAUGAAAAUGCCUAGCCUGGAAACGCAGGCGUUACAAUUCUCUCCCUCUUAGGAUGAUUCCAUCCCCGGAAUCACACAUCAACAAACAAAUGCGGAUAGCGACUCAACAUGUCACUCUCCGUUUCCCAGGUGAGAUUUGACCCAUUCGUAUGUUUCCAACGGACAAGCACUAAUUCGACCAUCUUGCAUCGAAGCUUCUUAGUCUUUCGGUCAACAAUUGCCUCAGGUUCUUCAAUUAACCUCUUGUUUUCAUCAAUUCUCAAUUCAGAAAUUGGAAUUAUAUCGGGAACUUCUCCCGUGAACUUCCUCAAAUAACACACAUGAAAAGUGUUGUGAAUUCCAUUCAGUUCUUCGGGUAAUUCGAGCUUGUAAGCUUGGUUCCCAAUCCUCUGAAGAACUUUAAACGGUCCAAUAAACCUUGGACUCAACUUUCCCCUUUUACCAAAUCUUAUAAGUCCCUUCCACGGCGAGACUUUAAGCAAAACCGAAUCUCCAACCUCAAAAGUCAUCGGUCUUCGCUUCUUGUCAGCAUAGCUCUUUUGAUGAUCUUGAGCUGCUAACAUCCUUUCCCUAAUCACUUUCAACUUCUCAGCAGUUUGAUGGACCGUCUCGGGACCCAUAAACUGUUUUUCCCUAGCCUCAAGCCAACAAGACGGCGUACGACACUUUUAUCCGUACAAAGCUUGAUAAAGUGCCAUCUUUAUGCUUGAGUGGAAACUAUUGUUGUAGGAAAAUUCUACCAAAGGUAAAUAUUCAUCCCAAUUACCUAGGAAUUCUAGGGUACAUGCUCUUAGCAUAUCUUCAAGUGUUUGUAUUGUUCUUUCACUCUGACCAUCAGUCUGCGGAUGGUAAGCUGUACUUAAACAUAACUUGGUACCCAUUUCCUUUUGUAGACUUUUCCAAAAUCUUGAGGUGAAACGGCUAUCACGAUCCGAUACAAUCGUUAACGGAACACCGUGAAGCCUCACAAUUUCCUUCACGUAAGAAUUCGCAAGCUUUUCCAUAGACCAUUUCUCCUUGGCCGCUAUGAAAUGCGCACUCUUAGUGAAUCGAUCAACGACCACCCAAAUCAUGUCGUGACCAUUCUUUGUUCUGGGCAGUUUAGUGACAAAAUCCAUAGCAAUGUCUUCCCACUUACCCAUAGGCACAGGCAAAGGUUCUAAACUCCCGUACGGUUUCUGAUGUUGUGUCUUGACUCUCGCACAAGUCACACACUCGGCCACAUACUUUGCAACAUCAAGCUUCAUCGUCGGCCACCAGUAGUAGGGUUUCAGGUCCCUAUACAUUUUAGUGCUACCCGGAUGAAUCGAGUACAUGGUCUUGUGAGCUUCUUCCAUCAGAAGAUCCCUAAUUCCUCCUGACUUAGGUACCCAAAUACGAUCUUGGAAUACCUUCAGUCCAUGACCGUUUGUACCAAACACCAACGUUUUACCCAAACGUUCCUCCUUCCGGUCAUUCUUCUCAGAAGCUUCCUCUUGAGCUCUCUUUAUACUCUCCACAAUUGUCGAGACAACUUCUAUUUUCAAUGCUCUUGGCCUUUUCCUUUCAACAUUGACUUUACGACUAAGACCAUCAGCAACAACAUUAGUUUUACCGGGAUGGUAAAGUAUCUCACAGUCGUAGUCCUUGAGUAACUCUAGCCAGUGUCAUUGCCUCAUAUUCAAUUCUUUCUGAUUAAAGAGAUAUUGGAGACUCUUAUGAUCAGUGAAAAGUUUGCACUUCAUGCCAUAGAGGUAAUGCCUCCAUAUUUUUAGAGCAAAAACUACCGCUGCCAACUCCAAAUCAUGAGUCGGGUAGUUCUUUUCAUGCUCUUUUAGCUGUCGAGAUGCAUACACGAUCACGUUAUCUCUUUGGGUCAAAAAACAACCCAAUCCAACUCCAGACGCAUCGCUAUAAAUAGCGAAGUCUUCAACUCCAUCGGGUAGAGAAAGAAUCGGUGCCUCGCAUAACUUCUUCUUUAGCUUCUCGAGUGCUUCUUUAUGCUUAUGACUCCAAGCAUAAGUAGCUCCUUUGUGGGUCAAAGCUGUCAAUGGACUAGCGAUCGAAGAAAAGCCUUGGAUAAACCUUCGGUAAUAUCCGGCUAAUCCUAAAAAGCUUCGGAUCUCCGUGGGACUUUUCGGUUGUUCCCACUUCAUUACAGCUUUAAUCUUUGCAGGAUCAACCAUUAUCCCUUCUUGGUUGAUCACUUGACCCAAGAAUUGGACUUCACGAAUCCAAAAUCACAUUUGGAGAACUUUGCAUACAACUUCUCCUGCUUCAAAACUUCUAACACUUCUUGCAAGUGUCUGCCAUGCUCCUUAUGGCUUUUCGAGUAAAUCAGAAUGUCAUUUAUGAACACUAUCACGGAUUUAUCAAGGAACGGAUUACAAACACUAUUCAUUAAAUCCAUGAAUGCUGCUGGAGCAUUGGUUAGUCCAAACAACAUAACCAAGAACUCAUAGUGUCCAUAUCGUGUUCUGAACGCAAUCUUCUCGAUAUCCUGCNAUCCUGACCUAAGAUCGAUCUUCGAGAAAUAGCUCGAACCUUGCAAUUGAUCAAACAGGUCAUCAAUCCUCGGCAACGGAUAUCUAUUCUUUAUUGUUGCCUUGUUCAGCUCUCUGUAAUCGAUGCACAUUCUCAUACUUCCAUCUUUCUUCUUUACGAAUAACACCGGAGCUCCCCAGGGCGAUGAACUAGGUCUAAUGAAACCUUUGUCCAAUAACUCCUGAAGUUGCAUCAUCAGCUCCUUCAUCUCCGUCGGUGCUAAUCGAUAAGGUGCUUUUGCUAUUGGCGUGGUUCCUGGUAACAAGUCAAUUCUGAACUCCACUUGUCUAUCAGGUGGUAAUCCAGGAAGAUCUUCGGGAAAUACUUCUGGAUAAUCACACACCACUGGAAUACUCUGCAUCACCUUCUUUUCCUUCUUAGCAUCAAUCACGAAUGCUAAAUAUGAUGUACAUCCCUUGGUCAAACACUUUCUGGCUUUCAUUAGGGAAAUGAUUCCAGAAUUUACUCAGCGUUUGUCCCGAAACACCAUAAACGAAUCUUUCCCAGGUGGGUUUACUUUAACUAUCUUCUUCUUGCAUAAAAUUUCGGCAUCAUUGGCGCUAAGCCAAUCCAUUCCCAGAACGACGUCGAAACCAUUAAGUUUGAUAGGAAAUAAUUCAUCGUGAAACUUAUUCCCAUUAAGGUCGAUUAAGAUGUUUUUCAUACGAUGGCUAACAGGUACAAACUUGCUACUAGCAACUUCGACUAAUAAAGCAUUAUCUAGUCUAUCAAUAGGCAAAGCUAUUUUUCUACCAAACUCAUGCGAAAUAAAGGAGUGGUUGGCUCCAAAAUCAAACAAAAUUUGAGCAGGUAAUUCGUUUACGAGAAAGGUACCUGAAGCGACAUCAACUUUAUCUUUAGCAGCCUCAAGUGUCAUUUGGAAGGCUCUCGCCUUCGGCUUUGGUGGAAUGUUGGGCUCAGCUGCCUCCUUCUUCUUCGGACAGUCUUUCAAAAUGUGCCCCUCUUCAUUGCAACCAAAACACAUCCUUUUGUUGGACGAACACUCAUUGGCAAAAUGCCCAAUUUUUCCACACUUGUAGCAGGUUACAUCCUCACUACACUUCCCAAAGUGCUUUUUCUUACACUUAUCACACCAUUUCGCUUCGCAUCCUUUUCCUCCAAACUUUUUCGAAUCAGAUUUCGAAAAAUUGCUUCUCUUACCGGAACCAGAUGUUCCCUCAAACUUUCUCUUCUCACCAACCUCAACCUUGUCGGUGGUUCUCCCCUUAAUCAUGUUCUCAACAGACUUGACAUCCCAAAUAGCUGCCUCUAGAGCAGGUGCCUAACAAACUGGCACUGCGUACUCCCAUGAGAGUCCCUUUGCAUACCGGUCAACCUUUGUUAACUCAUCUGGAACGAUGCGCAAAGCAAACUCCAUCUUAUCGGUAAAGUUAUUAGUGUAUUCAUCAACUGACAUGCUGCCUUUCGUUAAUGUUAGAAACUUGUUCAUCAACUGAGCCGAGCAGAACUUGCGCUUGAACUGCACCAAGAAUUCUGCCCGUGUCAAUUGCAGUGGCUCAUUAGGGCUUAAAGUCUUCCCUAGAGUGUUCCACCAACGAACGGAUCCACCUCGGAACUGACGUACUGCGAACGNCCCUCCCCCCCCACCCACAAGUCAUAAAGGCUAACUCCAUUUCGGAGAUCCAAUCCAUCACUCCGAUCGGGUCCUCCUUUCCAGUGAAGGUCGAUGGUUUGCAAGUCAGAAAGUCCUUGUACUUGCAUCUUAUUCCAUCAUUCCUUCCAUCAAGGUUGUUUUGCCUAACUAUCAGUGGGUUGGCUUGACCAGCAGACCCACUGAAGUUUCCACCUUCCGAGUGCCCUUCAUUAAAUUCAGGCUCUUCCACAUGAAUUUACAGUUCUUCACGAUUCUGUUGAAGCAACCACCUAGUUUCAUCCAUCUGACGAUCCAACAUUGUUUGAAUCAUCAUUUGCACACCAGCCAUGGUUAUUGGCUCAGGUGCUGCUGCUACGACAGGUAUUUGUUCAAUCACUGGUGGUUGAUUCCUGUUUUCAUCAGCAUUUCCAACUCCACUUCUUGUUCUCACCAUUUUGAUCUACACACCGAAUAAGGUGAAAUUAGAUCCUCAAUCACGAUAGAUAUUCAAAUCAUCCUUAUCACUCCGAAACGUUCACAUGCUAGUUCUAAUAUUGUAGACGUACGCUUAGAAUCCUACACACAUAAAGUUUCUAGAUCCGGUUGGCAACAGACCAUAGAUCCGAACAAAUAAUAUCAUAUAUGGCAACAUAUAACAUUUAGCACAUAAAAGCAUUUUAGGCAACUUUCCUAAAAUAAACUAGUGCUCGUGUCUAAAACAUAAUAGACACAUAUCUCAAAACUUCACUUAGCAUUUUAAGUUUAAGUCUCGAAAUCCUACAAAUUCCUAGUUCGCUUAAACUAAUGCUCUGAUACCAACUGUGACAUCCCAAAAAUCUCGGCCAGAAAAGACCGAUUUUCAUUUAUGCUUUUAAAAUAAUUUCAGAGUAAAUCCUUUUGAUUUGAAAGAGUUGCGGAAUUUGUUCCCAAAAACAAAACGUGAUAAAAUAAUAUUUACCAAAGCAUUUCAUAAAAGAAAUGUAUUUUCAUUAUAUAAUCAAAACUCGGGAUGUCAUGUUCCGAUACAGACCAUAAAGCAUAAACGAUAACAUUACAAGUCAUUCAACAAAUAUAUACAUAUACAGACUUUUAAACAAAACAACUUGAUGGUUCAUCCAUCUUAUGCCCUUGCACCACUUCCUGUAAUACAAAUAAAACUGAGUGGGUCAGGCGUGGGAGCCUGGUGAGCAUAUAGGGUUUUCAACCCACAAUAAAUAAUUAUAUUUAAUUCCACCAAUCAACAAUAACCCAAUUACCCAUUCCCAUUAUUCUCACUUUACGUCCCUAAAACAACUAACACAAGGGACCCUAGUCUUAGAAUAUUUGAUCGGGGCAACAACACAUGCAUUCGGGGGUUUCCCGACAAUAUAUGUCAAAUAAGGCAACCAUGAGGGGGAUGGAGUACAGCGAAUGAACACCCAAGUUCAUUAAGACCUACAGGUGGCGAACCUGCUAGCGUUCCACAGGACUUUCUAGAAAAGUCUGUGGUCGUCAUCUAAACUCCGUUAGAUGACUGAAUCAAAACAACAACGAGGCCUCUCAUCUGUUUAUUACACACCAACUAUCUACCCAUGUUCUACCCAACAUAUUAGUAGAUAAAAACAUACAUUUUUAUACAUAGUUUAAAAACCUGUAUAGCAUGCUUUAAUCAAUACAUAUUCCAAAACAACAGAUGAGACACAUACACAUAACACGUAUUUCAUUGAGAAUAAAUCAUAUCUAUGAGAUAGAAGAAAGUGAAUAUACAUUCACGCAUAUAACAAGAAAAUGUACACAUAACACGUAUUUUAUAUUAAAUACUUAAUAAUUAUGCGUUAGAAGAAAGUAACCACACACUCACCUGAUCAGAAGAUGAUCGGACAGCACUAUGGCUUGCAGAAGUAGUAAUCCUCAGCAGAUCUGGAGGAUCUCUACAAAAAUCGAAUUUGGAUAUGAAUCGCACUUCUCGGGAUCCCGGGAGCGUGAAACUUCCUUUUUAAUUUGGAUAUGAGGUUCGGGGUGUCGGGAUGGCUUCGGGGGUUUACGCGCAGAGUUUCGGCACAAAGAGGAGAAGAAAUGAGCAAAAAUACCCGGAACCCUCGCAUCCUAUUUAUAGGAGGUUGAGGCCUCGCCGUACGCUGGGCGUACAGCCUGACGCGGGGCGUAAGCCUCCGAAUUCAUCACUGCAUGCGUCAUCCGAAGAACUCGAGUGCGAGGUGCGUCAUGCUUCAUGGUACGCUGAUCAUUGAAUCCUUCGGAUAUACAUCCGAAUUAAAGAUUAAAUUUAAAUAUUAAUUAUUUAAUAAACUUCGGAAAUUCAUAUCUUCUUCAUACGAACUCUGUUUUUGACGUUCUUUAUAUCCACGCGUAGGUGACACUACGCUCUACAACUUUUGUUUAGACUUCGUCGGCUAAUUUUGAAUUUAUUUUUAUUAUUUAUUUUUAGUAGGCCCGGACAGGAAAACUUCGUUAUAAAUUCAUAACUUCUUCGUUUGACGUCCGUUCUCGCCUAACUUUUUAUCGUUUUACUACAAUUAAUGAGAUCUUCGAUUCUCAUUUAGAUUGUUUCGGCUAAAAACCGCUCGGUGUCGAGUAUUCGGGUUGCAUACCGCUAAGUCGAAAUUUCGAAAAAUCAUAACUUCCUCAUACGAAGUCAGUUUUUGGCGUUCUUUUUAUGCACGCUCUUGGUUUAACGAACUCUACAACUUUCGUUUAGAUCACUAAGGCUAAAUAUCGCUCUAACGUAAAUUUCACUUUUUACGUCAUUUAGCGUUUGUCGGUUCUGUGUCGCGAAACUUCGACAGGUCAUAACUUCUUUGUUAUAACUCGGAUUUCGGCAUUCCUUAUAUCUCCGAAACCCUUGUUUCGAGCACUACAACUUUAUGUAAAGAUAUUGAGUUUAUUUUACACUUAAAUUUUGACGCUUAUUUUAUUCUUAAUUAAUCAAAUCACAUAAUUAAGCAAUUAAGCACAAAACACAUAAUACUCAAAUAAUUCAUCAUUAAUACUUCAAAAAGAGUUACAAGGGUUAACCUAGAGUAUUACAUCAAUGAAAAUGCCUAGCCUGAAAACGUGGGCGUUACAUUGCGCCAUCAGAUUUUGAUCUAAUAUUUAUUUGUGGAGACCCACUAUGGGAUUUGGGCCCAAUUUGGAAAAUUAGGCAAUAUUUGGGCCUUGGGUGUUUAAUUGGAAUUUGGGCUUUUGGAUUGUUGAAUUGGGCCUUGGAUUUGGGCCAAGUUAUGAAGAGGCUAAAAAGGGCUUUUACCCUAGUUUGGACACUUUGUAUGUGUCAGAUUCGAUUCUUGAUAGAUGAUUAACUUGUGAUUGAUAGUGCGAAGAUUUUAGCGGGGGCCAACAGUCAGAGAUUUAUCUGCGGGAUUCAGAAGUGCAAGGUGAGUCUCCUCACUGUGAUAUUGGGUCGAAGGCACUGAUGCCAGUCUAUUGGUUUAUAUAUCAUCGGAAGACUAGGAGGUGACCCUUGGCACUUAUAUGUGUCACACCCCCAAACCUGAACGGCGGAAACAUUGGAGGCGGAGGACGUCAUGUGCAGUACCAUAACAAUUAAAUAGUAAAGAAAGUAUACACCACCAUAAUAUAUAUAUAUAUAUAUAUGUAUAUAUAUAUUUGAAAAGUUUACAUGAUUGUAUGUGUUACAUGUUUGAAAGUCAAAUACAAUAUGGUGUUCCAAAAUAUGUUACUAACGACAGAGCGUUAAUCCCCAAAAGUAGUUGCUAACUUGGUUUAGCGAUUCCCUGAGAAUACAAGUUAUUUCAAAGAAAAAGUGUCAACAAUUAAGUUGGUGAGUUCAUAAGUAGUUAUUUGUGUAAAUGUAUGACAUUCGAAAGUUCACGUUUGUUUUCUAGAAAACUCGAUAUUUUCUUAUGAAAUGAGUUAUGAAUCGUUGUUGUAUGAAAUGAAUGUAUUGAACCAGGAAAAUCCUAUAUUUUCCUAAAUGUGAGAAGCAGUCUUAAAUGUCCAAGACUGUAACUUGUAAGCAAAUAUGUCAUGCUUAAACUGAUAACAUAUAGUUUUAUUAGUGAACAAAACUAUAAGAAGCUUGUAGUUGUAUGUAAAAGCAACCGUAAUAUUACUUUUCCCGUAAAAACAUAAUACCAUAAUAAUUGUCUAUCCAGUGAGUUUUCAUCACCGUACUAUGAUGGAUUUGCCUGUAGCGACGUUCUUCAGGCAUCGAAAUGUUAUGACACUUGUCACCCUUAACCUGCCGGUCCGGUUGUAGCUAACAGCCAGGGUACGAGAUCAUCAAUCCCAUAUAGAUCUAUACACACUUAUCACAUUCUCCGGACGGGAGACUCUGGUUAUAAAACAUCACUUUCUAGUGGUACCUUGAUAGGUAUAAUGAAGACGAAUGUCGCACGGAUUCUCAAUUAAGUCUAGUAUUUCAAAUUGAAUGUGUUAUAGUUGAAAUGGUUACCCUUGAUAUGAUGUAAUAUGUAAAUAUAUAAAUAAAGCAUAUUUGUAUUUAUAAAACAUAAUGUAUCCCAAGAGGGUAAAGUUGUGUUGUGAGAUGUUUUGCAUGUUCACAUCUUCAUAUGAUAGUUUUAACAACAAUAUGAAAAGUAUAGCAAAAGAUUGAUGUUUUCACACGAUUUUAGUCAUGUGUUUACUUGUAUUCCCCCCUCCCCCCCCCUCCCGUAAAAGUGUUUAAAAGCAUUUAAAAUCGUAGUGAUAGGGGUAUGAACUCACUUGGUAGAAAUUACGUUUUGAUGGAAACGAUGCUUUAUUCGGGCAACACUUCGACCGGAAACAAGUCGAUUUCUCGAGAAUCUCGAGGCUUUGAACUUCCGUCAAAGCUUGGAUAUGAAGUCAUGGAGUCGGGGUAGUCUCCAAAGGGUAGAAAGUGAAAAAGUAGUGGAGAGAGAUUGGAAAAUUAGCCCAUAAACCGGAGCCUUCGCAUCCUUUAUAUAGGGCUAGAAGAGGCCUCGAACGCGGAGCGUUCUUGCGAAGAACGCUUUUUCCAAAUGGAUUAUUUGUGAAUAAUGAUUAACACAACUUUUUAUCUGUUUUCAGUAAAAAAAAAGGAAGAAUGUUGGUUCAAGCUUUAUCCUAAAGGAAGCCUAACAUAAAUGGUCGUGCACAUAAGGUAUACUUUUUGACACCCAAACAUUUUCUCUCUUCGCGUGAACAAAAGGCACACACAACCGAAUAUUAGGAAUCAAAGUUCUCAAUCUGUUUAGGGUGUAACAAAAUAAGAGGAGUUAUAACCUUUCAUUGAAUGCAUUAAAGUGGAAAUAUUAAAAUUUUAAAUCAUUGAAUACUACAAAUAUAUGUUCAUACCAUGUCUAAACACUAAGUGUCAAAAUCUAGGAUUGAAUUGUCACCAUUCCCUGUACUUGUCACAGUGUAAUAUGCAAUUGGGACAAUUCAUAGAUUAAUCAUCUUCCGUAGAUGUUCUUAGGUAAAUUCUAUGUUAAUAACAAACUAUUGCAUUUUGGAAAACACUAUGAAUUUGUUUAAGCAUAUUGCUUAAUUUUAAGGAAUCUUAUUGAUUGAUUCAUUCUUUGGAUAGAACCAAGCAACAUAUUGAGAAUGUUUAAAUUGCUUCAAGAGUUCGGAGGAGAUGUGUCACUAGGAAUCAUUAAUAUUGUUGAAUCAAGAGAAUGUAACAUAAACUUUUACUAUUUUCUUACUUUUCCUUCUUAUGUAGGGUGAGGGGGAAUCGUCAAGGUCUCAUCCUUCAUUCACAGGAACAGGGUUGAGAAAGAGAGGCUACAUGGCUGGCAUGAAUAGAAAAUAGAUGCAUUCGGCGAAUUGGGGAAUCUUCAAGGUCAAUCGUGUGCAAGUCAAUGAGCUAUAUCCUAGUUUUCCAGAAGAAUUAAGAUAAUAUAUACCAGCCUCUACUGCAAAAUUAAACACAUUUGGAAUUGUAUAUUUAUCAAAAUUAAAUACUUUUCCAUGUGUGCUGUUUCCCCAUGAUUCUUUUAAGCAUAGUUAUCAAAAUUAAACACUUCUCGAAUUGUGUGCUAUUUCCUUAUACCGGUAUCUAGAUUGGAGAUAAAAGGAGUAGAGGCUUUAAUUAUCUCAUAUGCAACAACUAUAGUAGCCAACCUAAUUUGAAUACAACAAAAUGUCACCAUAAACAAAAACUAAGAAGCAACACCCAAAUGAUGAGAGAAGAAGCAGCUCCAAUAACUUUUUCACUCUUGCAAUACUCUCAAUGUAGAAAAUACUUGACCCUCUCAUUCCUAAACACUAUACAAAACAUUAAAUGUAAUUAAGUCGCCUGUUUAAGUCAAAAGCUAGAUUGCCCAAAAAAUUAUUCUAUUUAACUUCUUUGUGGGCAAUUGAGGAGAUCAAGAAACACAAUGCCUUCGAUCCUACAUCAACAACCUACAAAACAAAGCAACCUCCAUCUUCCUCAUAAUCACCAUUUUUUCAUCACUGUUAAUAGUCGUUGAAGUUCUUUACUUUCUUUACUACAUAUGUUAUUCGUUGGUAGUCAAAUUCAUGUUCUUGAACCCAAAGAACACCACAGCUAUCAGAACUUUUAUCGAACACUUGGCGUGUGUUCUUACAAACUCCACCUCAACCCAAAAUCUCUUUGUUGAGGGACCCCAUUUUCGAUUCAAAUCACCAAAACAAAUACAAUCCAAUAAAAUCAAUAUGAAUUAUGAUUUGAGAUUUAAAAAAAAUCACGUAAAAUAUGCACCCAAAAACAGUAUGGUUUUCACUUACGACAGAAAUAUCCAUUGAUUAUCCACUAUGAAGUUAUAACUGAAACACCAUUCUUACAUCUCCAUCCUCCACAAUAUGUAUGUGUUUAUGCGUAAAGAUACAAAGAAGAAUUAGACCCGGGAAUUCAAACCUUUGUACGUACAUUAUCUAAGGGGGUGUUUGGAUAGGAAAAAAAGAGGUGCUUAUUGCUUAUUCCCACAAUAAGCUAAUUUAAGUGUUUGGAUAAAAUCCAGCUUAUUAGGCUAAAUAAGCUAAUUUUAAUAAGCAUUUCUUUCCAUGCUUAUUGCUUAUUGCUUAUUUCCACCACAAAUAAGCUAUAAGCAAUAAGCUAAAAAUCUAAUCCAAACACCCCCUAAAUGGGUUAUACACAUUUCCCCAUAUUUACAUUAACAGUCCCUAGAAAUAUGUGUGUAUGUCUACUUUAGCCCUAGACUUUUAUUUUUAAGCCACAUGGUCCUACAUCAACAUUUGAGCAUAAAUUUCAAGUACUUACAUGGCAUAUAAAACUGGCUAUAUCAGUUAUGGACGAUCAAAAAAACAGGUCAGCAUCCACUCUAAGCCUCUAUUAAGCCGAAAAAUAACUUCAGGGACCUUUUAAACUAAUUCGAAAAACAUUGUUACCCAUAAGUGACAUUAACCCUUGCAAAAAUUGUAUAUUACUUUGUAUGCAUAUGGUCAUUUCCAUGGAUUUAAUAGGUGGGCCACCAAGGACUAAAAAUGUGAUCAAAUCGUUGGUUUAGGGAUGGAAAAAGGUAAAUGAUGAAACUAUUCGACCAUAUCCAUGACAACAUAAACCAUAUGGUUUAUUUUUUUAGUGAACGUAGAGCUAGUUGUAUGAGUAUUUAACAGUUGAGCAAUCUAGUUAGAUGACCCAAUUGACAAACAGUGUGACCAAAUGUUUUUUUUUUUCGGCCUGAACAAGUAAAGUACCAAACUGUUGGACCAAAUUUAUAAAAGACAAAACACAGGGAUGAUUUUUGUAAUUUACUCAACAAAUAAUUACUUGCAGAAGUAAAGGGAAAGUACCUCUACACCAAAACACCCGCUUUCAAAAAAAAAUAAAUAAAAAAAAAUUUCAAAAGAAAGCAAAACGGUGUUUCUUUUUUUCUUUUUCGGGAAAGAACCUUGAAAGCCUCCGAUCCCAACGCGUAAGAAAACCCCAACAUUUUCGUUGUUUGUUUAUAGUCUCUCGCCCUCUCCCUUCUUUUCAUCGUGGACUCACCGUUUCCCUGUUGACUUACUGCUCAUCUUUCUUGGUCUUUGUCUCUGUUCAUUUUUCCUCUGUUAUCGUUACUUCAGGUUUAUGUAAACUCUCCUCAUCCUUACAAGCUAUUUUUGCUUGUCUAAGAAUUUCACUUAUCAAUCACAGAUCAUUUGAAUUUUCAUAAACAGGUGAUUAAAAUUUUGUCUAUUUCAGCUAAUUUUUUUUAGUUUACAUAUCAGUUAUAUUGUUACAGUCCAUUACGUUCUUGCUUGAAGUCAAGAAUGAUGUACAAAACUUUGCGCAGACUGGGAAAUUCUCCGAUUCUCAAAAAUUCCUUCGUUAAUCACUUUAUAUUUUGAGUUCAUAAACACCAUUUUUUUUACAUUUGAUUCUUUUUUUGAAUGAUGUUAUCUGCUCCUUAAUUGUACGCUAAACACUCAAAGCUUUAAUAUUCGAUUCACAUAAUUCUAGAUUGGCUGCUGAUGUUCCCUUUGUUCAAAACCUGCUGAUCUGUCAAAGCCAGAGUGUAAGACAUCCAGGUGUUAUUUUGCUUGAAUCAAUAUUAGGAUUUUGGUAGUGCAUAGUCUAGAUUCUGAAACAAAUAAGUAAUGCUCUCUCUGUUUGAAAAUAAGCUGGAUUAGGUUUGUGUUUGGAGGUACAAAACUGAUAAGAGAUUUCUUUGUAGAUUUAAGUCAUAUGAAUAACAUUUGUCAGCUAAGCUUAUGUCAUUUGUUACUUAAAUCAUUCAUACCUUCCGGUUUUGAGUGUUUCAACUUCUUCCACAAGUGCUUCUACUUCUGAUACAGAAAAUGGUCUUCUAAUUCUACGUUGUGAAACUUCACAUUUCUUGGUCAACUGAUAGUGCUUCAGUUUUCACUUACAAGGAUAGCAUCAGAGCUUUGGAAUCAGCCAUUCCAUCUUAUGGCGAUUCCGUUUGUAAGGGUAUAAUUUCUUGAUUCUUAUCAACUUGGUUUUAAGGGCAUUUCAGUUAUCAGGAUCAUUAGGGCAUUUACGUCUUUUUCAUAGACGAGAGAUCGAGAGAUCAAAAGUUGCAAUUUUGUCAGGGUAUAAUGUCUUGCAUAACAAACAGGGCCUUAAAGCAUUAGAAUUUCCACUCAAUAGUUUUGUUAGGGAGUUCAUAAUCUUUCUUUAAAGUUACUUUACAGUAUCUAGACGCCAUCAUCUUCCUUAUUCUUCUGUAUCCAGCCAGCACGUGACUGUGCCUGAAAUGCCCUCAUUUUGGUUCCAUGGUGAUUGAAUUUUCAUCAUCAUCAUCAUCAUCAUCAUCUCUAAUACCCAUCAUUACAUAUACCUUAUGUCUUACGAAAGGGUAGAUUUACACUACUAUGUAAGUGAACUUCAGAUGAAUUUUAUUUAGACAGUAAUAGGAUACUUAUGUGGGUUUACCAAAAUAAAAUAGAGAUGUUGUGCAACAAAUGAACAGAUUGGUUAGAUAUUUUCUUGCACCCCUGAAAAAAAAAAGAAAAAAAAACUCAAUUCAGUUAAGUGAGCAGCUACUCUUUAAAUAACUAAAUAACUCACAUGGCAAUGUAAUUUUUAUUUUACAUCAAUACUUUGCUAUUAGCAGAUGAGAUUUAAGUUGCAUAUUGUAAUCGGUAAUUUGCUAUUGUGCAGAGGCAUUUUGUAUGGGUCCUGACAUUUAAGCACCAGCACAAGUGAAGAAAGCCGGUGAAACCAACUUUCAUAAUUAAUAACAUGUGGAAGAGUUUGAGAGCUUACUGAGAAGUGUCAUCAACCCGUAAUUUAUUAUGGUCGUUCUAUCUGAUCUUCCAGAAGGAUCUUCAUCUUCUUCAUCAACUCAUGGUUAUAGUUCAUCAGCUCGUGUUCAUACUCCAUCCACUCAUGGUCAUAAUUCAUCAACUCAUAAUCAUAGAUAUGAUGUAUUUUUAAGUUUUAGAGGUGUUGACACUCGUCAUAGCUUCACUGAUCACCUUCAUAAGGCCCUCAUUGAUGCCAAUAUCAGUACCUUCUUGGAUGAUGAAGAGAUUGAAACAGGGGAAGAUCUGAAACCGGAACUGGAGAGUGCGAUUAAGGCAUCUCGGGCUUCUAUUAUCAUCUUGUCUAAGAAUUAUGCUUCUUCAACAUGGUGCCUGGAUGAAUUGGUGUUGAUCCUUGAGCAGCGUAUGACAUCCAACCAUAUCAUUGUCCCAAUAUUUUAUCAUGUGGAGCCCACCCAUGUCAGGAAGCAACAAAGUAGCUUUGGAGAUGCAAUGGCUAAGCAUAAACGGACAAUGGAGGCAGAGAUAAAUGCGGAUAAAAGAAGUCAAUUAGCUCAAAAGAUGAACCGAUGGAAUAAAGCGCUUACACAAGUUGCUGAUUUAAAAGGGAAUGACAUAAAUGGCAGGUAACCACUUUCUUACCCUUAUUCAUCUCCCAAUGCAUUUCAAUAAGUUUUUUCUAAAUCAUUAAAUAGACAUAUAUCUGAUGUAUUAUGAUAUAUAGAAGAUGCACAUAAUUGAAGAUAAGUUUCCAAAUAUGUGAUCUCCUAAACCAGUUCAUAUAGAUGGGUUAGCCAUUCUCAUAAUUUUCACAUGUUUGUUAUGCAUUUUGUAUUUUAGAUGAAGUUAGUGCAUUUAGAUGAACCAUCUCCUGGAUUUUUACAUGCUUUUUAUUUAAAAACCAAAGUUUGAUGAGUUUGCUAUGCAUUUACCGUUAAUUAUACCAUACUACCUUCAAAUCCCGGCUUUUAUGAUAAAUAAUUGCUUUUAGGUGUAUGUAGUAAAAGAUAGCCUAUAACUAUUUCAUGGCAUUUUGUUCAAAUCUAUGUAAACACCCACAUCGAUGGUUAAGUUUGAUAGUCUUGUAGAAACAUAGUGAAUUUUGGUGGCCUGUUAGUGGAAUCUUGUAUUUCAUUGGUUGCUUUGGUUAUACCAUAAUCAAAUCUUUAUGACCAAUCAUUAGCAAAAUCUUGUAUUUCAUGUCAUUUUGUUCAGAUUGAUGCAAACCAAUUAAUAAUAACAGCUAUGAUAUAAUCUUAGUUUGGAUCUUUGAAUAAGUUAAAUCUCACAAUCUGGUUCAUUAGUUUUGUAGAUUGUGUUUUGAAGUUCUUAUAUAAUCAAGUUUCAGGUUAGAGACGGAGUUUAUUGAAGAAAUUGUGAAGGACAUCCACUGUAGAUUACAUGUGCACUUAAGGAGUGUUGGACCACAACUUAUUGGGAUGAAUUAUCAUAUUAACUUUGUAACUUCAUGGUUAAAAGAUGGAUCCUCACAUACAGUAGACAUACUUACUAUUUAUGGUAUAGGUGGGAUCGGGAAGACAUCUUUAGCCAGACAUGUAUAUGGGCUAUAUUCUCAUGAAUUCCACAGAAGCAGCUAUAUUGAAGAUAUCACUAGAAAAUGUGGGGGAAAGUUUAAUGGGUUACUUGAUUUACAAGAAAAACUCUGCAAUGACAUUUCAAAAACAAGUUCAAUUAAAGUUCAUGAUGUUUCGGUAUACACCACAAAGAUACAGAAUGCACUAGCCCUUAAAAGGGUGUUUCUAUUUCUUGAUGAUAUCAAUACUCUUGUUCAGUUGGAUGCAUUACUUGGAAGCAAAGGUUUUCAUCCUGGAAGCAAAAUUAUAAUUACAACAAAAGACAGUUGGUUGACUGAGAGUUGUGCUUUAUUCAAAACAAACAUUAAACCCAAGCAUGAAAGGCAUUUACUUCAAGGCUUAGGUUAUAGUGCAUCGCUACAACUUUUGAGUUCUCAUGCAUUCGUGUGCAACCAACCCAAGGCGGGAUAUGAAGAGGUGUCUGAUAAACUUGUUAAGUAUUGUGAAGGACAUCCAUUGGCUCUUGAAGUUUUGGGAAAGUCUCUGCAUAAUCGAGAUGUAGCUUAUUGGGAAGGGUGCAUCGAAGGGUUAAAGAAAGAAAUUAGUUCCCCUAUAAAUAAUGUUUUAAAAAUGAGUUUCGACACCUUACCAUCCAAAAAUAAUAAGGACUUGUUUAAGUAUAUUGCUUGUUUUUUGUUGGAAUAGAUAGAGAUGUCACCGAAACAAUACUAGAGGCAUGUGAUAUAAACACAAGAUCCGGGAUCAUGAAUCUCAUUGACAGAUGUCUUCUUAGUAUUGGAUGGAAUAGUGAAUUGAAGAUGCAUCAGUUGGUUCAAGAGCUGGGAAGAUUCGAAGUACGUCAAGAGUCACUUGACAAACCAUGGAAGCGAAGUCAAAUAUGGUGUCAUAAGGAGUCAUUCAAAGUGUUGAAACAAAAAAAGGUGAGAGCUUAUGUAUACUUGUUGGUAGUGUGCAUAUUCAAAUUACAUUUUAUUAUUCAUUUUUAUUUUUGGCCAUCUGUUUCUUCUUAGGGUAAGGGAAAUCUUCUAGGCCUUACCCUUGACAUGCGCAUGCUUGAGAAAGAGAAGUUGGGUAUAUCAUAUGAGCUAAAAACAGAUGCAUUAAGUAACAUGGAUAAUUUGAUGCUACUGCAACUCAAUUAUGUGCACAUGAAUGGGUCUUUUGCAAACUUCCCAGAGGAAUUAAGAGGUUUGUGUAUGCAUGGUUCCAUUUAAAGUCUAUACCUUUAGACUUACCGAUGAUGAAUUUGGUUGCUCUUGACAUGUCAUAUAGCAAUAUCGAAUCAUUUGUCGGUUGUUAUAAUAAUCCACAACGGCUUGAAAAGAGGCAAAAGGUAACUUAUCUUCAUUUAUUAUUCGUCUGUGCUGAGUUGAUGGAAUUCUCAACUGUUCUAUCUUAUUUCCAUUUCUGUAGUUGGAUGGAUCGUGCUUAAAAGACAAAAGGUUGCUUGGAUCAUUAAAGAUUCUUAAUUUAAGCUUCUGUAAACAACUCCGUAGUCUUGGUGAUUUUGACCAACUUCCUGCACUUGAGAAGUUAAUAGUUAGAAACUGCAUUGGUUUGCUCGAUGUUUGUGAAUCAAUUGAGCAAUGUGCUGAACUUGUCUUCAUCGAUCUGAGCUACUGCAAGAAGCUUGAAAAACUUCCAAGAAAUGUAGGCAUGUUGAAGAAUGUUAAAACAAUGUUGCUAGAUGGUUGUAGUCCUGGUGGAUCUCGAAUCCAGAGGGCUAGCAACAUUGACAUAAAUACAAGAACCUCUUCCUCUUCCUUUAUGGUUGGUAUACCAAGUGAUUUGAAGUUCUUUGUAAUUUAUUUACCAAGGUCUUUAGUAAGUUUGUCAGUUGCAAAUAGUAAUAUGUCCACUAAAUCCUUUCCCAUGGACUUGAGUUGCCUAUCCAUGUUAAAGGAAUUAUAUUUAGAUGGCAAUCCUAUGAAUUCCAUGCCCAGUUGUGUGAGAACCCUUCCUAGGCUUGAGAUACUUAGUAUGGAGAAUUGUAGAAAGUUAAAGUCAGUUGAGCAUCCUCCACGAACACUAAAAAGGUUGCUCUUUUAUGUUAAUGGGGAUCUUCAAGGAAAAGUCGUAUUUGAUCCAGAGAUGUCCCCACUACAGUUAUCAUCAACGGUGUCGGUUUCUGCAGCUUUCUCAUAUGAAAUUGAAGGCAUUGUGAAAAUCCAACCAAUGGUAUGUGUUGAGGAAGAGGUAUUACGUAGCUUGGGCUGGAGUAAUUUAGACUUUCUUAACCAAAGGCACUUGGGAGCUUAUUCUUGGGAAUCUGGAACCCAGGUUUUUUUAGUUAAUUGUUUGUCUCUAUAUGAAUAUGUAUAAUAUAAUUAUUAUGGUGAUUAAUUAAGGUGAUUGUAUUUUGCAGAUGAUUUAUGAAUUUGGAAUAUUCAGCACAAUGUAUGAGGCGCAGGAGAUGCCGAGUUGGUUUAGGCAUAGAAGUGUGGGGCCAUCAAUAUCAUUUACCAUGCCAUCAUCAUCAUCAUCAUCAUCAUCAUCAUCAUUGUCAUCAUCUCCAAACAACCUCCUAAAAGGACUCAACUUCUGCUUCUCUGCUGACAAAUUGAGACCUGCAGUUCCAUAUGGUUGGUUCCAUUGGUCACCGGUGAUGGCAAUUACUAAUAUAACAAAGAACCACACGUGGAUAUACAAACGUUACAAAGACAGUUAUUGUUUUGAUCGAAAGUGUUGGGUGUUGUUAAGUCAUUGGAUGUUUGGGAUGAAUGAGAUGGAGGCUGGUGAUCAUGUUACUAUUUUUGUUACACUGCCAUAUAAUGAAUGUGUAAAGGAGUGUGGGGUGAGUCUUGUGUAUGAUGAUGGAGAGAAGAAGGAUGAGGAAGAAGAUGUGUUGGGUUAUUACAAGUCAUGGAAUCAUAUAAUUGGUGGAGAUCUCUCUCCUUUUAAGACAACUACAGGACAAUACGUCUUAUACUACUGGCGGUUUUUUGAUUAUGGCGUUACAUUGUAUCAAUAUUAUCGUAAAUUUGUUCCGGACGGCCCCCACUUUCAAGGUAGAUGUGAUUUUUGUUAAAUAGAUGGAUAACGACCCAUUUAUUUUAGCAGAUGGAUCAUAACUUAAAUCUUUUAAACAAAUGGAUCAUAUGACCAAAAUCCUCUCAUUUUAUUGAUCUAUAAGAUAGUAUUUUUUUUAUAAAAUAUAAAAAAUAAAAGUUGCACUUUUAAUUUAUGAAAUGAAUAAACCCAAAACAUCGAUUAGUCUAGUCUACACCAGGAGGUCCAGGAAGCCCAUCAAAUUAGUUGGGAUCAAGUCCAGUGCUUUUUGGUUGGGUAUGGUGUGCUGGCAUCCAUUUUACCCUACCCUAAGGAGUAUUUAAGCUUUUCAUUUUCUAGAAGAUUGUUAGCUAAGAAAAUUGUAGUAGCAAACAUGACUGGAGAGGCCCUUAAUUCCUCUGAAAGAAUGGGAAAACCCUAAUAAAUCAUUCAAUCAGUUAGUUGUUUCUGGUUGUGAAUUUCCUGCUUAUUCUCUUUACUUUGUGUGGGAGCUUAUAAGUACAAUCAAUUGAUCUAGGCUUUUGAUCUGUUGUAUCACAUAAAUACAUACGACUACUUUGUCCAGGUGGAUUGUUUGUGAAUAAUGAUUAACACGACUUUUUUUUUUUUUUUUUAUCUAUUUUCAGCACAAACAGAAAAGUGUUGGUUCAGAGCUUUCUCCCAGGGAAUCCUUGCAUAAUUGGAGGUGCAAAUGAGGUAUACCUUUUGACACCCAAACCCUUUCUCGCUUCACAUGACCAAAAGGCAUACAAAAUAAAAUAUUAGGAAUCAAAGUUCUCAAUUGGAUUAGGAUCUAAUAAUAAUAAGAGGAGUUAUAACAUUGCAAUGAACGCUUGAAAAUGCAAACAUUAAAAUUUAUAAUCAUUGAGUACUGUUAUGAAUUUCAGUUCAUACCAUGUCUAGACACAAUGGGUCAAAAUCUAGCUAGGAUCAAAUUCUCACCAUUCCCUGUACUUGUUAUGCAAUCGAGUUUAGUAGAUGUUGUUCUUGGGCAAAUUCUAUGUUAAUAACAAACUAUUGAACUUUGGAAAACAAUAUGAAAUUGUUUAAGAAUAUUGCUUGAUUUUAAGGAAUCUUCUUGAUAGAUGCCUUUUUUUAGGAUAGGACCAAGCAACGUGUUCAGAAUGCAUAAAUUCCUUCAAGAGUUUGGAAGAGAUGUAUCACUAGGAGUCAUUAAUUCUGUUGAAUCAAGAAAAUGUAACAUAAUAUUUACACUUCCAGGUAACUAUCUGUUUUCAUAGCAUUUUGUAUUAUAUCUUGUAUACUUACAUAACUUUUAUUUUUGUUUUUUUACUUUUCCUUUAUUUGUAGGGUGAGAAGGAAUCUUCAAGGUCUCGUCCUUCACAUGAAAAUGCUUGAAAAAUAGUUUGAUUCAUUUGAAAAUAGAUUCAUUCGGAAAAUGGGUAACCUAAUGCUAUUGCAACUCAAUGGUCUGCAAUUGAAUGAGUUAUAUCCUACUGCAGCUCAAUCGUGUGCACCUCAAUGACUUACUUUUAUCCAUACCUUUCCAGAAGUGUUAACAUAAUAUAUACUAGCCUCUGUUGAAAAGACUAAACAAAUUUCAAAUUGUAUGUUAUUUCCCCAUAAUUCUUUUAAGCAUAGUUGUCAAAAUUAAGCACUUCUCGAUUGUGUGCUAUUUCCUCAUAAUUUGAACUGAAAUCUUGGUAUCAAUCAUUCCCUAAUCAACAAUUUCCAUCAGUCUAUGGGCUAAAAAUCUCAAAUCCUUUUUGGGAUUCUAUAAUUUAUUUUGGUACUAUCUAAAAAUUCGCACACUACACCAUAAUAUCCUUUUUAGGCUCCGAUUCUGAAAGAUGAGAAUUCUCUUAUCAUUUGUUUUUUGAUUUUAGAAGCAACAUCUUUAGGUCACCCCUUUUUCUUCACAACACGGAACAGGAUACUAUCACAGAUUAAUUUAUAUUUCUUUUAUUUACUAUCCUAUUUAUCUUCAUAUUUACAUUAUGUUGUUGCCUAAAGAAUAUCAUAUUCUCAUUUGUUUUUAUUUUCCAUCCCAUCUUGAUAACCUAUGAAGUAUCAGUAGUGUUUUUGCACCACUCUCAUUUACAGGUUUUUACAUCUUGAUAUCUCAUCUUGAUUCCGCCUCAUUUGAGCUAAAAAACCGUUCAUCUCCUUACGAACAACUUGAUUACCAUUGAAGUCAUUCAGUUGGCCAUAAUUAACCUUGUUUUCCAUACCCACAUUGGAGAUACAAAUAAGGUUCUUUUUAACAGUCCUUAUGCAUACUUUGCUCCCUACCCUGUAAUUUUUCAAUCUCUAACAAUUCCAACCUGUCAUCCACCACGAUGCUUGGUGACCGUUGCUCAAGAGAAGCAAACAAAGAAACAAAGAAGACUAAAUUACAAAAAUCGUCUCUAUGGAAUAUUACCUUUUAUCCUUAUGGUCAUUUUGAUGAAUUUAAUAGGUCGGCCGCCAAGGACCGAAGGUGUGACCAAACGUUGGUUUAGUGAUGGAAAAGGUAAAUGGUGAAACUAUUAGACAAUAUCCAUGACAACAUAAACCAUAUGCUCAAUUUUUGUAGUCAACAUAAAACUAGUUACAUGAGUAUUUAAUAGUUUGAUCGAUCUAGUUACACGACCCAACUGAUUAACAGUGUGAACAAAUCUUGUUUUUGGGCUGAACAAGCAAAUAUGAAACUACUGGACCAAUUUAUAAAAAGAUGAAACACAGGUAUGGUUUCUGUAAUUUAGUAAACAAAUAAUUACUUGAAUUUUUGAUGUUAUUAACUAUUUUUCCCAAUUUUUAAGCCUCCAUGACAAUAUAAAUUCGUGAAAAAUAGUAUCCAGAUGAUAAAAAAUUCAUCAUACUUCCACUAAACAAACUUAAGCUGGGAAAAAUAUAAAAUGGGUUUCUAAAUAGUUACCUGGACUUUAUUAUUUUUUGUGUAUUUAUUCUAACAAAAAUGGAAAUAAAUAGAAUACAGUUUCCAAAAUCGCCCAAACUUUUUUUAACUCUGAUUUUAUACAUAUAUAAGCUGUGAAAAAUAUAAAAAAAUAUUUUUCAAUUAGAUUUUCUAUUUUUCUUUGUUUUAUUCUCUUGAAUAAUCAUUAAUUGGUGAAUAAUUAUCAAACUAUUAAAUUAAAUUACCAAAAUAUUUGAAAACUUCGUUUACAGUGUACAUAAUCUGGGAAAAAUAUCAAUGGUGAUUUUUACAUAUUGUAAUAUGAUUUUGUGGAUUUAAGUGUAUUUAAUCUUAGAAAUAGGGGAAAAAUAGUAUACCGAAUAGAAAAAUCAUCAAAAAUUUUAGUUACAGUUCUAAUAUAUAUGAGAGUCCUCUGGUACAUUUUCAUGAAUUUUGAAUGAAUAAAACUAUUUUUCUCAUUAUUAGUCCAUUAUAAAUACAAAAAUCGGGGAAAAUAGAUAUGCAUCAUAAAAAAUUCUGAAAAUAUUUUUCUGAGUCUUCCACAUAGGGUAGGAGCUGCGAAAAUUGUUAGAUAGACUUUUCAAAUUUAUUAAGGUGGUUUUAUGAUUUAUUUGAAUUAAACAAAAAAAAAUUCAAAACCAUAGCAAAAAGUAACAAAAAUCGAUGAAACUCACUGAGAAGUCAUCAUUCACUUUAGGGUCAUCCACGAAUUUACCUAUGAUUUAUAGACAUCAGAAAAUAUUUUAUAUGAAUUGUUUCCCUAUUUUAUUGCAAUAAUUAUAAUAAUUCGAGAAAAAUGAAUUAUUUUCUGAAAAUUUGUAGAACAUCUCAUUUUGUUGAUGGAAUUCUAGGUAAAAUCGGAUUUUGUCAUAAAAGAAGUUUAACAUAUUUAUUUGGGAAUAAAUCUUUUAUGAACCUAUUUGAAUGCUUUUUAACAACAAACUUUGAUGAUCAAGCCUCUAAGCUUGAAGAUCAUCACAUGCAUGUUGGUUUUUGGGUGAAAUAAUAUCACCAUAAUCAUAAAAAUCAUGGUUAUGAACAUGCAUGUGAAUAAUCCAUCUAUAGAAUGGUGUAGAAAAAGAAGAUAUGCAAGAAAACUUGAGAUUUUGAAGGAAGAUUGAACGAUUUUCGUGAUUACCUUGAAGAACCACCCUAGAUGAUGAAGAUUUCAUGAUUAUAGGUGUUGUUUGAUCUUAUUUUUCCAAAAAUUUCAUGGGUUAGGAAGAGGGGGAAAGAAUGGGGGUUUUAGAGAGAAGAAAAGAGAGAUUAUAUCUCUCUGGAUAGAUCAUCUCUCUCGUCAUCUCUUUGGGGUUCCCCUUAACCAAAAGCGACCACAAAAAUACAGAGAUGCAUCAGGACUCAUGAAGAAUGGACUGGCUAAAUCUCUGCCACAGAUUCGGCUCCUAUGUUCGUCAGUUUUAAAGAGAAGUGAAAGAUAAGUUUUUAGAGAGAGAAAGAAAAAGGCGGAGUGUGGGAAAUGAGGGAUGUGAUUAUGAUUUUGGGGAAGAGAGGUAUGGGGGAGGAGAGAUCCGACUUUUGAAUGGAGAUAGAGGUUCCCUCUUUUAAAUUUUAUAAAAUUUAAAGCAAAUUUUAUAAAAAUAUCAAGGUUUUAUUCACAAUACGUUGAGUUUUGGCUUAUAAAUUAAGGGUAAUUGGUAAUGACCUAAAUUUUUUUUCCUUAAAUAAAUUUUCAUAAUUUUAAUUAUUAUAAGAUCAUAUUAUAAGUUUCAUAAUUAUUUUUAUAGAAUUUUUAAGUUUAAAGUUUAUAAAUACGAGUUUUUAUGGCUUUUAGGGUUUUGGAGUUUAUUAAACUUUGAAUAUCAAAAUAGAUUGAAUCUUUGAGACUUUAAAUUAUUUUUGUGUUUCCUAACUCUUAUUCAGGUUAGAAAUAAUGUUUGUAAUUUAUUUUUAACGGUUUAUUGGCAUUCUAUGUAGUGUUUCCGAGAUUCAAACGAAAUUGAGGAAUCAAGUAUACAAGUCAUAGUUUUCAACAUUGACUUAAGUUUCUAUGAGACAUUGACCUAAUUUCUACUUCUAGGUCAAGUGCAUGAUGUGUGUAUAUGAUUCUUAAAAAGGUUUUCGAGUCAAAGAGUGACCCAAAUAUGGAUAGUCUCUAUAGUUAAGUAGUUACAGAAUUCACAUAUUAAUGUGAAAUCUAAGUACACCAUCCAUUGUUUCUAUCUGUUUUCAAGUUUCUAGUAGGCUAUAACUUUGUUUCUAGCUACCAAUUCUAGUAUGUUUCAUGCUUAUAUGUGGAACUAAAUUUAGUCAAAUCUAGAACCGACUCGAAUUUUGACGGUUGUCACAGGAAGGGUGCUUAGAAGGGCUAAAGAAAGAAAUAGAUUCUCGUGUAAAUAAUGUCUUGAGAAUGAGCUUUGAUUCUUUGCCAUAUAAAAAUGAUAAGUACUUGUUUAAGUAUAUUGUUUUUUUUUGUUGGAAUUGAUAGAGAUGUUACUGAAACAAUAUUAAAAGCAUGUAAUAUAAAUACAAUAUAUGGAAUCCCGAAUCUCCUUGACCGAUUCCUUCUUACUAUUAGAGGGAAAAAUGAAUUGAAGAUGCAUUAGUUCGUUCAAGAGAUGGGAAGAUUCGAAGUAUCUCAAGAAUCACUUGAUAUGCCAUGGAAGCGAAGUCGAUUAUGGUGCCAUAAAGAGUCAUUCAGAGUGUUGAAACGAAAAAAGGUAAGAUGUCAUGUAUACUUUUUGUAAUGUGCAUGUCUGAAGCCCUUUUUAUUUUCUAAUACUCUAAUUUUUAAAAUUUAAAUUGUAUUUCUUCUUAGGGUAGGGGAAAUCUUCUAGGCCUUUCCCUUGACAUGCGCAUGCUUGAGAAAGAGAAGUUAGGUGCAUCAUUUGAGCUAAACACAGAUGCAUUGAGUAACAUGGAUAGUCUGAUGCUACUGCAACUCAAUUACAUUCACUUGAAUGGGUCUUAUGAAAGCUUUCCUUAGGAAUUAAGAGGGUUGUGUAUGCAUGGGUUUCGUUUAAAGUUUGUACCUUUAGACUUACCUAUGGAGAAUCUUGUUGCUCUUGAUAUGUCAUAUAGUAAUAUUGAAUCAUUUGUCAGUUGUUAUAGCAAUUCACAACGACUUGAGAAGAGGCAAAAGGUAAAUUAUAUUAAUUUUUUGUUCUUUCAUGUUCACUAUACAAUGUGUUUAUUAUGUUUAAAAAGGAGAGAGAUCUUUCAUUAAACUUUCCAUUAUAUUCAUUUUUUGUUCUUUCUUGUUCACUAUACAAUGUGUUUUGUAACACCCGUAGAUCUGGGCUAGUCAAUUUAGAGGCAAUAAGUGUCGAAAACGACUUUUUGGCAAAAGAUUAUUUAGAAUAAAUAAUCUUAACCAAGUUGUAGAAUAUGUCUCAAGGAUUCUGUACAUAUAAAGAACGCCGAAAUCCGAGUUAUAACGAAGAAGUUGUGGCCUGUCGAAGUUUUACGGCAAAACCGGCACGACACCGGGAGACGUAAAUAGUGAAUUUACGAAGGAGGACCUUUUAGUCUUGAUGAUCUAAACGAAAGUCGUAUAACAUGUUACACUGAGAGCGUCCAUAAAAAGAACGUCCAAAUCUGACUCCGUAUAAGGAAGUUAUGAAUUUUCUAAUAUUCAGCAUAGCAGUGCACGACCCGAAAUUCGAAUUUUAGUUUAAGCGGUUUUUGGCCAACACAACCUAAAUGAGAAUUGAAUAUCUUAUUAAUAUUAAUACAACGGUAAAAAGACAGACGAAAACGGACGUCGGAUGAAGAAGUUAUGUAUUUUGAACGGACUUUUCCUGUCCUGUUAAAAAUAUAAUUUUAAACAUAAAGUCAAAAUUAGCUGACGAAGUCUAAACGAAAGUUUUAGAGUACGUCUCCACCUGCGUGUGGAUAUAAAGAAGGUCAAAAACAGAGUUCGUAUGAACGAGUUACAAAUUAUAAUAACAUGUUUACAUAUUAAAAUAAAGNUAAACUUGAUAAGAUAUACAUUCAAUACUCAUUCCAGAUAAACAGAUCAUGUAUAUAUAUAUAUAUAUAGACACACACACACAUAUGUAUAUAUAUCAUUAGAAAGGUAUCAACGAUGUGGUCAUUAUAAGACUAAUGUUGAGUUCUUUCGACAUUAGUUUAAUACAAAUAUCGUUAAAUGUAUUUAAAAUAGUAUUAUAAAGGGGUGUUUAGUUGUUUAUAUAACUAUAAGGCCAUUAAGUAAUUAUGGAGGGUAGUUUUUGAAAAUUCAAUUACUAUAAAUAAGAGCCUUGGGCUCUCAUAUUUUUUGCAUCAUUCUCUUGAUUCAAAAGUCUUUCUCUUCUUAUCCCCCGAGCAUUUCGGUCCCUCGUGAUUCGACUUCUCUUUCUUUAGUUUUAGUAUAGUAAGGUUAGCGUUGCAUGAAUCUUUCUUAGAAAGAUUCAGUGGCGAAGUUCUGUCCCUGCAGAGCUCGGCUCCUAGCUAAAGCCCCUUUGCAAGUUCUGUCCGAGGGAAAUUAUUUUGAGAUAACGAAGUGCUGCCCAAUUGCAGAGUCACCACCUUUUCAAGUGAGUGCAUAGUUACUUUCAUCUUAAACAUAGAUAUGAAGUAUUUAAUAUAAAUUACGUGCUAUGUGUGCAAAUUGUCAGAAUACUUGUUGUCUAUGUUGAUGAAAGAUUUUUAUACAUGUUUUAAAUGAUUUAAAUUGUAUACUUAUUUUAUAUCUACAAAUAUGUUGGGUAUAACAUGGGUAGAUGAAUGAUGAGAGAUAAAAGAUGAUGUUAGUAAACAUUGGAAGCUAUAAAUUUAGUGUCCAGUAAAUAACACCGGCAUCUAUGGGCUUAGUGCAUAUUGGACAAACGAGGGUAGCUAUUGACUUAGUACCUAUUAGGUAAACACGAGUAGCUAUGGACUUAGUACAUGUUAGGUGUUGGUAGCUAUGGACUUAGUACUUGGUAGCUAUGGACUUAGUACCUGUUAGAUAAACGUUGGUAGCUAUGGAUUUAGUACCUAUAAUGGUAGCUAUGGAUUAAGUACCCGAUGAAUGAACUUUGGCAGCUAUGGAAUUAGUGCAUUGGCAGCUAUGGACUUAGUGCCUAUCUUAUAGCCCUGGAAGUAAGGGACUUCGGAAUGAACGAAUAGAUGACUCUUAGGGUAGACCCUUGAGAGUAAGGAAGAUAUGGGGAUGGGUAAUUGGGUUGAUUGUUUGAUGUUUAAACAAAAUAAUUAUAUUAUUGUGGGUUGAAAACCCUAUGUACUCACCAGGUUUCCCAACCUGACCCACUCAAGCUUAUUUGUAUCACAGGUGUCGAUAUGAAGUUACAUUACACUGAGAGAUUAAAGAGAUGUAGAUCACUAGUGUAAAUAAAUGUAAGUUCUGUUUAUGCUUAUGUUUCUGUAUUAAUGAUGACAUCCCACAUGUUUUAAAAUGAACAAAAAUACAUUUAUUCGGAAAUUCUUUGAUAACGUAUUUAUCAUGUUUUUUUCUGGGAACAAAUUCCGCAACACUUUUAUUAAAAGAUGUACUCUAAUUUUUAUAAAACAUAAACAAAAUCGGUCUUUUCUAGCCGUGAAAAUGGGGAUGUCACAGUUGAUAUCAGAGCAUUAGUUUAAACGAACUAGGAAUAAAGAUUUAUUUCAAGACUUAAACUUAGAAUGCUAAGCGACGAUUGUGAGGAGUGUGUCUAAUAAAUUUAGGUAAUACACCUGAGUAGACACAAGCACUAGCUUAUUUAGGGAAAAUGCCUAACAUACUUUUAUGUGCUAAAUGAUUUAUGAUAUGCAUUAUAAGAUCAGAUCUAUGGUCUGUUGACGACCGAAUCUGGAAACAUUAUGUGUUUAGGUUUUUAAAUGUUUAGUUACGGUAUUAGAGUUGGCACGUAACUUUUCAGAGUAAUAAGGAGUGUUACACGUCUAAAAUCUUCUCUAUCUAUAUUCUCGUCUUGAUGCGAUGAAUGCAUGCUUUAGUGAAAAUAACAUCAUGGUGAAGACUUAUAGAAAAUUGAGUAAAUAGAUGAAAUAAAAAAGGCUUAUGAUAGUGAAUGACACCUAUCAGAAGAUAUCGUAAGAGAAGUAUUUUGCCUUUAGAAUAUGUUAGAAGGUACGUUUAGAGGAGUACGGUACGUCCAAAGUACACCGUCGAUUGACGGGAUGAUGGAAUGUGGUGGUUGUCGAGGCCAACAAAAAUAAUAACCCUAAAUAUUACACACUAAAAUAGUGUAUAGCGGUAAAGGGGUCGAAUCCACAGAGAUUGGUUCAAUUUAUAACUCUAUGAAAAAUCUCUUUGUAAAAAUACUUGUAAAAUUACAAUAAAAAUAAAAUGGGGGGUUUUGGUGUUUUGAAAUACUUUAAACAAACUAGAAUUAACUAUGAUUUAAAUAGACAAUUUCAAGAAAAAUAAGGGUUUGAUGUAAAAUCAAUAAGGGUGAGAUGGUUGACUUAAAGUUUCCUCACUUUGACUUUUGAUGAACAUAUCAUUAGAAUCCAAUGGUGCAAUACUUUGAUUUAAAUCCUUAAUUUGGCUAUAGUAAUCCAAGGAGCUUGAGAUUACCUAGACUUUUCUUAAUUGUUGAAAUGGCUAGAGAAGCUCAUAAUAAUUUCCUUAGUCAAAGUCACUAAUUCCAAAUAGCAUGCAAUUAAUGAAAGUCAACUAGCAUUAAGAACCAAAAAGUCACCAAAUCCAAGAGGAGUCAAUUGCUUUCAUUACCAUGUUGGAGAUUUUUUUUAUGUGGUGUGAAGCAGAAACAACACAAAAAUCAUUUGUUGCUUGCUAAUUUGAGGAUCCUUUACUUAAUCAAGAAAUUAGCCAACUAAUCACCACAAACACAUUUAAACUCAUGAAUAAAAACAUAUUAGUAGUGAUAAUAUGAUAAAACACAAAACAUUUCCAUAAAGAUUUAAGAACAAGUUCAUGGAUUUUCAACAUUCAACAAAAGUUCAAAGGAUUCAACAAAAAGUCAACCAAGAUUAGUUUAGCCAAGCAUGACUAAACUUAAAGAAGCAAAAUUAGUUAAGAUUGUACCAAACAUUUGACAAGAAUCAAGAGAUGAAAGAAGAUAUUCUUGAAGUGUUCUUGGCCUUCAAAAGUACUCCAAACUCCAAAGAGAAUGUGUCAAACUCGGACCUCCAAGAUAAGGCUGAGAAGGAACGCCAACCUUCCCAAUAUAGAGCUUUAAGUAAAAUUCCAAAAUUGCCCUUGUCAGGAAUCCACGCGGACCGCGGGUAAUCUUACGCGGGCCGCGUUACUGCGAUGAAAUUUUUGGGCUUCUUCAAGUCUUGGGCCCCCACAGCUAAUCCAUUGGCCCAGUUCCAAUCCAAUCAUCUUCUAGCCCAUUUUUCUUCAAUAUUUCUUCAAUUAGAGCCCAAUUUGUCUCUCCACAUCACUCAAAACUUCCGCAAACUCCUAGACAUCGAUCUUGCACACUCAAGAAUUCUCCCGCGCCCUUUGAUAUUUAAUGUUCAAAACUUUCGCGCCUUCAAGCAGUUGACAAGCCUACUCCCUGAAUCACCUCCACAUCCAUCAAGCACGAAAUACCCACUACUCUUCAAGUGCAAUCGCCUUCCAAAAGAUCCCGCACACUCCCACUCCUCUAGUUUCCUUAAAAUCUGCAAUAAUGCUCAAGAAACUAGAAAGUACCCGAAUUGGUCAUAAAAAUAACAAAAAGGAAAAAAUACAUGGAAAUUAACUAAAAUGUGAAUGGAAUGUGCUAAAAAAACUAUAAAAAGAAGUAAAUAAAACGAAGCUAUCAGAACGAUUGGUUUAAUUCCUAAAGUUGUCCUAUCGUAUGGCAUUUCCACCACCAACCGAGUUGAAGCAGAAUUAAUGAUUGAAGAUACAUGUGGAAGAAGUCCUAGUAGAGUCUAGGGGAGAAUUUUGUGAUUGUAUGGACACAUUUGUAUGUGUUAAAUUUUUUUUUUUGUGAUAAAGACUUGGAAAACUACGACAUAAUACUUGGGACGGGUAUGAGUAGGUGUGGAUGGUAGUAGAGGCCUAUACUAUCGGAAGCACAACACUCUCACUUGGAUUAGGGAAAGUCACAAGGUUACCAAGAAGCUAGUAAUUGAUUUUGUUUUGUUCAUGUGUGUCAUUAUCAUUGUUUCGGUAAUAAUUAAGAAGAUGAUUGUUAUUCCGCCCCUAGUGUUCAUAUCAUAUUGAGUCCGACUAAGACGAGUAUGUUACGUGGUUCAGAGAACCAAGUUUGAUGUAACAUCUGACUUAAGCCAGAAGAUUGAAGUGAGAGAUAAUUGAAGUGAUCAACAGAAGUAUCGUUCUCGUUGUUAAAGCUUGUAGCUAGAAGUGCUACAUGCUAUGACAUGAUUAUAUCACAUUAGAACAUGAAGGAAGACAUAGUAUGUUCUGGAGUUUGACUCUAAGAGACCUGAGUCUAAGCGUUGCAAUAUACGAUGAUAGGUCAUUAGAAUAUGACACAUCGGUCCAUUGUAGUAAUAAAAGAACUUAUCUUAAGUUGAGUGUCCAGUAAGGAUCAAGAUUGCGAAUCGAAGGUCUAACAUGGGACAGAGCGAGAUCAAGCACUACUUGUAGUAAAGAAGACCAUGACUUAGAUAUUCAUUCAAAGAAACAUAGAAUUUAUGAUUAUUACCUUGGAUGAAGAGAUAAAGUAUGGAGUCAUUAUACAACCCUGUUUCGUUCAUGAUUCCAGGACGUAAUCAUCCUAAGGGGGAGAUAAUUGUAACACCCGACUAGUCAAUAUAAAGGCAGUAAGUGUCGAAAACGACUUUUUGGCAAAAGAUUAUUUAGAAUAAAUAAUCUUAACCAAGUUGUAGAAUAUGUCUCAAGGUUCUGUACAUAUAAAGAAUGCCAAAAUCCAAGUUAUAACGAAGAAGUUAUGGUCUGUCGAAGUUUUACGGCAAAACAGGCACGACACCAGGAGACGUAAAUAGUGAAUUUAUGAUGGAGGACUUUUUACCCUUGGUGAUCUAAACGAAAGUCGUAUAAUAUGUUACACCAAGAGCGUCCAUAAAAAGAACGCCAAAAUCUAACUUCGUAUGAGGAAGUUAUGAAUUUUCUAGUAUUCGAUAUAGCAGUGCAUGACCCGAAACUCAAAUUUUAGUUUGAGCGGUUUUUGGCCAACGCAACCUAAAUGAGAAUUGAAUAUCUUAUUAAUAUUAGCACAACAGUAAAAAGACAGGCGAAAACGGACGUCGGAUGAAGAAAUUAUAAAUUUUUAACGGACUUUUCCUGUCUUGGCUUGUUAAAAAUAUAACUUUAAAAAUAAAGUCAAAAUUAGCCGACGAAGUCUAAACGAAGGUUGUAGAGUACGUCUCCACCUGCGCGUGGAUAUAACGAACGUCAAAAACAGAGUUCGUAUGAACGAGUUACAAGUUAUAAUAACAUAUUUACAUAUUAAAAUAAAGUAUAAAUCAUAUAUACGUAAGCAUAUAUAUAUAUAUAUANUCAUUAGAAAGGUAUCGACGAUGCGGUCAUUAUAAGACUAAUGUUGAAUUCUUUCGACAUUAGUUUAGUACAAAUAUCGUUAGAUGUAUUUAAAAUAGUAUUAUAAAGGGGUGUUUAGUUGUAUAUUAUUGUGGGUUGAAAACCCUAUGUACUCACCAGGUUUCCCAACCUGACCCACUCAAGCUUAUUUGUAUCACAGGUGUCGAUACGAAGUUACAUUUGUUGGAAUAGUGUCUAAGGCUGCAACUAUAUUAGGCAAGUAUUUGACCCGAUUGUGCAUGGUCCUUUUGGGUUGCCUUCACCAUAGCAACUUGAUAGGAUGAUUUAUUAUGAGAGAAUAAAUAUUAUUAAUAUAUUAUGAGAAUAGUAUAAGGAAUAAUAAUAUUGUUAUUUGAUUAAUAUACGUCAAAGAUUAAUUAAUAUUAAUUUGGUGACUUAAAGAGAUUAAUUAAAUAAGAGGGUAUAAACUGUCAAUUGUUUGAUAGUUACACUUUGGGCUAUAAAUCCUUAUAGGAUAUAGGGUGGAUGAUUUCUAGAGCUAGGAUAAGCCUAAAAUCAUCCAGGCAUAUCCAAGGAAAGGAUUAGGAUUACUUAGAGUCUAAGUUAUCCAAUUAGGGUUUAAGGGUAAAACCUUAGGAGCCUUACAAGUAUAAAUAGACCCCUUGGGAUAGGGAAAUCGGCAUCUCCUCUACAACAAGGAUACCCUGACCGAUUUACUCCUCUCUCCUCUCUCUCAAAUCAUUCUCUUUGCUAGUUGGUGUUUGUAAGCCAUUAGAGGAGUGACAAUUGUGACUUUAAAGCUCCAAGAACAAGAAGAUCAAACAAGUGUUUCAAGGUAUGCUUCUAACUCUGGUUUUGUAUUGUUCUUAUACCUAAUUAGUCAUUAGAAGUCUUGGAUUCAUUGCAUGUUUAAUUAGAGAAACCUAGAUCCAAGCAUUAAGGUUUGUAUGUGCACAUAGGAAUGUUCAUAUGACCAAAACCCAUCAGUGGUAUCAGAGCCUAGAUUGGUUUCUAUUAAAUUGUUGCUUGAUUGUUUGAAUCUUACCUGCAAAAUUCAAAUUUUGUGAUUAUGAGUCAUGGACUCGACGAGUCCCAUAGUGGACUUGGCGAGUUGGCCUGAAUCGGCGAGUCCAGUUUGGGUACUUGGCGAGUCCGAGCGUCAGGAAGAGCCAAAAUCGGGAUUUUUUUCAUAUUUAUCUUAUGGAAACUUACGUUUAUCAUAUUAGAUCAACCCAAAUCCGAUUUCAUGAUAUAUAUGACUAUAUUUUUGAUCUAAUUGAAGAUAUUUAUCAAUUAAUAAAAUAUUUAAUUUCCUUAUAUGAUAAUUAUUAAUUAUUUUGAUUAAAUUGGUAAAUUGUUCAAAUAUGGAUAAUUAUGUGAUUAAUUGUUAAUUUAAAUUAUUUUUUAUUUGAUCCUUUAUGUUUUAAAUGUUUAAAACUUGUCCUCAAGUUUUGAAAUUUAUGUUUUGUAAUUAAAAGUUUAAUUUAGACAAUUUAAUUUUCAAACCCUAGAAUUUUACAAGUUUAAAAUCCAACCCUAUACUAAUAUAAUAUUACAAGAUUAAUAUCUAUAUAUGUAUAACUUAUAUGCUAGUCUUACCGUUAGUAGGCCUCAUUCACGAAGCUGGUCUAUAAGGUGGGUAUAAGGUUGCGGCCUAUAAAAUGGCGCUUAAUGGGUGUACACUUACACCCACCGCUUCCUUGAUCGGUGGAGGGUAGUUAGUCGAACGGGUAGGAUAGGGCAACCUCAUCCUCUCAUUAAAAGUAUAAUAUGAAAUACAAAGUAACUACAUGUUUUCUUAAAACUUCCCAAUCUUAGUUACUUUAGGAAAAGUGAAUUGAUGCAAUCCCAUGAAAUUACACUUUGCACCUUGCUAAGAUGUUAGUGGCGCGUGUGUGGUUUACCGGCACACUAAUUGGUUCUAAGCGAAGGUGGCAAAGGGUGAUUCAUUGUUUAUCAUAUUUCGAUGGAGCGUGUGUGGUUUACCGGCACAUCGAAUAGGCGAUCGUUACAAUGAAGGCACCAUGUGAAUUUGCAUGGUAAUUCACACCCGCUUUGUGAUCCUCGGUAUCCCAGUCACAAACUAGAGGGGCAUAUCGAGAUUUAAACAUGUCAUUGAAAAGUUUCAAUGAAUCUCAUUCGAACCUAGGAAUUCUCAAUACAUUUAGGACAUAAAGUUAUGUUUUUCAUGGUGGAGAAUUAGUGAAUCGUCAUUCACUUACCUUCAAAUUGUUUGCAUAUUAGAUUACGGCAUCCCUCUUCUAAUGUGUAAAUAUUGUUGUUGGAUCCUAGCCCUAAUUUUUCUUAUUGGGUGAUAAUUAGGGAUUCAUAUUCUAAUCUAUCUUUGUCCUUUCUAUUUGUAGAUGUCGAACGCAAACAACGCUGCUGCUAGUUCNNNNNNNNNNNNNNNNNNNNNNNNNNNNNNNNNNNNNNNNNNNNNNNNNNNNNNNNNNNNNNNNNNNNNNNNNNNNNNNNNNNNNNNNNNNNNNNNNNNNNNNNNNNNNNNNNNNNNNNNNNNNNNNNNNNNNNNNNNNNNNNNNNNNNNNNNNNNNNNNNNNNNNNNNNNNNNNNNNNNNNNNNNNNNNNNNNNNNNNNNNNNNNNNNNNNNNNNNNNNNNNNNNNNNNNNNNNNNNNNNNNNNNNNNNNNNNNNNNNNNNNNNNNNNNNNNNNNNNNNNNNNNNNNNNNNNNNNNNNNNNNNNNNNNNNNNNNNNNNNNNNNNNNNNNNNNNNNNNNNNNNNNNNNNNNNNNNNNNNNNNNNNNNNNNNNNNNNNNNNNNNNNNNNNNNNNNNNNNNNNNNNNNNNNNNNNNNNNNNNNNNNNNNNNNNNNNNNNNNNNNNNNNNNNNNNNNNNNNNNNNNNNNNNNNNNNNNNNNNNNNNNNNNNNNNNNNNNNNNNNNNNNNNNNNNNNNNNNNNNNNNNNNNNNNNNNNNNNNNNNNNNNNNNNNNNNNNNNNNNNNNNNNNNNNNNNNNNNNNNNNNNNNNNNNNNNNNNNNNNNNNNNNNNNNNNNNNNNNNNNNNNNNNNNNNNNNNNNNNNNNNNNNNNNNNNNNNNNNNNNNNNNNNNNNNNNNNNNNNNNNNNNNNNNNNNNNNNNNNNNNNNNNNNNNNNNNNNNNNNNNNNNNNNNNNNNNNNNNNNNNNNNNNNNNNNNNNNNNNNNNNNNNNNNNNNNNNNNNNNNNNNNNNNNNNNNNNNNNNNNNNNNNNNNNNNNNNNNNNNNNNNNNNNNNNNNNNNNNNNNNNNNNNNNNNNNNNNNNNNNNNNNNNNNNNNNNNNNNNNNNNNNNNNNNNNNNNNNNNNNNNNNNNNNNNNNNNNNNNNNNNNNNNNNNNNNNNNNNNNNNNNNNNNNNNNNNNNNNNNNNNNNNNNNNNNNNNNNNNNNNNNNNNNNNNNNNNNNNNNNNNNNNNNNNNNNNNNNNNNNNNNNNNNNNNNNNNNNNNNNNNNNNNNNNNNNNNNNNNNNNNNNNNNNNNNNNNNNNNNNNNNNNNNNNNNNNNNNNNNNNNNNNNNNNNNNNNNNNNNNNNNNNNNNNNNNNNNNNNNNNNNNNNNNNNNNNNNNNNNNNNNNNNNNNNNNNNNNNNNNNNNNNNNNNNNNNNNNNNNNNNNNNNNNNNNNNNNNNNNNNNNNNNNNNNNNNNNNNNNNNNNNNNNNNNNNNNNNNNNNNNNNNNNNNNNNNNNNNNNNNNNNNNNNNNNNNNNNNNNNNNNNNNNNNNNNNNNNNNNNNNNNNNNNNNNNNNNNNNNNNNNNNNNNNNNNNNNNNNNNNNNNNNNNNNNNNNNNNNNNNNNNNNNNNNNNNNNNNNNNNNNNNNNNNNNNNNNNNNNNNNNNNNNNNNNNNNNNNNNNNNNNNNNNNNNNNNNNNNNNNNNNNNNNNNNNNNNNNNNNNNNNNNNNNNNNNNNNNNNNNNNNNNNNNNNNNNNNNNNNNNNNNNNNNNNNNNNNNNNNNNNNNNNNNNNNNNNNNNNNNNNNNNNNNNNNNNNNNNNNNNNNNNNNNNNNNNNNNNNNNNNNNNNNNNNNNNNNNNNNNNNNNNNNNNNNNNNNNNNNNNNNNNNNNNNNNNNNNNNNNNNNNNNNNNNNNNNNNNNNNNNNNNNNNNNNNNNNNNNNNNNNNNNNNNNNNNNNNNNNNNNNNNNNNNNNNNNNNNNNNNNNNNNNNNNNNNNNNNNNNNNNNNNNNNNNNNNNNNNNNNNNNNNNNNNNNNNNNNNNNNNNNNNNNNNNNNNNNNNNNNNNNNNNNNNNNNNNNNNNNNNNNNNNNNNNNNNNNNNNNNNNNNNNNNNNNNNNNNNNNNNNNNNNNNNNNNNNNNNNNNNNNNNNNNNNNNNNNNNNNNNNNNNNNNNNNNNNNNNNNNNNNNNNNNNNNNNNNNNNNNNNNNNNNNNNNNNNNNNNNNNNNNNNNNNNNNNNNNNNNNNNNNNNNNNNNNNNNNNNNNNNNNNNNNNNNNNNNNNNNNNNNNNNNNNNNNNNNNNNNNNNNNNNNNNNNNNNNNNNNNNNNNNNNNNNNNNNNNNNNNNNNNNNNNNNNNNNNNNNNNNNNNNNNNNNNNNNNNNNNNNNNNNNNNNNNNNNNNNNNNNNNNNNNNNNNNNNNNNNNNNNNNNNNNNNNNNNNNNNNNNNNNNNNNNNNNNNNNNNNNNNNNNNNNNNNNNNNNNNNNNNNNNNNNNNNNNNNNNNNNNNNNNNNNNNNNNNNNNNNNNNNNNNNNNNNNNNNNNNNNNNNNNNNNNNNNNNNNNNNNNNNNNNNNNNNNNNNNNNNNNNNNNNNNNNNNNNNNNNNNNNNNNNNNNNNNNNNNNNNNNNNNNNNNNNNNNNNNNNNNNNNNNNNNNNNNNNNNNNNNNNNNNNNNNNNNNNNNNNNNNNNNNNNNNNNNNNNNNNNNNNNNNNNNNNNNNNNNNNNNNNNNNNNNNNNNNNNNNNNNNNNNNNNNNNNNNNNNNNNNNNNNNNNNNNNNNNNNNNNNNNNNNNNNNNNNNNNNNNNNNNNNNNNNNNNNNNNNNNNNNNNNNNNNNNNNNNNNNNNNNNNNNNNNNNNNNNNNNNNNNNNNNNNNNNNNNNNNNNNNNNNNNNNNNNNNNNNNNNNNNNNNNNNNNNNNNNNNNNNNNNNNNNNNNNNNNNNNNNNNNNNNNNNNNNNNNNNNNNNNNNNNNNNNNNNNNNNNNNNNNNNNNNNNNNNNNNNNNNNNNNNNNNNNNNNNNNNNNNNNNNNNNNNNNNNNNNNNNNNNNNNNNNNNNNNNNNNNNNNNNNNNNNNNNNNNNNNNNNNNNNNNNNNNNNNNNNNNNNNNNNNNNNNNNNNNNNNNNNNNNNNNNNNNNNNNNNNNNNNNNNNNNNNNNNNNNNNNNNNNNNNNNNNNNNNNNNNNNNNNNNNNNNNNNNNNNNNNNNNNNNNNNNNNNNNNNNNNNNNNNNNNNNNNNNNNNNNNNNNNNNNNNNNNNNNNNNNNNNNNNNNNNNNNNNNNNNNNNNNNNNNNNNNNNNNNNNNNNNNNNNNNNNNNNNNNNNNNNNNNNNNNNNNNNNNNNNNNNNNNNNNNNNNNNNNNNNNNNNNNNNNNNNNNNNNNNNNNNNNNNNNNNNNNNNNNNNNNNNNNNNNNNNNNNNNNNNNNNNNNNNNNNNNNNNNNNNNNNNNNNNNNNNNNNNNNNNNNNNNNNNNNNNNNNNNNNNNNNNNNNNNNNNNNNNNNNNNNNNNNNNNNNNNNNNNNNNNNNNNNNNNNNNNNNNNNNNNNNNNNNNNNNNNNNNNNNNNNNNNNNNNNNNNNNNNNNNNNNNNNNNNNNNNNNNNNNNNNNNNNNNNNNNNNNNNNNNNNNNNNNNNNNNNNNNNNNNNNNNNNNNNNNNNNNNNNNNNNNNNNNNNNNNNNNNNNNNNNNNNNNNNNNNNNNNNNNNNNNNNNNNNNNNNNNNNNNNNNNNNNNNNNNNNNNNNNNNNNNNNNNNNNNNNNNNNNNNNNNNNNNNNNNNNNNNNNNNNNNNNNNNNNNNNNNNNNNNNNNNNNNNNNNNNNNNNNNNNNNNNNNNNNNNNNNNNNNNNNNNNNNNNNNNNNNNNNNNNNNNNNNNNNNNNNNNNNNNNNNNNNNNNNNNNNNNNNNNNNNNNNNNNNNNNNNNNNNNNNNNNNNNNNNNNNNNNNNNNNNNNNNNNNNNNNNNNNNNNNNNNNNNNNNNNNNNNNNNNNNNNNNNNNNNNNNNNNNNNNNNNNNNNNNNNNNNNNNNNNNNNNNNNNNNNNNNNNNNNNNNNNNNNNNNNNNNNNNNNNNNNNNNNNNNNNNNNNNNNNNNNNNNNNNNNNNNNNNNNNNNNNNNNNNNNNNNNNNNNNNNNNNNNNNNNNNNNNNNNNNNNNNNNNNNNNNNNNNNNNNNNNNNNNNNNNNNNNNNNNNNNNNNNNNNNNNNNNNNNNNNNNNNNNNNNNNNNNNNNNNNNNNNNNNNNNNNNNNNNNNNNNNNNNNNNNNNNNNNNNNNNNNNNNNNNNNNNNNNNNNNNNNNNNNNNNNNNNNNNNNNNNNNNNNNNNNNNNNNNNNNNNNNNNNNNNNNNNNNNNNNNNNNNNNNNNNNNNNNNNNNNNNNNNNNNNNNNNNNNNNNNNNNNNNNNNNNNNNNNNNNNNNNNNNNNNNNNNNNNNNNNNNNNNNNNNNNNNNNNNNNNNNNNNNNNNNNNNNNNNNNNNNNNNNNNNNNNNNNNNNNNNNNNNNNNNNNNNNNNNNNNNNNNNNNNNNNNNNNNNNNNNNNNNNNNNNNNNNNNNNNNNNNNNNNNNNNNNNNNNNNNNNNNNNNNNNNNNNNNNNNNNNNNNNNNNNNNNNNNNNNNNNNNNNNNNNNNNNNNNNNNNNNNNNNNNNNNNNNNNNNNNNNNNNNNNNNNNNNNNNNNNNNNNNNNNNNNNNNNNNNNNNNNNNNNNNNNNNNNNNNNNNNNNNNNNNNNNNNNNNNNNNNNNNNNNNNNNNNNNNNNNNNNNNNNNNNNNNNNNNNNNNNNNNNNNNNNNNNNNNNNNNNNNNNNNNNNNNNNNNNNNNNNNNNNNNNNNNNNNNNNNNNNNNNNNNNNNNNNNNNNNNNNNNNNNNNNNNNNNNNNNNNNNNNNNNNNNNNNNNNNNNNNNNNNNNNNNNNNNNNNNNNNNNNNNNNNNNNNNNNNNNNNNNNNNNNNNNNNNNNNNNNNNNNNNNNNNNNNNNNNNNNNNNNNNNNNNNNNNNNNNNNNNNNNNNNNNNNNNNNNNNNNNNNNNNNNNNNNNNNNNNNNNNNNNNNNNNNNNNNNNNNNUGCAACUAUAUUAGGCAAGUAUUUGACCCGAUUGUGCAUGGUCCUUUUGGGUUGCCUUCACCAUAGCAACUUGAUAGGAUGAUUUAUUAUGAGAGAAUAGAUAUUAUUAAUAUAUUAUGAGAAUAAUAUAAGGAAUAAUCAUAUUGUUAUUUGAUUAAUAUAAGUCAUAGAUUAAUUAGUAUUAAUUUGGUGACUUAAAGAGAUUAAUUAAAUAAGAGGGUAUAAACUGUCAAUUGUUUGAUAGUUAUACUUUGGGCUAUAAAUCCUUUUAGGAUAUAGGGUGGACGAUUUCUAGGGCUAAGAUAAGCCUAAAAUCGUCUAGGGCAUAUCCAAGGAAAGGAUUAGGAUUACUUAGAGUCUAAGUUAUCCAAUUAGGGUUUAAGGGUAAAACCCUAGGAGCCUUACAAGUAUAAAUAGACCCCUUGGGAUAGGGAAAUCGGCAUCUCCUCUACAGCAAGGAUACCCUGGCCGAUUUCCUCCUCUCUCCUCUCUCUCAAAUCAUUCUCUUUGCUAGUUGGUGUUUGUAAGCCAUUAGAGGAGUGACAAUUGUGACUUUAAAGCUCCAAGAACAAGAAGAUCAAACAAGUGUUUCAAGGUAUGCUUCUAACUCUGGUUGUGUAUUGUUCUUAUACAUAAUUAGUCAUUAGAAGUCUUGGAUUCAUUGCAUGUUUAAUUAGAGAAACCUAGAUCCAAGCAUUAGGGUUUGUAUGUGCACAUAGGAAUGUUCAUAUGACCAAAACCCAUUAGUGGUAUUAGAGCCUAGAUUGGUUUCUAUUAAAUUGUUGCUUGAUUGUUUGAAUCUUACCUGCAAAAUUCGAAUUUUGUGAUUAUGAGUCAUGGACUCGGCGAGUCCCAUAGUGGACUCGGCGAGUUGGCCUGACUCGGCGAGUCCAGUUUGGGUACUUGGCGACUCCGAGCGUCUGGAAGAGCCAAAAUCAGGAUUUUUUUUCAUAUUUAUCUUAUGGAAACUUACCUUUAUCAUAUUAGAUCAACCCAAAUCCAAUUUUAUGAUAUAUAUGACUAUAUUUUUGAUCUAAUUGAAGAUAUUUAUCAAUUAAUAAAAUAUUUAAUUUCCUUAUAUGAUAAUUAUUAAUUAUUUCGAUUAAAUUGGUAAAUUGUUCAAAUAUGGAUAAUUAUGUGAUUAAUUGUUAAUUUAAAUUAUUUAUUAUUUGAUCCUUUAUGUUUUAAAUGUUUAAAACUUGUCCUCAUGUUUUGAAAUUUAUGUUUUGUAAUUAAAAGUUUAAUUUAGACAAUUUAAAUUUCAAACCCUAGAAUUUUACAUGUUUAAAAUCCAACCCUAUACUAAUAUAAUAUUACAAGAUUAAUAUCUAUAUAUGUAUACCUUAUAUGCAAGUCUUACCGUUAGUAGGCCUCAUUCACGAAGCUGGUCUAUAAGGUGGGUAUAAGGUUGCGGCCUAUAAAAUGGCGCUUAAUGGGUGUACACUCACACCCACCGCUUGCUUGAUCGGUCGAGGGUCGUUAGUCGAACGGGUAGGAUAGGGCAACCUCAUCCUCUCAUUAAAAGUAUAAUAUGAAAUACAAAGUAACUACAUGUUUUCUUAAAAUUUCCCAAUCUUAGUUACUUUAGGAAAAGUGAAUUGAUGCAAUCCCAUGAAAUUACACUUUGCACCUUGCUAAGAAGUUAGUGGAGCGUGUGUGGUUUACCGGCACACUAAUUGGUUCUAAGCGAAGGUGGCAAAGGGUGAUUCAUUGUUUAUCAUAGUUCGAUGGAGCGUGUGUGGUUUACCGGCACAUCGAAUAGGUGAUCGUUACAAUGAAGGCACCAUGUGAAUUUGCAUGGUAAUUCACACCCGCUUUGUGAUCCUCGGUAUCCCAGUCACAAACGAGAGGGGCAUAUCGAGAUUUAAACAUGUCAUUGAAAAGUUUCAAUGAAUCUCAUCCGAACCUAGGAAUUCUCAAUACAUUUAGGACUUAAAGUUAUGUUUUUCUUGUGGAGAAUUAGUGAAUCGUCAUUCACUUACCUUCAAAUUAUUUGCAUGUUAGAUUACGGCAUCCCUUUUCUAAUAUGUAAAUGUUAUUGUUGGAUCCUAGCCCUAAUUUUUCUUAUUGGGUGAUAAUUAGGGAUUCUUAUUCUAAUCUAUCUUUGUCCUUUUCUAAUUGUAGAUGUCGAACGCAAACAACGCUGCUGCUAGUUCUUUCACGUUGAUGAGCCUUUGCCAAAAGGUCACCUUCGAUGGAACGAACUUUAGCGAAUGGAUAAGAUACAUUCGCACCAUUGCUCGCUAUGAGGAUAAGGAGUAUGUCCUCGAUGAGAAGCUCGAGAAAAUCAACCCUGAAAUCGCUACUCCGGCUGAAAUGACCGCUUUUGAAACUCAUGAGCGAGAUGCAACGAAGGUACAUUGCAUCAUGAUAGCCACCAUGAACUCCGAAUUCCAAAAGUCCUACGAGGACAUGUACCCGUACGAGAUGCAUCAAGACUUAUUGGAGAGAUACCACCAAAACGCGAGACAAGAGCGUUAUGAGAUUUUCACUAACAUGAUUUCCGCUAAGAUGGGUCAUGGAGAAUCUCUUACCGUGCACCUGCAAAAGAUGCAAAGGUAUGUCGACCGUCUUCGCAAGUUGAAUGUUGACUUUGGGGAAGACUUGGCGAUCGACAUGGUGCUUCACUCUUUGCCUCCGAGCUACAAUCAAUUUAGGAUGACCUACCACAUGAACAAAGAGGAGGUCACCCUAAGCAAACUCCAAGGUCUCUUGAGGGUCGCUGAGAGCAACUUCAAGGACAAGUCUGUUGCACCAACUCCCAAUCCGCCCGCCGCUCCUGUCUUGGCUAUUGGACAAGGAAAGGGAAAGAAGAGGAAGGCUUCGUCGAAGAACUAUCGUAAGGUUAAAGCCCGAGAUGGUGCCUCUUCUAGUGGGACCAAAGUUGAUCCCGCUAAGCCCUGCCCUAACCCGAAGGAGGCAGAGUGCCACCACUGCCACAAGAUAGGACAUUGGGAAAGAAGCUGCCCUAAGUACCUGCAAGCCAUCAAGGAAGGAAAGAUCAAGCCAUCUUUCGCAGGUAUAUACACAAUUAAAUCUAACGAUUCAUCUCAUGAUAUUUCUUGGGUUCUUGAUACCGGUUAUGGUUACCACAUUUGUUCUAAUGUGCAGGGACUAAGAAGAAAUAGAAACGUGGAGCAUGGAAGAAUAAAUCUAAUCAUGGGGAACAAAAUAUCGUCGCUUGUGACCAAGAUUGGAGUGUAUUCUUUAGUGCUUAGGAAUGGUUUAUCUUUAGAUUUGAACAAUUAUUGCUAUUCGCCAGAAAUGGCUAGAAACAUCAUUUCCUUUCAUGGUUUGUUUAGACAAGGUUUUAGAUUUUCUUUUAAUAAUGAGAAUGGUUCUAUUUUAGCUUAUCUGAAUGGUGUUUUUUAUUUUGAAGCUAUACCAUGUAACGGAAUUUAUGAAACUGUUAUGAUUGUUGAUAACUUAGGAAAUGAUGUUUUAUGCAUGGAUUCUUCCAAUAGUAUGGAUAAGGUGUCCUUAUGGCAUUGUCGUCUUGGACAUGUCAACAAGAAACGCAUAGCCCAACUCCAAAAGGAUGGAGUGUUGGAGUCAUUCGACCUUAGGGAAGAUGACACAUAUGAGUCUUGUUACUUGGAAAGAUGACUAAGUCACAAUUCGCUGGUACGUACGAAAGGGGUGAGGGUCUAUUGGACCUCAUACAUACUGAUAUGUGUGGACCGCAUAUAAAGAAAAAAUAAUUAGGGUACAAACAUAAAAGAUUUGUAAAUUUUUAUUUUUAUUUUUUUAAAUUUUAGUUAUGGUGAAUUGGAAACCCAUUAUCAAAGACAACAAUCACAAAAAAUAAAAAUAAAUAAAUAAAUAAAAUACAAAUUUCGAAGACCAAGGAACAAAAGUCAUAAAAUGAGACAAAAACCUGCAAAAUUUUCCAAAUAUUAUCGUUGUUAAAGUCUUUGACGUUGACUUAUAUAAUUUCUUAGAAUUUUCCCCAAUUUACCAUUAAAUUUCUUGGAAUUCUCCAUAUCUCCAGAAAAUAAUAAAAAGAGAACACCAUCGAUUUUUAAGGCAAAGGAGAACCAUCCCCAUCUUAUCCUCUUUAGCUGUCUAUCUUCCUUCCUCGUUGGUUCGUCAUUUCCAUGCCGACAAACAAACCUCUGUAAUUUUCAGUCGUCAUCUUUCUCAGGCUCGAGACUCGUCACUGGUUGUUCGUUCUAUGUCAUCGCUGCUUCAAGUCUGCUUGUCUUCCUGUCGGUAGGUAACUAUGAAGUAUAAAGGGACAUUCUUAUAGUUUAGCUUCACAUGUUGUUAGAUAAUUUCAUAUCAUAAAUUACAUCAUAAUCCUUUUUUAUUUUGUUCACAAAUGAUUGAAUUUUUUUUCUAUUCAAUUGCUGUUGCUCAAUUAAUUCUAGAGAGUUUGAAAUUGAAACCAUAGAAAGGUCAUGGCUUGUUAGUUUCAAAAGCAUAUCAUUUGGAUCAAGCCCAUGAAUGAAAGUCGAAAUCCUUUAGAUGUAUGCUAAUACUAGAUCCAGUGAUAGUAGAUAUUAAUAGUUUCGAAUUUAUGUAGAGGCAUUAUGUACUAGAUCCCUACAUUGGAACACAAGGGAGGAAAGCCGGUGAAACCAACUUUCAUAACCGAUAAGGUGAGGAAGAGUUUCAGAACUUACUAAGAUACACCCUGUAUAUAAGGAGAAACUUUAAAUAAAUAAACAAAAUUGUGGGAAAGGUGAAGAGUCAUCAACUCAUUACUAAUAAUGGUUGUUCUAUCUGAACUUCCAGAAGGAUCUUCAUCUUCUUCAUUAACUCAUGGCCAUAGUUCACCAACUUGUGGUCGUAGUUCAUCAACUGAUGGCCAUAGAUACGAUGUAUUUUUAAGUUUUAGAGGUGUUGACACUCGUCAUAGUUUCACUGAUCACCUUCAUAAGGCCCUCAUUCAUGCCAAUAUCACUACCUUCUUGGACAAUGAAGAGAUUGAAACAGGAGAAGAUCUGAAACCAGAAUUGGAGAGUGCGAUUAAGGCAUCUCGGGCUUCUAUUAUAGUGUUGUCUAAGAAUUACGUGUCUUCAACAUGGUGCCUUGAUGAAUUGGUGUUGAUCCUUGAGCAGCGUAUGACAUCCAACCAUAUUGUCAUCCCAAUCUUCUAUCAUGUGGAGCCCACCCAUGUCAGGAAGCAGCAAAGUAGCUUUGGAGAUGCAAUGGCUAAGCAUAAACAAACAAUGGAGGCAGAGACAAAUGUAAAUAAAAGAAGUCAAUGGGCUCAAAAGAUGGACCGAUGGAAUAAAGCGCUUAUAGAAGCUGCUAAUUUAAAAGGAUAUGAUGUUCAUGGAAGGUAACAACUUUAAUUAUAUUUUCAUGCACUUUUGAUUUCUUUUUUAUUAAACGCAUGAAAUGUCAAUAGAAUCUUUUGCCUAUGCUUUUCAAUAUCAUCAAAUAGCUCGGUGAUCUCCUUAAUUAAUACAUAUACAUAGAUUAACAUCAUGAUAAAUUUGACAUGUUUCUGUGCAUUUAGUAUUUUAUUAUCAGGUAGUUCUUUAAGAUAACCUAUUUUAAGUUAUUUUAAUAUGUUUUGAACCAAAUUUUGAACAGUUUGAUAUGCAUCUACUAUCAAUUAUGUUAAUAUGUUCUUACCUGUGAGUAGUAGAGGAUAACCUAAAACUGGCAUAUAUUUUUCAGACACAUACAAAACCACAUUGAUAGUUAAGUUUGAUGGUCCUAUAGAAACAUGGUACAAGUUAGUUGGCCCAUUAGUGAAAUUGUAACAUGUUGGUGGAUUUGGCUUUAUCAUACAUAAAUAUUUACGACCUUAUACAUUAGGUGCUAAUCCUAUAUGGUGUUGAUGUGAAGAAUUUAAUUAAAAAUACAGCUAUGAUAUACUUCUGAUUUAGAUCUUUGGAUAAACUACAUCUCCAAAUCUAGUUUGUUAGUUUUGUGUAUUGUGUUUUGUAACUCUUAUUAAAUCAAGUUUCAGGCUAGAGACGGAAUUUAUUGAAGAGAUUGUGAAGGACAUCCACCGUAGGUUACAUGUACGCUCAAGGAGUGUUCGGCAACAACUUAUUGGGAUGGAAUAUCAUAUUAAGUUCAUCACUUCAUGGUUGAAAUAUGGAUCCUCACAUACGGCAGACAUACUCACUAUUACGGGAAUCGACUGGAUCGGGAAGACAUACUCACUAUUACGGGAAUCGGCUGGAUCGGGAAGACAUCGUUAGCCAAACAUAUCUAUGACCUAUAUUGGCAUGAAUUCAGCACAAGCAGUUGUAUUGAAGAUAUCAGUAGGAGAUGUGAUGGAAAGUUUAAUGGGCUGCUUGAUAUACAAAAGCAACUUUGGGAUGACAUUUCAAAAAAAAAAGUUCAAUUCAAAUUCAUAAUGUUUCAGCAUACACCUCAAAGAUAGAGAAUGCAUUAGCCCGCAAACGGGUCUUUAUAGUUCUUGAUGAUAUCAAUACUAUUGAUCAGUUGGAUGCAUUACUCGGAAACAAAGGUUUUCAUCCCGGAAGCAAAAUUAUAUUAACAACAAAGGAAAGAUGGAUAACACAGAGUUUUGCACUAUUCAAAACAAAUAUUAAACCUAAGCAUGUAGAACGCUUCCGUAAAGGCUUAUGUAGGACUGAAUCAUGCCAGCUUUUGUGUUCCCAUGCAUUCAUGUGCAACCAUCCCAAGGCAGGUUAUGAAGAGGUGUUAGAGAAGCUUGUGAAGUAUUGCCAAGGACAUCCAUUGGCUCUCAAAGUUUUGGGCAAGUCGUUACAUAAUCGAGAUGUAGCUUACUGGGAAGGGUGCAUACAUGGGCUAAAAAAAGAAACAAAUUCAUACAUAAAUAAUGUCUUGAGAAUGAGCUUUGAAUCUUUGCCAUCUAACAAUGAUAAGGAAUUGUUUAAGCAUAUUGCUUGUUUUUUUGUUGGAAUGGAUAGAGAUGUUACCGAAACAAUAUUAGAGGCAUGCAAUAUAAACACGAGAUACGGAAUCAUUAAUCUCAUUAACAGAUGCCUUCUUAGUAUAGGACGGAAAAUGAAUUUAAGAUGCAUCAGUUGGUUCAAGAGAUGGGAAGAUUCGAAGUACUUCAAGAAUCACUUGACAAGCCAUGGAAGCGCAGUCGAUUAUGGUGUCAUGAGGAGUCGUUCAAAGUAUCAAAGAAAGAAAAGGUAAGAGCCUUUGUAACCCUGUAUAGUUGUUAGUAAUGUGCAUAUUUAAAGUAUUUUGUAUUGUCUAAUUUUUGUUGGAUUUUGGUUCUUCUUAGGGUAAGGGAAAUAUUCUAGGCCUUGCCUUGGACAUGCGAAUGGUUGAGAAAGAGAAGUCAGGUGCAUCAUUUGAGUUAGAUACGUUGAGUAACAUGGAUAAUCUGAUGCUCCUACAACUCAAUUAUGUGCACAUGAAUGGUUCUUAUGAAAACUUUCCGGAAGAAUUAAGAUGCUUAUGUAUGCAUGGGUACCAUUUAAAUUCUAUACCUUUAAAUUUACCAAUGGAGAAUCUGGUUGCUCUUGACAUGUCAUAUAGUAAUAUUGAAUCCUUUGUCUUUUGUGAUAGUAAUCCACAACGACAUGAAAAGAGACAAAAGGUAACUUAUCUUCCAUUGUUAUUAUUCCAUGUUGAUUGGGUGAAAUUCACUAUUACUCUAACUUAUCCCUAUUUCAACAGUUAAGCGGAUCAUGCUUAAAACAAAAAAGGGUACUUGGAUCAUUGAAGAUUCUUAAUUUAAGUUUUUGUAAACAACUUCGUAGUCUUGGUGACUUUGACCAACUCCCUGCUCUUGAGAGGUUAAUAGUUAGGAAUUGCAUUGGUUUGAAUGAGGUUUGUGAAUCAAUUGGGCAAUGUGUUAAACUUGUCUUAAUCGAUCUGAGCUACUGCAACAAGCUUGAAAAAAUUCAAAAAAUCACAAGCAUGUUAGCGAAUGUUAAAAUAAUGUUCCUAGAGGGUUGUAAUCUUGGGGAAUCACGAAUCAAGAUUAGGGAUAUUGAUUUACAAGAAAGGCUCAAGGCUAACGACAUUGACGUAAAUACAAUAACCUCUUCCUCUGCCUUUGGGGGUGCUAUACCAAGUGAUUUGAAGUUCUCUGCAUUUUCUUUACCUAGGUCUUUAGUAAGUUCUCUGCACUUCAGUUGCCUAUCCAUGCUAAAGCAUUUAUAUUUAGACGGAAAUCUUAUCGAUUCCAUGCCCAUUUGUGUGAGAACCCUUCCUAGGCUUGAGAUACUUAGCAUGACAGUACAAAAAAAAUGUCAAUUAGUAACCAAAACGAUAUGGUCACUAACAAUAGAAUGCAUCGUCACUAAAUGAUUUAGUGACGAAAAUUCCGGUCGACACUUUUCGUCACUAUAGGUCCGUCACAAAACCGAUUUAGUGACCAAAUAUAAAUAUGGUCACUAAAUAGUGACUAAAAUAUACUCGUCACUAAAUCUGUGACAACCCACUUCGUCACUAAAUGUUGUCACUAUUUUAUCUACUUAGUGACCAAUAAAAGUCGUCACUGUUUAAUCCGAUUAGUGACCAGAGAAAAUGGUCACUAUUUAAUAUGAUUGGUGACCAUAGAAAGUGGUCACUGUUUAAUCCGAUUAGUGACCAUAGUAGGUGGUCACUGUUUAAUCCGAUUAGUGACCAUACCAAGUCAUCACUGAUUUAUCCUAUGAGACACAAAAAGGGGUCAAUAAUUAAGAAAUUAUUGAAAUAUUAAAUUUCAUUUUUAAUAUGAAAUAUAACAAUAUCCAAUUAGAUAAAAGAAAAAACAAUCCUAUAAAUUUUUACAAUACAACAAAAACCAAAUAAAUCUUCACAUUUAUAAUAUGAAAAUUAAAUGUCAAUUUUUAAAAAAAUCCAUACAUUUUAUCCAAUAUUUCAAACAACAAAAUAUAAAGAUCAACCGGGUGAAGUUCAUUUAAUAAGAAAAGUAAGUUCAAUUGAUCAAUGCAAUUGAGAUAAACGUGAAAGCUCACUCAUCAUAAAUUCCAUUUUCUUAUUUUGCUCCUCUCGAUAUUUGAUCUGCUCUUCUUGAAAUUGUAGUUGCUCUUCUUUAAUUACAGGAAUUUCCUCCUCCACGGCUUUUGAUUUUUCCUUUUCCAGUUCCAGAUCCAUUUGUAACUUUUCUGUGCCUAAAACUUGUUUUGUCGAAACAGAACGCCCUUUUAUAUAUCCCGGUAUACGAUGUAGUUUUUUCAUACAUAUUUCAGCCGGCGAACAAGAAGAAGAAGCUUCCUCAUUUAGUAAUUCAUUCUGCAUAACAAAACAAUUUAGAUUAAAAGUAAAACAAAUAUUAUUCAUAAAUACGUCAAGAUAUUAAAAAUACCCAAAUUUCUCCGGCCAUCUCAUUGACCAUUUGAUUUUUCUUUUUCGAAAAAUGCCCAAUCUUGUAACGUUCAAUGAAUGAUACUUCUUCUCCUUCUUUCUUUUUUAUGUUUUCAAAAGGAAGAAAACUUUGACAAUGCAAUGAAAGAUUUAAGUUAAAAAAGUAGCUUACCAUGUCAACAAUCCUUGCAAUUGAAAUUGUGUCAACCGCGGGUGGAACUUGAUUAAAUGAUUUGUUCUUCUUGUUUCUAAUGCUAACUUUCUACAACAAUUAAACAAGGGUUGUUUCUGUCAUAUUUGCAAACCAAAAAAAACAGGGACCGUUUAUGUCAUUUGUCCACACUAUUACAUAGGGACCAUUCCUGUAAUUCUACAAAGUAAAACAUAGGGACCAUUUCUGUAAAUUUUGAAAAAUAAAAAACACAAUGGUUGUUUCUAUCAUUUUCUCAAACCAAAAAACACAUGGACCAAUUUUAAAAUUCUGCAAAUUGAAUAGACAGGGACCAAUUAUGUAAUUAUGCAAAGUAAAAACUCAAUAACCAUUUAUGUCAUUUUACCAUUUCUUGAUAUAAUUUGGAAAAGAAGUAAAAACCUGAAAUUCUUCGCUUGCAAAUUUUUGAUAUAGUUUUACCCAAUCAACAUUGAUUACACCAUUUGGAGGAUGAUUGAUUGCUUCCUCUUUUGUAGAGAACUUUUUGAAAUGAAGGUGCAACCUAUAUUGCCUGUUUUUAUGUUGGUUCGCCAGUUGUGUAUCGAUAGCACGCACCAUCGAGCGACAACUUGGAUCGUAAGUUGAAUUUUCCUACAUAUAGGUAUAGCAAUGUAUUCUUAUUUAUAUGUUUAAGAAAUAGCAAUGUAUUCUCAUUUAUUGUUUCUAUAAAGAGAGUUGAUAACAUCAUACCGUGCAUUUAGUGAUAAUAUCAUACUUCAACAAAUCUGGUUGGUUUUUCCAAGUGGUUCCAUCAAAUUUUGCAUGAUCUCUAACUACACAUCCACCCUUAGUGAUGAAUUGUUGACUAUCUUCCCCAACUAUACGACCAACACAUUCAUCAACUUCAAAAACUAAAUUUGCCUUUAUUCGAGCGCCUCUUUUUAGUUUCAUUCAAAGCUCUAGAUUCUUUUUGAGUAUUAGACAUGCCUACAUAGAUUUAGUCAACAAGAAAAAUGACUGAUUAUAUAAUCAUAUACAUUAAUCACAUACUAUUUUACUUCUAAUCAACGUACCAUGAAAAGUUGAACCAAUGUUCUCAUCUCGAAAAGAAUCAACUUCGUGUUCCUCUUCUUCAAAAUCUUCCUCAUCGUGGUUCAAACUAGAAACUUUUCUCAUAUGACUUUGAUAGGGAGAAAGUGACUCCAUUGUUUCAUAAGUAGGCAACUCUUCAUCUUGCAACAUGAGAUUAGAUCUCUCCAAUACCCCUCUUCCAGGGCCAACUAUCUAAAUAACAAUAACACACAUUUUUAAUUUCAUGUAAAGUGGUGUUAUCAAAAGUCAAAGUUACAGAAAAUACCAUCUUUGAAAAAUUAGUAUUCUUCAACUUUUAUUGACUUGGCUUCUCUAUUCCCCGAUGUUUUUUCUGAUCCAUCAAAUGUCUAGUCAAACACUGCAUAGCAAACAAGACCAUAAAGAGUACAUAAAAGACAUUAUAUUCUUAAAUAGCAAUGUACUUUUCUGAAAUUAAUUUUUUUCAGAUUUAAAUGGUACUUUCUAGAAUUCAAAAUCACCGAUACCAUUAUACAUUGCUAUAAAAAAGUAAAAAUAAGAAAAUACAUUGAUAUAAUACAUGAAAUUAAUGUAAGUUGAUUGCUUACUUCAUCACGAAGGUUAGAUGCCUCCUUUUGGCCACCCAUAUCUUUAUUUACAUGUCCAAUAUCCUUUGUAAACCUAAAAAUGUAGACUUGUAAGGUUACAUACUAAUUUCACUAAAAACAACACUCGAGUCCUAAUAUAAACAUUAAUACAAUACAUAAAGUUAAUGUAACUUUUCUUUCUAUUACAACAUUGUACUUUCAAUUGUUUCUUAUUAACGCAUCAUAGUUUUAUUCUUUAAAAAUAUAUACUCAAUAAUACCAAUGUUAACCAAAUACAAAGCACACUUUUAUUAGAAGAAAUGAGAAUAUGAUGCUAUAAAAAACAAAGUAAAAAAAGUACAUUGUUAUGUCUUGCAUGUUAAAGAAACUAAACUUUAUCAAUGUUUUAAUAUUUUACUAGAACUAAAUUUAAUAGUAGUUUAAAACAUGGUUAAAUAAACAAGCUUCUCAUAACAUAAUGGUAAUUCAACAAGUGGGAGGUUCGCAUUGAUCCAUAACAACAUUUUACAUGGAAUGUAUGAAAAAAAUUACCAUUUUACCCUUAAGAGUUACAUUUAAUUUAAUUUUCCAUUUUAAAUGGAAAGUUAUACGAAAGAAGUUGGGUAAAUUUGUUACCUAUUUUGACUGAGUGUGUUGCCAGUAGGUGGCACAACUUGUCCUGUUCGCGUUCGAACAGAUACAAAUGGUCUUCCAGAUAAUCUUUUAGGAGUCAUUCCCGACAUAACUGCAUAGGAUUAAAAAUGAAAUAUUUUGUCUCAACAAAAAAAAAAUGAAAUCAAACUAAAUUUCAAAUAAAUACAUACUUAUUAUUAUCUUUUUAUCACACAAAUAAAAGGUUACCUUUUCACUAAAGGCAAUCUUCUUUCAACUGAUGCAACUCUGAAGAUGCUACAAGAACAAAUACUUAAAUAAAUUAGUAAAUAAAUGUGUUUAAUCAUACAUCAUCAAGGUAUGAAGAGAGAAGAUAAAGAAAUGAAAUCAAACUAAAGAUCAAAUAAAUACAUAGUUAUAUUGUAGAUAAAUUGCAUUUAUAAGAAAAGGGAAAUACAUUGUCGUUAUUCUAAUCUUGAAAAGAGCACAAAGGCUGAACUUUUAUUCUGAACUUGAAAAACAGCAAAAAGGCUGAACUUUUAUUCUGAACUUGAAAAACAACAUAAAUGUUGAACUUUUAUUUUGAACCUUUAUUCUUUUGCUACCAUUUUAUUUAUGCCUUCCAUUGCACUUGUUUAAGUAAUUGUAAAAUCUAUGAGUAAAAAUAUUUUUAUCGUAUUUCCUCAUUUUGUUGGACAAUUGAUUCAUUAUCCAUUUUAGCAUAAAAAUAUAAAUACCUUUUACUAAGAACGGGCUCUUGUCAUUGAUGUACUUGCCUUUGUACAUGUUUUUUGAGAUAUAUCAUGCAAUGCAAUGGUUAAGGCAUCCACCACUUCCAAUGGGACAUUAUCUCUUGUUAAGGAUAAUUGGUCCAUAUUCAAAUCAAUAUUUAGAUUUAGAUGUGGCUCAUGUUCUUGAUGUACUUCUUCCAUCAUUACAUGAACAUCAUACAAUGCACGAGGGGAACUACUUUGAACCACAUACCAAUUUUUGCCCAAUUUUAAAUCAGGAGCAUAAAAAACUUGUUUGGCUUGUGAUGCAAGUAUGUAUGGUUGAUCUAUGUACCAUUUUUUGGAUGUAUUCACACUUCUAACUUUGGAUUCUUUGUCAAUUCUUAGCCCUUUCUUAUCACCGACCAUAAACCAAUCACACUUGAAUACUAACACUCUUUUAUUUUCACCCAAGUAUUCAAUUUCUAACACUUCUUGUAAUAUCCCAUAAAAAUCAAUAAUGUUUUCCCCAUGAACACCUUGCACUACAACUCCGCUAUUUUGAGUUUUCCGAUUCUUCUCACGACUUUGUGUGUGGAACCUAUACCCAUUGACCAAACAUCCACUAUACUUGUUGACAUAACGUGAUGGCCCAUGCGACAAUAUAUGAGUUUCGUAUUCAAACAACUUUGGCCAAGAAUUAACCUAAAUAAAAAUGUAUACCAUAUUGGUUAACAAGAGUUUAAAACUCCCAUAUUAAAUUAAAAAAAAUAAACAUCAAAUGUAGUUCUCACACGUUGGCGAAGCCAUGAUGCAAAUUGUUUUUCAUGACGUUCAUUUACAUUGUCAGCAUUUUCUUCCUCUAGUUCAACUUUGUGUGAACUAAAAAGUUAAAAAUUAAGACUUGUUAUUAUAUGAAAAAAAAAGGAAGGUAUCAUUACAUAAAAAAAAUCACUUACGUUAUUAGUUCCUUUAUUUCAUCACAAUUGUUUAGAAUAUAUGUAUGAAUCUUCUCCAAUUCAUUUUCACUCAAAUCCUGUGAUUUUGGACUACCUAAUAGGCGCCCUUUGCAUGAAAAAAUGGAAAUUUCACCAUCACUAUCCAUCAUUUCAUUGUUGCGCUCAACCUUAUUGAAAAGCGUGUCAACAUCAUUCAAAUACAUAGAACAAAAAUUCAGGCAUUCCUUGUCUAUGUAUCUCUCAGCAAUACAUCCUUCUGGAUGAGCUUUAUUCUUGACAUAUCCUUUUAAAGUACCCAUUUUCCUCUCAAAAGGGAACAUCCAACAGUAUUGAGGUGGGCCUGCGAUCUUGGCUUCAUAUGGCAAAUGAAUCAAAAGAUGAACCAUGAUGUCAAAGAAUGAUGGAGGAAAUAUCCACUCCAACUUACAUAAUAUGAGAAUAAUUUUUUCCUCUUGUUCUUCUAAAACAUCUAGGUAUAUACUUCGUGUGCAUAAUUUUUGGAAAAACUCGCUGAGUUCGUACAACACAAGUCGAACUUCCUUUUUCAAACAACCCCUAAUUGAUAAAGGCAACAACCGUUGGAUGAAAACAUAAAAGUCAUGACUUUUCAUGCGUGACAACCGGAAGUCCCCCCCCUUUAAUGCAUCUAGAUAUAUUCGAGGCAAAUCCAUCCGGGAACUUAAGUGACUUCAAGAAAUCUAAUAUCUUUUGUUUCUCUUCCUUUGUCAAAUGGUAACAAGCCAUAGGCAUUAUAAAUGAAUUGCCAUCUGGUUGUAAAUGUAAGCUCUUUUUUAAUCCUUUAUCCAUUAAAUCCUUGCGAGAUUUCCAUGUGUCCUUUGUUUUAUUCUUAAUAUUGAACAAUGUGGCGGUCAAGCUUUCUGUCACAUUCUUAACAACAUGCAUGAUAUCAGUGUUGUGUCUCAAUUUUAGUUUAGCCCAAUAUGGAAGCUUAAAUCAUUUCCGCUAAAUCGAGGCUCCUUGCAGUCGUCAUUUGGACAGUGGGUAUGAGACGCAUAUUGUUUUCGAUAAAGAACACAGUCAUUAACACAUGCGUGAAUUUUUUCUCCUUGAAAACCCAAAUCACGUAUGUAUUUUUUUGCUUCAUAAAUUUUUUUGGGACUAAUGAUGGAGUUGGCAAGGCUUUUCUAAAUAUAUCAAGCAAAGCAUCAAAUGAUUUGAUGGACCAACCACUUGUUGUCUUUAUAUGUAAAAUUGUAACAAUAAACGAAAAUUGUGAGUAACUUUGACACCCUUCAUAAAGUUCCCGGUGCGCUUCAUCCAUCAAUCUUCAGAGGCCUUCUAAAUCCUUGUCUAUGGUACAUGAGGAAUCACCACUAGCUUGCCAAUUAUCACCCCAGUUACUUUGACCUAUGUUAUUUAACAUCUCAUCAAGGUCAUCAUCAUUUAAGUCAUCACAAGCCCCAUCAACUUCAUCCAUUGAUAUGUCAUCAUCCGAUGUAUCAUAUGACUCACCAUGAUAUAUCCACCUAACAUAACUAACAACAAUUCCUAUUUGCAUCAAAUGUGAGAAUAUAGCUGUUCGGUUAUGAUGUCGAAAAUUAUUGCAUUUUUUGCAAGGGCAUAGAACUUUUGACAACACUUCUCUAUCGCGGUAUGCAAAAUUAAGGAAUUCAUUUACACCCAACUCAUAUCUUGGGUCCUUCAUCCUUUGAACUAUAUUCAUCCAAGACUUAUCCAUAUGAUCUGGUAAAAGAAAAUUUCCUGAAAAUGGCAUAAAUGUAUAAUGACAGUGAAAUAGAAAACUCAGGUGGGGUUGUUAAAUUAAGCAAUAAGUUAAUCUAAACAUUGUAUAUGAGAUAGAAACUAAAAUGUAUUACUAACUUACAGAUCUAUUAAAGAUAACUAGCAUGCCAAUUAAUCUAAAGUAGAAUCUGAAAGUUUUCUUAAUCAUUUAGAAAGGUUUGUCACUACAAAAUAAUGCAAGAAAUAGCAACAUACUUUUUUCAUUUGUUUAUUUAUUUUACAACUUUACUUCAGUUUAUUUCUGUAAAAACUUUCAAAGUAGAAUGUUGUAAUUGUGUAAAAUUUUCAAAGCAUUAUGAGAAAAAAAUGAAAAUACAGUGUUGUAUUAGAAAGAAAGGAAAGCAAGAUGCUACUGUUAUAAUUUAUACACAAAAAUAAAUGAAAGAAAAUUGUAUUUGUAUUUUGAUGACAUUGCUCAAAUUGAUAAAUAAAUCAAUGGAAAUACGUUGCUAUUUUUAGCAUUUAACUUUUUCUUUAAAACUGUUAUAUUAUUGAUUAUAUUAUUAGUAACUUACUAGAGAUAUGAUUCUUAGGUUCAUAUGUAUGUGGAUGAUUGUGAGAAGGUUACUACUCAUUAUCAGGUAAAAAUUAUACAAAAAUUUAAUUGGAAUAAUAUGAACAUUUCAUGUAGAAUGGACCAUUUUGCCCCUAUCCUCUUCAAACCCAAGAUGCACAAACUCAGGUUUUGUUUGUAGGGAAAGAAAAGGAGAUGACAAAAAUGGAGAAGGGCAAAAUGGUCAUUUUCAUGAUAUGUGUGUCUAUAUAGUAUGCCCUACAACUAUGAAAACAUAAAUUUACCGUCACUAGGACCAUUUCUAUUACAAUUUACUGUCAAAAGGACCGUUCUAAUUGAUGUUACAAAACAAUAUCUUCAUCUCUUUAACAACAUUGUAUUAUCAUUAGUCAAAACAUAUGUUUUUCAAAACAGAGACAUAUCACAUAAUCAAAGGGUAUUAUAAUUAGAAUUGUGCAGCAACAUUGUUUUCAAAAUGACGACAUCAUUAAAACAUAUUUUUUUUCAAAACAAUGACAUAAUCAUGUACUUUGUAGAUAUGGUAUUAAUAAACCAAAAUAAUCAGUUCAUACCUGAUGCUUAUGGUUUGUAAGUGACUACAACUGAACUCAUAAGCAAUAUCACUUGAUAUUUUGUGACAGGUUCGUGGAAACCUUCUAAACAUAACCACAAGAAAAAAAACUGCACUAGAUAUAGCACAAUAUAGAUUUGGGCUUCCUUAACCAUUUCUGCAAUCUUGUUUUUGUGUUAUGAAAUGGAUGAAUUGAUUAGAUACAAAAGGGAAAGAGCUACUAGAGAAAAGACCGUUUUGCAGACACAAUUCUAAAAGCACUCCACCAGGACGAAAAAGCGGACCCCAUCAACUUGAAAACCAAAAAAGGAAAUGAAUCAAGAAAAUGAAACUUAAAGAAAACGAAGAGGAAGUGUUGUCAUUGUUAGACCCUUUUGUUGGAUUGUUAUGCAGUUGCUUAAGCUCAAAGUAUGAAGAUAAUAGAAAAACUACACUUUUUGUUAUGAUGUACGAAUGUUCAAGCAUAAUGUCUGGUGAAAUACGAAAAUUCCCUGAAGUUCUUCAUUUAUCUUCUAAUGGCAUCAUAUAUCUAUCAAAUGAAGUAAUGGCAAAAGAAAAAUCCUUACAUUCACUCAUUACAUUUGAAGGCUUUUCAAGAAUUCCUACCCCUGAUUACAUAUUCGAACAGAGGUAUCUCAGGGUUUUGCAUUUAGGAAUCAGGUAAAUGAGAAAUCUGUCUAAGUUACCUGAAGAAAUCAGGUACAUGAGAAAUCUUAGACAUUUGAAUAUCCAUGGGUGUUGCUCUUUUUAUCAUAUGCCACUUGGCAUGGGUCAGUUAUGCCACCUAAGAAGACUCAACACGUUUCUUGUGGGCCAGGGAGUCCAAGUAAGCGAGUUACAAGAGUUGAAUCUUUUAGGAGGAGAGUUUAGCAUAAAGGGUCUUACAAAUAUGAAAGAUUCAUUUCAAGCUCAGAGUGCAAACUUGAAAAAGAAACAUAAUAUAAACUGUUUAAAUCACUGAGUAAAGAGCUUAACAAGAGGGAAGCUCUAACAGAAAGGAAGAAACAAAAGCCAAAGCCUUCCGUGAUAUGGUCCAAAAGCAGAAAAUCUCAACUUAUCAAGAAAACUGAAUUGAUUCCAUAUUAUUAUAUUAUCCAAAAAAGUAACACAAGAACAAGAAAUAGUAGGAAAAAUAUGGCAUCACAUCAUAUUGUAGGGCUGGUGGAAAAUUCAUGGGAAAGGAAGGUUAGUAACUUUGUCAAAUAGAACAAAUCAUGGCAUACAAGUGUAUAUAUGAGAAGGUGAUUCAAUUUAAUUCAAUGUGAUUGUAAAACUCAGUUAAGCCUAGAAAAAGAAGUUGAUAGUCACUCAAUCGAUUGACUUAUCUAAUCAUGCGAGUUUGGAGUACCUGUUUGGCUUCAACUUUGACUCCGAGUAGAGAACAGAAGUGCGUCAAUAGGAGGGCGUGGAGGACGAUGGACCGCCGACCAAGAAAAAGAAGUUUUAGUCACUCAAUCGAUUGACUUAUCUGAUCAUGCGAGUAUGGAUUACCUGUUUGGCUUCGAGUUUGACUUCGAGUGGAGAACAGAGGUGCAUCAAUGGGACGGUGUGGAGCGACAAUGGAACGGAGGAGAUGGACCGGCGACGAUGGGUAGGCAGCGAUGGACUGGAGAUCUAACAAGGUCUGGUCGCGCAGGCGAUCGGAGAUCGGAGGUGGGAGAGAAAUUAACUGUGGAGUUAUCGUGAAAAAGUGUGGAGGAUGCUUUGAACGAGUGGGGAGCUGUGAACUGAGGUAUCGAUUCGGGGCAAAAAAAUGUGUUGAGUCGAUUUAGGGCACAGUACCCUUUAUCGGUAGUUAAAUUAGUUAGCUUGUUUAUCCUCUUUAUAUAUAUAAUUAAUUUGGUCAAAUUAGUGGUCAAAAUUAAUCAAGUCAAUUUGUAAACCUAUUUUUCCGACAAUAUUAGACAAUUUUUUCUAAAUCAGGUACAAUUUUAGUCGAUAUGGUAUUAUUUUUUCUUCAUUUUGAGGUAAGCUUCCAACAAUUUCCAGCAUACAAUUUUUUUAUUAUAUAUAUUUUGAGGAUUCAAUUUUGGACCUGAUUUUGAAGUUCCAUAUCAUGACUUUGAGAAGCCUUAGCAAUUUUAUCAUAAAUUUACGAUAGUGUUCUUUUGAUUCUCAUUUUAAUUGUAACUUCAUUUACCAAUUAAUCUAGAAUCCAUUUAUUGCAAGAAUACCAAUUUUGUUCUUUUUUUUUAGAUUGUGACAUACAAUAUAUGUUAUUGAUCUUUUGGUACUGCGGUGGUCUCCUUAUUUAGUCAAAAUAUAAAUACAACUAGUACUUUUUCUAAUGUGUUUUUUUUUUUUUCAAAUAUAUGUAGUCAGUGACCACUACUUAUUGGUUACUAAUUGUUUUUUUUCUUGUAAUUCAUCAGUGACCACUAUUGAGUGGUCAUUAAUUGUUUUUCCACAUUACAUUUACUUAGUGACUGCUAUUUUUGGUCACUAAACCUUCAAUACAGUGACCACUUUUUUGUCACUAAAUUUCUAACAUAUUGACCAUUGUUCUUAAUCACUAUAUAGUUAACAUAGUGAUCAUUAUUUUUAGUCACUAAAUAGUUGUUAUUAUAUGAAGCAAAAACAGUUAAAUUUUUUUGCAUUUUAGUGACUGAGUUAGUGACCACCACAUAUAAUUCGUCAUUAAAUUUGUAGGAUUACCAAAAUUUAAUGACCACUUAAUUUCUAGUGACUAAUAGAUGCUUUCGGUGACCAAAUUUUAGGUGGUCACUUAAAAAUAGUCACUAAUAAGGACUUUUCUUGUAGUGUGAAUAAUUGUAAAAAUUUGAAGUCAAUCGAGCAUCCUCCACAUACACUAAGAGUGUUGUUCGUCGUUUCUCAUAGGCCCUCUAUAGAAAAAUUGGUAUUAAAUCGAACAACAUCAUACACCAAUUAUCAUAUAACGAUAUAGAUUACGGACGUUGGUCAUAUGAAAUAGAAGGCAUGAUCAAAAUCCAAGCAAUGGUGGGUGUUGACGAAGAGGUAUUGCGUAGCUUGGGCUGGACUAAUCUAGACUUCCUUAAUGACACGCGUGUGGGAACUAAUUCUGUUUUGUCUAGUUAAAUGUUUGUCUUUAUGUAAAUACAUUUAAUAUAAUUAUUACGGUGAUUAAUUAAGGUGGUUUGUAUUUGGGAGACGAUGCAUUAUGAAUUUGGAAUACUUAGCACAAUGUAUGAGGCGGAGGAGAUGCCGAGUUGGUUUAGGCAUAGAAGCGUGGGGCCAUCAAUAUUAUUUACCAUCCCAUCGUCUCUAAACUGCCUUAGAGGGUUCAACUUCUGCUCUGUGCAGACAUUGCGAGUUCCAGAUGAGGAUUCAGGAAUCCAUCUUUCGCCAAAGAUCACAAUUAGUAAUAUAACAAAGAAUCGCACAUGGAUAUACCAACGUCGCUUGACCAGAUCUAGUGUAUGUCGAGAGUGUUGCGUGAUGUUAAGUCAUUGGAUGUUUGGAAUGAAUGACAUGGAAGGUGGUGACCAGGUUACUAUUACUGUUACAGGGCCAUAUAAUGAACUUAUAAAGGAGUGUGGGGUGAGAGUCAUGUAUGUUGAUGAUGAUGAUGGUGCGUUAGGUUAUUACAAGUCAUGGAAUCUCAUAAUUGGUGGAGAUCUCUCUCCUUUUCAAAUGACAACAGGAGAAUACAUCCUAAACAACUGGGAUUUUGGAAUCCACUUUAUGAAUUUUUUCAUGCAGUUAUUCUAAAUGCAUUAGAGAAGGCGCCAGCUAUCAAGGUUGAUGUCAUUCUUAUUAAAUAUUUUGUUAUCAUAGCCUAAUUCGUCUAAAUAAGUACAUCAUAUGACCCAAAUCCACCCAUUUAUUAUUGAUUUUGUUUGCCCUCUAAGCUAAAAGUUUAUUUUUAAUGUAUCGAUCCAGAUGCACGAUGGGUCGACCUAAGUAUUGAUCCGUCUAAAUGGGUUGAUCUGCUACAUCAAUUGAUUAAGUUUUUUGAUAUGUUGGGUCACAUAAUUAUAAUAUACCAGGACCAAUACAACUACUUUGUCCAAAUGGAUGUAUGUGAAUAGUGAUUGACACAAUGCUUUUUUUUCUCUGUAUUUUCAACACAAAAGGAAGUGUGGUUCAAAGAUUUUUCGCAAAGGAAGCCUGACAUAAUUGGUCAUGCACGUGAGGUAUAUUUUUAUACCUGAACAUUUCUCUCGUCACAUAAAUAAAGGGAAAAUGACUUAGGUUUUGUCCACAUUUGGUCACUUUCAUUUUUUUUGACAACAUUAACCAUUAAAUUCUCAUUUUCUGUUCAAGUUAUAGUAGGUUAAUGCCCAAUUGGCAUAUACUUGGCAUCUACAUGGUGGCAUUUGAGAUUAGCUGAUACGUGAUAUAAGGUAUUUCUUCACCCUCUUGCUCUUUUGUGCCCUAGAAUAACAAAAUCGACACGUCUUCUUCUUCUUCUUAAUCUGCCAGUAAAAAUCAAGAAUUCCAAGUUGAAAAUCCUUGAAAAUGUGGGUUACCUUCUCGAUUGAGGACAUCACUGAUGACAACCCUGAAGAAAGUUUAGAGUGUGCCCUAACUCGAUGGUAAAUCAAAUUAUGUUUUUUAUUUAACACUUCUUUUUUAUGUUCUUGUUUUAACAUUUCUAUUUAUUCAAGACUAAAAGGAAAAGUUGCAAUUUCUAGGAGUGGUCGAUGAAGAUUUUCAAUAUGAAGAUUUAAACAUCAAGUUGAAGUCGAAGAAUAUGGGUGUAAUGCAAGCUUAUGAACUAAUGCUGAAAAUUUGCUACAUCAGAGCAUGAGAUGAAGAUGGACCACGAAAUGGAGGCACUGAAAUGGAAGGUGUCCACUCACAAAAUAGUGCUCUUGUGUUGUUUGUUAUGCUUGUAGUUAAUCUACUUUAGGUUAGGGAUUAUAUUUGUUUAGGAUACAUUAUUUUUGUUGUAAGUUACAAUACAUUAUUUUUUGUUUAGGAUACUAUAUUUGUAGUUCUUCCCAUACUCUCCCUCUAUUUUCCUCUUUAUAGUGGGCCUCCCACGUAACCUUCUUUUUAAGGGGGGUUAAUGGAUUGUGAGCAUCAACAUGAGGCUACAUGACACAAUUAAAAGUCAUAAGUUCAAUCAUUAACUUUUUUACUUGAUUUUUGGAUGUUGCUUUUUCAAAUGAAGCAAUCAUUGAUGGGGAUUAUAUUAGAUGUCCUUGUUCUAAAUGCAAGAACAAGUCUUAUAAAACAAGAGGUGAUGUAGAGCUUCAAUUGUUACAAAACGGUUUCACUCCUAAUUUCAUAACUUGGCAGGCCAAUGGUGAAAGAAAUACGAUAUCUCAGCAUGAGGAAUAAUCUUCUAAUCUGAUGCAGGAUCCGAUGGAAGAUGAUGAUGAUGAUGAUGAUGAUGUUAAUGGGUGUACACAAAUGUUGAUGGAUGUAAUGGAAGGACUCCUGCAUCCAACCGCCAAGGGGUUCUAUGAUAUGUUAGAAGACGCUGAUGAACCUUUGUGGCAUGGAUGUGAAAAUUAUUCAAAAUUAGAAGUUGCAACAGAAAUGUUGCAUUGGAAGUCUGAAUACAAUAUAUCUAAGGCUACUUAUGAUCACAUACUUCCUAUAAUUAAGCGGAUGCUACCCAAAGGUAAGAAACUAGUUGAGAACUUCUACGAGACGAAGAAGCUUUUGCAAAGAAUUAGACUCCCAGAAAAAAAAAGAUUCAUGCUUGCAAAAACCAUUGCAUGAUAUUCUAUGGGGCUGAUUCUGAUUUGACUAAGUGUCGAGUGUGUGAUCAUGAUCGGUACAAGAGUGGCAGAUAUCUGGUUAUGAGGUACUUUCCGAUUGCUCCUAGACUCCAAAGGUUGUAUUUGACAAAAAGAUGGCAAAGCAAAUGACAUGGCACUAUGAACAUCAAACAUAAUCGGGUUUGAUGGUCCAUCCAAGUGAUGGUCAGGCUUGGAAGCAUUUCGACUCAAUGCAUCCAGAAUUUUCAAGUGAACCACAGAAUGUUCGCCUUGGGCUAUGCACUAUGGUUUCAGUCCAAAUAACUCAAAUAUAACCUCGUAUUCAUGUUGGCCUAUUUUCCUUUCAAUUUAUAACUUGCCUUCUUGGAUGUGCUUAAAAGAACCAUAUGUUCAAUUAAGCAUAGUUAUUCCUGGAAAAAAGAGCCCAGGUCAAAAUAUAGAUGUGUUUCUCAGGUCAUUAAUUGAUGAGUUAAAGAUGCUAUAUACAGAUGGCAUUGUCACUUAUGAUGCUUCGAGUAAAUGCAAUUUCACAAUGAAAGCUAUACUUCUUUGGACAGUUAGUGACUUUCCUACCUAUGCAAUGUUAUCGGGAUGGAUCACACAUGACAAGUUAGCAUGUCUGUAUUGUAUGGGUGAGUCGGGGUCGUUUUGUUUACACCAUGGUAGUAAACCAUGUUGGUUUGACUGCCAUCAAAAUUUUUUACCUGAACAACACACAUAUAGGGGUGACAAAAUAGGAUUUUUGGCUAAUAAGGUUGAUCGAUCUAGCUCCCCACCAAUAUUAACCGGUGAUCAGAUUUGGGAGCAAGUACGACACUUUCCAACGGUUUAUGAAGGCAAACCUUUUAAGAGAAGAAUGCAAAAUUGCCUGGUUUCGGGAUUACUCAUAAUUGGGUUAAGAGGAGCAUCUUUUGGGAGCUACCAUAUUGGCAGAAGUUGUUAAUACGACACAACCUUGAUCCCAUGCACUUUGAAACAAAUGUGUUUGAAAAUAUUUUCAACACCGUGAUGGACACUCCAAAAAACAAAGACAACAUGAAUGCAAGAAACGAUAUAUGUCACACCCCAAAACCGAUAACGGCGGAAUGUGUUUCAGGGUGGAUGACGUAGUGUACGGUAUCAUCAUAAUUGUAUAAUAGUAAAAGCAAGAAACAUACAACCAUUUCAUUUACAUAGUAAGUGUAAUUACAAGUGUGUUUUGUAAUGUUUGACAAACACCAAAAGUAAACAAAAAUAAGAUAUGGGUCUUGCAUGCUCCAUCUUCUCCGAAAAUGCUGCAGUUUUACCUGUCUAUCUUUGACCUAAAGAUACAAGUUAUUUUGAAAAGAAUAUCAGCAUAAAGCUGGUGAGUUCAUAAGAGUUUAGUGUGAGUUCUUAUAUAAAAAGCAUUAGAAUCAUUAGUAUGAAAGCUGAAUGUUUGUUGUCAUGAGUAGUAGUAAAACCUAGAAAAUCCUAUAUUUUCCAGAACUGAAUAGUAAGUGAAAACCAUUAUGAAAUAUGAUAUUUCCAUCUUUGAAAACCAUUUAUCGUAGAAGUAUAAUAGUGACUCACCAAUAAGUAAAGCAAUAUAGUGAGUUAUACUUGAAGUAAAUAAUAGUGGUGCAGCUUCCUUUAGUAUUAGAUACUUAUUUACUUCGGGAUAUUAACUUCAUCUUUCGUUUAGUGUUUUAGUGCGGUUAUAGUGUAUUUCUUGUAUGUUACCAAUGGUGUGAGUAAUAGCGGACCCCCAUGACCUUCCCAGUCAUGUAUAGUGUAGUGGAGUAAAGGCAUCCCUGGACCUGUGCGGCUCGGACUGAAAUUAUCAGUCGGGAUGUAAUAGCGUCUGCCCCGUAUAGAUCUAUACAUAUAGUGUCGUCUUCCUAUCAGAAAACUUCGGGCGUAGUGUGUAGUGAAUAGAGUAUCUCGUAGUGGGUAAAUGAGUUAUAUUAUGAUUUGUACUUUCUCUUGUGUUGUAGUGGGGUAGUCUUUUGUAUAACUUGUAUUGUACUCUCUUAAUAGUGUAUAGUUUUCAUAAUAGAGAGAAUUAUAGUAGUGUAGAGUAGUAGUUAAAACAAGAGAUAGAGACCUUAACUAUACCUAUUAUAGUUAACUUAGUGUAUAUGGUUCUAGUCAAGUUAGUGAUUUAGGCAUCUACUGAAAUAAGAAGUACUCGUAAUCCAUACUAAUAUACGAGAUAUAUAACUAAGAAAUCAACGACAGUCAGACGGAUAACCACUACCCUAAGUCCACAAUCAGACAAGAACAGGAAAUAAGGCGAGCUAUCGGUCCUAAGUCCUUCAAGUCUUACUUAUAUAAAUAUAUCAGUGUGAUUACAUUUUUAUGAAGAGAUUUAUUAAAUAAAAGUAUUGUACAAAAGAGACAUUUAAAACUUGUUUGUCCAUUCAAAAUAGUUUUGAAAAUAAAUGAUUGAUUUAUAAGGCAUAGUGAUAAAUCACAUGUGAUUUGAACUACAGGUAGUGAAUCACAUGUGAUUAAUUCUGUAAUAUGUAAAAUUUUCUUGUAUAACUUUCCAUAAACAUGUAUAUUGAACUUGUAUCUCCCCCCUAAAACAUAUAAAACAUUUGAAAGGUUCAUUAAAGGGGUAUGAACUCACCUGAAUUCGCGUAAAUCGGGUGAAUCGGGUAAAUCGGGUAAAAGUGUCGGUUGAGCGUUUUGUUCCAAACAAUGACUUGUACACCUUUUAGGACCCUAAUGUCAUAUGAAAAUAUGUAUUUUACAAGAAAUUAAUCAUUUUAUGCUUUCCGUUUAAGUAUUGAGGCAUUCUAGCAUCAAUUCGGGGUUUUAGGGCCUAGAAGGGGUUCCCGGGAGUGGUUUAAGGCUAAGAAGGAUUUACGGGAGGUUCCAUGAGCUCACUCCCUUGGAGUUUACGGCCCAAAGGCCACUCCUUGGGAGUUUACGGCCGUAAGCCCCCUAGGCUUGGCCGUAAACUCAUGUGGUCCUCCAAAUUGUAUGUUUAAGGCCUUAUUUCACUUCCUUACUUUAAUGGUAUGAGUCUUGGACCAAUAUGGAGGGAUUAAACUCUUAUUUUUGUGUCAUUUUGGGGAGUUUAUGGCCAAGGCUUGUUCUUGGGCCGUAAACUCCAUUUAAUCCAUCAAAAUGGGUGUUUAAAUGGUACAACAUGUUCUCAUUCACCUUAGGUAAAUCCUAGAAGGCCUUAAAAUGAGUUUUGGGACAAUUUGGCAUGAAAAUUGGGGAGUUUACGGCCCAAGAAUAUCCUUGGCCGUAAACUCUUCAUUUGGCCUCAAAAUGGGAAGUUUAAUGGUACAACACACAUCCAAGGGCCUUAGCUAAAUUCCUUACAUGCAUUAGAGAAGUUUUGGGACUUGUUUGACACAAAAACUUGGGUGUUUACGGACCAAGCUUAGCCUUGGCCGUAAACUCCUCUUUUUGUCCUCAAAUGAUGUUGUUUGAUGCAUUUAAACCUUCCUUAGUGUCAAGUAUAAAUUACCAAACACCUUAGAUGAGUUUUUGGGGUGUUUACGGCCUAAGCACAAGCUUGGGCCGUAAACUCCUUUUUAAGCUUCAAUUCCUUGUGUUUUAGUGUCCAAACUCUCCUAGGUAUAUGCCUUAAUUAGUCCAUAAGCUUAAAGGAAGGAAAAAUGAGGUUUUUGGCAAGUUUCUAGGGGUUUACGGCCUAAGGGGCUUCUUAGGCCGUAAACUCCUUUUUGGUCCUUGAUUUCUAUGAUUUUGGCCCCUAAAUACAGUGAAGUAUGUCUAGAUUAAGAUAGGGAAUGAGUCCUUACGUUUGGAAGCCGGAAAUUCGCGGAUUUAGGGUCGAUUUCGGGUCUAGAGAGAGAAAGUAGUGAGACAGAGGUGAGGGUGUGGUAAAAGAGUUCAAUUGUAGUGUCCCUUUGUUUAUAUAUGUCUCGGGUAUUGCACCCGAUACACGGCUACCCGAUGCUAACGUUUAACGGGGUUAAAACUUUUUACCCGGGUGAAGUGGUUGAAAAGUAAUAUAACUCUAUUUAGUUAAACGGGGUUAACAUUUACAAGUUAUAAUUACUUAUGAUAAUAUCGUGACAUAUGAAUAACUAGAUAUUUGUUUAUUGACGACUCCCAACCAUUACCGAAAAUAAUAUAUAGUGACGCAUUCCGUUAGUGAAAGUAGGGUUUGUAACGGCAAUAUAUUUGGGGUUGUCACAUUAUCCCCCCGUUAGGGGAAUUUCGUCCCGAAAUUUAGAAUUUAUACAGAUCAGAAUUACAGUACUACUACGCGAAGAGAUGGUGGUAUUUGAGUUUCAUUUGGUCUUCGCGCUCCCAAGUGAAUUCCGGUCCUCGUUUGGCGUUCCACCGAACUUUCACAAUUGGGAUACGGCUUUGUUUCGUUCGUUUUACUUCUCGAUCCAUGAUCUCCGCAGGCUCUUCCACGAAGUUGAGGCUCUCAUUGACCUCAAUCUCGUCAAGGGGAAUUACGAGUGUCUCGUCUGACAGGCAUUUCUUCAAGUUACAGACGUGAAAGGUAGGGUGUAUGUUGCUUAGUUCGUGAGGUAGGUUGAGUUUAUAAGCUACGGGGCCGACUCUAACGAGAAUCUCAAAAGGCCCUAUGUACCUUGGGUUCAGCUUUCCAUGCUUUCCAAAGCGUAUCGUGCCCUUCCAGGGUGAGACCUUCAACAGGACUCGAUCUCCCACCUGGAAUUCCAAGGGUUUUCUUCGUUUGUCGGCGUAACUUUUCUGUCGAUCCCUAGCGGCUUUUAGUCGUUCACGUAUCUGUACAAUCUUCUCGGUCGUCUCUCGAAUGAUCUCCGGACCAGUGAGAGAGCUGUCAGGAACUCUUCCUCUAGCUAGCUGAGUGUCACCCACCUCAGCCCAGCACAGAAGGGAUCUGCACUUACGCCCGUAGAGGGCUUCGAAUGGGGCUGUCUUGAUGCUCGUAUGAUAACUAUUAUUAUAUUACAAAACUCCACAAGAGGUAAGUGUGUGUCCCAUGAUUUGCCAAAGUCAAUCACACAAGCUCGCAACAUAUCUUCUAAGGUUUGAAUCGUCCUCUCACUUUGUCCGUCGGUCUACGGAUGGUAGGCUGUACUCAUGUCCAGUCUCGUUCCUAGUGCCUUUUGCAAUGAUUGCCAAAAUCUAGAGGUGAAUCUACUAUCUCUGUCUGAUAUAAUAGAUAUAGGGACGCCAUGCAGUCGCACUAUUUCUUUUAUAUAUGUUCUAGUGAGCUUCUCCAUCUUGUCCGUCUCCUUGAUGGGUAGAAAGUGUGCAGACUUGGUCAACCUGUCAACGAUGACCCAAAUGGUAUCUAAUCCACCUGCUGUCUUGGGCAGUUUGGUGAUAAAGUCCAUUGUGAUUCGCUCCCACUUCCAUUCUGGUACCUCCGGUUGUUGGAGGAGUCCUGAUGGCUUUUGAUAUUCGACUUUGACCUUCGCGCAAGUAAGGCACUUACUUACAAAUGUAGCGAUCUCCUCUUUCAUGUUCGGCCACCAGUAUCGGUUUUUGAGAUCCAGAUACAUCUUAUCUGAACCCGGGUAAACGGAGUAACGAGUGUUGUGUGCUUCCCUCAUAACCAAGUCUCUGAAACCUCCAUGGCGUGGAGUCCAGAUUCGGUCCAUGAAGUAGUAGGCUCCGACACCCUUAACCUCCAGAUUUUUAUCCAUUCCGCGCAGGGAUUCUCCUAUCACGUUCUCGGGCUUUAAGGCUUCUAGCUGAGCCUCUUUGAUCUGUGCGGAUAGAUGCGAAUGGAUAGUCAUUGUCAACGACUUGGUCCUUCGACCGGAAUAUUCCUUUCUACUCAGGGCGUCAGCUACUAUGUUGGCUUUCCCCGGAUGAUAUCUAAUUUCACAGUCGUAAUCGUUAAGUAGCUCGACCCAUCGACGCUGUCUCAUGUUGAGUUCUUUUUGGUUCAGUAUAUGUUGGAGGCUUUUAUGAUCAGUGUACACCACGCUCUUCGUCCCAUACAAGUAGUGUCUCCAGAUUUUUAGUGCGAAGACGACCGCUCCUAACUCGAGGUCGUGAGUAGUGUAGUUCACUUCAUGGUUCUUUAGCUGUCUCGAGGCAUAGGCGAUAACCUUGCCUCGUUGCAUCAAGACACAACCGAGCCCCUGAUUGGAUGCAUCACAGUAUACGACGAAAUCUUCUGUCCCUUCGGGAAGGGAUAAUACUGGUGCGGUGCAUAGGGCUCGCUUCAGGGUCUGAAAUGCCUUCUCCUGUUUCUCUUCCCAGUCGAAUGAUACACCCUUCUGAGUUAGCAUAGUGAGAGGCUUCGCAAUUCGAGAGAAAUUUUGGAUGAAUCUGCGGUAGUAGCCAGCGAGGCCUAGAAAUUGACGAAUUUCUGUAGGCGUCUUCGGUGCUGACCAGUUCUCAAUAGCUUUAAUUUUGGAGGGGUCCACGUGGAUUCCGUCUUCACUGACCACGUGCCCUAAGAAUUCAACUCUUCGGAUCCAAAACUCGCACUUAGAGAACUUCGCAUACAACUUCUCGGAUCGCAGGGUUUCCAGGACUAAUCGUAAAUGAUUUCUGUGCUCUUCCUCGCUCCGAGAGUAGACGAGUAUGUCAUCAAUAAAGACGAUGACGAACUGAUCUAGAUAUGGACGACAUACCCUAUUCAUCAAGUCCAUGAAUACUGCGGGGGCGUUAGUCAGUCCAAAGGGCAUCACUACGAACUCAAAAUGCCCGUAGCGGGUUCGGAAGGCUGUCUUUGGAACAUCUUCCUCAAGCACCCGUAACUGAUGAUACCCCGAUCUAAGAUCAAUCUUGGAGAAGUAACUUGCUCCUUGGAGUUGGUCGAAUAGAUCGUCGAUACGAGGGAGAGGAUAGCGAUUUUUGAUCGUGAGUUUAUUGAGUUCCCUAUAAUCGAUGCACAUCCGAAACGACCCAUCCUUUUUCUUCACGAACAAGACCGGAGCUCCCCAAGGUGAGAAGCUCGGUCUUAUAAAGCCCUUGCUGAGCAGUUCGUUGAGUUGACCGGAUAGUUCUUGCAUUUCGGCGGGCGCUAGACGGUAGGGCGACUUAGCUACGGGGGUAGCUCCUGGGAUUAGGUCGAUUCUGAAUUCAACCUGUCGUUUGGGAGGUAGGCCUGGAAGAUCCUCCGGGAAGACAUCAGGAAAAUCGCAUACUACAGGAAUGUCUUUUGGAUCUUUCGAUUUCUGGUUAGUGUCGACAACGUGAGCAAGAAAGGCGCGAUAUUCCUUGCGCAAGUAUUUCUGAGCCUGAAUACUAGAGAUGAUACGAAGGUUUGUACUUGGCUUAUCUCCGUAUAUCAAUAGGGUCUCUCGAUUCGGAAAGUUCAGGCGAAUGGCUUUCUCGGAGCAUAGGAUGUCGGCGUAGUGAAGGCUUAGCCAAUCCAUACCAACAAUGACAUCGAAAUUUUUGAUUGAGACUGGUAUAAGAUCGAUUAAAAAGGGGUGAUCAUCUAACGUGAGAGUACAACCUAUAUAGAUUUCAUUAGAGCUUUCUGUCUUCCCAUUAGCCAUUUCUACAACGAAUGUUUCUUUUAGUGGUUGAGGGGUUUGUUUGAGUAAGUGUUUAAAGUUUUGAUUUAUGAAGCUUCUUUCUGCACCACUAUCGAAUAAGACACAGGCAUAAGAGUUGUUGAGAAGAAACGUACCCGUGACCACCGUGGGAUCGGCUACCGCUUCAUUGUGACCGAUAGCAAGUAACCUUCCAGUUCCCCCAGCAUUUGCAGCCUUCGGACAGUUCUUCUUAAAAUGGCCCGCUUCACCGCAGCCAUAACAAGUUGGGGUCACUCCCGUACCAGGAACCUGUGUGAUAGGUUUGGGAGGGGCCUUGCAAAAUCGGACAGUAUGGCCCUUUCGUCCGCAGUUGGAACACUGCAAUUCACGGCAAGGACCGUUGUGGUGAAAAGGGCACUUGGGACACUUAGGCAAGUUUCCACUGUAAGCCUUCGGUGGGGCUGGAGCAGCUGGUGUGGCUGGGGUGGUGGCAGCAUGGACCGCCACAAUUUGCUGGUCCUUAGAGGCGGUUUGAGUCUUCUUGCCCUUCUUCUUAUCCCAUCGUUUCCUUUUUCUGUCAGAUGAUCCGGAUGGUGCAGUGGUUGUUGUGGUUGUUGUUGCUGGAGUGGAGGAGAUUUCGUGGUUGAUCAGACUCUGGGCCAAUUCCUUGGCGCUGUCGAAAGUGGUAGGGCGUGAAGCCAGAACAUUUCCUCGAUACGGGGGCACUAAACCCCAGAUGUAACGUUCAAUCUUCUUGCUUUCAGAGGGGAUCAUGUUGGGACACAUAGCCGCCAAGUCGCAAAACCUGGCCGUAUAAGCCGUUAUGUCGGUCCCCUUCAUCUUGAGGUUCCAGAGUUCUUCCUCAAGCUUCUGAACUUCGCCCCUAGGGCAGUACUCUCCUCUCAUAAGAUCUUUUAGAGUGUCCCAGCCCAUGGCAUUGGCUGUGACCAAGGAGAGUGCGUUGACAUGGCCGUUCCACCAUGACAAAGCCCUGUUAGUGAGGGUAGCAGUAGCGAACUUGAUUUUGCUCUCUUCGGGACAAGAGCACAUUUCGAAUACAGCUUCGGUUCUUUCGAACCAUUGGGACAAUGCCAGAAUUCCUCCGGUCCCAUCAAAGAAAGUAGGUUUACAAUUCAUGAAGUCUUUAUAAGUGCAUCCCUGCACUCGUUGGUGGACUUCACCAAAUCUAGAAUUUCCACCGCUCGCAUCACCCGAGUUCAUUUGGGCCAUGGCUGCUGUUACAGCCGCAGUCACAGCCGCUUGGAACAACACCGGAUCGAACUGCGGAGGAGGAGGUGGUGGAGGAGGGGUUUGAGUUUCAGGUCUUCCUCUGCUGGGACGCUUUCGUGGAGGCAUCCUUCACUGGAAGAUCAUAGAAAUGAUAGCAAUAGUAAGAGCCUAUUGCGAAUAUGAAUAGUGUGUUUCAUGGAUUAAAUCAACAUAAUCCAAGAUCAGGGUAAGAGUUAUAGCAAUAGAGAAAUCAUCUGCCAAUAUACUGGUAUUAAUGAUGCAACAGAAGUUCAUGAAAAUUGACCUAGCAGUAGGUCUUACAUCAUACCAUAGAGAAAUUGUUGGCAGUUUAGAGGUUCAACUAGAGUACUUUUAAACUAGGAAUGUUUACAGACAAGAGACCUACGGAACAUAGAGAUAAAAAGGCUAGUCCUUUAAACAAAAGAGUGAGGUAACUAGACGUCUUCUACUGGCGACGGUUGCUUGUUGGGCGAAUCCUCAGAUCCACUAGUUGACGCAUAACUUCUUGAAGGUGUCGAUCAUGAGUCCUUUGGCGUGCUCGGAGUUCCCUAACUUCAGCUCGGGAUGCAGCCAGCUGAUGCUGCAGAGCCUCAUUGGUCCUCCUUAUCCUGUCCACAGCUUCUUCGAGUUGACGAAUGCGAACAGUGUUGAGGUUUGAGUUGACAUCCACUUCUACAACUCGACCAAUAGCAGCCUGACUUUGCUCAACAUUCCUGGCAAUCCUUCGGAUCAUGAUGGGCAGAACCCGAUCCGCUGAUCCUCCUUCGCUUAUGUUGUAGAAGCUGCAGUCUCCAUUGUAAGGCAAGGGCUGACCCUGCUCCUCGCUCCGUCGAUACAAGGAUAUUGCCCACAUAGGAGNAGGAGUGGGGCCCUGAAAUGCCGGACGGGGGCUAGGGUUCGGGGCUUCAGGAGGUUGGUUGUUGACUUCUGGCUCGGAGCUCGAGCUAUCCGAGAAGCCUUCAGCAUGAUGAUCAUCCAAAGGAAUCGGGUGAUCGUCGUCUGACUCCUCUUCGAGCCAUCCUCCAUUGCCCUGGUUCGGAAAGUACGGAUCGCCGGGUAGGUGGAAGCCAGCCACUAUCUACGCGAGAAAGGGGGAAAAGAAGAUUAAUAAAUGUACUAUUCUAAGAUCCUUAUAGGAUAAAUCAUUAUUAGUCGACCAAAUACUUGCAUAGUGCAUACCGAUUACAUGUAACCAAAGCAAGAUAGUCCUUAGAAUAAACCACCCUAACUUCAGACCCCCAAUCAAACAAGAACAGUGAAUGAAGCAAAGGCUGCAGAUUCUGAGUCUAUAACGCCCUAAUCACAUGUAAUCGUGGUGUAUCAACUUAGCAACUAUUGUCCCACUAGUAACGACCCCUUUUUGUUAUCACAUACGUAUAAUCUAGAGAUACGGAAUACUCCUAUAGUAUUCUUAUGGCAGCGUUAUGAUGAUAUUUGUGGUAAGUUUUAGACUUGUUGCAACAUCACAACCAAACUUAGGCACAUGCUAGUCACUCUCAGGAAAGACGUAGUUGAUCAGGCUACAUCACCCUGAAUGUGACUAUAUGUCUCUAAACCCAAUUGUGCUAUCCAACAAUCUUAAUACUUUCAUUUUGUUCUAGGAUGAUACAGACUUCGGUGUUUUAUAGUGAUGUGUGUAUAUAUAUAUAUAUACUUAGUUAGAUCUUUUAGAUACUUAACAGUAUAUAUUCUUGUACAGAGUGUUUUAGUCCCGAAGUGUUUAUAGUUCGUAUAUCUCUUAUAGGUUGAUAUACUUGAUUCACUAUAAAGAAUGCUCUGAUACCAAUCUGUCACACCCCAAAACCGAUAACGGCGGAAUGUGUUUCAGGGUGGAUGACGUAGUGUAUGGUAUCAUCACAAUUGUAUAAUAGUAAAAGAAAGAAACAUACAACCAUUUCAUUUACAUAGUAAGUGUAAUUACAAGUGUGUUUUGUAACGUUUGACAAAAACCAAAAGUAAACAAAAAUAAGAGAUGGGUCUUGCAUGCUCCAUCUUCCCUAAAAAUGCUGCAGUUGUACCUGUCUAUCUUUGACCUGAAGAUACAAGUUAUUUUGAAAAGAAUAUCAGCAUAAAGCUGGUGAGUUCAUAAGAGUUUAGUGUGAGUUCUUAUAUAAAAAGCAUUAGAAUCAUUAGUAUGAAAGCUGAAUGUUUGUUGUCAUGAGUAGUAGUAAAACCUAGAAAAUCCUAUAUUUUCCAGAACUGAAUAGUAAGUGAAAGCCAUUAUGAAAUAUGAUAUUUCCAUCUUUGAAAACCAUUUAUCGUAGAAGUAUAAUAGUGACUCACCAAUAAGUAAAGCAAUAUAGGAAGUAAAUAAUAGUGGUGCAGCUUCCUUUAGUAUUAGAUACUUAUUUACUUCGGGAUAUUAACUUCAUCUUUCGUUUAGUGUUUUAGUGCGGUUAUAGUGUAUUUCUUGUAUGUUACCAAUGGUGUGAGUAAUAGCGGACCCCCAUGACCUUCCCAGUCAUGUAUAGUGUAGUGGAGUAAAGGCAUCCCUGGACCUGUGCGGCUCGGACUGAAAUUAUCAGUUGGGAUGUAAUAGCGUCUGCCCCGUAUAGAUCUAUACAUAUAGUGUCGUCUUCCUAUCAGAAAACUUCGGGCGUAGUGUGUAGCGAAUAGAGUAUCUCGUAGUGGGUAAAUGAGUUAUAUUAUGAUUUGUACUUUCUAUUGUGUUGUAGUGGGGUAGUAUUUUGUAUAACUUGUAUUGUAUUCUCUUAAUAGUGUAUAGUUUUCAUAAUAGAGAGAAUUAUAGUAGGGUAGAGUAGUAGUUAAAACAAGAGAUAGAGACCUUAACUAUACCUAUUAUAGUUAACUUAGUGUAUAUGGUUCUAGUCAAGUUAGUGAUUUAGGCAUCUACUGAAAUAAGAAGUACUCGUAAUCCAUACUAAUAUACGAGAUAUAUAACUAAGAAAUCAACGACAGUCGGACGGAUAACCACUACCCUAAGUCCACAAUCAGACAAGAACAGGAAAUAAGGCGAGCUAUCGGUCCUAAGUCCUUCAAGUCUUACUUAUAUAAAUAUAUCAGUGUGAUUACAUUUUUAUGAAGAGAUUUAUUAAAUAAAAGUAUUGUACAAAAGAGACAUUUAAAACUUGUUUGUCCAUUCAAAAUAGUUUUGAAAAUAAAUGAUUGAUUUAUAAGGCAUAGUGAUAAAUCACAUGUGAUUUGAACUACAGGUAGUGAAUCACAUGUGAUUAAUUCUGUAAUAUGUAAAAUUUUCCUGUAUAACUUUCCAUAAACAUGUAUAUUGAACUUGUAUCUCCCCCCUAAAACAUAUAAAACAUUUGAAAGGUUCAUUAAAGGGGUAUGAACUCACCUGAAUUCGCGUAAAUCGGGUGAAUCGGGUAAAUCAGGUAAAAGUGUCGGUUGAGCGUUUUGUUCCAAACAAUGACUUGUACACCUUUUAGGACCCUAAUGUCAUAUGAAAAUAUGUAUUUUACAAGAAAUUAGUCAUUUUAUGCUUUCCGUUUAAGUAUUGAGGCAUUCUAGCAUCAAUUCGGGGUUUUAGGGCCUAGAAGGGGUUCCCGGGAGUGGUUUACGGCUAAGAAGGAUUUAUGGGAGGUUCCAUGAGCUCACUCCCUCAGAGUUUACGGCAUAAAGUCCACUCCUUGGGAGUUUACGGCCGGAAGCUCCCUAGGCUUGGCCGUAAGCUCAUGUGGUCUUCCAAAUUGCAUGUUUAAGGCCUUAUUUCACUUCCUUACUUUAAUGGUAUGUGUCUUGGACCAAUAUGGAGGGAUUAAACUCUUAUUUUGUGACAUUUUGGGGAGUUUACGGCCAAGGCUUGUUCUUAGGCCGUAAACUCCAUUUAAUCCAUCAAAAUGGUUGUUUAAAUGGUACAACAUGUUCUCAUUCACCUUAGGUAAAUUCUAGAAGGCCUUAAAAUGAGUUUUGGGACAAUUUGGCAUGAAAAUUGGGGAGUUUACGGCCCAAGAAUAUCCUUGGCCGUAAACUCUUCAUUUGGCCUCAAAAUGGGAAGUUUAAUGGUACAACACACAUCCAAGGGCCUUAGCUAAAUUCCUUACAUGCAUUAGAGAAGUUUUGGCACUUGUUUGACACAAAAACUUGGGUGUUUACAGGCCAAGCUUAGCCUUGGCCGUAAACUCCUCUUUUUGUCCUCAAAUGAUGUUGUUUGAUGCAUUUAAACCUUCCUUAGUGUCAAGUCUAAAUUACCAAACACCUUAGAUGAGUUUUUGGGACUUUAAACAAGGGUUUUUAGGGUGUUUACGGCCUAAGCACAAGCUUGGGCCGUAAACUCCUUUUUAAGCUUCAAUUCCUUGUGUUUUAGUGUCCAAACUCUCCUAGGUAUAUGCCUUAAUUAGUCCAUAAGCUUAAAGGAAGGAAAAAUGAGGUUUUUGGCAAGUUUCUAGGGGUUUACGGCCUAAGGGGCUUCUUAGGCCGUAAACUCCUUUUUGGUCCUUGAUUUCUAUGAUUUUGGCCUCUAAAUACAGUGAAGUAUGUCUAGAUUAAGAUAGGGAAUGAGUCCUUACGUUUGGAAGCCGGAAAUUCACGGAUUUGGGGUCGAUUUCGGGUCUAGAGAGAGAAAGUAGUGAGAGAGAGGUGAGGGUGUGGUAAAAGNCUAGAGAGAGAAAGUAGUGAGAGAGAGUGAAUGAGUGGUAAAAGAGUGUUCAAAUGGUGUUCACUCUCAUUUCAUAUGCCUCGGGUGUUGCACCCGAUACACGGCUACCCGAUGCUAAAGUUUAACGGGGUUAAAACUUUUUACCCGGGUGAAGUGUUUGAAAAGUAAUAUAACUCUAUUUAGUUAAACGGGGUUAAUAUUUACAAGUUAUAAUUACUUAUGAUAAUAUCGUGACAUAUGAAUAACUAGAUAUUUGUUUAUUGACGACACACAACCAUUACCGAAAAUAAUAUAUAGUGACGCAUUCCGUUAGUGAAAGUAGGGUUUGUAACGACAAUAUAUUUGUGGUUGUCACAAUAUAGAAAUGUAUUGCAAUCGAGUGCAAUGGCAUACAUGGAAGAAGCGAAAUAAGGAUAUGAAAAAGAGAGCAUCGUUUUCUUUGAGCAAAGAACAAUUAAGUAACUAAAAUAUGCCAAUGGUUGAUUAAACUUAAAUUCCCGGACGGAUACGCCUCAAACUUGGGGGGUGCGUUAAUGUAGAUGAUAAUAGCUUUUACAAAUUCAAGAGUCACGAGUUCCAUGUAUUUCUUCAAAAAUUGUUGCCUAUUUCUCUAAGAGGUAUGGUGCCAAAUUCAAGAUGGGAUGCAAAAUAUGUUCAAAGGUGUUACGUGCGCGUAGAUGGCUUACAGCGCUUGCAAACUACUAUUGUUGAAACCAUUUGCAUGUUGGAAAAAAUAUUUCCACCUGGAUUCUUUGACUCAAUGGAGCAUCUUGUUAUCCACUUAGCUCGUGAAGCUAAGCUUGGUGGUCCGGUUCAAUAUAGGUGGAUGUAUCUUUAUGAAAGGUAUAUUUUUUACCAUACAAAAGAUUUUACCAUAAAACCUAUGGAAUUUCUAAUAAGCCUUUUCCAACAUCUUUUUAGGAAGUUGGGAUCAAUGAAAAGAAAGAUAAAAAACCAUGUGAAGGUUGAGAGGUCCAUUGUUGAGGUUUGCAUGAUUGGAGAAAUAUCGACUUUUUGCUCACAAUACUUUUUGCCUACAAUCGAAGCCCAGUUGAAUCGUGAGUCGUGUAAUUUUGCACCAAACAUUCCUAAUUAUACCAUGGUUGACUCUCGAUUAAGCAUUUUCAAAGUUCCAUCUCGAAGAUUAUUCGAAAAAAGUGGUCAACGGAGGCCUUUAACAGAUGAUGAGAUGCGUAUUGCUCAUAAUUACAUAUUGAUCAAUUGUGUUGAGGUUCUACCUUUUUUAAGGUAUGUUAAGUUAUCUACUUUUACUUGAUGUCAUGAAUCUCUAAAAUGUUUUUUAUUUUUUAAGGUUGUUUGAUAAUUAUGUGAUCCAAAGAAAACCUAAUAUCGAUGAUGGAGCAUUUGAAAGGUUUAGGGAUCAACAUUUUGCUAAGUGGUUUUAAAGAUCAUGUAAGUAUGAUACAAGCAAAAUUUGUAUUCUCAAAAAGUCUUGCCCCAUGAAUUAAUUAACAAAUGACUUUAUCAAUGUAGGUUUCACAACAAUCAAAUGAUAUUAGUUAACAUCGUAAAUGCCUUGCACGAGGACCAUUGCAAAAUGUUAGGUCCAAUAAAUGAUACUUUGUCAAUGAUUACAAGUUUCAUACUAAAAAAUAUGGUGAUGGACGGGUCACACACAAUAGUGGUGUAUUCGUAAGAGGAACUUGUUACAAUGAGACUGAGUGUGACUAUUAUGGGUUGUUGGAUGAGGUCUUGGAAGUAGAAUAUCAAGGCAUAUGGCGUUGCGUUGUAGUAUUGUUCAGGAGUACAUGGUUUCACCCUACUGAAGGGGUACGUGUGGAUCGAAAGAAUAAUUUGGUUGAUAUUAAAUACAAAUCAAGGCUAAGAAAUGAAGAUCGGUUUAUCCUAACGUCACAAGCAGAACAAGUGUAUUACUCACCAUAUCCUGCAAUCAAGGAUUUGAAAGAUUGGUGGGCUGUCGCCAAGACGAAGCCAAGGGGUGUAUAUGAUCUACGACAAUGUAUUACCAAAGAAGAUGAUGAUGAGGAUGAAGAGGAUCAAUUCAUUCAAGAAAGUGAAGCGACUUUACCUUCUACAAGUAGCGGUAAAAAUGAGGUGGCAGAACCCCUUUCUCAUGUAAUUGAAGGAGAAAUAGAAGAAGUUAAUGACAAUGACGUUGAGAGAGAAGAGGAUGAAGAAGUUGAUGAUAACUCGGAUGAUUCAUCCAAAGAUGAUAUUGAAGACGAAGACAACAUAUGUGAUGAUAAUUUUGAUGAUGAGUAAUUACUAAAAAUGUAGAAUGAAACAAUGUAUUUGGAACAAUAUAUUGCCUAAUGGACCUUAUUAAUAACUUUUUAGCUAAAAUGAUUGUUUUCUUUUUCUAUAUACAUUGUACUUCCAUUUAUUCGUGUAUUAUAUAGCAUGUUACCUUCUUUUACUUCAAGAAUUUUCUAUUAUAAUACAUACUUGUUCUAACCAAUCGUUUAUUAAUUCUUGAUUUUAAGGGUUUUUUUUAUUUACUAAUGGCGCUACGAGGAGCCCAUGGUGGUGAUCGCAGUGGUAGUCAUAUUGGUGGUCAUGAUGUUGGAGAUAGAAAUGCAUCUCAAUCAUACAAUAAUGCAGAAAGUUAACCUUCUUCAGUUAGAGGAUCAAACAUCUUGGAACAAGUUCCAACUAACCCAUCAAAAAGGAAGUUCAUUGAAGUCGAUUCUGAAAACGAGUACUAAUGUUAAUUUUAUAAUUAUUUAUGAAAAUGAAUUUACUUGUUAAUAAUAAUACUAAUGCUAAUUUUUUUAAUUAUUUAUUUUUUCAAGAGGGGUAAUUUAGGCAUUUUACUUGUUUAACUUGUUAAGAGGAGAGUGAAGGUAACUUUUUAUUUUUUGUGUUGUUUCUAGUGUUUUAAUUCAAACAAAACAAAACAUUUGUCUUUGGUUCUUUUUUAGAAACUAUACAAUAUUCUUUGAUGGAGAUGCAACUAUCUUGGGGCAAGCAACCCCAAUCUCUGGAUACGAAGGAGGAACCAACCGGAGAAUCAAGAAGCUAGAGAUACCGCUAUUUAAUGGAAAUAAUCCGAAUGACUAGGUUCUUGAGGCAGAGAGCCGGUUUCUAGAUUAUCGAUUAUCAUCGGCCAAUUAGCGAUUAACUAGAAGGCGACGACGCUCACUGGUAUAACGAGGAACACUAUCACCGGCCAAUUAGCGAUUGGGAAGAGAUAAAAUUCCUAAUCAGCCGGUGAUUCGGACCUUCCAUGGUGGGGGGUUUCAGUCGGAGCGAGAACGUAGUCUUAUGCAGAUAACGGCUCCGUUAAAUGACGGACGGCAAAAAGAAGACCAAGGUCAUCACAAAGUUGGGCUUAAAAACAACAUGUGGGCCAAAAUUGGAUUAUUGGACCCCGAGAAGUUGGAUCAGACAAUGGACUCGGAAAUUAAAGUGGAAGAUAAAUUAAGCCCAGUGUAAAUAAACCUAAUAGCCCUAAAACGAUGGAAACGUCAGUAAGGAGAUCAUAAACAAUCUUUGUGUAAGGUGGGUGGUGUUAACCCAGCUCAGAAUAUGCAGGAGUUUAAUUCUUCGGUGCAUUAUGAUCAUCAGGUAGGUUGGUUUUAUAUGAGUCGUCAAUCUCAGCUUCCCUUAUCCUCAAUCGGUUUCAUCCCUGGCAUGUGGUUGGUGUGGAGGGGCCUGGUUUGAACUAAGCUGUGUUUUGGACAAACACAUUAUUGGUCAAAGGUAUCAUAUCAAGAGAUGAAUUGCCCCAAAAAUAUAGAGAAUUCGGGAUGCAUUUUGAGAUCCCAAAUUCUCUAUAUUUUAGGUAAUACUUGUUUAUUUUGCUAGUGUGAAAAAAAGCCUAACUUUUGAGAGGAGUGAGCAAGUAGGAGAAGACGCCAAACUUUUGUUAUUUGUGGUGUCGACUUUCAGUGAAGGAGGGGCAGGAGAACCCAUUUUUUCCCUUUUGCUAUUGAAGUAUGUCGUAUGCGUUUUGAGUAGCUGAUUUACGCAAUGGUCUAAUUGGCUAAUUGAUUCACAUAAUGGGCUGUUUAUUUGUAUUUUUUUAUUUAGCCAAUAGUGGACGUUUACUUGGAGUUACACCCGGUGCACAUUAGAUCAAAGAUAUAAAAUCCAAUUUUUUUUUUUGAAACUUCUAAGUGCUAUCCCUACCAACUAACUAUAUCCGCCACAAGAAGUAUGUGGUGGUGGAUUGUAGGUGGGAUGGGGUUGCGGGUUCAUAGAGAAAAAAAGGAGACAUGACAAAAGAAUGUUAAAAAAGUCUUUUUAGAAUUGAACUUAAAUGAAAAGGUUAAGAGUUUUGGUAAAAAGGACUACCGAUGCAAGAAAUGAGACCAUAAGGAUUUGUGAUGUAUUGUUUUUUAAAUUUGUUCUCAAAGUGAAAAUUUCACUAAACUGCAAGGAUCAUAUUUGUAAUUUAGUCUUCAAUUCUAGAAAAAGAAUAAAAAAAGAAAUUCAAAAGUAGCAAAACCGUAUUCCUUUUGGGAAAGAACCCUGAAAACCUCGGAUACCAAAAAAUAAAAAGAAAGAAAAAAAAAAGAAAAACCCGAACAUUUUCAUUGUUUGUUUAUACUCUCUCACCGUCUCUGUUCGUUCAUCGUCGACUCACCGUUUGCCUGCUUGCUCAUCUUUCUUGGCCUUUGUCUCUGUUCAUUUUUCAUCUGUUAUCACCGCUUCAGGUUUAUAUAAAAUCUGCUCAUUCUUACAAGUUACUUUUGCUUGUCUAAAAAUUCCACAUAGCAAUCGCAGAUCACAUCAUAAUCAUUUGAAAUUUCAUAAACAGGUGAUUAAAACUUUGUUUAUUUCAGCUACUUUUGUUUAGUUUACAUAUCAGUUAUAAUCCAACACGUUCUUGCUUGAAGUCCAGAAUGAUGAACAAAACUUUGCGCAGACGGGAAGAUUCUCCAAUUCUCAAAUUUUUUUUUCCCUUAAUCACUUUAUAUUUUGAGUUCAUAACCACCAUUUUUUACAUUUGAUUCUUUAUUGAAUGAUUUUAUCUGCUCCAUAAUUGUAAGCUAAACACUCAAAAUCAACAAGCUUCAAUAUUCGAUUGUCAUAAUUCUAGAUUGCCUGUUGAUGUUCCCCUUGUUCAAAACUUGUAGAUCUGUCAAAGCCAGAUUGUAAGACAACCGGGUGUUAUUCUGCUUGAAUCAAAAUUAGGAUUUUGCUAGUGCAUAAUCUAGGUCUUGAACCAAAUAAGUAAUGCCCUUAAUUUCUGUUUGAAAAUAAGCUGGAUUUGGUUUAUGUUUCGAGGCACAAAACUGAUAAGAGAUUUCUUGCAUAAUGAACGGGGCCUUAAAGCAUUAGUAGACAAAAAGAUUCAAAGCACUAGAAUCCCCACUCAAUAGUUUUGUUAGGGAGUUCAUAAUCUUCAUUUAAAGUUACUUCUUAAUAAGUAAUAACUCCCCUGCACUACUAGAAAAACACCCUUUUACGACGCUCAUUGCGCGUCGUAAAAUGCUCAGACGACGCGCAAAUGCACGUCAAGAAAGGCCCUGUCAUAAAGAGAGACGACGCGCUUUUGUGCGUCAUCUAUAGACGACGCGCAUUUAUGACGCGCGGUUAUGACACGCAAUGCGUAUCAAGGAAGGCCCUGUCAUAAAGGAAGACGACAUGCAUUUGUGUGUCGUAAUCUUAUGACGCGCGCGUUCAUGACACGCAAUGCGUAUCAAGGAAGCCCCUGUCAAGAAAGGUCAUGUCAUAAAUGAAGAUGACGCACAUUUUUGCGUAUCAUAAUUUUGAUAUGCUCUAAAAAAAUAUAUUUAUAUAUUUAUUAAUUUUUAAAUUAAAUUUGCAUUUAAUAUCUUAUAAUACAAAUAAAAUAUCAUAUACAAAAAAUACAACCCAUUGCAUAAAAUUUAAUGUCAUACAAUUCAAUUUCUUACAAUAUCUAAAUUUGCAUCUAAUCUACUCUGUACAUCAAAUUCCAACUAAGUAAAGUUGCAUUUUGUCUUUCAUAAUUCUCUAAGACUAAUGCUCCAAGCAGCUGAUUAUAUGGAUAAGCAGUUGUACAUUGGCCCAAAUCAUCAAUUGCAGUGAUACGAGCUUGGUUUAGGAUAUGAAUAUCUAAAAAACAAUUAGACAAAAAAAAAAGAAUUACAGGAAAAUACCAUCUAUUUUUUAAUACUAAAUAGAAUUUAUACCCAGAGAGGAAAAAGGUUGUACUUUUAUCUACAUUACAUGUCAUUCCUAUUACGUCCUGAAGACUUACAGUUGUAAGCUCACCCAAUUUAUCUGCACCAAUAGACUGUUAAGAUGAAAAAUCAGAUUAUUAAUAAUAGAAACACAUGCAAUUAAGUUCGUUUCUAGUUCUUUAUCACAUCAGGUUUCUGGCCUAUAUACUCUGUUUAAACCCUUUAUUCAGAUCAAUAAAGCAAGUAUUCAGCUUCACCAAAACUACAACAUUCAACUUUGAAAAGCUCAAAAUAGUUGGAGACAGAUGUAACAACAAUACCUAGGAUAAAACUGUCAUAUAUGAAUAUUAUUGAGGUUGUGGUUAAAUAUCUACCUUUCCCCAUGUUUGUUUCUACUAAUUCCAACAUAUAGCUAUCCUACCCAAAAUAAGUAGAUAAUGAUUUAAAAGAUUGAUUUCAUAAAUAAUAUCUUGGCUGGUUGUCCAAGUUUCAGGUUUUCCAAGUUUCAUUCACAAGUUUUCGAAGUUUCAGGUUGGGAAGAAACACAAACAACAACACAUAGUAUGUAUCAAAAGUUGGAUCAUAGUUGUAAUUUUCCAGCAGAAAAGUAGUAGCAAUAGAAAAAAAUACACUCACACACAUGAAAUGAAAGGGUUGGUUGGGUCUAACCACAGUAACAUUUGGCCCUAGCACAUGGUGCUCCUUGUCCCACCACCAGCACCAGCAACAACAACAACAUGUAGACCCGUACAUGAAAGGUAGCCAAAUGAGCACCUUGCAUACCUGUCUAAACAUAAUUCAAAUAAUUAAAACAAAUCUUACUUAAUUCAAGGGAAAAUUAUGUUUAUAACCUUAUAAAGUUUAAAUAUUACUUAUAUAUACUUAUAAAUUUUAUACUUACAUAUAUGUAUAUAUAUAUAUAUAUAUAUAUAUACAUAUAUAUAUAUAUAUAUCCUUCUCAAAUUAUAAAACUCACAUCUAUAUCCAAAGUGAUAAUUUAAAUAGGCUUAAUUAAUCAAAUAUUAAAAAACUUAUCCAAAAAUUAAAAUCCUUUAUGUUUGUACUAAAAUAUCCUUCCAAAAUAAAUGUAGGAAGUUACCAUUUUACCCUUAUACUUUAAUAAAUCAUUUUUACCAUAUACAUAUUAGAGUAGAAUUUAAUAACUUGAAUCAUUGAUAACAUAUACCGUAAAACAUAGUGUUGACAUGUGAAGCCUUUUGUUAGGGUCCCACUUCCCUCAGGUUUGGAGGCAAGAUUAACCAUUUCAAGAGCAUAAAACAGUUCUUCCUUGCUGUAAAUGGAUUAAACCAAGAGCAUAAAGUGCAACUCCUUCUGAAUAGGGACUACCACCUCCACUACCACCAGCCGUUGCACUGAACUUAACCCAAUUUCUCGCCCUGAUUAGCCAAUGCUAAAAUCGUAUCCAAACAUAAUCCAAAAUGCUAAGGGGAGGAAUUUGUGUCAAAGUAAUUUGUUCUUAUGUGUUUUGCAAGAGUUCGAACACACUCCAAUUCCAACUUACAUUUACUUGAUUCUAAAGAUGAUGAAGACUUGUUGACAUCAAAAGAAAAGCAUAAGCAGCGAAUCACAUCUUUUCCAGCAUAUUUUGCUUGAAGUAUUCAAUAAUUGGAGGUCGUUGAACAUUGAAAACAUAAACUGUGAACACUCUUCAGGGUCUAUAAGUGCAUCAAUGGCAAAAAGAACACCUUCUUUAACAAAAGGCCCCAUGAAAACAUCGGUAUUCUUUUGUAGGAUAGUGUCAGAAAUAUUAAGAGCUAGCAUUAGUACACGUAUAUCCUUCCUAGUGAACACUCCAGCCAAAAACCUGAGAAAUUACCAACAUGAAACAAUUAAAAUUUAAGAGAAAUUUGAUAGAAUAAAGUAUAGUUGAGUAUCAAGAAUUCAACAUUAUGUCCCCUUGAAAUGUUGGUGCUUUUAAGCAAAUCAAGAAGCAUAUCAGAGUUGAUGUAAUAAAGUAACUUGUCAACAACAGAUAGACACCCAUAACAGAUAUAUAAAUCCACCCUAGAAUCAACAACCUGUUCAGAAAUAAGAAGAAAAGAAAGGGUAUAUCAGGGAAAUUGUAAAAGUUAGCAAGAAAUCAGUACAACAUGAUUGACAAAUGAUAACCAACCUGGAUCAAGACAGGUAAUAAAUCAUUCCCAAAUUUCUCUACAAGAUUAGGAUGAGUCACCAAGAAAGCUUCUUUUUCUGCAGCUAAUGGAACUUCUUGAUUUCUGGAUACAACGGGUAGAAGCUGAAUCAACAACUUCAAAACUUCAUGCAUUUGAUUAUAAUGUCCAUCAAUUGUUCGAGGGGAAGGGACUCCAUGUGAAAGGUCAUAUAUUGACAAGAUCUCUUUCAAAAUGCUACUUAUAUUAAGAUCAAAAAGUGUCUUCACAGCCACCAUAGAACCAGAAGCAAGUUUAACAAGUAGUCCAAUUAAACCCUACAUAAAAAUACACAAGAGUUCUUCAAAAAAGAUUGAAAAAAAAAACAAAAAUUGCUAAAAAUAGAAGAAGAUGGACAUACAGUAUGAACAUAAUAAGAUAGAGUGGUAUGGUUGAUCAGGUCUAUAAUAUGUGCCACUUGAUGAAUCAAUCCAUGUUUAGAAAGUUCAUCAAGCAUUUCACUGGAUUCUUGUACUCUUUCUGCUAUUUUAAUUAAGCAUGUAGCAACAUGUUCAACAAGCUGCAAUCGCAAGAAUAUGUCAGUAAAGUACAAAAGAUUAUAAGAAAGACCAUAAUUAUAUUUAUACCUGAUUGUCUUAGCUACAAUCACAAGAAUCAGAAGAUGUUGAAAUCAAUGAGGUUUUUGAAGUUUCUAGAGCGAUCUGUCUUAGCUGGUGUAAAGCCGGUCACAUAUUCAAUUUUUUAUUAAUUAAGUAAAAUGACAUAAGGGUAUAUUUGGAAACAUUAUGGAUUUAAAAUGUCGUAUUACCAUCAUUGUUGUUUUUUUGAGCGAGAACAGUUGGAGAUCAUAUAAAGGAUGCAAGACUUUAGGUACCCUCCAUGCCUAAUGAAUGAUAUAAUAGAGUAAUUUAGAAUAUAAAUGGAGUUUAAAUAUGAAUAUAUUUGAAUCUAGAUAUAGUAUAUAGUAAAAUGACAUAAUGAUAUAAUAAAGUAAUUUAGAAUAUAAAUGGCUGCUUACCUCUACAUUAACUUUGUCAAAAAGCUCAAGCUUAAGAUCAUACUCAUGCUGACCAGCUGAAGCAGAUAAUGUAAAAACACCUUCUGGAGCAAGAUUCACUUUUGCAUCUUUUGUAUCCGCCAAUAAAAUUGUGAUAUAAACUUUAUCCUCUCUCUGAGCCCACUUAAUUUCUUGAUGACGACUACAAAGCUCAAUAUUUUUUUGAAUUUAUUAGGAUACACCAAUCAUUGAACCAAGCACAAGCAAGCAUAAAUAUGUAAAACUAAUAAAUCAACUGUUUUCUAAUUCUCACCAUUGCAACACAAAGAACCCAAUUCUUGUGCCCUGAAUAGAUAUGUAAAAAUAUAACAAUUUGUUUGGCUUUUGUGAUUAUGAAGUUAUGAUAACAACCAUUAUAUUCACUACAUGGAACUUGGCUUCAGUGAAACUGUAUACCACUUACGAUUGUUAGCUGAAAGAGCAGAAUUUGUAACUGCAAAUUGAGUAGAAAGAAUAAUAGAUAUUUUAUGAAUCAAAAUUGUGUUUACAAAAUACAGAGCAGUAUAAGAAGAUGAAAUCAGAAUAAAAUUGUACCUAAGUGUUAAGGAGUGAGCCACUGACCGGAGAAACCGCCUGAAGGGGCUACCAACGCUGUGAGAUGAUAGAAUCGACAGAUGACAUGAUUCUCUCAUCUGUAUGAACUCAAAAAAGAAAAAAAUAUUACCUCUGUUUUACAUUUUCCAAACCAAACAUUGUGGAUUCGUCAUUGGAGCAGUCGAAGUGCACAUACACAACUUUUAUGAAAAAACCCUAAGUCGUCGGUGUCUUAGUCGAUAACUUGUACCAAAAAACCCUAAAUCGCUAUGAGAGAGGAGUGAGGCCUGAAUCACUUUCAUUAAGAUGUGAUAUCUUGAAGCAGAGAUGUAUAGCGGUCCGAUAGGGUGGGGAUACUUUACUCAUGCGGCACAACCGAACGAAUCAAGGGUAUCGAGCUAAUCCACAGGAAAUCGAUUGAAGCAAUUGCUUUCGAAUUUCGAUAUGGUUGAAAUUGAAAUUUUGGAAAUUGGAAGAACUUUGAAAGAAAUUGAGAAAUUAGCAUUGGAUUCCGGUUUAUUUGGGAUUUUUACAAGCAAAUCAAAGGCUUAUUUGGGCUAGAGGAUCGACGGGAGGGAACAGAGGAAGGAAAAGGGGAAAUACAACAAUUAGGGGUUUUAUAGGGUUACUGCAUCAUUCUUUGCUCUCCGCAUUUUUCAUAUUUAGAAGAAUGCUUUGGAGUAGAAUCCUUGGAGUUCAUUUUUUGAGUGUUAGGGUUUACUGCAUCGUUCAUUUUUUUAGUGUUAGGGUAUCUAGAGGUUGGUCGAGAGGGCCUGAACAUCAUCGUCGUGUGAGGCCUGAAGAGUCGGUGUGGGUUGGAGGUAGUGGAGGUGGGUGAGGGGUGGAGACGAAGGAGAGGAGAUGUUAGAGAACAGAUUGAUACGAAUGUAGGAGAAGAAAGAGGUUUAAAAUUUUUGGGGAUUUCAUUUCCCUCUAAGAAGAGAGAUGCGCGUUUCAUAACAAAAAUAUAAAACGACAUUCACAAAGAACGCACAUUUUAGAUAAAGUGCCCUCCGUGUUUUUAAUUUUUUUUACAUGAGACACUAAUUUAAGGGCACGCAAUAAUGCGUGUCCACUAUCCUUAAAUUUUUUGAAGAUAUGACACUUUUUUAAUGUCACUCUCUUUUACGUAACAUAAAUCAACGAGUGUCGUGGUUUGCGCAUCGUAAAAGGGUCUUUUUCUUGUAGUGAUGGCAAUAUAAUUUUAUUUUACAUCAAUACUUUGCUAUUAGCAGAUGAGAUUUAAGUUGCAUACUGUAAUCAAUAAUUUGCUAUUAUGUAGAGGCAUUUGUACAGGGUCCUAAAAUUAAAGAACAAGUGAAGAAAGCCAGUGAAAAAAACUUUCAUAACUAAUAACAUAAUUUAUUAUGGUGGUUCUAUCUAAACUUCCAGAAGGAUCUUCAUCUUCUUCAUCACUUCAUGGUUAUAGUUCAUCAGCUCGUGUUCAUACUCCAUCCACUCAUGGUCAUAAUUCAUCAACUCAUAAUCAUAGAUAUGAUGUAUUUUUAAGUUUUAGAGGUGUUGACACUCGUCAUAGUUUCACUGAUCACCUUCAUAAGGCCCUCAUUGAUGCCAAUAUCAAUACCUUCUUGGAUGAUGAAGAGAUUGAAACAGGGGAAGAUCUGAAACCGGAACUAGAGAGUGCGCUUAAGGCAUCUCAGGCUUCUAUUAUUGUGUUGUCUAAGAAUUAUGCUUCUUCAACAUGGUGCCUGGAUGAAUUGGUGCUGAUCCUUGAGCAACGGAUGACAUCCAACCAUAUCGUCAUCCCAAUCUUUUAUCAUGUGGAGCCCACACAUGUCAGGAAGCAACAAAGUAGCUUUGGAGAUGCAAUGGAUAAGUAUAAACAGACAAUGGAGGCAGAGACAAAUGCAAAUAAAAGAAGUCAAUGGGCUCAAAAGAUGGACCGAUGGAAUAAAGCGCUUACACAAGUUGCUGAUUUAAAAGGGAAUGACAUAAAUGGCAGGUCACCACUUUCUUACCCUUAUUCAUAUCCCUAUGCAUUUCAAUAAGUUUUUCUAAAUCAUUAAAUAUACAUAUAUCUGAUGUUUUAGGAUAUAUAGAAAAUGAACAUAAUUGAAAAUAAGUUCUCAAGUAUGUGUUCUCAUAAACCAGUUCGUAUAGAUGGAUUAGCCAUUCUGAUAAUUUUUACAUGUUUGUUAUGUAUUUUGUAUUUUAUCAUAAGUUAGUACAUUUAGAUAAACCUUCUCCACGAUUUUUACAUGCUUUUUAUUUAAAACCAAAGUUUGAUGGGUUUGCUAUGCUUUUACUAUUAUUUAUAUCAUACUGCCUUCAAAUCAUAGCGGUUUUAAUGAUAAAUAACUACUUUUAGUUGUAUUUAUUAAAAGAUAACCCAUAACUAUUUCAUGGCAUUUUGUUCAAAUCCAUGUAAAGCCACAUCGAUGGUUAAGUUUGAUGGUCUUGUAGAAACAUAGUGAAAUCUUGUAUUUCGUUGGUUGCUUUGGUCUUAUCAUAAACUAAUAUUUAUGACCUUCUCCAUUAGCAAAAUCUUGUAUUUCAUGGUAUUUUGUUCAAAUUGAUGUGAGAACUCAAUUAAUAAUAACAGAAGUGAUAUAAUCUUAGUUAGGAUCUUUGAAUAAAUUAAAUCUCCCAAUCUGGUUCAUUAGUUUUGUAGAUUUGUUCUGAAAUUCUUAUAUAAUCAAGUUUCAGGUUGGAGACAGUGUUUAUUGAAGAAAUUGUGAAGGACAUCCACCGUAGAUUACAUUUACACUUAAGGAGCAUUCGACCACAACUUAUUGGGAUGAAUUAUCAUAUUAACUUUGUAACUUCAUGGUUGAAAGAUGGAUCAUCGCAUACAGCAUACAUACUUACUAUUUAUGGUAUAGGUGGGAUCGGGAAGACAUCUUUAGCCAAACAUGUCUAUGGGCUAUAUUCUCAUGAAUUCCACACAAGCAGCUAUAUUGAAGAUAUCACUAGGAAAUGCGAUGGGAAGUUUAAUGGGUUGCUUGAUUUACAAGAACAACUCUGCUAUGACAUUUCAAAAACAAGUUCAAUUAAAGAUCAUGAUGUUUCAGUAUACACCACAAAGAUAGAGAAUGCACUAGCACGUAAAAGGGUGUUUCUAGUUCUUGAUGAUAUUAGUACUCAUGUUAUAAACAAUUAUUUAUGACCAUCCAUUAGCGAAAUCUUGUAUUUCAUAGCAUUUUGUUGAGAUUGAUGCAAACUACAAUAUGGUUUUGAUGUGAGAACUAAAUUAGUAAUUUAAAGCUAUGAUAUAAUCUUAGUUUGCAUCUUUAAAUAAAUUAAGUCUUCCAGUCUGGUUCAUUAGUUUUGUAGAUUGUGUUUUGAAGUUCUUAUAUAAUCAAGUUUUAGGUCCGAGACACAGUUUAUUGAAGAAAUUGUGAAGGAUAUCCACCGUAGAUUACAUCUACACUUAUGGAGCGUUCGGCCAUAACUUAUUGGGAUGGAAAAUCAUAUUAACUUUGUAACUUCAUGGUUGAAAGAUGGAUCCUCACAUACGGUAGACGUACUUACUAUUUAUGGUAUAGGUGGGAUCGGGAAGACAUCUUUAGCAAAAUAUGUCAAUGGGCUAUAUUCUCAUGAAUUCAACACAAGCAACUAUAUUGAAAAUAUCACUACGAAAUGUGAUGGAAAGUUUAAUGGGUUGCUUGUUUUACAAGAACAACUCUGUAAGGACAUUUCAAAAACAAGUUCAAUUAAAGUUCAUGAUGUUUUAGUAUACACCGCAAAGAUAGAUAAUGCAUUAGCACGUAAAAGGGUGUUUCUAGUUCUUGAUGAUAUCAGUACCCUUGUUCAGUUGGAUGCACUACUUGGAAGCAAAGGCUUUCAUCCUGGAAGCAAAGUUAUAAUUACAACAAAGGACAAUUGGUUGAGUGAGAGUUGUUCUUUAUUUAAAACAAACAUUAAACCCAAGCAUGAAAGGCAUUUGCUUCGAGGCUUAGAUUAUUUUCCAUCGCAACGACUUUUGUGCUCCCAUGUAUUCAUGUGCAACCAACCCAAGGCGGGAUAUGAAGAGAUGUUUGAUAAGCUUGUGUAGUAUUGUGAAGGACAUCCAUUGGCUCUUGAAAUUUUGGGAAAGUAUCUACAUAAUCGAGAUGUAGCUUAUUGGGAAGGGUGCAUCAAAGGGCUAAGGAAUGAAAUUAGUUCCCCUAUCAAUAAUGCCUUGAAAAUGAGCUUCGGUUCCUUGCCAUCAAAAAACGAUAAGGAGUUGUUUAAGCAUAUUGCUUGUUUUUUUUGUUGGACUAGACAAAGAUGUUACCGAAACAAUAUUAGAGGCAUGUGAUAUAAACACAAGAUCUGGGAUCACGAAUCUCAUUGACAGAUGCCUUCUUAGUAUAGGACGGAAUAAUGAAUUGAAGAUGCAUCAGUUGGUUCAAGAGAUGGGAAGAUUCGAAGUACGCCAAGAAUCACUUGACAAGCCAUAGAAGCGAAUUUGAUUAUGGUGUCAUAAGGAGUCAUUCAAAGUGUUGAAACAAAAGAAAGUAAGAGGUCAUGCAUGCUUUUAGUAGUGUGUGUGUGUGUGUAUGUCUGAUAUUUUGUAUUGCCUAAUUUAUUUAUUUGCAUUAUGCUUCUUAUUAGGGUAAGGGAAAUCUUCUAGGCCUCACCAUUGACAUGUGCAUGCUUGAGAAAGAGAAGUUAGGUGUAUCAUAUGAGCUGUAAACAGAUGCAUUAAGUAACAUGGAUAAUUUGAUGCUACUACAACUCAAUUAUGUGCGAAUGGAUGGGUCUUAAAAGAAUUUUCCAGAAGAAAUAAGAUGGUUGUGUAUGCAUGGGUUUCGUUUAAAGUCUAUACCUUUAGACUCACCAAUGAUGAAUUUGGUUGCUCUUGGCAUGUCAUAUAGCAAUAUUGAAUCAUUUGUCGGUUGUUAUAAUAAUCCACAACGGUUUGAGAAGAGGCAAAAUGUAAGCUAUCUUCAUUUAUUAUUCAUCCAUAUUGAGUUAAAGUAGUUCUCUACUGUUCUAACUUAUUUCCAUUUUUUUAGUUUGAUGGAUCGUUCUUAAAAGAGAAAAGGUUGCUUGGAUCAUUGAAGAUUCUUAAUUUAAGUUUUUGUAAACAACUCCAUAGUCUUGAUGAUUUUGACCAACUUCUUGCACUUGAGAGGUUAACAGUUAGAAAUUGCAUUGGUUUGCUCGAGAUAUGUGAAUCAAUCGAGCAAUGUGUUGAACUUGUCUUCAUCAAUUUGAGCUAUUGCAACAAGCUUGAAAAACUUCCAAGAAACAUAGGCAUGUUGAAGAAUGUUAAAACAAUGUUGCUAGAUCAUUGCAGUCCUAGUGGAUCUCCAAUCCAGAAUUGGGAUAUGGAAUUGCGCAAGGCUAACAAAAUUGACAUAAAUACAAAAACCUCUUCCCCUGCCUUUUUGGGUGUCAUACCAAGUGAUUUGAUGUUGUAUGCAAGUUCUUUACCGAGUUCUCUAGUAAGUUUGUCAAUUGCAAAUAGUAAUUUGUCCACUAAAUCCUUUCCCAUGGACUGGAUGUAACACCUAAAGUCAGGAAGGCCAAGAAAGGAAAGAAAACCCUAAUUUUAAAGGGCGACUCGACGCGUCCAAGGAUGAACUCGGCGAGUCCGAGCGGGAUCCGGGUCGAGGAGUAAGUGACCGACUCGGCGAGUCGGCCAAAGGGACUCGGCGAGUCUGGUCUGUGCGGAGAAAACCCUAAAAUCGGGACUUGGAGCCUAUUUAAGCGCCUCAUUCUCCUCCCUAGGGUUCCUUUACUGCCUCUUUUACCCAGAACAUCAAACCCUAGCCGCCAUAUCAAUUGAUUGAGCCAUUUGUUGCCUUGGAAGGUGCAUAAAAGUGUGGAGAAGGAAGAAGGAACUUGGAGGAGCAAGAAAGGACUAUAGAUCUGGGAUUGUGAGUUCAUUUCUGAGCAUUUGGAGGUAAUAAACUAGUUCUUGGACCCAUUUUGCACCUAUAUCUAUGUGUGGUUGUUGGGACUUUUUAGCUCAUUUGAGUUAGAAGCCAGAUCUGAAGUUGCUACUUCAGAUCUAAGCAUUUUAUGGUCUUGGGAAGCAUAAAGUAUCAGCCCUUGAGUUGUUUAUGGAGCCUCUUUGCCUUAAACCCUAGUUUAAGGUGUAUUUUGCCUAGAUCUCCUUCUCUACACUUAAAGUUUACAAAUUUACGUGAGGAAUAGGCUUGGGAAGGAUAGAUCUACAGUUUGGAGUCCAUGCAUGACUCAAAAGUUCUCUACAUGUAAGGAGAUCUGAAUGGACUCGGCGAGUCCUUUGAGUGGACUCGGUGAGUAGCAUGAAGAGGAGGAGCAACUCGACGAGUGGGAUGAACAGCUCGUCGAGUCAGAUGAAGAUUGCCUUGUACUCGGUGAGUCUGUUGUUGGACUCGGCGAGUCAGGUUGCGAUACCCCAAACCCUUCGAGUUGAGACUCGAAUUAGUGAGUCAGGUGGAGACUCGAUGAGUUGGACAGAUCAGGACUCAGAAAUCGGUAGACUCGGCGGGUCAUGGACUGACUCGGCGAGUCGAAAAGCAAAAGGAAGGAUUCUGAAUAUAUGAACUUGGCGAGUCAGUAGGGUGACUCGGCGAGUAGGGUUGACCUGGAAGGUUGACCUUGACCAAGACUUUGACUUGGACUAGGGUUGACUCGGUUGUCUUUCAGGGGUCAGUUAGACUCAGUGUUGCAUUGAUAUUGGGAGUUCGAGGAGCAAGGGAAGCAGGAGCUCGGUGAGUUGCCGGGUAGCAGCUAGUGAGUUCAUCAACAAGUUCAGCCAGUGCAGGUGAGUUUCCCUUUGUGUGAAUGGGUCUAAGGCCACAAUGUCAACCCAUGUAGUUAUGAGAAGAAAGCCUGGGGGUUAGCCCUAGGCACAGUAUGCUAGCAUGCUAUUCAGGACGAGGUCCAUUAUUAGCGGGCGGGUGCCCAAGGAUUUGUUUAUAUGAUAGUUUAUACUUUUUGUCUGUGUGAUACAUGAAUGUGCCUGGUAGGGAGGUGAGUGUGGGCGAGGUCUCGUAUCUCACCAAUAGCAGAGUGUGGAUGGGGUUCCAUGUCUCAUUAGUAGCAUAACAGGAGCGAGGCCCAAGUUAGGGAAGGAGUGAGGGUGGGCUGGGCCCGUAUCUCACUACCAGUAGGAGCGUGGACGGGGUUCCAUGACUCAUCAGUAGCAGGACCUGAGUGAGGCCCAGGACCGGUGAGGCCUUAGGACAGGAUCAGUCGUAUGAGUUUAGCUUAUGUGUUGUGAUAUGUUUAUGUCUUAUUAUUUGUUGGCGGGCGAGGCCUUGUGACAGGCGAGGCCUAAGUGAAACAUAUUUGUAACCGAGCGCGGCUCGAAGCCAGGCGGGGCCUGGAGCGGCGGAGCCAUUGUAGCGGGCGAGGCCCGAGGCAGGGGGUGAGGCCCAAGAUAGCGGGCGUGGCCCAGUAUGUAUAGUAUGUGAUUAUGCAUGGUAUGUGGUAGGGUGGGGAACUCACUAAGCUUCGUGCUUACGGUUUUCAGUUUUGGUUUCAGGUACUUCCGGUAGCGGAGGGACGAGCUCGGGGUGAUCGCAUGGCACACACCAUAGAAUAGACAGCCUGGGAAUGUUUACUCUGAUAAUGAACAUGUGUUUUGAAAAUUAAUUCUCUGAUUAUGUUUUGGAAUGAUGACUUUGCUUAAAGUAAUGUUUUAUUAAAAGAAAUUUUUGGUCUUUAAUUUUGGGUCGUUACAAGUUGGUAUCAGAGCCUUGGUUUGAGGGAUUCGGACAUGCUCACGGGUGUCUUUGAACUCAAACUGAGGAAUUGGUAUUGAAGUUUUCAAAAUGAAAAGACAGUUUUGUAAAAAGAGAGUUUUGAGAAAGAAAACAGUAAAGAAUUCAGAAAGAAAAGAACUUUGAAAAGAGAAAAGAGGUGUGGUGCAUGCAAUCAACUGAGCUCAAGUAAGUACCCCAAAAUACCCAUACAAGUCUAUGUUUUGAUUAUCAGUUAAUAGAACAGCAUGCUAGAUUAGGACUAAGGAUCUAGGGAUGAUGCCUUAUGUGCCUAUUAUAUGUGCUUUUGAUCUGCAUGAUAGUGCUGAAUAGAUAGUAGUAGGAUAGCUUGUUUAGGUUAUGCCUAAGUUUAUGAAUUUGUGUUGCAUGCUAGUUCAAAUUCUUGCUAUGUGGAUAUGAUUGCUUGAGUAUGUUAUGGUUAGAUUUUCCCUUUUGCAUGAAUGCUGCUUGCUUUGUGCAUUGUGGGAUUCUGAGUGAUGGGAGUUAGCCAUUAGGUGGAUACGCCACGUCACAUGUGAUCAGGGUUGAAUAAUCUCAGAGUGUUGGAUUUGGUCCUAUUGCGCAACUCUUGUUUGAGUCCAACCGUUGUAGGAACGAGUCUUUUACUUGAAGGAUUAUCUAAGACUCGUCACAUGUGAUGGUAUCCAGGUGAUGGCUAGUUGGCAUCACAAGGAAACCUUCAGUAACUGAGGGCUAGUUUGAGUUGAGUCAUAGGUUUCCCUAGUGUAAGCCUAGGAUGAGGAGUAGUAGUAGAAAAGGGACCUGGUGGAGUCGAAGCAGUUCUUGAGGAAAGUAAGGAUAGAUGUGGAAGGUAGUAUGGGCCCGUACUACUGAAAGCAAAGAAUCCGUACUCGAUUCGGGAAAGGUCGAGACAAGACCAGGAACCUGGUAGUGAGUAUGUUUGGUCUCGUAGUAGUGAGGAGUAUUCUGAUAGUGGUUAUGUUAUAUGUUUCAGUAUGGUGACGUUGCGAGAGAGACCAGCGGGCGAAUCAGGCGCCGGAGAGGAAUCAAGCUCGGGUUCAGGGGCCGAGCAGCUCGAGGAGCGGAUGAGAGAGUUGAUAUCAGCUGAGGUUACGCACAAUAUUCUAGCUCAGACUCCUGUGAUCUUUGGCACGGUCAAGGAGGGUAUAUUGGAGAUUUUGGAUGAGAGGCUGGGAGCCUUCCGUACUGAGAUGAUGGCUUUGAUGGGAGCGCGUACCUUGACAUUCGGGAGUUUAGGGCUUGCGGGGCACCAGAUUAUCAUGGGGCUAGGGACCCCAUCGCUAGCAGCAGAUAGUUGGCUGAUGUUGUCAACGCGUUCCGUACGAGCCGGUGUCCUGAGGAGGACAAGGUCAGACUCGCUUCCUGUCUUUUGAAGGACAGAGCGAGGGAUUGGUGGGAAGAGAUUGGUCAUGCUUUGGGUGAUGAUGUCGCGUUGAACGCGAUGACUUGGAGCGAUUUCUCAGCUAGGUUCAGGGUGGAGUUUUCGCCAAUUAUUGAGGUGUAGUAGUUGGCCCGGGAGUUUCAGGAUUUGACGCAGAACACUGAGACUGUGGCGGAGAUCACAACCAAGUUCAGGGAGAGGGCUCUUCUUGUUCCGCAGUAUGUCGCGGAUGAGGAGAUGAAGAAGGCCCGAUAUCACGAGAUGCUGAGGGCUGAUAUCAGGGAGUUCGUGAGCAGGUCUGGCUGUAAGACGCUGGAAGAUAUGAUUUCUCGGGCCAGGGAAAGGGAAAUUGAUUUGGAGCAGAUCCGGAAGAAGAAGUCGGAUGAGGUUCAGGUAGCCGCGAGUUCGGGCAAAAGGCUCAAGGGAUCGGAUUCGAGAUCGAGGGAUUAUCAGGACCGCAGUCGAUGCGGGAAGUGUGGCAGGGCGCACGGGGGCGCGUGCAGGAGUGGUAGUGGUGGUGAGUCUGGCUGCUUCAAGUGCGGUCGGACUGGUCAUUUUAGCGGGGACUGUACUGUUACCACCACUCAGGGAUCAUACUUGAUAUGUUUUCAUUGCAAUCAGUGGGGCCACAAGAAGGCCCAGUGCCCCAGUUUGUUUUCAGUAGGACGGGUGAUGGCACCUGCCCCUGCAACCUUGAGGAUCACAGACGGCCGUUAGGGCCGUGAAGAGGCGCCUGCGAUAGGAGGCAGGGCUUUUCAGAUGGCUACCUUGGAGACGCGAGCAGCACCGGACGUUGCAGGUAUGUGACUUUUGUUUUCAGUUCUUUUAUUUAUGGAUGAUUAUAUUGUUAUGGUUUUGCAUCAUUAUCAGUAGGAGUAUUUUAUUUUUGAGCGGUUUGAUUGUGAUCGAGUUAUAUGUCAUCUGCAUACCUUGGAUAUUUAGAUAGUAGUUAAGGAUUGGGUUCUGUUGGAAAAGAUUACUUAGGGUGCAGUAAUUGUAGUAUGCCUUGGAGGGACUUGGUAUGUCUCGCUAGUUCAGAGCAGUAUAAGUUUUAGAAUCGACAGGUUAGAUCCCUAGCUAUGGUAAGCUUGGGAUUCCUCAGCAGAUUGAUUAUGGAAUGGUAGCAAGGAUUGGGAUUUCUAAUCAUUGAGCUGUGAGGUGUAAGCAGGAUCGAAGUGGGGGAGAAUCCUCCGAGUGUACAAGGGUGAGAGCACACAAAUCCAGAACGAGUACGCGACUUCUGAGAAGGAAAAGAGGUAGUUCAGCGUCUGAUGAUUGAGGAGUUCAGGGAUAGGAGUUUGAGAAACUCCCCCUCAGCCAGUGCGUGUACUGGUGAUGGUUAGUAUGUGGUUGAGAAUUCAGGUUGAAGGAUCGUCUGUAGGACUCGUGUGAGUCGGAACGAAGAUCUUGAGGUCAGAUAGCAUGAGAUGCUUUCGUGCUAGUAGAUCGUGGCAGAGACGGCAGGUAGAGCAUGGAAGAGCGGCGGGAGAGCCUCAGCCUUCUUCAGCAGCAGUCAGUGGUGGAAAGUAUUGUAAGACUACGGGGCAGCAGUAGCAUUCACUAACCGUUAGUGGUGGAAAGUGUUGUAAGACUACGGGGCAGCAGUAGCAUUCACUAACAGUCAGUGGUGGAAAGUGUUGUCAGACUACGGGGCAGCCGUAGCAUUCACUAGUAGAUGGCGAUAGAAGGUGAUGGAAGACUGUGGGGCAGUCGUAGCAUUCCGUAGUAGUUUCGUUGGCGGAGUCCGGGCGAGGCCCUUAUCUCCUAGCAUUCAGAUAGGGGUCAGGAAUGGGUAAUGAAUGAGAAUGGUAAGGAGUUUGACUGUACAGCCCUGGACAGGUAAGGCCUUGGAAGAGGCCGUUCUAGGAUAUAAUUGGGUGAGACCCGUGGGCGAGGCCCAUAUGAGAAUAGCAGUGUAGGUGAGACUUGAGAGUAGGGUGCUUAGUAUUAUGGUUGGGUGAGACCCGUGGGCGAGGCCCGUGAGUUUUAGCAGCACAGGUGGGACCUGGUAGGGAUCUUUGUGUCUAGAUAGGGGAUCGGGGAUCCCAGGAAGUUGAAGUGCCAGCAUGGUGGAAUAGAUUGAGCAGUAUAGGUGGUUGAAGUUUCUUCGUAUGUCGCUGGGAGCGACUAGUGGUUGUGUUGGGUCAGCGAUCGGUGGGACCCGGUAAUCCAGAUAUUGAUAGGUUGGUAGGGACCAGGGUGGUCUCAGUUCAUUUGGAAGCCAGAUGAGGAAUAGCAAAAUUUCCAGUCAGUAACAGUGCGAGUAUGCAGCGUAUGGUAGAAUUCAGUUAGUUGAUCGUGGGGUGCUCGACACCAAAUGAUAGUAGAAAGAAUGCCAAGUGGAUACUGGCGAUGAGGACACGUACUGGGAGUAGCGGGAGUAAUAGAUUUGGUGAAGACAGGAUGUUCAUAGUGGCAGAGGAGAUAGAUGGUUAUAGAACAUUGCCUUAGGAGGUCAAGGAAAUCGUGCAAGGAAAGAAGGGGUGAACCCUAUGAGUUCAGUUGCAGUACUCGGAGAGUACCAGAAGGACUGUCGGGUGAGUAAGUUGUGUUUCCAGAAUGUUCAGGGUCAGGAUGGACCUGAGAUUAUUAUUCACAAGGAUUGGUGUCAGUCUGAAUGACUGAGCGGAAGGCCAGCGAAGUUAGGAAGCUGGUGUUAGACUAAUUCGUGGGGAUUUGGAGGCAGAUCGCAGGCGGUGUAUCAUAGCAAACUUCGAGGACGAAGUUUAGUUUAAGUGGGGGAGAGUUGUAACACCCAAAGUCUGGAAGGACAAGAAAGGAAAGAAAACCCUAAUUUUAAAGGGCGACUCGACGCGUCCAAGGAUGAACUCGGCGAGUCCGAGCGGGAUCCGGGUCGAGGAGUAAGUGACCGACUCGGCGAGUCGGCCAAAGGGACUCGGCGAGUCUGGUCUGUGCGGAGAAAACCCUAAAAUCGGGACUUGGAGCCUAUUUAAGUGCCUGAUUCUCCUCCCUAGGGUUCCUUUACUGCCCCUUUCACCCAGAACAUCAAACCCUAGCCGCCAUAUCAAUUGAUUGAGCCAUUUGUUGCCUUGGAAGGUGCAUAAAAGUUUGGAGAAGGAAGAAGGAACUUGGAGGAGCAAGAAAGGACUAUAGAUCUGGGAUUGUGAGUUCAUUUCUGAGCAUUUGGAGGUAAUAAACUAGUUCUUGGACCCUUUUUGCACCUAGAUCUAUGUGUGGUUGUUGGGACUUUUUAGCCAUAAUGUUAUUCAUUUGAGUUAGAAGCCAGAUCUGAAGUUGCUACUUCAGAUCUAAGCAUUUUAUGGUCUUGGGAAGCAUAAAGUAUCAGCCCUUGAGUUGUUUAUGGAGCCUCUUUUCCUUAAACCCUAGUUUAUGGUGUAUUUUGCCUAGAUCUCCUUCUCUACACUUAAAGUUUGCAAAUUUACGUGAGGAAUAGGCUUGGGAAGGGUAGAUCUACAGUUUGGAGUCCAUGCAUGACUCAAAAGUCCUCUGCAUGUAAGGAGAUCUAAAUGGACUCGGCGAGUCCUUUGAGUGGACUCGGCGAGUAGCAUGAAAAUGAGGAGCAACUCGACGAGUGGGAUGAACAGCUCGUUGAGUCAGAUGAAGAUUGCCUUGUACUCGGUGAGUCUGUUCUUGGACUCGGCGAGUCAGGUUGCGAAACCCCAAACCCUUCGAGUUGAGACUCGAAUCAGUGAGUCGGGUGGAGACUCGGUGUGUUGGACAGGUCAGGACUCAGAAAUCGGUACACUCGGCGAGUCAUGGACUGACUCGGCGAGUCGAAACGCGAAAGGAAGGAUUCUAAAUAUAUGAACUCGGCGAGUCAGUAGGGUAACUCGGCGAGUAGGGUUGACCUGGAAGGUUGACCUUGACUAGGACUUUGACUUAGACCAUGGUUGAGUUGGUUGUCUUUCGGGGGUCAGUUAGACUCAGUGUUGCAUUGAUAUUGGUAGUUCGAGGAGCAAGGGAAGCAGGAGUUCAGUGAGUUGCCGGGCAGCAGCUAGUGAGUUCAUCAACAAGUUCAGCCAGUGCAGGUGAGUUUCCCUUUGUGUGAAUGGGUCUAAGGCCACAAUGUCAACCCAUGUAGUUAUGAGAAGAAAGCCCGGGGGUUAGCCCUAGGCACAGUAUGCUAGCAUGCUAUUCAGGACGAGGUCCAUUAUUAGCGGGCGGGUGCCCAAGGAUUUGUUUAUAUGAUAGUUUAUACUUGUUGUCUGUGUGAUACAUGAAUGUGCCUGGUAGGGAGGUGAGUGUGGGCGAGGUCUCGUAUCUCACCAAUAGCAGAGUGUGGAUGGGGUUCCAUGUCUCAUUAGUAGCAAAACAGGGGCAAGGACCAAGUUAGGGAAGGAGUGAGGGUGGGUUGGGCCCAUAUCUCACUACCAGUAGGUGCGUGGACGGGGUUCCAUAACUCAUCAGUAGCAGGACAGGGGCGAGGCCCAGGACAGGCGAGGCCUUAAGACAGGAUCAGUCGUAUGAGUUUAGCUUAUGUGUUGUGAUAUGUUUAUGUGUUAUUAUUUGUUGGCGGGUGAGGCCCUAUGACAGGCGAGGCCCGAGGCAGGGGCAAGGCCCAAGAUAGCGGGCGUGGCCCAGUAUGUGUAGUAUGUGAUUAUGCAUGGUAUGUGGUAGGGUGGGGAACUCACUAAGCUUUGUGCUUAUGGUUUUUCAGUUUUCGUUUCAGGUACUUCCGGUAGCGGAAGGACGAGCUCGGGGUGAUCGCAUGGCACACACCAUAGAAUAGACAGCCUGGCAAUGUUUACUCUGAUAAUGAACAUGUGUUUUGAAAAUUAAUACUCUGAUUAUGUUUUGGAAUGAUGACUUUGCUUAAAGUAAUGUUUUAUUAAAAGAAAUUUUUGGUCUUGAAUUUUGGGUCGUUACACUAGAGUUGCCUAUCCAUGUUAAUGGAAUUAUAUUUAUAUGGCAAUCCUAUAAAUUCCAUGCCUAGUUGUGUGAGAACCCUUCCUAGGCUUGAGAUACUUGCUAUGAGGGACUGCAAUAAAUUGAAGUUAAUUGAGCAUCCUCCACGUACACUAAGCAGGUUACUCUUUCCUGUUAAUGGGCAUCUUCUAGGAAAAGUCGUAUUUGAUCCAGAGAUGUCCCCACUAGAGUUAUCAAUACCCCUGAUGCUUCCUACAUUUUUGUCAUGUGAAAUUGAAGGCAUUGUGAAAAUCCAACCAAUGGUAUGUGUUGAGGAAAAGGUAUUAUGUAGCUUGGGCUGGAGUUAUUUAGACUUCCUUAACCAAAGGCACUUGGGAACUAAUUAUCGGGAAUCUGAAACCCAGGUUUUUUUAGUUUAUUUUUUUGUCUGUAUGUGAAUAUGUAUAAUAUGCUUCUUAUGUUGAUUAAUUAAGGUGGUUGUAUUUGGCAGAUGACGAUUUAUGAAUUUGGAAUAUUCAGCACAAUGUAUGAGGCGGAGGAGAUGCCGAGUUGGUUUAGGGAUAGAAGCGUGGGGCCAUCAAUAUCAUUUACCAUUCCAUCAUCAUUGUCUCCAAACAAGCUCCUUACAGGACUCAACUUCUGCUUCUCUGCUGACACAUCAAUAUAUCCUGGUGAGCGUUUUCCAGUUUCAUUUGGUCAGUUUUCUUUGUCACCAAUGAUGACAAUUAUUAAUAUAACAAAGAACCGUACGUGGAUAUAUAAACGUUACUUCGACAGAUUUAAUGUAUGUGGAAAGUGUUGGGUGUUGUUAAGUCAUUGGAUGUUUGGGAUGAAUGAGAUGGAGGCUGGUGACCAUGUUACUGGUACUAUUACAUAGCCAGAUGAUGAACUUGUAAAGGAGUGUGGGGUGAUUCUUAUGUACGAUGAUGGAGAGAAGAAGGAUGAAGAAGAAGAUGUGUUGGGAUAUUACAAGUCAUGGAAUCACAUAAUUGGUGGAGACCUCUCUCCUUUUGAAACAACAACCACCGGAGAAUACAUCCUACACAACGAACAAUUUUUUUAUGUAUGGCAUUAGAUUGUUUCCCUAUCAUGGUAAAUUCGUUCCAGACAACCCCGACUUUCAUGGUAGAUGUCAUUUUUAUUAUUGUCAUGUAUAUAUUACAUGAACCAUCACCCAACUUCUUUAAAUAGAUGGAUAAUAACUCCAUUAAAUUUUAAUACAUGGAUCAUAACCUAAUUCUUUUAAACAAAUGGAUCAUAUGACCUAAAUCCACCCAUUUAUUAUUGAUUUUAUUAACCUCUAAAAUAAGAGUUUCUUUUUAUAAAAUAUAGAAAAUAAAACCACUACUUUUAUUUUUGAUGAAUUAACCCAAACAUUGGUCAAUCUAAAUGGAUCAAUGUGUUAUAUCAAUUGAUAAGUCUUUCGAGAUGUUGGAAUUUGGAUCACAUAAAUAUAUCGAGACCAAAUACAGCUACUAUUUUCAAGUGGAUGUGUGUUAAUAAUGAUUAACACGUUACUUUUUUUAUAUGUUUUCAGAAAAAAAGCAACCAUGGUUUAGAGCUUUAUCCCGAAGGAGACCUUAAAUUAUUGGUCACACACAUGAGGUAUACUUUUUGAAACCGAAACCUUACUCUAGUCACAUGUAUAAAAUGCAUAUACAACCAAACAUGUAAUCAUGAAAGUUCUUGAUUGGUCUAUGAUGUAAUAAAAUAAAGGGUGUUAUGACCUUGCAAUGGAUGCUUGAAAAUGGCAACAUCAGAAUGUAGUUGGAGCAUGAAAUUUGUCUAAUGUUCUUUUAAAUAUUUACAUGCACAACUCUAAUCUUUAAUCAUGUGGACCUAUGGAGCCCUAAUGUCUUCAUUUAGGGCUUCAAAUUCAGUGUUUUUUGGUUGUUAUUACUUUUGUUUAUUUUUAUGUCAAAUACAUGAUAUUUAUUAGGCAAUUAUUAUCAAUUAUUUUUAGUUGAUUUCAAAUUUCAAAUUAUUGGCCAUACCUGCGUUAAUAGAACCCUUCUUAUAAGACAUUAGGGUGCCUGUGUGUUUUGACUUAAUGCCCUUAAUAUGGACAACGUUUAACCCUUCCAGAUAUAUAGGUUUUUCUCUUUCUAACUUGAUGCAUAACGGAUAGCUUAAUGGGCAAAGUGUGGGAAGGGAUGAUUUAUGUAUUGAGAUUUGAGUUUUUAUCCCCAGUAUCCUUUACCCAAAAUUUUAACAUAAAAUAAAUAUACCAGCUGAAUUUCCCUCACCUUUUUGUUUUGUACAUUUCUAGAUAUUUUUUAUGGUAUCAAAAUCUAUAUAUUUUUUUAGAACUUUUUCAUAACAUUAAAAUCUAUUUUUUUUUCUUGUAUUAUACGAUAGUUAUAUUUGGUGUGUUAUUAAAUAUUAUGUUUACUUUAAGUUAUUAAUCAUGUUAGUAAUAUUUUUAUUUUAAUUCUUUUAAUAUGAUUAUUUGUGAUUUCUGUUUUAAAUGAAUACUUAUUUGUUAUUUGAGCUUAUUUAUAGGGUUUUAUGCAAAAAAAAGUCCCCAUUAUUUUGAAUUUUUUUUUGAUAAAGUCAUAAUUUUUUUUGAACAGACGAGUCCCGAUUAUUUAACAUUUUACCCAAAUUAACGAAAAAUUCCUUUUUUAUUUUAAAAGGAAAUGACAUAUUAUGUGAUUUCCCAAAAUCAUGAAACUUUUCUGUUAAAAAAAACAUUUAGGAAUUUAUUGAUAAAUUUUCUCAAAAUAAUGGGAUUUUUGUGCGUAAAACCCUUAUUUAUAUACAAAAGGGUAAAUAUAGUCAUUUAUUCAUAUUCAAGAUAGUUUAUUUAGUUCAAAAAAGGAACAGUCUUUAUGUGUAUACAAAUGCUUUAUUAUCCAGACAAACACUAAUACCUAUUCAUCCGCUUUAUCAAUAGAGGACUUGUUGAGGAAAAAAGAAAAUCUCUAAGCGUGUAGAUUCAAGAAAAUGUAUCCUAACAUGUAUAUACUUCCAAGUGAUUAUCUAUUUUCAUAGUAUUUUGUAUUUUGUCUCUGUAUAUUUAUGUUAUGUUUAAAAUGUUCUUACUUUUCUUUUAUUCGUUGGGCAAGGAGGAAUUUUCCAGAAGAAUUUAAUUAGAAGGUUUGGUCAUUGCCAUCUCUAGUAUUGAUUCAUCUUUUCAGUUUUUGUUUAAUAGUUGUAUCUUUAUUUUCAAAAACAGGGGGAAAUCCUUAUGAAUGGUUUUUGAGUUGGUUAAUAUAAGCAUGUAAGGAGUAUUAUAGAAAUGGUCAUGUUGUCUUGAUUACUUAAUAUAUUUGUUAUUUUGGUGAGUUUACAUGAAUUAAUCUCACAGUUGUUGCAAUAUCUCCAAGAAUCCCUAUCUUGAACAACCACCCAACCUCACUGUUUGUUGAGUUGCAUUGAAUUUAUGUUUGAGAGUAUAUAUUUGUGUUUAUGUUUUAUCAUUGGUUCAACUUCCAAGUGUAUAUUUCAUCUGGUAUAUGUUUGAUUGCACAUGAAGGUGCUAAUAUGUACUUGUGUUAAAUCGUGGUAUGGAUAUUAAAUGGUUUCUCAUAUUGAGGACUUUAAUUAGCUUGCUCUUCUGUAGCUAUAAAUUGCAAUGAUUUGACUAUACUCGUUAAACAUUUGAGAAGUUAUAUAUUCACUUGGUGACAUGUUUUGCUACGAUUAGAACUUGGUUAAAAAAGAUAACCGCAACUUGCAUGAAUUUUCUAGAUUAGCUACUAGCUUCCGUUGCAAAAUGAAACACUUCUUGAAUUAUAUGUUAUUUCCCCAAUGAUUCNNNNNNNNNNNNNNNNNNNNNNNNNNNNNUAUAUAUAUAUAUAUAUAUAUAACCCGCGUUAAACGCGGGGAACAUAUAAAAAACAUACAUAUAUCUACAGAUAUUGCAUAAUAAUUAUUAAAAAAAAAUUAUGGUUAUUGGUAUUAUUGAAAUAUGUAGAAGAUACAUUGAAAUCGAUAAAUAUUUAUAAUCGUUGAAAUACCUCUUUGUAUACAACAUUUUUUGUUUUAUUAGUUGAAUGACCUUCUUCAUCACAUAUGGUUAUAAUAUUGUUAUAUAAGCAUAAGUAUUCUAAUUAGACGUUCAUUCCAUAAUAAGAUUACUUAAUUUGAGCUUAUAUUGACAACCAAUAUACCCUUUUUUUCACUGCAUUAAAUAUUGACAACUAUUUCAUUUAUUCAAAUAAAGUCAUAAAGUAUAAUUUAUGGAAUGUUAAAUGUUAUAUGGAUUUAAUUUUAGUAUAUUAUCAAUGGAAAUUCUUUUCUAAAUCAUGAUUGGUUUAUUUUAUAUUGAUUAUGAAUAUAAGUGCUAGCUUUUAUAUUUGUUCUUAUUUAUUUGGUGUUCACAAGAACUAUGCAUUAGUCUUGGCGCAACUUUGAAUAAUUUUAGUAUAUCAUCAAUGUAAUUUAGUAUAUCUUUUAAUUAUAUGAAAUAUCAAAUAUUGACAUUUCAUUACUAUUGUGAUAAUUUAGUUUAUAUAUUGCAUUUUUACUAAUCUUAACGAUCUUAUUUUUUUUCUAAUAACCGUAGAGUUUUUACUAAUUGUACUUACAAAUCUCCUAAUAUAUUAUAAUUUUUAUCUUACUUUAUAAUUUUUCAUAUCUUUAUUAUUUUCAAGAUUUGUUGUCUUAAUAGUUUCUUUUUAGUCUAUUCAAUUUUAUAUUGCAUUGUACAACAUUAUCGUUUCUAUGUAUUCUGAAAUUUUAUUUUAAAAAUGUUUAAUGUAUACAUCUUGAUAUUUUUUAAUAAACUCGUGUAAUAAUUAUGGAAUAUAUAUCUAGUUUGAAUUAGCAUUUACUUCAUUCACUAAAUUAAAUUCCUCAUUAAUCGGAUAUAUUUUGAAAAAUAAUAAUUAUAAUGUGGCAACAUUAUCUAAGACAUAAAUGCUUGGUAUACUUUUAGAGGGAAAAAUCGGGAUCAUUAAAAAGAUUUAUAUAAAGAAAAAGACAAAUUUAAAUUGGAUGAAAUUACUGGCGAAAAUUAUUUUGGAGGGAAUUGUAUUUUGUAAAGUAUAAUACUAUGACAAAAUUCGAAAUAUGUGUAUUGUUCUGUAAUUUUAUAAAUUUUAUUGUUAUUAUAUAAAGAUAAAACAAAAUAGGUUGAUAUGUUAAACAAAAAAAUAAUAAUAAUUUCAAUGUAUGUAACUAAAAAAUAGAAUUUGAAGAUGAAAAUUUAAAAAUUAGAAGUAUGAAGACACGUGAUAAAAAAUAUAUUUGAAAGAGCUCUAACCACAUUUGACCAAUUUGUUAGUGAGAAGUGAUGGGUUUUGGUCAUAAGACAUCCUAUGUGCUCAUACAAACCCUAAUGCUUGGAUCUAGGUUUCUCUAUUGUACAUGCAAGUUAUCUAAGACUACAAACCCUAAUUCUAGUAUACAAGUAAUCAUAUUAACAUAAAAAUAGGUUUAUAAUGUUACCUUGAUUGUUAUGUAGCAAUAACAAUCCCAAAUCUCCUUGAAUUGACUUUGGAAGGCUUAGAGUCACAAGUGUCACUCCUCUAAUGGUUCACAAACACCAUAAGCAAGAGGAUGAAGUGGAGAGAGGUUGGAGGCUGCCCAAAAACGUGUGAAACCCUAGAAAGAUCAUUUGCCACGUUUUUUUAGCCUUAAGGGGUCUUUAUAUAGUUGGGCUAUUAGGGUUAUCUAACAAGGAAACCCUAAAUUGGAUGCUUAAGCCCUAAGCAACCCAUGGAGCCCUUUACUCAAGGCCUUGGACGAUUUCAUAUGGGCUUCACCCAUAGAAUUCGUCCACCUUAUAAUAUAAGGCAAUCCAUGGCCCAAAUUGCAAUUAUCUUAUAAUUACAAUUCCAGUCCCUUAAGUUUAAUUAAUCUCUUUUAGUCACAAAACUAAUUACCAAUUAAUUAUUGACUAAUAUUAAUUAAACAAUAUGAUUUCUCCUUUAAUAUAUUAUUCCCAUAAUAUAUUAAUAAAUCAUAUUUAAUCCUUUCUCUCCAUAAUUCAUCCUAUCAAGUUGCUUUGGUGAAGGCAACCCAAAAGGACCAUGCACCAUCGGGUCAAGUACAUACCAAAAUAGUUAUGGACUUAGACACUAAUCCAACAGUCUCCCACUUGGAUAAGUCUAAUAACUAUUCUGCGUAUGACUUCAGAUCCUGAUCUGCAAUCGUAGCUUUCCAAAGCCGCUGUCAACUCUGAUCCUAUCAGAUACGCGUGUCCUUNNNNNNNNNNNNNNNNNNNNNNNNNNNNNNNNNNNNNNNNNNNNNNNNNNNNNNNNNNNNNNNNNNNNNNNNNNNNNNNNNNNNNNNNNNNNNNNNNNNNNNNNNNNNNNNNNNNNNNNNNNNNNNNNNNNNNNNNNNNNNNNNNNNNNNNNNNNNNNNNNNNNNNNNNNNNNNNNNNNNNNNNNNNNNNNNNNNNNNNNNNNNNNNNNNNNNNNNNNNNNNNNNNNNNNNNNNNNNNNNNNNNNNNNNNNNNNNNNNNNNNNNNNNNNNNNNNNNNNNNNNNNNNNNNNNNNNNNNNNNNNNNNNNNNNNNNNNNNNNNNNNNNNNNNNNNNNNNNNNNNNNNNNNNNNNNNNNNNNNNNNNNNNNNNNNNNNNNNNNNNNNNNNNNNNNNNNNNNNNNNNNNNNNNNNNNNNNNNNNNNNNNNNNNNNNNNNNNNNNNNNNNNNNNNNNNNNNNNNNNNNNNNNNNNNNNNNNNNNNNNNNNNNNNNNNNNNNNNNNNNNNNNNNNNNNNNNNNNNNNNNNNNNNNNNNNNNNNNNNNNNNNNNNNNNNNNNNNNNNNNNNNNNNNNNNNNNNNNNNNNNNNNNNNNNNNNNNNNNNNNNNNNNNNNNNNNNNNNNNNNNNNNNNNNNNNNNNNNNNNNNNNNNNNNNNNNNNNNNNNNNNNNNNNNNNNNNNNNNNNNNNNNNNNNNNNNNNNNNNNNNNNNNNNNNNNNNNNNNNNNNNNNNNNNNNNNNNNNNNNNNNNNNNNNNNNNNNNNNNNNNNNNNNNNNNNNNNNNNNNNNNNNNNNNNNNNNNNNNNNNNNNNNNNNNNNNNNNNNNNNNNNNNNNNNNNNNNNNNNGCUAGAUUCUAACAUUCUAUGCAAUGAUUCUUUCGUAAUGUCACUCACCAAAAUCACAAAGACUAUUGCCAAUGAUAUUACAAAAUCUUCUAUCGGAGAUUGUUACAAGACAAUUCCAUAGACGUGAUGUCUCUCACUCAAAGUACAUUCUUUGAACAUCCUUUUGCAUAGAAGUUUCUAAUCUAGUCAUAGAUUUCUCAAUAUUCAAUUCCCAAUAUGGACACACUUCCAUAUGUUCCAUAUGACAACUCAUUCUUAAUAGAAUCUUAUCUAUUCGUAAUGAUGUCGAUAUGGUCCAUCCAAUAUGGAAACAUUUCCAUAUUUUCCAAUACUAUACUUCCAACUACUCACAAGCGACCAAUCCUCGUCGAACUUUGGAUUGUCCUUUGAUAGUUGUUUAAUUAUUUUAGUCAAAACCAAUUCUAGUCCCUUUUCCCUCUAAAUGCGCUCGACAUUUGGAAAAUUUUAGAAUGGUCAAACAUUAAAGCAUUUGCAAUCGAUCCUAUACCCGAAGCGUAUGGGACACGACGCAUAAUGUUUUAUUUGCUAUGUUCUCAAAAUUCGAAUUGUGAAGAGGGAUGCCGUAAUCAUAAUCGAAAUUUUAAGAACACACUAUGUACCUUUGACUAAAUUUAUUAACAUUUCUCAACCUAAUCCUUUAGAUUUGAAAUGAAGCAUAAUAUUCUCUCCCUUAAUUAUAGCAAAACAACUUUACAACCCUUACGACUUUGCAAGGUAUAACUCUUGUUUUCUAUAAUUAAUAUUGCCAACUUGCAAUACGUGCCUUAAUAAUCAUACAAUCAUAACAUUUAUGCUCCCACUAUCAUGAUGAUUAUUAUAAAACAUAACACUUAUGCUCCCACUAGCUUCGACAUGUAUUCAUAAACAUCUUAACUUUCAGAAAAACAAUACUUAUUGAAUUUCUUAAGUUCAUGUUUCUAAUACUUAGUGCUUUGAUAAUCUUUUAUCAAGGCUUCUUGAACUUAUACACCUUUGCCUUCGAUAGUUCAUAUGUGUGUCUAAACAAUUAAGACUAAUUGCCAAACCUCACAAUUCAAAUUAUGGAAAGGGAUACCGUAACCAUAAUCGAAUUCGAGAAUGCAAUUUUACAAUCACUAUCUUCUUAAAAUCUUUCUUAGUGAAAGCAUUUCCUCACAAUCAUUUUCAUGAAGGAGGAAAUCUUAUGACACUUAGAUUUAAACGGUGUAUGUGUUCCUAUCCAUGUGAAUUUGUUAAAACCAAAGUUUACGACAAAUUCAAACUCAUAUGGACCGAACUUUCUUAAUCUUGAUUUCUUGCCUUAUGGUAGCACAGCUGCCCACCAUGUCUUCCAAGUAGUUAAGCAGCUCACCCUUUCCUAUCAAUGUACCUUUCAUUGAUUAAGGUGCUUUGCCUUUUAUGCGUUCAAAAUGAGAACUCAUAGAACUCACAUGCAUAAUUAACUCGAUUGGAUUGGCACAGAAACAAAAUAAUGUCAACACGAUAGGUUGUAAACCUCAACUCGUGUGCUAGUGAUGAUCGAUAAGGUUUAUUUGAUUUGUUCUUGAAACCUUUCAAGACCAUUAAGACUCCCACUGACUCCUUGACAUAUAAGAUUCUCUUGUCAAUAAACAUUUCUUGACAAACAAAUAUUCAAGAGUUAGUGUAGCUUUUAUCAAAACACUUCAUAAAUUGGUCCUAGUUGGUCUUUGUCUUAUCCAAGACAUCACAACUUUCCACAUUUGAUGAAUGUUAUAAACCUUCUUAAUACUUAUCACUCAAUGUCACAAUCUUAACUCUAAGACUUGUUUUGGAACGAAGUAUGAUUGACUUCUUGAUUUAACCAUUUCUUCAAUUCUUGAUUCCUCUUCUUAGACAUACAAUUGUACUAAGACUCACUUAGAGGAUCAAUUGAGAUAUGGUUCUUAAUCAUUAAGACCUAUCAUAAAGCAUAAAAGGUACUCUCCCUUCUUCUUAGAAUGGAGAAACUUUUAUCUUUCUGCCUACUUGAUUCUUCUUAUUCGUUCUGCUAUUGAUUUAAACUUUUUCAAUCAAUUCAGAAUUACACUUAAUCUUGUAAGUAUAAUCAUAUUUACUAAACCUUUAGUAAAUCAUGACGAAUAUCUUUGUUACUCUUAUGGUGGACUUGAUCAACACGCAACUUUGUGUACUCGAUCUCCUAGUCCUUCACUUGACACUUUGUCAAUGAAUUAGUCUAAUUUCCAAAUAUGAAAUUUCUCAUUCAUCGUGCAACCAAGUUGCAUGAUUCCAAGUUUCUGUCCAAUUGAAACUUGGGCGAUGAGAAACUCUCCCUAUUUGGUAAAUUCUCGACUUUCCAUAAAUAACAUAAUAAGAACCAAAUCCAUUAUUGCUAAUAAUAGAAACAUUCAAACAUCAAUUUUUCAUAUACGCCAUUGCAAGGAUAAAUAAAUAAUAUAAAAUCAAAAUUUAUUUUAUUGCGGAAAAAAUUUGUCCUUACAAUGCAAUUCAUUGAAAAACUAUGCUAAUACAUCUUUCUUAGCAAUCUAAUUCUAACUCUAAGUAGUAGCUCAAGAAUCUAAUCUUCGAGAAAUGCGAUCGAAAUCCAUUCCUUCACGGUUAGAUUCUGCUCACUUCUUCCCUUAAGCUUCCUUUCUUUUCUUCGAUCCUACAAAACAUCAAUUGUAAUCUUAUCACAUUAUGUAUUAAGAAUCUAGAAUAGAAGCUUAAAAGAGUUAGUUAAUGGAUUUUACCUAUAUUAGAGCCAUACGUUUCGACUCUCCCAUCUCUUAGAUCUCUUAGGUAAAUGGGGCAGCUUCGUCUCCAAUGCCCUUUCUCUUGGCAAUAAAAGCAAAUUGACUCUUUUGGAACAUGACAUGGAACUACUUCAGACAUUGCCUUUCUCUUAUGAUCAAACUUUUCGAUCAUAGCAUGUCUUUCGUUGCCAUUGUCUAUAUCCAUAGAGGUCUUGAAGGCAGAUUCACCAAUCAACUUUGCUUUUCUAUUGCGCCAAACCAUUGCUGAUUCAGCAGCAAUAAGCAUAUAGGUGAGAUCUAUAAGGGUCACGUCGCGGUUCAUCAUAUAGUACUCUCUUACGAACUCACUAUAUGAGUUAGGAAGUGACUGAAGAACCCAAUCAACAGCCAUUUCCUCACAGACAACGGAUCCCAACAUUCUUAACCUAUCAAUGUGUGACUUCAUCCCUAGGACGUGUGCACACACCGACUUUCCUUCUUUAUGUUUACUUGCCAAAAGGGCUUGAGUGAUCUUGAACUUUUCAAGCCUUUGAACUUGUGGGUUAGGGAGAAUAAUUGGAGGAGGAGGAGGAAGUGAAGCAUGAUUUCUUGUUCCUCGAUCGAAUCGUGGAAUAUCAUCUUCAUGUGGAAUGCUUGUUCCACGGGAUUUGGGAAGACCAUAGUUGUCGAACUUUGACAUCUACAAAACGGGAGAAAACGAAUUCAAGUUAGUUGAUUGAUUGAGUCCUUAGUAAAUCACCCAAAUGAGAUACUAAGGCUAGGACCCAACACAAUAUUCUACAACUCGGGAGAGGGAUGCCGUAACCCUAAUUGCAGAAUAUUUGAAGGUAAGUGAAUGACGAUUCACUAAUUUCCACCAUGAAAAACGAAAAAGAAAUUUAAGUUUUAAAUCUAUGAAAACUCCUAGAUCCUUUGAGAUUCAUUGAACUUUCAAUGGCAUGUUUAAAUCUCGAUAUGCCCCUCUUGUUUGUGACUGGGAUGCCGAGGAUCACAAAGCGGGUGUGAAUAACCAUGCAAACUUACAUGGUGCCCUCACAUGUUACAGUCACCUAUUCGAUGUGCCGGUAAACCACACACGCUCCACCGAACUAUGACAAACAUUGAGUCACCCUUUGCUACCUUUGCUUAGAACCAUUUAGUGUGCCGGUAAACCACACACGCUCCACUAACGUCUUCGCAAGGGCACAAAGUGUAAUUUCAUGGAAUUGCAUCAAUUCACUUUUGCCUAAGUAACUAAGAUUGGGAAUUUUAUGAAAACAUUUAGUUACUUUAAUAAUUCAUUAUACUUAUAAUGGAAGGUUUCGUCCUAUCCUACCCGUUCGGCUAACGACCCUCCACUAGUCAAGAGUGCGGUGGGUAAGAGUGGAUACCCAUUCAAUCGCCAUUUUAUAGGCAAUUUCCUUAAACACCCCUUAUAGACCAGCUUCGUGAAUGAGGCCUACUAACGGUAAGACUGACUUUUACUCAUACAUAUAUAUAAUGUUAGACUUUUAAUGUUAUAUAUAGUAUAGGGUGUAUUUUACACUUUUAAAAUACUAGGUGGUCAAAUUUAACAAUUAUACUUUUAAUUCAAUUAAAUUGUAAACCAAAACUUUUAUGGAUUUAUUAAACCUCUUUUAAUUAUACACCUUAAUUAAUUAAUAAAACCAUAAGGGUGUGAUUUGAACUUUUUCAAAACUAUACUAGAGUUUUAGAAUUUAACAUUCCUAAUUAAACUUUUAAUCAACUUUUAAAUUCCAAAACUUGAGGGCAAGUUUUGAAACAUUUCAACACAUUAGGGUUUAGAAUUUAAAUAUACAUCAAAAUUAAACCAUUUAAUCAAAAUUUAAAUUCCAAAACUUGAGGGCAAGUUUUGAAACCUUUUUCAAAACAUUAGGGUUUCAACUAUUUAAAUUUCAAAACAACAAAACUUUUGGGUUCAAAUUUAAACUAUAAAACCUAAAGGGCAAAACAUGAAACUUUUCAUAACAACAAGGAUCAAAUAACAAAUAAUCUAAAUUAACAUUUAAUCACAUAAUUAUCCAUAUUUGAUUUAUUUAAUGAUUUCUUGCAAAACAAUUUAUCAAUUUACUCAAAAUAAUUAAUCAAUUAUCACAUAAGGAAACAAUUAUCUUUUUAAUUGAUAAAUAUCUUCAAUUAGAUCAAAAUUAUAGUCAAAUAUAUCAUAUAAUCGGAUUAAUAUUGAUCUAACAUGAUAAGGUAACUAUCUAUAAGCAAAAACAGCAAGAAAACCCGAGAUACCCUCCAUCUGACGAGUUGACUCGUCGAGUCAGCAUGGACUCAGCGAGUUUAGCUAUGGACUCGGCGAGUCCAGCCACCAAAAACCCAAAAAACAAUUUUUUCUAGUUAUACAAUGCAUCAUUACAAUUGAAACCAAGCUAGUCUUAUACCACUGAUGGGUUUUGGUCAUAAGACAUCCUAUGUGCUCAUACAAACCCUAAUGCUUGGAUCUAGGUUUCUCUAUUGUACAUGCUUUGAAUCCAAGACUAUAAACCCUAAUUCUAGCAUAUAAAAAUCAAUAUUAACAUAUNAGAAUAGGUUUAUAAUGUUACCUUGAUUGUUAUGUAGCAAUAACAAUCCCAAAUCUCCUUGAAUUGACUUUGGAAGGCUUAGAGUCACAAGUGUCACUCCUCUAAUGGUUCACAAACACCAUAAGCAAGAGGAUGAAGAGGAGAGAGGUUGGAGGCUGCCCAAAAACGUGUGAAACCCUAGAAAGAUCAUUAGCCACGUUUUUUAGCCUUAAGGGGUCNCCUUAUAAUAUAAGGCAAUCCAUGGCCCAAAUUGCAAUUAUCUUAUAAUUACAAUUCCAGUCCCUUAAGUUUAAUUAAUCUCUUUUAGUCACAAAACUAAUUACCAAUUAAUUAUUGACUAAUAUUAAUUAAACAAUAUGAUUUCUCCUUUAAUAUAUUAUUCCCAUAAUAUAUUAAUAAAUCAUAUUUAAUCCUUUCUCUCCAUAAUUCAUCCUAUCAAGUUGCUUUGGUGAAGGAAACCCAAAAGGACCAUGCACCAUCGGGUCAAGUACAUACCAAAAUAGUUAUGGACUUAGACACUAAUCCAACAAGAAGAUCAUAAAUGGAUCCUUUGAUAAUGAUCAACGAAUUAUUUCUUGUAUGAAUAAAAGUGGAUUCUAUAAUUAGUGGAUUCAUAAUGUUUUAAGUAAUGCUAAAAUAAACAUGUAUAUUGAAGUGUAGAUGAACAUGUCAUUUUCAUGCAAACGACAUGUUUUAUGGUAUCAUGUAGAAAAAUACUUUAGAAAAUAUUUUUUUUUAAACACAUAUACUUAACUUAUAUCCUGAUCAACCAGGUUCAUCAAUCGUUUCUCCCUUGAACUUUCAAUAAUCACUUUCAUGAGAUUAGUCGACACAACUCGACUAAGAAAAUUUGGAACAAAAAAAUAAAUAGUUGUUGUAUUAUAAAUGUGUAAUACAAUAAAUAUUUACGUAUAGAUAAGGUAGAAUGUUAAAAUAAAAUCUUACCAAAUGCAACACAAGUGUCGAUUCCUAGCUGUCAAAUCCUGGAAAGUCAAAAAAUUACAAGGAUCAACCAUAGUUGUCAACAAAAUUAUUUCCAUACUUAAUUUCAAAUGAUGCAUAAAUAGAUUAUAUAUUAUUUCCUAUUAAAUCAACUUAAAAGUGUAAUAUGAUCAUACUAAAAUAUUUUAAAAUCAUACCAAAGUUAACCGGAUUCUUAUUAUAUAAUAAUAAUAAAAAUCAUUAUCACCUCUAAUAUAUAAAAAUAACAUUUUCCUAAUUAGUGUCAAUUUCAAAGAUAGUGAAUUUCUAUUUUGUUAAAGGUGUGUAAUAUCUUUUCCUGUUUAUAUGAAAAGUUUCAGAAAAGUAGUUAACCGAUUUCAUGUAAUUUGUGAUAAAGAAAAUCGAAAUAUAUGAAUACAUAUAUAUAUUUGAUAUAGGAACAAAAAAAUAAUCGAAAAAAAUAUAGAAAGCAAAAGAAGGUACUAACCUUCUACUGCACAACAACGAAACUUUGAAGCAAAAAAUGAUGACGGAAGUUAUAAACAAUAAGAAUGAUGUUGUAGGAGAAGGUUUGAAGAAAAGAAACGAUUGAAAAUAAGUGUGAGUCGCGGAUUCAAUGAUGAAUCGUAUAUGUAUGUGCUAAUUUGAAUCUGAUUUUUUGGUAAUAAUGGUUUCCUAAUAAAAAUGGAUUUUUUAUAUUAAUGGGUUACUAAUAUAAACAUAUUUAUAUUAAUGGUUGAUAUUAAUGUCUUAAUUGAAAUGGUUUGUUACUAAUAUGUUUUUAAAGCUGUCCAUAUUAAAACCUUUAUAAUCAGAAAUUCAGGAUUUAAAAUAUGGAAAGAUUUUAUUGGAAUUAUAUACAUUCCAUUUCAACGGAUGUAAAUUAAUUUUGUUUGACAAUUGAAAAGUUUUAAUUGGAAUUAAAUACAUUCCAUUUGGGAAGAUGAUGUCAGCAAUUUGAUCUAAUGGUAGAAAACAUAGAAUUAAAAUACAAUCAAUGGCCCAGAUUGUUUAAGAUGAUGUCAUAAGGUUUCUCUUUUAAUAAUAUUUAGAGAUUAAAGUUACGAAGAAAAUGAAUAGUAAACUUGCAAUUUUUUUGGCAGAAUUGGUCCUUGUACUAUUUUACUUAUUUUGACACUUUUGGUCCUUGCAAUCAAUAUUUUUACACUUUUUAGGAACCUUUUAAUAUUUAAAGUUUGGCCACAAAACUUUAACGGUUUGACAACUUUGAUCCUUUUUCUAAAAAGUUGCUAAUUCCUACCUCUUUAAUUCUUUAGCCAUUUUGACACUUCUGGUUCUUGCAAUCCAAACUUUUACAUUUUUCACUUUUGUUCCUUGUAAUCAAUAUUUUUACACUUUUUAGGAAUCUUUUAAUAUUUAAAGUUUGGCCACAAAACUUUUACGGUUUGACAACUUUGAUCCUUUUUCUAAAAAGUUGCUAUUUCCUACCCCUUUAAUUCUUUAGCCAUUUUGACACUUCUGGUCCUUACAGUCAAAACUUUUACAUUUUUUCAUGAAAAUGAAAAAAAAAACGGUCUGGAGCAAAGCCCAGGCUUUUCAUUCUUGCACUUUCUACGUUUGUCAUUUUAUCGAUUUGGAAACAAUAUUGAAAUCUUCUGGCCCCCGCGUAGCGGGGGUAACCUUUCUAGUUGUCAUAAAGACCCAAAAAGGUUUUGUGAUUGGUUUUAAAUGGUCCUCAAACUAAUUUUUGUUCCUUCUAUAGGUAUAAACUCAAAAAUGACAUGUUAAUAAACGGAAGGUAACCUCUUGUUCCCUGUUAACAUAUAAAUUCAACCAAACCUUAAAUGACAUGGCAUAUUUUAUGCCACAUCGAUCCCACGUGUGAUGUGUACACCCAUCCUCCAAAACCUCACCUGAAACUAAUAAAACUCUCUUUAGAUUAGCACAACCUUUUUUCAUCUUCUUUAUAGGUGAUUCGGUUCUAACAUAGAUAAUAUAUAUUUUUCUCUCUCACAAAAUCAAAACAAAACUAAUAAAACUCUCUUUAGAUUAGCACAACCUUUUUUCAUCUUCUUUAUAGGUGAUUUGGUUCUAACAUAGAUAAUAUAUAUUUUUCUCUCUCACAAAAUCAAAACAAAAUCCUCCUAAAGAAAUCCAGUUACCGCCAUUUAUGUCUCUGUCCUAGAAACUACAGUGCACCAUCAACCUUUUUGGCGACCAUCUACGGGAAAAGGAAUCGAAGCUUCAUCUUGUUCAUUCACCUUUAAACAUAUCAAUGUUUGUGUGUUUGUUUUAGUUGCAGGUAAGUGUGUGUGUGUGUGUGUGUGUGUUUGUUUUAGUUGUAAAUAUGUGUGUAUUUUAGUUGCAAGUAGAUGAAUAGAUCUUAUUCUAGUGAUCAAUCAGGGAUUAUAAUGGUAAACUUAUUCUGGAAGUUUGAUACAGAAGAGUUCUUUUUUCCACCGUUAUUUCAUAUACAGAGAGGGGGGGUAAAGAGGUGUGUAGUUUGCCAACACCGACCGAUGAUGGGAAAAAGAUUACAGAUGAGUCGUUCUACAAGUGCGUUUCGUUUCAUUUUGGCUAAAUCAUUGUUUUCCAUCUUCAUUCCAGGUUUGAUUUAUAUCAAAAUCUGUUCUCCAGGUUUAAGUUUGUUGAAUCACCAUCGGUCAGUGCCGAUUUCUGCAGCUGCCAAUCCGUAGGUUACGAGCUUCAGCCUCCAAUUUUUUUUGCAACUAACGAUAUACGCCGAUUAGAAUUGUGAGGUGGUUAAGAAAAGUGAGGUUGAAGUCGUCGGGAAUAGAGAAGACAUCAUAGACACGAAUCUAAACUAGUCGACGAGUUGGGUGUCGGCCGAGAGUGGCCUCGGAGAAGCUGAUUGGAACGGUGGAUGUCUGGAUGGAAGAAACGCCACCGCCUGUCCGCUACUAGUGUUAUCGAUCUUCGGUUUGAAGAUGGAGAUGUGUUUUUAGUCGGCGGGGAUGAUGAAAUUUGCAGACCUAAAUGCCAACAUGGAUUAUCUUUUAAUUUUUUAUUUUUAUAAAAUAAAAAUAAAUCCACAUGGACUGUAGGUAACCUGUGAAACCGGAACUAAAUGAAAUAAGUAUAGUUUCUUAUCCAUAUUUAUUUUAAUGGCAUAAAAGACAUAAAAAAGUUUAAUGAUUUUUUAAAACUAAACGAAAACUUCAUUAGUUUUUAUGUCAAUAAUCCUUCUUUUGAACACAAUUAUCAAUGUUGAACACUUUUAGAAAUGUGUGCUAUAUAAUUUCUACCUAUUUCCCCAUGAUUAAAUUGGAAUCUUGGUCUCUACCAUUACGCAUCAUUCAUCAACAAUCUCCAUCUUAUAUGAUUGGGCUCAAAAUCUCAAAACUUUUAUAGGAUAUUUAACUAAGUAAAAUUCGCAUACUUCACCUUAGUAUUGAAGGCUCUGAUUCCAAAUAUGAGAAUUCUCUAACAAUUGUUUUUUGAAUUUUAAACGCACCAUGUUUAGGCCUUCCUUUUUUUCUUCACAUCACGAGACAAAAUAACAGGACAUUAAUCGAUAUUUUUUCUAUCCACCACCUCUAUAUCUAUAUUUUAUUAUUGUUGUUAACAAAAGGAUACCAUUUUCAUUUUCCCAUGCUAUUUUUGCACCAAUAAUAGACUCCCAAAAUUGGUCCAUUUAGGCUGAAAAUAAAUUAGGUACAUCAGGACCUUGAUGAGACCCACACAAUUCUUCACAACUUACCAUGCAUUAGGCAUAAGCUCAUGCACAAGCCCAUCUUGACUUACUCCUCCAAAGGCCCAUAUCUUGAUUACCUUUAAGGCUAUAACCUAUAGCCUUUUUCCAUGUAUUUCCAACACUUAAACAACCUUUUUAGUCAAAUAAUUAUGUAAAUCAUAUAUAGUAUACCCAUAUGAUGGGUUUUGGUCAUAAGACAUCCUAUGUGCUCAUACAAACCCUAAAGCUCGGAUCUAGGUUUCUCUAUUGUACAUACUUUGAAUCCAACACUAUAAACCCUAAUUCUAGCAUAUGGAAAUCAGAAUUCACAUGUAAAUAGGUUUAAGAACAUACCUUGAUUGUUAUGUAGCAAUAACAAUCCAAUUCCUCCUUGAAUUGACCUUGGAAAGCAGAGAGUCACAAGUUUCACUCCUCUAAUGGCUUAUAAACACCAUAAGCAAGUGGAGAAGGUAUAAAGAGAGAGGAGGGAGGUUAGAAUUCGUCUCUAAGACUUCUUGGGAAGGGAUACACGAAUUCAUGACCUUGGGGUUGUUUAUAUAGGUGUAGAGAUAGGGUUUCAGUCAUUAUCCUUAUCUAGUUGAUUAUCCAUUAAGCAACCAAUAAGAUAAUCCUUGAAUCCUUAUCAUACUCGAAUUCUAAGACUUUCCAACCUUAAAUUCGUCCACCAUAUUUAUAAGAUAAUCCUUACCUUAUUUUGUAACUAUCACAUAAUCACAAAUCAGCCCCUCUAGUUUAAUUAAUUACACUUGAUCACAAAAUUAAUUAUUAAUUAAUUAUUGACCAAUAUUAAUUAAACAAAUAUGAUUUCUCCUUUAAUAUAUUAUUCUUAUAACAUAUUAAUAAAUCAUAAUAACCUCUCUCUCUAUUUAUUUCUCCAAUCAAGUUGCUUUGGUGAAGGCAACCCAAAAGGACCAUGCACCAUCGGGUCAAGUACAUACCAAAAUAGUUAUGGACUUAGACACUAAUCCAACAGUCUCCCACUUGGAUAAGUCUAACAACUAUUCUGCGUAUGACUUCGGAUCCCGAUCUGCAAUCGUAGCUUUCCAAAGCCGCUGUCAACUCUGAUCAUAUCAGAUACGCGUGUCCUUAGAUAAGGGAUCAUAUAUUCCUCCAUUCUAGAUAUCAUAUGAGAUAUGAUUUCAAAUCAUUCUCUUUGUACUAUAUCUCGAUUUCCGAUUUAUGACGACUGACUAAUUGAACAAAUCAAAUUAGCCCUAGCCCGGCCGAGCAUUUACGUUUGUCAUCACUAAACCAUCGAGGGGCCCAAAGAUAUCGCUUUUAUCCUACUUUGGAUAAAAGGAACGGAUAAACUUUGAUACAAUGCUUGCUUGCACUCACUCACCGAAUCACACACAACAAUAUGUUUUAUAACACCAAGUUACUAGUGCGUUUACAUAUUAUCAAUGUGCAACCGAUUUGCAAGAUACAACUCACACAUCUCGGUUUCAAGAAUAUAAGAUGUUAUCGUCUCACCAAUCACUCGUGAUACAAUUCAUGGAGUGAUCCAAGUGAGCGUGGGUUUAAUCCAAUGCUCAAAUCACAUUCAUAAGCACUCAUGAACGUUGCAGCAAACAUUUGCUUAUGUCUAAUACUCUUUUAGACAAUCCACACACCAAUUCACGACAGUCUUCAUUCAUAUCUACUUCCAACAUAUGAACGACUGUGGCCCGUUUGAAUAAUUCGAUUAUUCUUAAUAAACUCAAUUAUUCUGGAAGUCAAAACAUGCAAAUGUGAAACACAAGAAUAAUACUAAUCCCAUAUGGCCUCAAACCUUUGAGUAUAAAUAAAACACCUUUUAUUUAUCACCAUAUUGAUUACUCAUUAUUUGUCGUUUCGGGUAAUCAACUUCUUACUUGAAUUCCAACACUUGUCCCAUGCUCCUAGCAUGCACACAAUGUUUACCUAUGGUUCUUACUUUGUGAAAUAGAUCACAUUGAACACAUUUCCAAUCCUUCUCAUUUCACAACUCCAAAUCCGUUUUUCAUAAGUCAAAGAAUAUCAAAUUCUUGCUACUUAUAGAAUAUGCUAGAUUCUAACAUUCUAUGCAACUAUCCUUUCGUAAUGUCACUGCACCAAAGUCACAAAGACUAUUGCCAAUGAUAUUACAAAGUCCUCUAUCGGAGAUUGUUACAAGACAAUUCCAUAGACGUGAUGUCUCUCACUCAAAGUACAUUCUUUGAACAUCCUUUUGCAUAGAAGUUUCUAAUCUAGUCAUAGAUUUCUCAAUAUUCAAUUCCCAAUAUGGACACACUUCCAUAUGUUCCAUAUGACAACUCAUUCUUAAUAGAAUCUUAUCUAUUCGUAAUGAUGUCGAUAUGGUCCAUCCAAUAUGGAAACAUUUCCAUAUUUUCCAAUACUAUACUUCCAACUACUCACAAGCGACCAAUCCUCGUCGAACUUUGGAUUGUCCUUUGAUAGUUGUUUAAUUAUUUUAGUCAAAACCAAUUCUAGUCCCUUUUCCCUCUAAAUGCGCUCGACAUUUGGAAAAUUUUAGAAUGGUCAAACAUUAAAGCAUUUGCAAUCGAUCCUAUACCCGAAGCGUAUGGGACACGACGCAUAAUGUUUUAUUUGCUAUGUUCUCAAAAUUCGAAUUGUGAAGAGGGAUGCCGUAAUCAUAAUCGAAAUUUUAAGAACACACUAUGUACCUUUGACUAAAUUUAUUAACAUUUCUCAACCUAAUCCUUUAGAUUUGAAAUGAAGCAUAAUAUUCUCUCCCUUAAUUAUAGCAAAACAACCUUUCAACUCUUACAACUUUGCAAAGUAUGACUCUUGUUUUCUAUAAUUAAUAUUGCUAACCUUGCAAUACUUUCCUUAAUAAUCAUACAAUCAUAACAUUUAUGCUCCCACUAUCAUGAUGAUUAUUAUAAAACAUAACACUUAUGCUCCCACUAGCUUCGACAUGUAUUCAUAAACAUCUUAACUUUCAGAAAACAAUACUUAUUGAAUUUCUUAAGUUCAUGUUUCUAAUACUUAGUGCUUUGAUAAUCCUUUAUCAAUGCUUCUUGAACUUAUACACCUUUGCCUUCGAUAGUUCAUAUGUGUGUCUAAACAAUUAAGACUAAUUGCCAAACCUCACAAUUCAAAUUAUGGAAAGGGAUGCCGUAACCAUAAUUGAAUUCGAGAAUGCAAUUUUACAAUCACUAUCUUCUUAAAAUCUUUCUUAGUGAAAGCAUUUCCUCACAAUCAUUUUCAUGAAGGAGGAAAUCUUAUGACACUUAGAUUUAAACGGUGUAUUUGUUCCUAUCCAUGUGAAUUUGUCAAAACCAAAGUUUACGACAAAUUCAAACUCAUAUGGACCGAACUUUCUUAAUCUUGAUUUCUUGCCUUAUGGUAGCACAGCUGCCCACCAUGUCUUCCAAGUAGUUAAGCAGCUCACCCUUUCCUAUCAAUGUACCUUUCAUUGAUUAAGGUGCUUUGCCUUUUAUGCGUUCAAAAUGAGAACUCAUAGAACUCACAUGCAUAAUUAACUCGAUUGGAUUGGCACAGAAACAAAAUAAUGUCAACACGAUAGGUUGUAAACCUCAACUCGUGUGCUAGUGAUGAUCGAUAAGGUUUAUUUGAUUUGUUCUUGAAACCUUUCAAGACCAUUAAGACUCCCACUGACUCCUUGACAUAUAAGAUUCUCUUGUCAAAAACCAUUUCUUGACAAACAAAUAUUCAAGAGUUAGUGUAGCUUUUAUCAAAACACUUCAUAAAUUGGUCCUAGUUGGUCUUUGUCUUAUCCAAGACAUCACAACUUUCCACAUUUAAUGAAAGUUACAAACCUUCUUAAUACUUUUCACUCAAUGUCACAAUCUUAACUUUAAGACUUGUUAUUGGAACGAAGUAUGAUUGACUUCUUGAUUUAACCAUUUCUUCAAUUCUUGAUUCCUCUUCUUAGACAUACAAUUGUACUAAGACUCACUUAGAGGAUCAAUUGAGAUAUGGUUCUUAAUCACUAAGACAUAUCAUAAAGCAUAAAAGCUACUCUCCCUUCUUCUUAGAAUGGAGAAACUUUUAUCUUUCUGCCUACUUGAUUCUUCUUAUUCGUUCUGCUAUUGAUCUAAACCCUUUAAUCAAUUCAGAAUUACACUUAAUCUUGUAAGUAUAAUCAUAUUUACUAAACCUUUAGUAAAUCAUGACGAAUAUCUUUGUUACUCUUAUGGUGGACUUGAUCAACACGCAACUUUGUGUAUUCGAUCUCCAAGUCCUUCACUUGACACUUUGUCAAUGAAUUAGUCUAAUUUCCAAAUAUGAAAUUUCUCAUUCAUCAUGCAACCAAGUUGCAUGAUUCCAAAUUUCUGUCCAAUUGAAACUUGGGCGAUGAGAAACUCUCCCUAUUUGGUAAAUUCUCGACUUUUCCAUAAACACCAUAAAUAAGAAUCAUAUCCAUUUGUUGUAGAAAUAUGCAAACACCAAUUUUCAUAACGAUUUCAUUGCAAGGAAAUAAAUAAAUAAAUAAGUCAAAUGAAAAUUUAUUUUAUUUAUAAAAGCAGCGGAAAAAUUUGUCCUUACAAUGCAAAAUCCAUUGAAAACUAUGUACAAAAGAAAAUUUCUAACAACUCUAUCAUAACUUUUUAAGUUCAAAAUCUAAUCUUCAAGUCCAUGCGACCGAGAUCCAUCUCUUGUGAUUAGAUUCAUCAUGCUCUCCUAUCAAGCUUCCUUUCUUUUCACCGACUCUACAAAACACUCAAAUGUAAUCUUAUUACAUCAUGUAUUAAGAAUCAAUGAAUAGGAACUUAAUGGAGUUAGAUAGUGGAUUUUUACCUAAAGCGCAGUCAUACCUUUGACUCUCCCAUCUCUUAGAUCUCUUAGGUAAUUAGGGCAACUUCGUCUCCAAUGCCCCUUCUCUUGGCAAUAAAAGCAAAUUGACUCUUUUGGAACAACACAUGGAACUACUUCAGACAUCGCCUUUCUCUUAUGAUCAAACUUUUCGAUCAUUGCAUGUCUUUCAUUGCCAUUGUCUAUAUCCAUAGAGGUCUUGAAGGCAGAUUCACCAAUCAACUUUGCUUUUCUAUUGCGCCAAACCAUUGCUGAUUCGGCAGCAAUAAGCAUAUAGGUGAGAUCUAUAAGGGUCACGUUGUGGUUCGUCAUAUAGUACUCUCUUACGAACUCACUAUAUGAGUUGGGAAGUGACUGAAGAACCCAAUCAACAGCCAUCUCUUCACUAACAACGGAUCCCAUCAUUCUUAGUCUAUCAAUGCGCGACUUCAUCCCUAGGACGUGUGCACACACCGACUUUCCUUCUUUAUGUUUACUUGCCAAAAGGGCUUGAGUGAUAUUGAACCUUUCAAUUUUACAAUCUUGUGGGUUAGGGAGAAUAAUUGGAGGAGGAGGAGGAAGUGAAGCAUGAUUUCUUGAUCCUCGAUCGAAUCGUGGAAUAUCAUCUUCAUGUGGAAUGCUUGUUCCACGGGAUUUGGGAAGACCAUAGUUGUCGAACUUUGACAUCUACAAAACGGGAGAAAACGAAUUCAAGUUAGUUGAUUGAUUGAGUCCUUAGUAAAUCACCCAAAUGAAAUACUAAGGCUAGGACCCAACACAAUAUUCUACAACUCGGGAGAGGGAUGCCGUAACCCUAAUUGCAGAAUAUUUGAAGGUAAGUGAAUGACGAUUCACUAAUUUCCACCAUGAAAAACGAAAAAGAAAUUUAAGUUUUAAAUCUAUGAAAACUCCUAGAUCCUUUGAGAUUCAUUGAACUUUCAAUGGCAUGUUUAAAUCUCGAUAUGCCCCUCUUGUUUGUGACUGGGAUGCCGAGGAUCACAAAGCGGGUGUGAAUAACCAUGCAAACUUACAUGGUGCCCUCACAUGUUACAGUCACCUAUUCGAUGUGCCGGUAAACCACACACGCUCCACCGAACUAUGACAAACAUUGAGUCACCCUUUGCUACCUUUGCUUAGAACCAUUUAGUGUGCCGGUUAACCACACACGCUCCACUAACGUCUUCGCAAGGGCACAAAGUGUAAUUUCAUGGAAUUGCAUCAAUUCACUUUUGCCUAAGUAACUAAGAUUGGGAAUUUUAUGAAAACAUUUAGUUACUUUUAUACUUCAUUAUACUUAUAAUGGAAGGUUUCGUCCUAUCCUACCCGUUCGGCUAACGACCCUCCACUAGUCAAGAGUGCGGUGGGUAAGAGUGGAUACCCAUUCAAUCGCCAUUUUAUAGGCAAUUUCCUUAAACACCCCUUAUAGACCAGCUUCGUGAAUGAGGCCUACUAACGGUAAGACUGACUUUUACUCAUACAUAUAUAUAAUGUUAGACUUUUAAUGUUAUAUAUAGUAUAGGGUGUAUUUUACACUUUUAAAAUACUAGGUGGUCAAAUUUAACAAUUAUACUUUUAAUUCAAUUAAAUUGUAAACCUAAACUUUUAUGGAUUUAUUAAACCUCUUUUAAUUAUACACCUUAAUUAAUUAAUAAAACCAUAAGGGUGUGAUUUGAACUUUUUCAAAACUAUACUAGAGUUUUAGAAUUUAACAUUCCUAAUUAAACUUUUAAUCAACUUUUAAAUUCCAAAACUUGAGGGCAAGUUUUGAAACAUUUCAACACAUUAGGGUUUAGAAUUUAAAUAUACAUCAAAAUUAAACCAUUUAAUCAAAAUUUAAAUUCCAAAACUUGAGGGCAAGUUUUGAAACCUUUUUCAAAACAUUAGGGUUUCAACUAUUUAAAUUUCAAAACAACAAAACUUUUGGGUUCAAAUUUAAACUAUAAAACCUAAAGGGGAAAAUAUGAAACUUUUCAUAACAACAAGGAUCAAAUAACAAAUAAUCUAAAUUAACAUUUAAUCACAUAAUUAUCCAUAUUUGAUUUAUUUAAUGAUUUCUUGCAAAACAAUUUAUCAAUUUAGUCAAAAUAAUUAAUCAAUUAUCACAUAAGGAAACAAUUAUCUUAUUAAUUGAUAAAUAUCUUCAAUUAGAUCAAAAAUAUAGUCAAAUAUAUCAUAAAAUCGGAUUUAUAUUGAUCUAAUAUGAUAAGGUAACUAUCCCAAAGCAAAAACAGCAAGAAAUCCCGAGAUAUACUCCAUCUGACGAGUUGACUCGUCGAGUCAAGCUUGGACUCGUCGAGUCUGCAUGGACUCGGCGAGUUCAGCUAUGGACUCGGCGAGUCCAGCCUCCAGAAACCAAAAAAUCGAAUUUUUCAAACAUAUCAAGCAUCAAUACAAUAGAAACCAGUCUAGGCUCUGAUACCACUGAUGGGUUUUGGUCAUAAGACAUCCUAUGUGCUCAUACAAACCCUAAAGCUCGGAUCUAGGUUUCUCUAUUGUACAUACUUUGAAUCCAAGACUUUGAACCCUAAUUCUAGCAUAUGGAAAUCAGAAUUCACAUGUAAAUAGGUUUAAGAACAUACCUUGAUUGUUAUGUAGCAAUAACAAUCCAAUUCCUCCUUGAAUUGACCUUGGAAAGCAGAGAGUCACAAGUGUCACUCCUCUAAUGGCUUACAAACACCAUAAGCAAGUGGAGAAGGUAUAAAGAGAGAGGAGGGAGGUUAGAAUUCGUCUCUAAGACUUCUUGGGAAGGGAUACACGAAUUCAUGACCUUGGGGUUGUUUAUAUAGGUGUAGAGAUAGGGUUUCAGUCAUUAUCCUUAUCUAGUUGAUUAUCCAUUAAGCAACCAAUAAGAUAAUCCUUGAAUCCUUAUCAUACUCGAAUUCUAAGGCUUUCCAACCUUAAAUUCGUCCACCAUAUUUAUAAGAUAAUCCUUACCUUAUUUUGUAACUAUCACAUAAUUACAAAUCAGCCUCUCUAGUUUAAUUAAUUACACUUGAUCACAAAAUUAAUUAUUAAUUAAUUAUUUACCAAUAUUUAUUAAGCAAAUAUGAUUUCUCCUUUAAUAUAUUAUUCUUAUAACAUAUUAAUAAAUCAUAUUAUCCUCUCUCUCUUUAUUUAUUUCUCCAAUCAAGUUGCUUUGGUGAAGGCAACCCAAAAGGACCAUGCACCAUCGGGUCAAGUACAUACCAAAAUAGUUAUGGACUUAGACACUAAUCCAACACCAUACGCACACACUCUUUCUUCCAUCAGGUCCAUCUCAUUACCAACAUCUUGGUCACCACCAAAAUUAUCCGAUUGGCUCUAACUAUCGUUGGCAGUAGUAAUCUUGUUUCCAAUAAUUCCAUUGCGAGAUAGAAUGAGCAGAGACUUUAAUUUCCUAUCAUUUGAUACAUGCCACUUUAUAUAAUAGGAGAAAAAACAACAUUCCUUUACCUAAAUUUUCAAAACAAUCUCAUUCACUUCUAUCUCUUUAUGUUACUGAUUAUUUUUCCAUGAAACGUAACUUGCAUNAUAUAUAUAUAAAAUAUAAAGGUAAAAAGGGUAUACAUAAGUGGGCUAGGAUACAAAAAACAAAGGUAAAAGGGCUAUACAUGUGUGGGCUAGGAUACAAUAGGCCACACAUAUUAAAAUGAAACUAAACUAAAUAUAAUAUAUAAUACAACAUAAAUAUACAUCUAACAUCCUCCCGCAGUCGGAAUAGGAGAUCUGGAACAGAUGCUCAGUCUAGAUUUGAAAUCAAGAAAUAAAGAAUAUGGAAGCCGUUUAGUGAAGAUAUCAACAUACUGGGACGAAGGUGGAAUGUGAAGAACACGAAUCUUACCCAUGGCCACCUUGUCACGCACAAAACGAAUAUCAAUCUCUAUAUGUUUGGUGCGUUGAUGCUGAACAGGAUUGGUGGACAUAUAGAUUGCACUUACGUUAAUACAAUAUACAAGAGUAGCGGAACGUGGUGGGUAAAGCAGUUCACGAAGUAUGUUGCAAAGCCAACAUGUCUCAAUAACAACAUUGGCAACUCCCAUGUACUAAAGCUUUAGAACUGGAUCGUGAUAUUGUACCUUGUCUUUUGGAAGACUAAGAGAGAAGGUUGUUGCCAAGGAAGACACAAUAACCAGAAGUGGAUCGUCACAAAAAGGGGGCAGUCUACCCAAUCGGUGUCAAAGUAAGCUAUGGUCAACAGUAAGAUAGCAGUCCCUAUGAGGGGGAGACAUAACGGUAAACAAGAAUAGAUUGAGGGUGAAAAUACUUUGUUGAUUGUCUACUUUACGAGGAAGCGGUACAAGACUAUAAAUAGAGGUAGGAUCCCUAGACAAAGGAAAACCUACGGCCCAUAGGCUAACUAGGCCAAAACCAAUAUAUGUAAUAUUUACAUUCUAAAAUUUACAUUCUAAUAAUAACAAUGUAAGCAAUGAUCAAGAGUGUCAUAAAUGUAUCUGAGAAUGUGCUUGAGAGCUAUAAAGUGGGGCUCUGGUGGAUCGUUCAUGUAUAGGCAAACCUGUUAGACGUUGUAAGUAAUGUCACGUCUAGUAAUGUUGGACGUCGUAAGUAAUGUCAUGUCUAGUAAAAUCAGAUACUAUAAUGAUCCAGUAAGACUCCUAUAGAGAGUAGGAUCAGUAACGGGUGGACCGGAACCAUCAAACUUAGCAGACGUGUCUGCUAGUGUGUGAGCUAGUUUGCAACUAAGCAUAUGUGAUCUCUCAAGUAUCUCACAACAUACUUUGGUUGUGAAAGGAACAUGGCAUGUCUAUCUCUAGUAACAGAGAUGCCAAGGAAAUAUUGAAAGGGCCUAGAUCGAUCAUAGCAAAUUCUGAACAUAACAAGUUAAUAACAUGCUAAAGAAGAAUUGUAUAUGAGGCAGUCAAUACAAUGUCAUCAACACAAAUCAUCGACUCGCACCCGAGUCAAAUAACACUAAGGCAGGUAUAGAAUUCACAAGAAAAGUACCUACGCAUAUCAUCAUAUAAGCACAAUAUCUCAACUCAGCAUGACAUAAAUAUGAAUACAUACCAGCCACUACAUCAGGCGCUGCGCGGACCUCCUCCGAUGUCAAUUGGAAAUCUCUCUCGCGAGCCUUAGUGCCUCGUCCUUCACUGGCCGAACCUCAGUAACCUUAGCAGCAGGUGCAAACCCCUGUGUUGAUCCCUGAUGUAACUGCGGGCACUCGACCUUCCGAUGGCCAGUCUGGUUGCAAUGAAAGCAAACCAUAAAUCCCUGGGGGCAAUCCUUGACGAUAUGCCCCUCCUUGACACAUUUGUAGCAAGCACUUGAUCGACAGACCCCAUCAUGUCCCUUGCCACACUUUCUGCGAGUGCGGCCCUUCUGGCCUCCAGAUCUCGUAUCAGCGGACUUAGCCCGCUUGGCUGUCGGCUGAUACUAUGCCGGCCGCCGAUCCAUCCUCUGAGACUCGGCCUCCUCCCUGGCCUAAGUCUCCAACUCAAUCUCCCUCUUCUAGUCAUUUGACUGGAGCUCAGCAAAUUUCCGGUAAGUCAAGUUCGACACGAACUCCCGAAUGUUUCUCCUCAAAACGCCCAAAUACCGGCUCAUCCAUGCCUUUUCAGAAGACACCUGCUCAGGGCAGAACAUCGCCCUCUCAUGGAACUUCCUGGUAACCACAGUAACAGAAUCAGUACCCUUCUUAAGGGUCAAAAACUCCUAAACCAACCAUUCCCUCUCCACCGGUUGAACAUACUCAUCUCUGAACAUCAUGGUGAACCUCUCCCAUGUCACCUCUGAAAUCUCUACAACAGUGAAGCUCGCCGUCACGAACUUCCACCAGUCCUUCGCUCCCAAGCGAAGCUGGUUCAGCACGAACCGAACCCUCAGAUGCUCCAGACAUGAACACGUGUAGAAGCAUCCCUCAAUAUUAGCAAUGCAUCUCAUCACAGCGAUCGGGUCCUGCGUCCCAUCAAACUCGGGUGGCUUCGUGUUGCUGAACUCCCGAAACAACAACGAGUCACCUCCCUGNNNNNNNNNNNNNNNNNNNNNNNNNNNNNNNNNCAGCGACAGCUGCGGUGGUUAUAGCAGCAGCAGCUUCAGUCACCGCGGUGUACCGCUCAUCGAAAGUCUCAAUCAGUGUGGUCUUGAUAGACCCAAACAUCUCCGAAAUCUCAACUCGGAUCGCUGCUGCCACCACAUCGUGGAUCAGCUGAUGAAGCUCCUCGUCACUCACACCGUUCGCCCCAGGUCUGUGGUGUGUUCCAACCAUGAUGUCUCUAAAAUACAACAUAAUAAUAUCAGAGACUCGCUCGAGCAUACUUGCACUCGAUAACUCGACCCUACGUGUUCCUUAGUACCCAAAGGAUUCUUACUUAGAGUGCGCACUGCUCCGAUGUCUUCAGUAGUAUGGGCCCUUAUACUACCAUCUACACCGCAUCAUUAUUCACCCUAAGUCCUCCUCCUUGGAUCCCAGAUCACAAGUACUCUAUAUCUCACUGGCAUAGGCUACCCUUCGGUAAACCUCUUAUCAACUCCUCACUAUUACCUACUCGCUCUCAAGCAUCACACAGCAGCAAAAUCCUUCCUAGGCUAAGGCAUCACAAAAUCAGGGCACUCUAGUCCUAAUAUAAAUACCUAGCCAAUUCUAGCAUGCAUAUCAUAUCAUAACAUUUCUCAUAACACAUAAUGUAAGGGUAUUUUGGGAAAUCACCGUUCAGGCGCUGGCUGAUCGUACACACUGCUUCCUUCUGCUUUUCUCAAAAUCUUUUACUCCCUUAGAAAAAUUGUUUAUUUUGUGAAAAACUUUCUCAAUUCCUCAUUUUGAGUUCAUAUUCAUCCGAAGAUGCACCCGAAUCCCUCAAACCAAGGCUCUGAUACCAACUUGUAACGUCGUAAAUUCUCAAAACAAUUUUUUCAUUAUUAAAACAUACUUUCAAUCAUCAAAAACAAUAUCAAAACAUAAUGUAUCCAAUGUUAUCAUAACAAAACAAUUCCCAGAAUCUCAAAAAUAAUCUCUAUGAGUGUGUACGGAUCAUGCCGACGCCUUCCCGCAUUCCUCGCUAGUACCUGAAACACAUACCAUAACAACUGUAAGCAUAAAUACCUAGUGAGUUCCCCAAAAUACCACAUACCAUACAUACGCCUGUCCAGGCCAUAACUCUAUAGGAUCUUCUGAUCCAUGUGUCUUAGGGGACUUCCAUCCCAAAUCCCGGUAGACCUUCCAGUCCGUACACUCUUGACCUUCCGGUCCGUAUCAUCUUGACCUUCCGUUCCUUACCAUAUGUAACAUACAUAGCACAUACAUAAAUAUCAUCUUGACCUUCCGGUCCUUAUCAUACAUAACAUAUAUAGCACAUACAUAUCACAUAACCGCAUAUAUCACAUACAUCAUAGCAUUCAAGACCUUCCGGUCACACAUAGGUACCCUUCUAGGUACAGUAUAGUGAGAAGACUCACCUCAAUGAAGUCGGAUAAACUCUCGUGCUCAACGUCCCGACUUAGCCUCCUCCUAUUUUUCAAAUAACAUUCCCGAUCAAUACACUCUCAUGAUCUCUUCUCUACAGACUGGGUAGAAGGCCAUUCUACCCUUCCUUGAACUCUCCUGAAUUAGUCUUGACCAGAAUCCUAAAGUCAACGAAAUUCGACGGUCAACUUUGACCUGACUCGUCGAGUGCACAUGGGCGACUCGGCGAGUCCAUGCGGGUCCUCUGAAUCCUUUCAGCCUCGCAUGGCUCGNCGAGUCAUCCUUCCACUCGACGAGUUACACCUGUCACGAAUCACGGGUCAACCCCGACUCGACUCGUCGAGUCCACUUAUGGAUUCGGCGAGUUGCUCCCAUAACAACUCUCAAAUUACCUUCUGAGGUCAGAUCUGCUUUACCAAACUAUAGAUCUGGCCUUCCAGUGCUUAAAGGUCACGUAAAGGUGCAACCUUUACGUGCUCGCAACCCAUAACAAGCCAUAAAUGGAGAAAUAACUCUAAAAAUGGCAACCUAGUCUCUAAUCCUCUAAGAACAAGCAUAAAGCAUAAUGGGAAAGGUUCUCUGGACCUCUAUGGGUCCAGAUCUGAGGUCUAACCCAGCAAAGGACCAUAUACUGAACCUUUCAAGCCUUAAAAGGUUUGUAGAAAACCCUAGAUCAUAGAUUUUAACCCAAAACAAAAGGGAAGUUCGAUUUGAUACCUCAAUAGUGUAGAUCUAAACUAGACAACCUUAGAUCUGCAGCCCCCUUGACCUCCUCUUGAUGGAACCACCUUUCUUUUGCUAAAACACUCAAGAAAUGGUGAGUUAGCCUCCCUCAAGCACCACAAACACACACACUCUCUCUCUCUAGGGUUCUCAAGGGUGAAAUGGACGCAAGCCCGCUAUGGAGGCUAUAAAGGCCUUUAAAUAAGCCGCAAGCCCUGAGAAUUAGGGUUUUCUCUUAAUAGCGCGUACUCGCCGAGUCCAUCCAUCGAAUCGCCGAGUCCUUCAUUAAAUCAGACCAGAAAUGUGUGAUCCCACUCGGCGAGUCUAAGCGCCUACUCACCGAGUUCCUCUCUAAAUUUCAAUAUGAAUACUCAAAAUACGAUACCUGGAAAUCCGGAUGUUACAAGCGUGGUCAAACAUUACUCGAAAUGGGAAGAUUUCACGAGAAACAACAAAGUGGACCGAAACCACCUUCGGUCCGGAUUCACUUUCGGCCUAAGACCCCUUUCGGCCCAGGCUACUACGUUUUGAGCCUACUUUCGGUUGUGAACCUAAUUUCAGUCCAAGGCCAUGUUUGGUUUAUUCCCCUAUGGCACAAACUGCUCUCGGUUAUGACUACCUUCGGGUCCUUACUACUCAUAGUUCAAUCCAGUUUCAGUCAAAGUCUCAUGAACUAAGACCCCACACCACAUUUCCCCUCCACCUCACAAUUCAAAAACCAAGGUAGAAAACCCAAAAAGUGACCCUCUUGGUCCGGAGCCCUCUGAGUCCGGAACGUGACCCUCAAAAUGAACCGGACAAUUCCGUAUACACCCUCCUUCUUUUGGAACCUCCUCAUCCGGAACCAACUCGCCUCGAAAGGAUCCGUACCAGAUGAGCUUCACGGUCUUGGAAGACCAAGGCCACUACGGAAGUUUAUAAUCCCGCACCUCCACUCCGGAACCAUGGAUGAACUCCGGACGGACGUUCCUGACUCCGGAAGGACGUUCCUAACUCCGUACACUCUAUCUCAUUUACCAACUUUGUAGAGAAGAACCCGUUCUUAUAAUAUCUAGGACUCAUUAUUAAAUCAUGGUCUGGGGAAAUCCUUAUUAUAAGAAAUAUCUAUUAUACAAGAUACUCUCUAAGAAUUGGUUGACUUUUUCCAAAAAGUUAUGACACCAACCCACUCCCCAUACACACUUUAUGACAACUUUAUGGCACUAUUCUCAUAGUACCUACUCAAAUCGAUAUCUUUUCUCCAACACUCCACCAGAUUUUCCUAUUCUAAAUCCACUAAUUGGAUUCUCAACCUCCAUCUAUAAAACCUCAAUUCCAUCUUUCAAAGACAAGCUUUACUUCCUCUUUCACUAUUCUUCAAUCUGGAACACGAGAAUUCCCUAGGAAGCAUCUGCCCUCAUUUCACCCUUGGUAAGCUCUUUACCUUCACUCUUUAAUAUUGCACAAUCCCUCACACAUAUUAUGGUUUUCUUAUGCAAUAUCGUCAUAAUUACUCUUAGGAUCUCCAAAUCCUUAAGCUUUCUCCAAGUGUUCUCGACUUGGAAACCUUUUUCCUUCGACAUCCAUUUCUAGGAAUCACUCAAGGUGAAUUCAUACCCCUGCAUUUUCAUUUUUUCUUCAAGUGUUAGGGGGGGGAUACAAGUUAUAACAUCAAAAACUUAACUAAACUCAAACAUUAGCUUUCCAUAGGAAAGUUGUAACAUCCCGAAAUAUCAAGAGUAGAGUUGAAGGGCUAAAAGAGUAAGUUGUGGAAGAGUGACUCGGCGAGUCCAUGGAUGGACUCGGCGAGUAGAGUCGCGACUGGGUCGCGUGUUAAGUAGCCGACUCGGCAAGUCAGUAAGGAGGACUCGGCGAGUAGGCGUUGGCUAGAGAAAACCCUAAUUCUCGGGGUUGAGCCCUAUAUAAAGAACAUAACAGCCCACUCUCAGCCUCUUUGUUCAUCUCCAAGUCCUAAAACCCUUAGCCUUCGUGUGUGAGUGAUCCUAUCUCAAUCGGGAGCUUGAAGGAGAUGAUUAUUGAAGGAAUUUUGGGAGAUUGAAGGCUUGGAGCAAGGGGCUUUGCUUGGAUUUGAAUUUCAUUUCAGUUAGGGCGUCCAUUGGAGGUAAUAUCUUGUUCUUGGUCUGAUUGUAUGUUGUUUAUUCAUUUUGGGGUUGUGGGAACUUGUCUAUGGAUGUAAUUGGAAGUCUAGAGGUUAGAUCUGAGGUUGCUACCUCAGAUCUGGAAUGGAGAAGAAUCAGAGAGCAUGAAAGUCCCUGUGUUGGAGUGUUUAGUGAAGCUUACAUGUCCCAAACCCUAAACCAAUGUGCAAAAGGCCUAGAUCUCUUUGGAUUCACGUAAAGUCUGCCACUUUACGUGAUGGAUGAGUUGUAGGAGGCUAGAUCUAUGUUUUGGAUCAAUUGCAUGGUCUGGAAUGCUUCUGUAUGGAUUCAGAUCGGUGGUACUCGGCGAGUCACAUGGGUGAACUCGACGAGUUGUUUGAAGAUGAGCUGGGACUCGGCGAGUUGGAAGAACAACUCGGCGAGUCGGAUGAAGAUGGCCUUGGACUCGGCGAGUUGUAUGAACAACUCGGCGAGUAGGUUGAAGAUAGCCAUAGACUCGGCGAGUCUGUUCUUGGACUCGGCGAGUCUUGUCGAAGAGUUCCGAUAUUCUCUGGUUGAGUCGAGAAUCGGUGAGUCAAGGGAUGACUCGGUGAGUUGUGUGCGAGAGGACUCAGAAGUUGUGGGACUCGGCGAGUCUCGGGGUGACUCGGCGAGUUAGGUCGCGGAUUGAGUGANNNNNNNNNNNNNNNNNNNNNNNNNNNNNNNNNNNNNNNNNNNNNNNNNNNNNNNNNNNNNNNNNNNNNNNNNNNNNNNNNNNNNNNNNNNNNNNNNNNNNNNNNNNNNNNNNNNNNNNNNNNNNNNNNNNNNNNNNNNNNNNNNNNNNNNNNNNNNNNNNNNNNNNNNNNNNNNNNNNNNNNNNNNNNNNNNNNNNNNNNNNNNNNNNNNNNNNNNNNNNNNNNNNNNNNNNNNNNNNNNNNNNNNNNNNNNNNNNNNNNNNNNNNNNNNNNNNNNNNNNNNNNNNNNNNNNNNNNNNNNNNNNNNNNNNNNNNNNNNNNNNNNNNNNNNNNNNNNNNNNNNNNNNNNNNNNNNNNNNNNNNNNNNNNNNNNNNNNNNNNNNNNNNNNNNNNNNNNNNNNNNNNNNNNNNNNNNNNNNNNNNNNNNNNNNNNNNNNNNNNNNNNNNNNNNNNNNNNNNNNNNNNNNNNNNNNNNNNNNNNNNNNNNNNNNNNNNNNNNNNNNNNNNNNNNNNNNNNNNNNNNNNNNNNNNNNNNNNNNNNNNNNNNNNNNNNNNNNNNNNNNNNNNNNNNNNNNNNNNNNNNNNNNNNNNNNNNNNNNNNNNNNNNNNNNNNNNNNNNNNNNNNNNNNNNNNNNNNNNNNNNNNNNNNNNNNNNNNNNNNNNNNNNNNNNNNNNNNNNNNNNNNNNNNNNNNNNNNNNNNNNNNNNNNNNNNNNNNNNNNNNNNNNNNNNNNNNNNNNNNNNNNNNNNNNNNNNNNNNNNNNNNNNNNNNNNNNNNNNNNNNNNNNNNNNNNNNNNNNNNNNNNNNNNNNNNNNNNNNNNNNNNNNNNNNNNNNNNNNNNNNNNNNNNNNNNNNNNNNNNNNNNNNNNNNNNNNNNNNNNNNNNNNNNNNNNNNNNNNNNNNNNNNNNNNNNNNNNNNNNNNNNNNNNNNNNNNNNNNNNNNNNNNNNNNNNNNNNNNNNNNNNNNNNNNNNNNNNNNNNNNNNNNNNNNNNNNNNNNNNNNNNNNNNNNNNNNNNNNNNNNNNNNNNNNNNNNNNNNNNNNNNNNNNNNNNNNNNNNNNNNNNNNNNNNNNNNNNNNNNNNNNNNNNNNNNNNNNNNNNNNNNNNNNNNNNNNNNNNNNNNNNNNNNNNNNNNNNNNNNNNNNNNNNNNNNNNNNNNNNNNNNNNNNNNNNNNNNNNNNNNNNNNNNNNNNNNNNNNNNNNNNNNNNNNNNNNNNNNNNNNNNNNNNNNNNNNNNNNNNNNNNNNNNNNNNNNNNNNNNNNNNNNNNNNNNNNNNNNNNNNNNNNNNNNNNNNNNNNNNNNNNNNNNNNNNNNNNNNNNNNNNNNNNNNNNNNNNNNNNNNNNNNNNNNNNNNNNNNNNNNNNNNNNNNNNNNNNNNNNNNNNNNNNNNNNNNNNNNNNNNNNNNNNNNNNNNNNNNNNNNNNNNNNNNNNNNNNNNNNNNNNNNNNNNNNNNNNNNNNNNNNNNNNNNNNNNNNNNNNNNNNNNNNNNNNNNNNNNNNNNNNNNNNNNNNNNNNNNNNNNNNNNNNNNNNNNNNNNNNNNNNNNNNNNNNNNNNNNNNNNNNNNNNNNNNNNNNNNNNNNNNNNNNNNNNNNNNNNNNNNNNNNNNNNNNNNNNNNNNNNNNNNNNNNNNNNNNNNNNNNNNNNNNNNNNNNNNNNNNNNNNNNNNNNNNNNNNNNNNNNNNNNNNNNNNNNNNNNNNNNNNNNNNNNNNNNNNNNNNNNNNNNNNNNNNNNNNNNNNNNNNNNNNNNNNNNNNNNNNNNNNNNNNNNNNNNNNNNNNNNNNNNNNNNNNNNNNNNNNNNNNNNNNNNNNNNNNNNNNNNNNNNNNNNNNNNNNNNNNNNNNNNNNNNNNNNNNNNNNNNNNNNNNNNNNNNNNNNNNNNNNNNNNNNNNNNNNNNNNNNNNNNNNNNNNNNNNNNNNNNNNNNNNNNNNNNNNNNNNNNNNNNNNNNNNNNNNNNNNNNNNNNNNNNNNNNNNNNNNNNNNNNNNNNNNNNNNNNNNNNNNNNNNNNNNNNNNNNNNNNNNNNNNNNNNNNNNNNNNNNNNNNNNNNNNNNNNNNNNNNNNNNNNNNNNNNNNNNNNNNNNNNNNNNNNNNNNNNNNNNNNNNNNNNCGGCUGCCGCGGCGGCUACAGUGGCUGUAGCAACGGCAAGGGGAGGAGCUGAUAGAGAUUUUCAGUAUCGGGACUUCGAUAAUGCGGAGCCUCCCGCCUUCGAUGGAUUUCAGGACCCGAUUGUUGCUAUGAGAUGGUUAUCGGACGGGGAGGGGUGUUUCUUCACGUGUUCAUGCCCUGCUGAUCUGAGGGUGAGGUAUGCUCUGAGCCUGUUGAGACUCGGGGUGAAGGAUUGGUGGAGAUUGACCACGGGGUCAUACUCGGAUGCGCAGAGGGCUGCGGUUUCAUGGGAUCAGUUCAGAGAGAUGUUCAGCACUCGAUAUGUUCCGCAAGUUGCGAGGGAGAGAUUGUCUUAGGAGUUCCUUGAGUUGAAGCAGGAUUCGGAGUCGGUGACUGAGAUCGCCAGGAUGUUCUUUGUGAGGGAGAUGUUUUGCCCUGAGUUCGCUUCGGAGCAGGCUCAGAUGUCCCGAUAUCUGAGUAUGUUCAGGGGGGAUAUCAGACAGUUCAUGUCUGCGCAGAGGUGUGAAACUUUGUUGGAGUUGUAGGAGGCCGCCAGGCGGCGUGAGUUAGAGGUUGAGUUGCAGUUGCGUGAGCUGAGGCAGGCUCCGAUGUAGUCGCAGCCGGUGCUGAAACGGUCCAGGACCGUUGAUGUUAGAAUGGGGAAUCUGAGUGGCCACACUUGUGGGAAGUGUGGGAGGGGUCAUACCAGAGUUUGUUGGUCCGGUGGUGCAUGCCGCAAGUGCGGAAAGGAGGAGCACUAUGCGCGGGUUUGUCGGCAGUCAGUGCCGGUUCGGGAUUUGAGGAUUUGUUAUCAUUGUUGUCAGGUUGGACAUUUGAGGGUCAACUGUCCACAGCUUUCUGCAGGACCGGUGCAGGCUCCAGCACCGACCACUUUGAGGAUUCCAGGAGGAGGUCAAGAUGGAGCGGAGCCCCCAAGGGCUCAGGGUCGUGCUUAUCAGCUUGCGGCNGAUCAGUGCCGGAGGCAGCUGCGGGUAUGUUUCUUUCUUGAUGUUUUGUUAUCUUGCGAUUAUGGUGGUGUAUUGUUUGUGCUCGUAUCUUUGUGUGGAUUUCGAUGCGGUAUUUGUCGUUUUGCGGGUUGAGGUUUGGCAUGGUUAUGGAUUUAUGUUUCGGGUUUUCGUCUUAGUAUCCGUUGUCCCUUGAGGGUUUGGCAUGGUUAUGGAUUUGUGUUUCGGGUUGGUAUCCGUUGUUCCCUGAGGGUUUGGUAUGAUUAUAGUUUGGUGUUUGUGCUAUCGUUGGUUAUCGUUCAUGAGGGUUAUUAGUGGAGAUGCGGCAUUGGGUUGAAUGUCGGGUAGCAUCCACAUUCGUGGAAGGGAUAAUUGGAGAUCGGAUUCUUUUGAGCGGAUUGAUCAGUGAGGAGAUGUGUUUUGCUGAGGGUUGCUUAUGCUUGUGGGAAGCAAUCAGUGUNGGGGUUGUUCUGGAAGGUCGUUAAUGGCGACCGGUGGUUGUUAGUCAGUGCUUUAAGUGGGGGAGAAUUGGAGAAUUCUCCGGGAGAUCGAUGAGUAUUUGAGGGUGCUUAGCUGUUGGGAUUCAGCAGUGUUCUGUCAGCCCAGAGUAUAGGCUGAUAGGAGCGAGUGUCGGGCAUGCGGGGCGAGAUACAGACCUAGAGCAUUUGAUUGUGGAGGCCUGGGAGCAGGCCGGGAUCAAGUUUGAGUAGGCAACCGGGGUUAUGUGAUCAGAGUAUUUGUAUGCUUUAUGUAUGUUAUGUGUUGUAUUGCAUUAUUUCUAUGUGAUUUAUGCUGUGCAUGUUUUCAGAGUUGGAACUGGAGGGUUCCUGGAGUUAGAACCGGAAGGUUCACAGAGUUAGAACUUGAGGGUUCAUAGAGUUUGGGUGUACGGACCCACAGAGUUAUAGCCUCGAGUGGCUAAUAUGUGUUAUGUGAGUCGGUCCAGUCAUGCUGGAGACUCUGUUGGUAUUGUUGGAUCAGUUUGAGAUUGCGGAUUGUGUAUGUUGCAGUGUGAUUGCAUUGGAAGGUCUGGCCCCGGGUAGUGAUCUUGUUUAGUUGAGGUAGUGCAUGGGCUUGAGAGUCCCUGCGAGGAGAGUCAGAGUAAGUGUGUAGGAUGGAUAGCGGAGACGCUAAAGGGUGGUGUAGCGUUAGACGUGCACCGUGGCAUUUUCCGGAGUGACAUUGUGGCCAAGUGGAUUCCUUGGUAAAGGAAGAGAGAGAGGUAGGAGGUGUGUAACUCCGAGAGGGAGUGCAAGUUCACGGAAGUGAAAGCGGCAGAGCAGAGUUAUGAUUAGAGUAAUUCGAGUUUGGUUACUGAGCAACGUGUUUGCGGCAGUGGAGUAGAAGCUCAUCCGGUUUGGAAUGUCUGCUGAGGUCGCGGAGGGAAAUCCGCAAGUGUAGAGCCAAGAGGCUCGGAAGGGAUGCAGAGAGAGAGAGAGAGAGUCUUAGACUCUCAGUGUGAUUCUGAUCAGGGUAUGGGGUGUAUAUUAGUGGUUCAUCCUGUGGGGAUGUUUGAGGAUAUUAUCAGUGUAUCAGGUUUUCCCAACCUGAGGGUGUUAGAGCUGGUUCAGCUUGUGUGUGUGGUUGCAAGGGGAGAACUCAUGAGAGUUGCUUUGAGAUUAAGAAUGGGUCUCUCAGUCGUCCCGGAAUGGAUAGAGUGGGAUUCGGAUCGGGGAUCCGAUGGUUCAUGGUUUUCUAACCCUUAUGGGUCGAGCGAUUAUUGAGAUUUGGGGCAGUGAUGCAUCUUGGGUAAUUCUCGGUUGUUGAGAGUGAUGAUCAGGGGGUAGAGUCGGUGCCCGGUUCGAGACGAUGGUCAGGACACCAUGAAGGAAGGGAAACUGUGCGAGUUUAGAUAAGUAUGCCUUGAGGGAUCUGGUCUGGUUAAGGCUAGGUGGAGCGUUGUGGGAGUAUCCUUGGAGUUGAGUUGCUGUAGGCGUCGAGGGCGAAGCCUAAUUUAAGUGGGGGAGAAUUGUAACAUCCCAAAAUAUCAAGAGUAGAGUUGAAGGGCUAAAAGAGUAAGUUAUGGAAGAGUGACUCGGCGNGGACUCGGCGAGUACAGUCGCGAAUUUGGUCGCGUGUUAAGAAGCCGACUCGGCGAGUCGAUGAGAUGGACUCGGCGAGUAGGCGCUGGGUGGAGAAAACCCUAAUUCCCGGGGUUAAGCCCUAUAUAAAGAACAUAACAGCCCACUCUCAGCCUCUUUAUUCAUCUCCAAGUCCUGAAACCCUUAGCCUUCGUGUGUGAGUGAUCCUAUCUCAAUCGGGAGCUUGAAGGAGAUGAUUAUUGAAGGAAUUUUGGGAGAUUGAAGGCUUGGAGCAAGGGGCUUUGCUUGGAUUCAAAUUUCAUUUCAGUUGGGGCGUCCAUUGGAGGUAAUAUCUCGUUCUUGGUCUGAUUGUAUGUUGUUUAUUCAUUUUGGGGUUGUGGGAACUUGUCUAUGGAUGUAAUUGGAAGUCUAGAGGUUAGAUCUGAGGUUGCUACCUCAGAUCUGGAAUGGAGAAGAAUCAGAGAGCAUGAAAGUCCCUGUGUUGGAGUGUUUAGUGAAGCUUACAUGUCCCAAACCCUAAACCAAUGUGCAANNNNNNNNNNNNNNNNNNNAAUGCUUCUGAAAGGAUUCAGAUCGGUGGUACUCGGCGAGUCACAUGGGUGAACUCGACGAGUUGCUUGAAGAUGAGCUGGGACUCGACGAGUUGGAAGAACAACUCGGCGAGUCGGAUGAAGAUGGCCUUGGACUCGGCGAGUUGUAUGAACAACUCGGCGAGUAGGUUGAAGAUAGCCAUAAACUCGGCGAGUCUGUUCUUGGACUCGGCGAGUCUUGUCGAAGAGUUCCGAUAUUCUCUGGUUGAGUCGAGAAUCGGUGAGUCAAGGGAUGACUCGGUGAGUUGUGUGCGAGAGGACUCAGAAGUUGUGGGACUCGGCGAGUCUCGGGGUGACUCGGCGAGUUAGGUCGCGGAUUGAGUGAGCUCUGAGUAUGGGAACUCGGCGAGUCAUCGGGUUGACUCGGCGAGUAGGGUCAGUCAGGGGUUGACUUUGACGUUGUCUUUGACCAAGGGUUAACCAGUGGUUUCCAGGGGUAUUUUGGUAAUUGUUGUUUAUGGUUUUGAGUUCAGUGCAUUGGUGGCUGUCCAGUGGUGGAGAUCGUAUCAGUGAUCGGAGCAGCUUGAGUUACCUGUUCUGUAGGCAGUUUCAAGGUGAGUUAUCCUCACUAUAUCGAUAGGGUUUAUGGCACCAAGGCCAACCCUUUUUAUCGGAUGGAAAUCCGGAUAGUUGUCAGUUAUUAUGUUAUGGGCCGGAAGGCGUUAUAUGUUGUGGGCCGGAAGGCAUUUGCGAUGUGGACCGGAAGGUCAUGGCCUGGAAAGGCGUAUGUGUGCAUUUAGUAUGUUGUCUGAUUUGUAGGGUGAUGUUAUGCUAGUGACCGGCUAGGCUGGUAUCUUGGUUAGGGUAAUGCUAUGUUAUGUGAUCUGUUGAUCGAUUGCUGACUGUGAGUCGUUAUAUGAUUAUGUGUUAUGUGCAUGAUUGCUAGGUCUGGGGUGUGACCCGGUAUGCGGGUUCGUUCUAUGUUUUGUUAUGAUAUGUAUACUUUUUAUGUUAUGGGCCGGAAGGCAACAUGUUAUGGGGCGGAAGGCAUUGCGUUAUGGCUGGAAGGUGAUAUGUUUUGGACCGGAAGGUCGUGGCUUGGAAGGGCGUAUAUGUGUUUGGUAUAUUGGGGGUAUCUCACUAAGCUUCUGGGCAUACAGUUGUGGUUUUAUGUUUUCAGGUUCUCAGGAGUCUGUGGCAAGGCAAAGGCGUGAUCGUAUCGUUCCUCGCGUUGGUGUUUUAUGAUAUGAACCUGGGAAAAUACUCUGUAAAAUAAUGUAUUGAAAACCUUUUGUAAAGAUUUUAUGGAAUCGAGAUGUUUUUGAAAAAUUUAAAAUUGGUUGUAUUUUUCGGUCGUUACAAAAGUUUAGUUCCAUUCACGGAUUGUUUUGAACAUCUUAAACUUUUUAUUUUUCAAAACUUUACAAGGUGAAAAUAGUUCAGGUUUACACCUUUCUAAUGAGUACUUGCACAAGUUCAUACGAUUUUUCUACAAAUUAUGACGAAUUUUACAAAACUGCCUAUCAUUUCAGCAAACAGUUUUGGACCAGUCUGUUAAGUUGCACAUUUUCACACAAGUUAAAGGUCACUAAAAAUCAUUAUAAAAAUUAUGAAAAAACUAGACACAAUUUCUAAACUCUCAGAAUUUACGGAUUCUGAUUUCAACUUUCAAUGAUUUUUCUAUAGUUUUUCUAGGAACAGAUUAGAAAAGCUAAAACUAGAAAAUAGUAAACAAGUUCAUUUACACUUUGUAACCUAUUGAGCAAAGUGUGUAUUAUUGUAUAAAUACACACUUUGCUCAAACAUCAUCUUUCCACAAUAAAGUUUAGUUCUAUUCACGGACUGUUUUGAACAUCUUAAACUUUUUAGUUUUCAAAACUUUACAAGCUGAAAAUAGUUCAGGUUUACACCUUUCUAAUGACUAAUUGCACAAGUUCAUACGAUUUUUCUACAAAUUAUGACGAAUUUUACAAAACUGCCUAUCAUUUCAGCAACAGUUUCAGACUAGUCUGUGAAGUUGCACAUUUUCACACAAGUUAAAGGUCACUAAAAAUCAUAAUAAAAAUUAUGAACAAACUAGACACAAUUUCUAAACUCUCAGAAUUUACGGAUUCUGCUUUCAACUUUCAAUGAUUUUUCUAUAAUUUUUCUAGGAACAGAUUAAAAAAGCUAAAACUAGAAAAAUAGUUAACAUGUUCAUUUACACUUUGUAACAUGUUGAGCAAAGUGUGUAUUAUUGUAUAAAUACAUGUUGUUUGUAUUUCAUGUCUUAUACCUUCGUAAGAAGGUGUGCAUCAUAUACAAAGGAUUUUUAUCACUGCAAACUCACUAUAAAAAGUUCCGUUUACAUUAUAAAAAGGAUUUUCAUUAACACUACACGUAAACUCGUUAUCAUAAAUUGUGAGACAUAACUUCAUUGUACUCUUAGAGUGAUGGUAAAUUUCAUGUAGUUAUAGCCAGAGUCUCUUGUAGGGAGAGCGUGAUAGUUGUGUAUAGAUCUAUAUUGGGAUUGACAACUCACACCUUAGUUGCAUGUAACAGCCUGACCGGCCAGUCAGGGGUGACAAAUUUCAUAACAUUCCGACGCCUGAAGAAUGUCGUAGCAGGUCAUCUAUGUCAUAACAUGGUUAUAACGACUCGCACAGGGAGAUAACGAAACAUAUACUUUACGGGGAUUCUUCAUCUAAAAAGGGUUUUAUGUUGAUUUAAAACCACAUUUACUACUAUAAGUAUGGAAAUUUACUUGUACAUUUCGGUCUUUGGGUAUUAAGACUACAACUCAUUUCAUAAGGAAAAUAUUGGAUUUUUCUUGAAACAUAUACAUUCAUUUACACAGAAAGGUUUGCAAUCCUACAUGCAAAAAGCUUAUGCACUCACCAACUUAAUUGUUGACAUUCUUUCAAAAUUACUUGUAUUCUCAGGAAAUCAAUGAAAUCAGGUAACUACAAGCUUUUGUGGAAGGAACGCUUCGACGUUUGACAAACUAUUUUGAUAUUAUGUUGUAAUCGAUUUUGAAACACGUAGCAUUUGAAAACACGUAACCCUUUUGAUAAUAUUUAUGAUUGGUUGCAUUUAAUGUGAUCACAAUUAUACUCAUUUGUCAUGAUACUAUGAAUGAAGUCCUCCACCCCCAGACGUUUCCACCAUUCGAGGUUUGGGGGUGUGAAAUAAGGAAUCUGACGAUAUCAGGCUCAAGGAGCCUGUUUGAGGCCAUACAGGGAUCUCUGCAACAAGUUGACAUGAGUUGGGAGGUUCGGAUCAUCGAAACUUGGAGGCUAAUGCAUAUACAUUGUUUCCUAAAAAUGAAUGUGAAGAAAUGAAUUGUUCACACCAAGCUGAUGAACAUGCCAGUGGUGGGAUAGAGCCAAACUAAGGAUCAUCCGAAUGGUAUCCAGUUUGACGAUCGGGUUAAAGGUCUCAUCAGAAUCAAUGUCUAGCCUUUGACUGUGACCAUUGGCAACAAGUCUUGCUUCAUACCGGAAUAGAGAUCUAUCUACAUUAUGUUGCUUUUGAAUAAAAAAAAUACAAUUAACCAUGAUGGCACUAGGAGGCCAAGGCACAAGCACCUAAUUUCUGUUAGAAAUAAGUGCAUCCUAUUCUUCUUUCAUAGCGUUUAGCUAGUUAUUAUCUCAAAAAGCUUUGAAAUAAUUGUGAGGGAUAUGAUAGGAGGAGGAUUCAAUGUGAAGAUUGAGUUUUUGAAUGAGGUUGGAGAUGUCAUCAUGAGACUGAGUGACCAUUGGGUAAGACUGAGGAGGGACGGUAAAAAGAGGAUGGGAUGGAGGGUGGUGGCCAUGAUUAUUACUGUUACAGAGUGGUAUAAUAAACUUUUAAAGGAAUAUGGGGGUGAGUUUUGUGUUUGAUGAUGGAGAUAACUAGGAUGAAGAAGAAGAAGAUGCGUUAGGUUAUUACAAAUCAUGGAAUCGCAUAAUUGGUGGAGAUCUCUCUCUUUUUCAAAAAACAACAUGACAAUACAUCAUAUACAACUGGCGGGUUUUUCAGCCCCUUAUGUUACAAUGUAUCCAUAUCAUCCUAAAUUUGUUCCAAACGGCCCUAACUAUCAAGGUAGAUGUCAUUUUUAUUAUUGUUAUGUUUUUGUAUAAAAUGUCCUGAGUCACCUUACCCAUGACCUAACUUCUUUAAAUAGAUGGAUAAUGACCCCAUUAAAUUUUAAUACAUGGAUCAUAACCUAAUUCUUUUAAAUAAAUGGAUCAUAUGACCUAAGUCCGCCCAUUAAUUAUUGAUUUUAUUAACCUCAAAAUAUGUUAUUCCCUUUGAGGUUUACCUACACCAGACGAGCUAAGUCUCAAGUGUUUGACUGGUAGGGUUGACGUUUACUUGUAUUACAAUAAGUCUGAGUUGGGAAGCAUAAUUUGGUCUUUUCCUUAAGUCAGUUAGUAUAGUGUUAGCAUUGGAGGAGGAAAUUUCUUGUUCAGUUGAACCUAGUUCAUUGCGAGAGACCUGCCCUCUCAAAAGGCAGAUGUCAUAAUUGUAAUCCUUCUUUCUAGUACAUUAAUCAUUUAGUAAAGAGUAAUCAGUUCAAUCUUACAGAUCUAGAUUACUCCAAAAUGGUCUAGGAUGUAACAAAAUAAAAAUAGUUAUAACCUUGCAAUAGAUGCUUGAAAAUGGCAACAUCUAAAUGUAGUUGGGGCAUGAAAUUUGUCUAAUGUUGUUUUAACUAUUUACAUGCAAACCUCAAAUCUUUACUUAAGAGGAGCAUGUCAAGCAACUGUACAGUUAGGGCUCUAAAUUCAGAGUUAAGGCAUGCUUUCUUCAAAAGUAUAUGCAUAGCUCCUCCACAUGUUGACUUUUUUUUUUCUUAACUACAAAUCUAGCCACUUUUUUUCAUAAUUUAAUAAAAGCUUUGUUUUCUAUUUAUCAUUAUUUGUAUACACAUUGCAAGAAAAGCUUAUAACUCCAGUGGGUGCAAUCUUUGGGAUAAAGUAUUUACAUAUAAAAACAUUUUACACAUUAAUUUGAACCAAUCAUUAUAAAGUUAGAAAAAUCAUAUUACUAUAUAAAUUAAUAAAUGUUUGAAAAUCAUUAAUUAGUGAUUAUAACUACAAAGUAUUAAUAUUAUUUUAAUUUACUAACUGCGGUUACUACGAGUUAGUUUAUAAAGAAGCAAACCACUUAAAUAUACCUUUUUCACUAUUCAAAUACUAGAAAUCACUUGACCAUCUUCUUAACAAACCAUUAUUAUAACCACAAAAAAGAAGAAAUAUGAACAACAAGGUCUAAGAUGAGAGAGAGUCGAUACUCAUAAUUUUCUCAAGCCAACCCCACUUCUUAAAAUUUGGACAAUUUUACGCAUACAACUAGUCUAGGAAUGACAUUUAUUAUUAAAAAAUUGAAAUGAAAUGAGAAUGAAAUUUAAAGAGUAAAAUGGAAUAAAAUGUGUGGUUUUCAAUUGGUACGAAGAGAGUAUUUAUAAUGAUAUAAAGGAGAAAAAAAAGGAAAAAAAAUGAAAAUGUAACUGUUAGAACGCGUUCCACAAACCUUUAACCUUCUUCUAACGGUAACCAAUGCGCUCAAAUCCAUCUCCUCGGCGGUACCGCCCGUCACCCGUCGGAGCCUACUUCUGAGACCCUCCACUCUAAUAAAUAUCAUUAUUAUCUUCCAAUUUUAAGUAUCAUGAUAAGUUCUGUGUUGACUUUGGGUUGACAUAAUGAAUAUCAAUUAUUUUCUCUAAAAUUCUCCUUGCUAAUCAUUAUUUUGUUGAAAUGUACCUUUUCCUUAUGAGCAUAAUUACUUUAUUAAAUUUAGCUUGCCUUGAUAAAUAUCUUUUAUUUUCGUGAAGUUUACAUUGUCUUAAUAAAUAUCAUUACCACUUUAAUAAUUAUCAUUUCUAAUUCCACAAUAAAUAUCAUUAAAUAGUUUUCUUUAAUAAUUAUUAGACAACAUUACAAAAAUGGUCCCUGUGGUUUGCCGAAAAUCACGAAGUCAGUCUCUGUUAAUUUUUUUUUGAUGUAAAUGGUCCUUGUGGUUUGCAAAACUUGCAAAGAUGACUCUUUUUACUAACACCGCUAGUAUUCAGCCGUUAGGAACUAAACCUGUGAGGGUAUUUUCGUCUUUUCAAGUAUAAAUGAAUAUAUUCGAACUUUGGACCUCCUACCUUUCUCCCUUAAUCAACCAAAGUUUUAACCAAUUAGGCUAGAGACGCACUUGAUUUAUAUUUUCGAAAACUAACUAAUAUUAUCUACAAAUCGUAAAUAAAUUAAUAAUAAAAUAUUAAAAAAAACAUAUUUUUUAAAAAAAAAAAAAUAAAACAAAAUAUAUUUUUAGCGUAUUGUAAAAAAAAAUAAAAACAAUUAUUUGUUUUUUUACGUAUUUAAAAAAAUAAGUUUUCGUAUACUUUUAAAUACAUAAAAAAAUAACGUAAUAACAUAUUCUACAAAAACAUAAUCCUAAAAAACAUAAAAAAAAGUUUUUGUAUAUAUUUAUUUUAUGUGAAGAUUCAGUUUCUAACGGCUGAAUACUAACGUAAAAAGGGUCAUUUUUGCAAGUUUUGCAAACCACAAGGACCAUUUACAUUAAAAAAAAAAUUAGUAGGGAUUGACUUUGUGACUUUUGGCAAACCAUAGGGAUAUUUUUGUUAUUAUGUCUAAUUAUUAUUAUAGAAAAGAAUUGAAAAAAAAAAAAAAAGCGACACCAUCAAGGCAUCGAAGGAAAACCCAACACCCUCGUUGACUCUCCUCUCUGGUCGUCUCCCUUCCUCGUUGACUUGCUGUUUCCCUGCCGACUUAACGCGGUUCGCUCUGUACUUUUCACUCUUCAUCGAUCUUUCUCAGACUCGUCACUGUUGGUUCAUCCUUUAUCGCUGCUGUUUCAGUUCUCCUUGUCAUCCUGUAUGCUUCUUAAUUACAAGUUGUUAGACAAUUUCAUCUUAUGAAUCAUAAAUCACAUCAUAAUCGUUUGGUUAUUUCACUAAAAGGUGAUUGAAUAUUGUCUAUUUCCAUUAUUUUUGUUUUAUUUUAUAUAUCAAUUAGGAUAGUCCACACUCCUUCUAGCUAAAGUCAAGUACGAUGAACAAAAUUUCCUGCACGUUGAGAAUUCUUUGAUCCUUUAAAAUUUCUUCCUCAAUUCCUCUAUAUUUUCUAAUUCACAACACGAUUUUUAGAUUUGAUUCUUUUUGAAUGAUGUUUAUGAACAAGCUUCAAUAUUUGACUGUCAUAAUGAGUGUUUUGCUUGUGUAUAGACUAAAGAGUGCAUUUAGCUUUGAAGUUUCUUCUAUUAUUGAGUUUGAAAUUGAACCCUUAGAAAGGGCAAAGUGGAAGGCGUGUUUUGUUGGCUUCAGAAACAUAUCAUUUGGAACAACCCCAUCAAUAUUGUUAGUUGAAACACUUAAAAUAAGAUUUAUGCUGAUACUAGAUCCAGUUAUAUAUGAAUUUUAAAUUUGUGUAGAUUGUUGUUGCUAAUUUUGGAGAUCCAUAAUUAAACAACCUUGUCAAGCAAGUGCUGUUUUUUUUGUUUAAAACUUUACAUCUUUCAAUUGUAUGUUGAUAUCUAGUAAAAGCUUGAAAUUUCCUGUAUGUUUUGCAAUUUCCUUCAUGGGAGGUAAUAGUGGAUCUUGUAGUUAUUUCCAGAAUGGUAUUUUGGUGUAGAUUUGUUUGAGGAUUACUUUACUGAAAUUCAUAUGGAUUUUACUUAGACAAAUAAGGAUCUUCAUGUGGGCUAAUCAAAUUAAAACAGAGGCGUUGUAGUUUCAAUGCAUAAAUUGGUUUGUUUUUUUUUUUUCUUGAAUCUAAACUUAGCCAGAAAAACAGGUUAACCAAUUUAGUUUAAUUGGUAACAGCAUUUAAAAUAAAUUUCAUGGCAAUGUAAUGGUUAUUCUAUAUCCAUACUUUGUUUUUGUGGGAAAAAAUAUUCUAUAUAAAUACUUAGUUAGCUAUAUAUGUGUUGGCUAAAGGAUCCAAAAACCUGUCACAUAAUUAUUAUUGCCAUGAGAUUGCUGUUGUAGUGAUUUAACAGCCUCUCUUUGUAUUUCAAACACGGCAGCAACCGCUUAAUGCUUAUUCUUUUGUGUUCCUUUUCCAGUGUUUAUUUGAUGAGAUUUAAGUUGCAUAUUAUAAAUAUUAAUAAUUUGGAUUUUAUGUACAGGCUUUAUUUGAACCACAAGUUAAGUGUUUCUAGCUAAUUGAGAUACACAAAGGCUCAUCAACCCAAAACUCAUAAUGGUUAUUCUCUCUGAACUCCUCUCAGAAGGAUCUUCAUCUUCUUCAUCAACUCAUGGUUAUAGUCCAUCAGCUUGUGUUCCUACUUCAUCAACUCAUAAUCAUAGAUAUGAUGUAUUUUUAAGUUUUAGAGGUGUUGACACUCGUCAUAGUUUCACUGAUCACCUUCAUAAAGCCCUCAUUGAUGCCAAUAUCACUACGUUCUUGGAUGAUGAAGAGAUUGAAACAGGGGAAGAUCUGAAACCAGAACUGGAGACUGCAAUUAAGGCAUCUCGGGGUUCUAUCAUUGUGAUAUCUAAGAAUUACGCUUCUUCAACAUGGUGUCUGGAUGAAUUGGUGUUGAUCCUUGAGCAGAAUAUGACAUCUGAUCAUAUUGUUAUCCCCAUAUUUUAUCAUGUUGAGCCCACCCAUAUCAGGAAGCAACAAAGUAGCUUUGGAGAUGCAAUGGCUAAGCAUAAACAGAUGAUGGAGGCAGAGAAAAAUGCAUAUAAAAAAAGUCAAUGGGUUCAAAAGAUGGACCGAUGGAAUAAAGCUCUUAUUGAAGUAGCUAAUUUAAAAGGAAAAGACGUCAAUGGAAGGUAACCAAUAUUCUUCAAUUUUGUUUGAUUAACACAUGAAUGUUAGUAUCAUCUUCUCCCAAUGCAUUUCAAUAANACAUAUAUAUAUAUAUUUGAUGUAUUAGGAUAUAAAGUCCACACAUUUUUUUUAUGCAUUUUGUGUUUCAUCAUAAGUUAGUUCAUUUAGACAAACCGUUCCAAUUAUUUUGUAUGCUUUCUAUUAAGAAAACAAGAUUUGAAGGGUUUGCUAUGCAUCUACUAUUACUUAUACCAUACCACCUUAUAAUCAUAGUGUCUUUUAUGAUAAAUAACUUCUCUUACCUUUAAGCAGUAAAAUAUUACCUAUAACUGCAUGGCACUUUUUUCAAAACACGCCACAAUGAUAGUUAUGAUGGUCUUGUGUAAAUGCAGUGAAGUUAGGUUGUCCAUUAGUGAAAUCUGGUAUUACAUUGGCAUCUUUUACCUUAUUAUACAUAAAUAUUUAUGACCUUGCACAUUGGAACUUGUAUGGUUAGAACAUAGAAGUGUAAACACAAUAUCAUUUUUUAAUGUGAAGGACUUGAUUAAAAUUAAUAGCUAUGAUAUAAUUUUGAUUUUGGUUCUUUGGACAAAUUAAAUCUCCAAAUCCAGUUUGUUAGUUCUGUGGUUCAUAUAAAAUCUGAUUUCAGGCUAGAGACGGAAUUUAUUGAAGAAAUUGUGAAGGACAUCCACCGUAGGUUACAUGUACCCUCAAGGAGUGUUCGACAACAACUUAUUGGGAUGGACUAUGAGAUUAAGUUCAUAACUUCAUGGUUGAAAGAUGGAUCCUCACAUACGGCAGACAUACUCACUAUUUAUGGUAUAGGAGGGAUUGGGAAGACAACUUUAGCCAAACAUGUCUAUGGGCUAUAUGCUCACAAAUUCCACAAAAGCAGCUGUAUUGAAGAUGUUAGUAGGGUAUGUGAUGGAAAGUUUAAUGGGUUGCUUGAUUUACAAGAAAAACUAAGCAGUGACAUUUCAAAAACAAGUUCCGUUAAAGUUCAUGAUGCUUCGGUAUACACCUCAAAGAUAGAGAAUGCAGUAGCACGUAAAAGGGUGUUUCUUGUUCUUGAUGAUAUUAGCACGCUUGAUCAGUUGGAUGCGUUACUUGGAAGCAAAGGUUUUCAUCCCGGAAGCAAAAUAAUUAUAACCACAAAGGAAAGACGUUUGAUAGAGAGGUGUGCACUAUUCAAAACAGACAUUAAACCAAAGCAUACAAAGCUCUUGCUUCAAGGCUUACAUGAGACCGAAUCAUGGAAACUUUUGUGUCUCCAUGCAUUCAAAUGCAACUAUCCCAAGACAGGUUAUGAAGGGGUGUUAUAUAAGCUUGUGAAGUAUUGUCAAGGACAUCCAUUGGCUCUUGUAGUAUUGGGAAAAUCUCUAUAUGAUCGAGAUGUAACUUAUUGGGAAGGGUGCAUAGAAGGGCUAAAGAAAGAAACAGAUUCUCAUGUGAAUAAUGUCUUGAGAAUGAGCUUUAACUCUUUGCCAUCCAAAAAUGAUAAGGACUUGUUUAAGUAUAUUGCUUGUUUUUUUGUUGGAAUAGAUAGAGAUGUUGCUGAAACAAUAUUAAAGGCAUGCAAUAUAAACAUAAGAUCUGGAAUCCCGAAUCUCCUCGACCGAUUCCUUCUUUCGAUUGGAUGGAAAAACAAAUUGAAGAUGCAUCAGUUGGUUCAAGAGAUGGGAAGGUUCGAAGUACGUCAAGAAUCACAUGACAAGCCAUGGAAGAGAAGUCUAUUAUGGUGUCAUGAGGAGUCAUUCAGAGUAUUAAAACAAAAAAAGGUAAGAGGUCAUAUGUGGUUUUAAAAGUAUGCAUGUUAAAAAUAUUGUGUAUGGUCUCAACUUUUUAUUUACAUUAUGUUUCUUCUUAGGGUAAGGGAAAUCUUGUUGGCCUUGCCCUUGACAUGCGCAUGCUUGAGAAAGAGAUGUUGGGUGCAUCAUAUAAGUUAAAAACAGAUGCAUUAAGUAAGAUGGAUAAUUUGAUGCUACUACAACUCAAUUAUGUUCACAUGAAUGGGUCUUAUGAGAACUUUCCACCGGAACUAAGAGGUUUGUGUAUGCAUGGGUUUCAUUUGAAGUAUAUACCUUCAGAACUACCUAUGGAGAAUCUUGUUGCUCUUGACAUGUCAUAUAGCAAUAUUGAAUCAUUUAUCGGUUGUUAUAGUAAUCCACAACGACUUGAGAAGAGGCAAAAGGUAACUUAUCUUCAUUUAUUAUUUUUCCAUGUUUAGUUGAAUUUCACUCCCAUUCUAACUUCUUUCCGUUUUUAUAGUUGGAUGGAUCAUGCUUAAAAAACAAAAGGUUGCUUGGAUCAUUGAAGGNAUUUUUCCAUGUUUAGUUGAAUUUCACUCCCAUUCUAACUUCUUUCCGUUUUUAUAGUUGGAUGGAUCAUGCUUAAAAAACAAAAGGUUGCUUGGAUCAUUGAAGGUUCUUAAUUUAAGUUUCUGUAAACAACUUUGUAGUCUUGGUGACUUUGACCAAUUUCCAGCUCUGGAGAGGUUAAUAGUCAGAAAUUGCACUGGUUUGCUUGAGGUUAGUGAAUCAAUUGAGCAGUGUGUUGAACUUGCCCUCAUAGAUCUAAGCUACUGCAAGCAGCUUAAAAACCUUCCAAGAAUCAUAGGCAUGCUAAAGAAGGUUAAAACAAUGUUGCUAGAUGGUUGUAAUCUGGGUGAAUCUCAAACUGAGGAUACAAAUUUAGAUAUGGAUUCACUGGACAUGUGCAAUGCUAACAAAAACAUUAGCAUAAGCACAAGAACCUCUUCCACCACCUUUGUGGGUGCUAUGCCAAGCCAUUUGAAGUUUUUUUCAAGUUCUUUGUUGAGAUCUCUAGUAAGGCUUUCGCUUGCAAAUAAU
rnacentral:lncRNA from 1 species